rnacentral:lncRNA from 1 species
UUUCUCAAUUACAGAGAUCUUGAUAUAGGGAUCACCCAUAAUGGCAAGAACAGUUACGCCGAGGGACUUGUUUAUGGAAUUAAGUACUUCAAGGAAAAUUUUAACAGAUUGGUAAAAGUUAAGACCGCGGUUGAUCCUGACAAUUUCUUCAGGAAUGAACAAACCAUUCCGGUGUCUCCUUCUAGGAAAUACUAACAAUAAAGAAGUUAUCAUGUAGCUUUGGUUUUGUUGAUUGUUGUUUUCUGUAAUUUAUUUGGAUUGCAAACUGCAAAGUGUCAUAAAUGAUUCUACACAAAGCACACAGAAUAAAGAUUAUUUUGUCAAAGUUUUGUACUUGAUUUAGCUCAAGUAAUUGGACUAUAAUUCUCCCAUUUAGCUCAAGUUUUGUAGGCUAUUUAUAAAAUAAUCAAAACUAUAUCAUUCUUAUUAUGUGAAUGCCAUUCUUAAUAUUAUCGAUGGUAUCUGUGGAAUAUCGACAUUGAAAUCUAGGAAGAGAAUUUUAAUGCAUUAAAUGUCCUUAUCAAAUUGAAAUGAAUUUCCAAUGAAGUUAAAAAUUUUUGUACUAUAUCCCUACCCUACUAUAUUAAAAGAAAAAGUUAAAUUUAGUGACUUAGUGUUUUAGUUCUCACUUUUCAAUGAUAGCUUUACAACAAAUUCUGACGACUUUCUUACAUAUCCGAAUGUACUAAGAAUUUGUUAUCGGGGCUUUUUAUGUAAUAUCGACCUUGAGAUUUUGAAAAAGAAAUUGAAUCCCUUAUGAAAUUGAAAUUGAUUUGGAAAAGUUUUAGUUUUACUUAGAACAAAAUUUAGUAAAAACCAAAUUUCUUUUUACCGUAUAGAUUCUGAUGAUUUCCAUCAUUAUCAAUGUCAUAAUUAAGUGCGGCUCUUUAUAUAAUGUGCUUAUUAACAUGAUGGAUAUUUUAUCUACGUGCGAUUUUUACCAUUGUGUUGGAUAUAUUAUCAUUUGCUUAACCGGGCAUAAACAAGAAGCUAGAGAUACAUAUAGGUUUUCAAAAAAACAGACAAAGUUUAAAAAAUAUGCCUGGCUGAGUGCAAUAUUUGUCCAAGGUAGAAGCCUUUUUAAUUCUUUUUAAGGUUAUUAAUAUAAUACUGGCUUUUAAUAUAAAACUAAUUCAACUUAAUUUCCAUCUGGAAUAAAAUUAUAAAAAUGGGAUUCAGAAAGUAGUAAAGAACGGGAAAGAAAUUUUAGGGGGUUAAAAAAGCAAAGAAAAUAUGACAAAUAAUAUGAUAUGACAAAAAAAGGACAUAUUGAAUGAAAGUAGGAAAUUCAUUUUCCUUUUAAUAACAAUUUAGACGAAGGGGGAUUAAAGUACCAAUGGACUGUUCCGGGGUGUGGAGAAAAUUGUUGAAAUUAAGAUUUUAGCACAUCCUUUUAUACAAAAAAAAAUGUGGGAAAUAGAUUACAAACAAAUUUCUGGUUUGAUUCAUGGUACCACUACAAGAAAAUUGCGUUUCUGUGACAGGCGAAAGUCGUCACUAAAAAUUCAGAAGUUGUCACAAAAAAAGCUUGUGACGACUUUUACUACUGUCACAGAGCUGUCACUAGUUCUAUGUCACAAAAGGGGGUCCAUGUGACGACUAUUGUAAGUCGUCACAAACGAUUUCGCUUUUGUGAUGACUCUUGUCGUCACUCAUUGUUGUACAUUGUGUGACGACUUUUAUUGUCACUAAACUGGCUAAAUUCUUGUCAUAGUCAACCCUUGGAGUUGUCACAUUAUGCUUCCGUUCAGUGACGACUUUUAUUGUCAUUGUUUUCCAUCCAUAAAAAGUGACGACUUUCUAGUGUCACUAGUAAAACUUGUUGGCAGUGACAACUUUUUUAUUGUCAUUUAUUUUUUUGUAAAAAGCAAUAAGCUAAUGUUAAUUACGCAACAUAGCUACCAACAAUCACAAAACGUUCAUUGAGUAGCAAGGAGAAAAAAAAGCCAACCUACGAAAAGAAAACCAACAUUCAUUUCCAAUAGAAGAUCAACCGAAAUACAUAUAUAUAUAAAUGUUGCCUCAAAUGAGUCAUAAACCAUGCACCAUCCAAAAUAAGCCAUUCAGUUACAAUACUAGUGAUUUCCCAUCCACAAUAGAGAGUAGUAAAGUUCUAUACAAAAAUAUGAGCACGAUUCCCAUCUAGAACAAAACAUGAGCACGAUAGGCCUUGUAGUCUUCAAUUCAAAAACCAUCUUCACAGCAAUGACUGGCUUCUUCUUCUUGGGAAUCGUGUUAGAACCUACACGUUACCAAAAUUGAAGCAAUGAGCACUGGUGUUAAAACUGGAACUAUACUUCUAGAUAGGCACCAUAUUAUAAAAACUAAUGUACACUGUUCAAAUGACACUAACCAAAGAAAAGGUCAUCGCCAUCUAAAAUGCCUUGACAGUACGUUAUGGCUAGAUUAGUGUUAUACCAUCAAUUCUGGUUUGACAUCCUUGAAUAGGCUUGACGAGUAAGAAGGAAGACAAAAUAUAACAGUUCAGGAAAGAGACUACGAGAUGACAACAUCAGAGGGCUGACCGAUGAAAUUAAACUAAUACAAACAACAAGAAGUUUGGACUUAGCAGAAUCAUCUUAAGUCAGCAGGAUCGUGUAGUAAAAGAGUGAAAGAAAAAAGAAUUUAAGGCUGUGGAACACAAAAUGGAAAACCAGGAGGCUUCCGUCCAAUAAAGGCCUGAAAAGUAUCAAGAAAAUUAUUUAUUUAAGAAUCAUGACACAAUCAAAUGUUUCUUCUCGUAUCAGGCAUAGAGGAUGGGGCUACAAGUACAUAGCCCAACGGCCAACAUGCAGCUAAAACCUAAAACUUAAACUAAAAAAGUCAAUAAAUCAAAUAUGAAAAAAAAAAGAAGCAAAUCACGUUGAACAGAUCACACGUAUCUUUAACAGUUAUUAACCAACCAAAUUGAAAAUUAAAGUGUUACAUGAACCAAUUCUUACAAGACACACUGAAAUUGAUUUAGGGGUGCAAAGUUUAUAACUAUGAAGAGCAAACAAUUGUAUUAAAAAUGAAUCUCUAUUUUGUAGAACCAGAAUUCAUUUCCCUCAAUUGUAAUAACUAUGAAGAGCAAACAAUUUAUUUAUACCUGACACAAAAGUUGCUUAUUUGCGCAAGUCUUUCAGCUGGUUAGCUAACUCAUCAUAUAGGCUUCUUGUUUCUGUUUGUUGCUGUUGCAAGGUCUUAAUCAACUCUUGCUGAGCAGUGAAUUGUUGAGUUACUUCUGCAGCUCGUUUUUCUGCUUCAUCUGCUCUUUUUCGGCUGUCCUCAAUCUCAUGCCUCCAGCGUUCUACCUCAGCAGCUUGCUUCUUGGUUGCACUACGACCGCGGAUGUGUCCAGGUACGUAACCAAGUUCUUGCUCGCAUAUUUCCUUGCUAGUCAUUGAAGUUGUAGCCUGCAAUUCCCUCAUUUUGUCCUAGGCAAGUAAAAAAUAUGAUCAUUAUGUAGCUGGAAUGGAUGUCAAUAAUUUAAAAAUCCAUUAUCCAAGUGAAACAGCUCACCAAGGUCUCUUUUGCUUUGUCAUUUACCAGCCCCCCUGACUUCUUUGACUUUCGACUUAACUCAAACAUGUCUAUCUCUGAAAGCUCGACAUCUUCUUUCCUUUUCUGUCCAAAUUUUCAAUUUUUUCAUUUUCAGUCAUAUGACAAAAAGUAACAAGAAGUUAAAUCUGCAAAUGUGUGCAAUUCAAUAGGAAAGCUCAGAUUGAAUUGAAGCCUGUGGCAUUUGUCAGAUUACAAAUUUCUCAGAUAGCAGACGUGGCAUAUGAAAUUGAGGGAGCUACAAAUCAACGUAUAUAGCUUUAGUAUACAACCAGAGCUAAUGCUAGAGUCAUCCAAUUUCCAAGACAAAGCAGAAUAUGAUGGAAAGAUUAGUCAAAACUUUACAAGGCUUCAUACACAUAAUCUAAAUACUUGGUAGCAUCUAAAUCUAAUCCAGUCAUGGAUUUGAGAAAAGAGCAUUAAAAGUAUGUAGAGAAAAGGAAGGCCAAGGAAGACCAUGUAGAAAGCUGAAAGAAAAACCCCAAGAGAGCAAGGUCAGCUUCAUUCAGAACAAAUUUAGCUUGAUGAUCUAACAGCCUAACAGAAUGUAUCUGCGACAACAAAGACACUCAGAAGCCACAUGUGUGCACUUGCGCAUAAACACAAGGCAUGAAAUUUAUCUUGCUAUAUUAACUAACCAAUUGCUUUACCUUUCCUCUCUUUUUUUUUCCUUUUUCCGAAUAUUUGCAGUACCUCACUGUUGAGUCAAUAAAAAUUUAAAGGAAAUUAUGUAUAAUACUAUUUUCUUCCAUCAAACUUCACUUUAAAACAUCAAAACUGGCUGAGCUAUUCCGGUAGUUGAAAUAUUUGCCUUUUUCAGUCAUAUGGCUGGGUUUCAGAUUACCUUUUCCUCAACAACUCUUGCAAGCGAUUUUGUGCCAACAGUAGUGUAGCAGUCAUUUUUGGCACGAUUUUGCUUGUUACGUUCACUAAUUUUCUGCCACAAAUUAGUGAAAAUUUUAACUGACAAAGAUUAGCAAAUUUGUGAAGUGAAAUCUGAAAUUUAAUAAAAGGAUAGGUUAUUUUGACAAGCUAACCUUAAAUUCAUCAUUUUCAAAGUAGCUGACCAGCCACUUCCAAUCUUCUUCACUCACACCUUCAGGAACUUGCCUCAAUGCUUCUUGCCUUGAUUCAAAACUCUGGAAAUACUUGUGAAGCCUAUAUCGAUGAUUUCGAUAUUGUGUGUUUAACUGCCUAUUAAUAGCAGUUUUUGAGGUGAUGUGCUCUGAAAAUCGAAAGUCAUCCUACAAUAACAGUGCAAUCUACUUAAAACCAAGCAAAUCUAAAGCAGUAAAAUCUCUCUUACUUUCUGGAUGAAAUUAGACAUGUCUAUUGCAGGACAACAAAUACUGUAACCGUGCUGUAUAUGCCUUCUCGGUCACCGGGAUUGAGAUGGGACCACUUUGGAACAUUAAGCCUAGCAGCCUUCCUAACAACACAACCCCCUUCUGUGAUGAAGUAUUGAGAAUCCUUCCCAACAAUCCGCCGAAUACAAUCAUCAAUUUCAAUGGUGAGCGUCUCAUUAGCCUCCCUUUUUUUUGAUAAUGAUAGAUUUCGUGUACGUCCUCUUCUUCUUGCUGACAGCAGCAUAGCUAUUAACAAAUAUCAGUCCAUACAUUACUUUGACCACAUUAACAAAGUCAGUCAUGAAAUAGAAACUUGAUUUUUAAUUUCAGCCAUGAAAAUGAAGUCUAACUUACCAUUUUCUUCCUCAUCCGAAACUGGAUUUGACUCAUUUUCUCCGGAUGCACGAGACUCAGAUGUCUGAGGGUGUAUCAUCCUACUCUCACUAGCAAUUUCUCUAGGUGAAGAAGCUGGAGUGACAUAUAUUACAUCCUCUGAGGAUACACUCUUGGAUGCACUUCUUGGUUGAUUGCUUCCAAUUGAAUUAGGUAUUGCAGGCUGUUGUGCACCUUGAGCUUUUCUCUGCAGCAUUUGGCCUCGCUUUCCUGGUCCAGCCAUCUAAAAGUAACAAGAAGUUAGUGUUACAGCAUAGUAUAAUUUAGGAAUAAAAACUAGUUAGCCGGAGUUAAAGAGAUUAAAUUUAGUGUCAUGUAGUCCUCAUCAAUUUCACCUAUUCCGAAUCGAUGUCAUUAUCACUAAGAAUCUCCUCUUCGUCUUCCUCAUUGUUAGACUCAUGUUCAUUCACUUCAUCAUCAUCAUUAAUGAAGUCUUCAAAGGUGCCAUUUGAGCUAUUUUUUGACUUCUCAGCAUGUACAAUGGAUGAAGGUACAGCCUUCGGUAUCUCAUUGUCUUCUCUCGAAAGUAAUGGUGGAUUGUCGAGGUCUAUUAUAAUAGUGAAAUCCCCAUUUGCUUCUUCUUGAUAUAUUUCCUCGACCAUUGGUUCUUUUUCUAAAUUUUCAGGAACAUCAUACAAGUGCCUUGGACUGAACCUCUCGACGACAAACCAGUUUUUGCCUAGUUUCAAGUCUUCAAGAUAAAAGACUUGUUGGACAUGUUGAGGGAGGACAUAUGGUUGGUCUUCAUACCAUUUUCUAGACGAAUUGACACUUGUGAUACCCCAUUCUUUGUCCACUUGCAUCCCAGCACUAUCAUCGGUCUUCCACCAGUCACACUUGAAUACUAUAACCUUUUUUUUCCCGAGCCAGUAUCUUACUUCAAUAAUUUGUUGUAUCACACCAUAAAAAUCGAUCAUUUUGUUACCAUGCUCACCUCUAACUACAAUACCACUGUUUUGAGUCUUUCUUUGCCUUUCCCGAUUUUCCGUGUGAAACCUAUACCCAUUAACCAUGCAACCCGUAUACAUACAAACUCGGUUGUCUAGCCCAAAUGCUAAUGCUCUAAGCUCACCAUUGGAAGUCUCGCUGCCAUACAUAACCUAGUAAGGACAAUUUCACCUAAAUCAGUAAUUUAUUGUAUUAGAGAUAAAAAAAAGUAGGCUGUCCAAAUGACACUACAAACAUACACGUUGUUGAACCCAUUUUGCAAAUUCUCUAUCAUGCCUUUGGUCCACAUUUUCAGCACUCUCUGCCUCCAACUCCAUUUUAUGCGCACUAUAGACAAAAACAAUCACCUUAUAUAAAUUUGCCUUUGAACAUAUCAAAAUAUAGAACAAAGGUACAAGCUUUAAUUAACAUUAAAAGCUUACUUUAUAUAGUCCUCAAGCUCAUCACAAUUGUUCAAUAUAAAUGUAUGAAUUUUUUCCAGCUCUGAGUCAAGGAAAUUGCCCCUUUUGGGACCUCCAAAUGGACGACCAGGGCAUGAAAAAAUGGACAAUUCACCAGUAUUAUAUCCCCUAUCAUUGUUUCGUUCAGGCUUGUUGAAUAUCGUAUCAAUAUUGUCUAGGUACAUAGAGCAGAAUGUCAAGCAUUCUUUAUCUAUGUACCGCUCAGCAAUGCAUCCCUCUGGCCGGGCCUUAUUCCCAACAUAACUUUUCAGCACUGCCAUAUGUCUUUCUCAAAGGAAAAUAAAAGAAAUUAGAAGAUUGCAGUGGUCUUUAAUAAAAAAAAAACUUACAAGGCUAUAUGUUCAACUCUCUACCUCUCAAAUGGGAACAUCCAACGAUAUUGAGCUGGACCGCCAAGGAUAGCUUCAGCAGGCAAGUGAACCAUCAAGUGCAUCAUUAUAUCGAAGAAAGCUGGAGGGAACAACCUCUCUAAUUUACAUAAGAUGACUGCAAUUUUUUGGCCUAACUCCUCCAGAACCUCUCUAUGUAAUGUUCUAGCACAUAAUUUUUUGAAGAAUUCACUUAACUCGAAUAGCACUUGCCGAACUUCUUUUGUUAAACUUCCACGGAUUGCAAGUGGGAGUAGCCUUUGUAUAAAAAUGUGGAAGUCAUGACUUUUCAUUCCAGAAAUUUGAAACUGGCCAUUUUUUAUACAUCGGCAAAUGUUUGAGGCAAACCCAUCUGGAUAUUUGACAGAAUUCAAGAACUCACAUACUUUUUUUUUUCUCCUCCUUGGUUAGGCUGUAACAGGCAUGUGGCAUGAUAUAAGAGUCGCCAUUUGGAAUCAAAUGUAGCUCUUUUUUCAAACCCAAAUCCUUCAAAUCUUGACGACACAACCAGUGGUCUUUGGUUUUGUUUUCAAUAUCCAUAAUUGUGGCAAUGACAGCCUCUGAGACAUUUUUUGACACAUGCAUUAAAUCCAAAUUAUGCCUAAGAAGGAGGUCUGCCCAAUAUGGUAACUCAAAGAAACAACUUUUCUUUGUCCAGUUCAAACCACUCUCAGAACGCUUGCGUUUCUUUGCAUUGGAUUGCGCCUUGGUCUUCCCAAAAUUUACCUCCAUAUUUUGUACCUGAUCCAAAAUUUCAUUUCCAGAUAAAGGUGCAACAGGAUUCCUAAAGUCCACAUUGCCAUCGAAAGGUUUUUUUUCUCGCCGCCAAGAAUGGUCAAUGGGUAAGAAGCGGCGAUGACCUGUGUAACACAACUUUUUUCGAUGUGGUAAAUGUACGCAAGUUGUCUCAACCAUGCAAAUAGGACAUGCUUGAUACCCUUUCGUACUCCAUCCGGACAGCAUUGCAUAAGCUGGAAAAUCAUUUAUAGUCCAUAGUAAAGGUGCCCGGAGGUCAAAUUUCUUGCCACUAUAUGCAUCAUAUGUUUCAACACCAAGCCACAUUUCAUUCAGUUCAUCUAUUAGAGGCUCCAUGUAAACAUCAAUCUCAUUUCCCGGGGAUUUAGGCCCAGGAAUUAGCAUUGAUAGGAAAAAGAAAGGAUCUCUCAUACACUUCCAAGGGGGCAGAUUGUAUGGCACUAGAUAAAUAGGCCAGAUGCUAUAAGCACUACUCAUGGUCCCAAAAGGAUUGAAACCAUCAGUUGCAAGACCUAACCUCACAUUUCUAGGAUCAACGGCGAAGUCCGGAUGCAACCUAUCAAAGUCUUUCCAUGCUUCACUGUCUGCUGGAUGCCGCAUGAUGUUAUCAUCAUGCACACACUUUUCUUUAUGCCAUCUCAUAUCUGAAGCUAUUUCUUUGUGGGUAUAUAAUCGUUGCAGCCUAGGCUUCAAAGGAAAGUAACGCAAAACUUUGCGUGGAACUCUUGAACCUGCCAUCUUGUAGCGAGGUUCUUUACAAUUUAGAUUUGGACAAGUGUCAAAAUUUUCAUUUUCCUUGCGGAAGAGAACACAAUCAUUGACACAAGCAUGGAUUUUUUCAGAUUUAAAACCUAAGUCUCGAAUGAGCUUCUUAGCAUCAGCAAAAGACUUGGGAACUGUGGCUUCAGGAGGUAGUGCAUGGCUAAAAAUUUCCAGCAAUGCAUUGAAGGACUUUAUGGUCCACCCGCUCAUUGUUUUCAAAUGGAGCAAAGUGACUACAAAGGAUAGCUUUGAGUAAAAAUGAUUCCCUGGAUACAGCUCCUUUUUUGCAUCUUCUAACAAUUUAAGAAAGUUAUUUGUGUCACUAUGAUUCGCAUUUAGACUAUCAUCCGUUGAUUCUUCCCUACCAGCCCAAUUGUCCCCCCAUUGUGCUGUCCCAAUGUCGUGCAACAUGUCAUUUAAAUCUUCAGUAUCACUAUCCUCCUCUCCAUCCCCAUGUUUAGUACUAUCCCCACAAUUUUGGUGUCGAAAUUGUUCCCCAUGGUGUAUCCAUCUUGUGUAGCUUUUACGAAUGCCUUGAGUCAAUAAGUGAUCCUCCACAACUGUUUUAGUUUGGUUACAAAAAUUAUUGCAUUGUGUACAUGGGCAUGGGAUUUUCUGAGUGUCAACUUUUUGAGAAUAUGCAAACUUGAGGAAAUUUUUGACUCCGAGUUCAUAAGCCUUGUCCUUCCUAUUGCUAAUCUUCAUCCAAGUUUUAUCCAUGUCCUAGAUAUACACACAUCAGCCUUUAGUACAAAAUACUUUUCUAAUAUCAAACUAAAGAGAAUAAUUUGUUAACUAGCCUUUUCAAAAAUUAAGGCUACAAGUCAUAUGAAAAGCAGCCAUAAAAGUAAUAUGAAAAUUCAUAUGAAAAGCCAUGAAAUCAGUAUCAUAUAUCAAGAAAAGUAAUAUGUAUAGCAGCCACGAAAUGAACAUGAAAUUAACCAUGAAAAGCUCGGAUUGAAUUGAAGCCUGUGGCAUUUGUCAGAUUACAAAUUUCUCAGAUAGCAGACGUGGCAUAUGAAAUUGAGGGAGCUACAAAUUAACGUAUAUAGCUUUAGUAUACGAGCUAAUGCUAGAGUCAUGUAGAAAGCUGAAAGAAAAACCCCAAGAGAGCAAGGUCAGCUUCAUUCAGAACAAAUUUAGCUUGAUGAUCUAAUAGCCUAACAGAAUGUAUCUGCGACAACAAAGACACUCAGAAGCCACAUGCGUGCACUUGCUCAUAAACACAAGGCAUGAAAUUUAUCUUGCUAUAUUAACUAACCAAUUGCUUUACCUUUCCUCUCUUUUUUUUUCCUUUUUCCGACAAUGAAACCCACACUUCAACUCGGAUUCCGGGGGGGGGGGAAUAGGGAUCGAUGCAUGUUUUCCGCAGACCUCACUUUUUUGCAUUAAAUGAGAAGUGUCACUUUUGUUUCUUGGGGUUUUACUUAUUCAAAGACCAGAAAUAAAGGCAGACAUACACAUUUUAUUGCCUGCCCCUUUCUGCUGAAACAGCAGGGCCAAUUAAUGGGGUAGGAACCGAAAACGAAAAGGAGAACUUAGAUCCCAAUAUGUUAAUGCCAGGGAGUCCGGGAAUCGACAUUGUUGACUUGCACAUUUCUUUAGGCAAAUGCUAAACAGUAAACACACAGAAGCCACAAACUCUUACCAGUCCACUUCUCCAAAGUCCAAACCAUUCCUUGCAUCCACAUUGCACUGGCUUUUAACAAAAAGACUUGGAAGAGGUGAAAGAAAAACAUAAAAACUUUCGUGACUUCAUCAUAUGCAUUUAUGCUUGUGCACCUCCAUUCAUUGUAUUCUAACUACCCAAAAUAAAUGAAGUAACUAAACACAAGCAUUUUUUGUCACUAGUAUUGAUUCGCAUUCUACAGGUGGGACAAAGAUUAAGGUGAUAGAAACAUAAAGACCAAAAGAUAAAACAUAAAUGAGAAAAAUAAGAAAGUACUAGAAACUUUAGAGUUGAGAUUAUGCUGUAACAUUUUUUUUAUGUGAUAUAUGAUAGAUAAAAAGAUAAUUAAAAAAAUAAAAAAAUAAUUAAGAAGAAUACAUGUGAUGAAACGUAAAAUUUAAAUUUUAAAAAAAAAAAAAAAACAGGACCUAUCCAAACAUAGUCAAUUGUUGAGCAUUUCAACGAACAACUUCACAUGAUACCAUACUACUAUUAGUAAAUAGGACUUGUAUUUUUUUCCCCCUCUCAUAACAUCAAUUCGGACUCAAACAUAGGGCAGCAUAAAAACAGAAAAAGUGCAAAAACCAGCACGUCAGAGCCUCUCAAGACUCUGUUUUCUACCAUGAAAAAUUAGCUAUCAUGUUCGGACAAACACUGAACUAGCCGAAUGUUCCUUUUUCUCACACGCAAAACGCAAGCAAAAUCAUCUUCAAGUAGAACUCUCAACUGGGCAUUUCAUCGAACAGGUCAGGGGUAUAAAGAAUUUCGCCAAUCCUUUGCUCAAUUUGAAGUUAAUCAGCCCCAAAAUUUACAGCAUCCCAAUCAAAUUUCUCACACAACAGAAAUUAUAGCCCCACAUGAAUACAUAGACGUCAGAAAAGGAUAAAAGUUUUACUAAAAAGAAGAAAGGAAGAGAAAAUCAGGUCAAUACCUCUCAUUUUCACCCAUCCGCUAACAAAAUUAAAGAGAGGAAUGGAGAAAGGGAACCUUACCAAGCUUUUGCGGUGAGGACUUGCAGGUGGUGGUGGUGGAUUCUGGUGGCAGCAGCGGCAACAGCAACUCCUUGCUGAUUCCUUCGAUUCUUGGUUUUCCUUUGCUCUGUUUUCUUGUCGAAGCUCUUCCCUUUUUCCACCCCUCUUUUUUCAAUUUUUCUUCCGUCUACUCUCUGGCUCUCUCUCUCUCUUUUUGCUCUGUUUUCUUUUUCCUUUCUCCAAACCUCCUCCCUUUUUCCGUUCAGCCGAAGACCUCCUCUCCUUUUUUUCUUUCAUCCAACCAAAUUAAUGCAGUCAAAAUAUGUUCGCAUUUCAUAGCUCCUCAAAGAAAGCCGGUUCUGACCAUCCCUAACACUGUUAAUACUCCAGAUCGCAAGUGUUUCGGAUGCGAUUUGGCCAAGAGUAUUAUCUUCCCCACUGCUAAUUAACAAUCUAAUUCAUAAAUUAGUCUUUACAAUAGAAGGCUGAGCAGCUUUUGAAAGCAAAAAAAAAAAAAAAAACACAUACCGCACAAUUAGCUGAAAAGGGGGUCGGAGAAAAGUCUAAACUAAAGUCGCGGAACGAGGAGGGAGCUUGGAAGUGUUCUGACUUCGCUUCUUCGGCGAGCUUGACCUGAAGAUUGGCACUCGUCAAUGGUGCUUUAGAGGAGCAUUUUGCGGAAGCAGAAGGUGUUAGAGGUCCAGAGUUUUUCGGUGUUCACCAUAGGAAGGAAAGAUUGAGAAUGAAAUUUGUCUAAGUGUUGGAAGAGAGAAGCGGCGAGACUUUUGUUUGUCUGUGAACAACCAAAAACGACGUCUUUUUGUAGAGAUUUCAGCCACAAGCUUCGCGCCUCUUUCAGAUUUCAGACUGGCGCUCUUUUUUUUUGGCAUCUAAACACGUCUUUGAGAUUCCAGGAUUCACGCCUUUAGCUUCAUACAUCUUUUUUCUUUUUUUUUUCCCUGGUAAAAUUUUUUUUUUCAGGUUUCUUUUUUCAUACUUAAUCUCUUUUUUUUUUCUUAAUCUCAUCUAUAAAUAUCAAAUAAAUUAUUUGAUAUUGGUUUCUUUUUUGUGCAUGUAUAUAUAUGUGUGCUUGUUUGUGUCUAUAUACAUCUUUUUGGGUUUGGACAACUCAAUAUACAAAUUAUUUAUGAAAUUACCUUACAAUAAAACUUACACAAUAAAAUAUGUUUCAAAAAUUUAACAUGCAUAGAAUUGCUUAUAUACAGUAUAGCACUUCUUACUCAUGCUUAUCAUACUCUUUGUCUAUUACUUAGUUUUUAUAAUAAAUUAAAAGAAACAUGUAAUCAAAUAUUCUGUUAAAUGUGUUACAACUCUCAAUCUUAUUGCACGACAGAUAUUUUACUGAAUAAUUUUAAUUUCGUAUAUACCCAUUCCAUAUGAAAAUAAUUAUUACUUAUGAUGUAUUACACGUUAUACUAAUCUUUCACAAUGCUAACAUUAGACUACAAAUUAUAUUCAAUUACACUUUUUCAAAUUAUUUCAGUUAUUGAUUUUUGGGGGUUGUUAUAAGUAAUAAUAAACAAUUCAUGAAAAAAAUUUUAUGCUCAGACAUGUCUAUUAUGUCAACUUAGCAAAAAUUACAAAUAUCUAAAACUAGUUUGUUAUUAUAUCAUUUGCAUUUUGCUAAUACGUAAUGAAUAGGGGCUAAAUUAUAAAAUUAGGGUGUCAUAUCUUCUGUGCUUUUGCUCAUAUAAAAGAAUUGGGGGCUAAAUAAUAAAAUUAGGGUGCCAUAGUAGAAUUAGUGAAAUUUGAUGAAAAUACUAUAGAAUUGCUUAUAUACAGUAUAGCACUUCUUACUCAUGCUAUCCUACUCUUUGUCUCUUACUUAGUUUUUAUAAUAAAUUAAAAGAAACAUGUAAUCAAAUAUUCUGUUAAAUGUGUUACAACUCUCAAUCUUAUUGCACGACAGAUAUUUUACUGAAUAAUUUUAAUUUCGUAUAUACCCAUUCCAUAUGAAAAUAAUUAUUACUUAUGAUGUAUUACACGUUAUACUAAUCUUUCACAGUGCUAACAUUAGACUACAAAUUAUAUUCAAUUACACUUUUUCAAAUUAUUUCAGUUAUUGAUUUUUGGGGGUUGUUAUAAGUAAUAAUAAACAAUUCAUGAAAAAAAUUUUAUGCUCAGACAUGUCUAUUAUGUCAACUUAGCAAAAAUUACAAAUAUCUAAAACUAGUUUGUUAUUAUAUCAUUUGCAUUUUGCUAAUACGUAAUGAAUAGGGGCUAAAUUAUAAAAUUAGGGUGUCAUAUCUUCUGUGCUUUUGCUCAUAUAAAAGAAUUGGGGGCUAAAUAAUAAAAUUAGGGUGCCAUAGUAGAAUUAGUGAAAUUUGAUGAAAAUACUAUAGAAUUGCUUAUAUACAGUAUAGCACUUCUUACUCAUGCUAUCCUACUCUUUGUCUCUUACUUAGUUUUUAUAAUAAAUUAAAAGAAACAUGUAAUCAAAUAUUCUGUUAAAUGUGUUACAACUCUCAAUCUUAUUGCACGACAGAUAUUUUACUGAAUAAUUUUAAUUUCGUAUAUACCCAUUCCAUAUGAAAAUAAUUAUUACUUAUGAUGUAUUACACGUUAUACUAAUCUUUCACAGUGCUAACAUUAGACUACAAAUUAUAUUCAAUUACACUUUUUCAAAUUAUUUCAGUUAUUGAUUUUUGGGGGUUGUUAUAAGUAAUAAUAAACAAUUCAUGAAAAAAUUUUUAUGCUCAGACAUGUCUAUUAUGUCAACUUAGCAAAAAUUACAAAUAUCUAAAAAUAGUUUGUUAUUAUAUCAUUUGCAUUUUGUUAAUACAUAAUGAAUAGGGGCUAAAUUAUAAAAUUAGGGUGUCAUAUCUUCGGUGAUUUUGCUAAUAUAAAAGAAUUGGGGGCUAAAAAAUAAAAUUAGGGUGUCAUAGUAGAAUUAGUGAAAGUUGAUGAAAAUACUGUAGUAUACAGUGAUGCAAAAAGUUGUCACAAAAUUGGAACCAGGUAGACUUUCAAUGACAACAAGUUAUGUUGUCACUGUAGAGAGAGCGUUUGUGACGACUUUACUUGAGUUGUCAUAAAAUCAUUUCCCGCGGCAUCAAAUGAGAUGCGCGCCAACUAUUUCGUGACGAGUUGAGAAUGACAACUUCCAAUGUUGUCACUGAUUAUGCUUGUGCUGUACUCAUCUGUGAUGACACCUAAUGUCGUCACUGAAUUAGGUUAUCUGUGACAAGAUUUUUGUUGUCACAUAAAUUUUUGUCACUGAAAAACAUAUUUCUUGUAGUGUACCCUGUAGGACCUUUGCAUUUGUCUUUUUCGACAAACAUGUUAACAUCUUUUGGCUGUAAUGGCCAAGAUUGUAGCAGAGCGUAUUUGAAAGGAGCAGUGGAAGUGGCCCCAAGGGAGGAAACUGUCAAGAGAAGUAACGACGGUGAUGUUGGCAAUACCUUGUUCCUUUGUGCCCAGACUUUGACAGUAAUGAUAAUACAAGAUGGACUGCAAAUGGUUCAGGCGUUUUCAAAUUAAAAUCAGCCAUGGAAGCCAGCCAUCAGAGGGAAGAGACCACAUGUGGGAUGGUACGGACUGGUUUGGUGUAAGAAUCACAUUUCUAGUGUGCUUUCAUUCUGCAGUUGCUACGUAAGUGAAGAAAGAACACGGUUGAUAGGUUGCAGAAGUGGGGGUAAAGAUAGAUUCUGAAGCAUGUGUUUUCUGCUCAAGGGUGGAGGAGAGCGUAUAUGACACCUAUUUCUUGAUUGUCCUGUGACACAAAUGGUUUGGUAAAAAGCUCAAAGCAUCCAAAUACUCUUGGGCAAUUAAUACUUUCAGUCAUCAGUAUUAAACUAAGGACUAGUAUUAGCAGUAACUGUUUACAGUAUCUGGAGGGUGCGAAAUGAAGUCAGAUUCCAGUCCAAAUACAGGACUGCUGUGGGAAUUUUGGACUCCAUUGUUACUAGUCUAAUAUGCUGUUUUAUCUUGGAACAAUUGGAGAUUGCUGGUGAAAUAGGGGAUACCUACUAUUUGUAUGAGAUAGUGAGAAUCUGAGAAGAGUUUCAGGAAUACUAUAGAAGUGUAUAUAAUAGUGGAGAAAUUUCUAAAUUUAUGAUGAAAUUUAAAAUUUUUCUACAAAUGGGGCUUUUUGAGUUUGGCAUUCUGUCUAAGAGAUGUUCGCAUUUGCCGAAUGCGAGCUCACUGAGAUCGCAUUCAGCAAAUGCGAUUUAUUAUUGAAUUUCUGAUUUUGCAAAAAAAAAAAAAAAAAAAAUUUUGCUUUAGGCCUCGCGUUUGACAAAUGCGAGGUCAGGCAUCCAAAUGACAAAUGCGAGGUCAGGCAUCCAAACCUCCAUCUUUGGACUUCUGAACCAGGUCUGGCCACAUCUACGUUUCCAUGUUUCCAACAAAUUUCCUCACACUUAACAUGAAUAGUUUGCAAAAAGCGUAUAAAUGCAAAUACGAGGUCUGAAGCUUUAGUGUAUUUUAGGGAAAUAAUUUUUUUGGGUAGUCUUUUAAGUUUAUACUGUUGGCUCUGGCCUUUCAGCCAAUUCGUGUCUCAAGUUCAUUUUCCCUUUGGGUAAGAAUUUUGGUUGAAUACUACACAGCUGCUGUUGAAUUUAAGGUUGUCGACGUAGGAUUUACAAAAUAUAUUUUGACUGAUUUCAUUAAACUCACCUGACAGAUGCAAUACGAAAAAUACGAGAUAUUUUAUGCCGGUCCAAAGUAACUUUUAACCAUGGGCCCCUUUUGAUAAGUGAAUUUUUUGGGUGUUUGUCUAAAACUUUACUGUGACUUACUGUAGAAGUUUUUAAAAAAAAUUUUGAAGUGUGUUUUUUUUUUGAAUAUUUUGAAGUGUAUAAUUUAAAAAUUUUGAGAACUUUUUUGAGGUUAUGUAGCUAAAGUUUUUAAAAAACUUGUAACAAACAAACAUGGCAAAAAACUUGUCUGCCAGACAAGGUAUAUCUCGUAAUUAUUUUUGAACCAAUAAAAAAGUUUUUUUAAGUCAACAUAUAAGGGUCAUAUUUGAUUCCAUUUAAUAUGUCAAGUGAAUUUCACUUAAUAUGUUAAUUAGUAGGUCUGUCCUUGUAUAUCUACAUAAAACAUUUCUAUAAGUAUGCCAAUGCCCAAUAGUUGUUCCCUAUUCAACCACAAAGCCUUUUUUCCCCCUUGUCGAAUCAGUUUAUCGAACAAAAAUCAUGGUGCAUCCAUCGUGCCACAAGGCCUUUUUUCAUUAGAGUUUAAUGAAGGUUGCCUAACGUAGGUGACCUCGCAUUUGACAAAAUGCGAGGCCUGAAGCAAAAAAUUUUUUUUUUUAGAUUUUUGCAAAAUCAGAAAUUCAGUAAUAAAUCGCAUUUGCCGAAUGCGAACUACCUAUUCUUAGAAACCCCAACACAAACAACCCCUCAAAUAGAAAACUUUUUUUUUUCAUAAUAGUUUUAGAAUUUUCUCAUAAUAGUGACAUUUUGGGUGUAAACUUUAGAUGGAGGGGAAGCCAAAGAUUUUGGAUGCUGAUUAGUUGGUUGCAUUAUAGAAGUAUUAUAGAAAUUUCAGUGAACGUUGUUGGCCAUACCAUAGUUCGUAUUUUAAGUUUCUAAUAUUUUUGUCAUUCACUUUGCAUGAAUUUUGCGACUUUUGCGACAGAUAACACUGGUUUUGGACUUACACUUAGUAAGACCCUAACUUUUCUUCCUUUUUUUUUUUUUUGAAGAGACAUCUAGGCAUUACAAAAAGAAGGGGGAAAAUAGAACAUAAUUUUCCUUGUCAUCAAGCAAAAAAUAAAGUAAUUUUCUUUGCUAUGAUAACUUUUAGAAACAAAAAAUAGGAAGAGAACAAAUUUCUUGAAAAGUAAUUAUGUGUAUCUAAGUAAUGGACUAUUGGCCUUUAACAAACAUAAAUUUAAUAACAGGUAAUUUUCUACUGCAAGUGUUAGUGAUGAAAAUUUUGCACUAAAAGCUUCGCCUAAGUCAACUAAGCUCUCCCACAUAUUGGACAGCUAUUUACAGCCACCUUGCUUGAUGCCUCAACCUCAUCACCUCAACGGCUCAACCAGAACACUUUUUCUUUUCUCCUUUAAUAUAUAUUGGCUUUUAUUGUACUUGUUUUGUCCAUAGACUACAAAAAGUCUUAGAGAAAAAUAGAAUCAAUUAUUUCAAGUACAUGUUUAUGCCAUAUUACAAUAUAUAUGAAUCACUUUUUUAAAAAAUAUAACAACAAAUUAUUGGAAAUAAAUCAAGAAAGUUGCAGAUCAGCUUUGGCAUAGUAUUUGAAAUCUGUUUAACAGUACAACCUUUGUGGUCUUAGGGUUGUUGUCUUUAUUGGUAUUCCUAACACUAAACUAAAUGGCUGCUAGGGUUUCGGGCUGCUAGGUUGUGGCUGCUAAGGUUUUGACAGAAGCCAUGGUAGCAGAGGCUGCCCUCCCACCUCGAGGGGGGGCACCUUGAAUCUUUGUCUCCGUCUUUCAGGAAGAAGGUCUUUUCAGAGUUAUUCGCUAACAUCGCGCCAAUGCAGGUUCAUGCGACUACGUCGACUCAUCGGGGUGAGCCGGCAGUGGUCUUCAAGGCUACUGAUAUGAUAGCAGUAUCAUUCCCAUUCCGAUACACUCUGGUAGGAAAGUUCUCAAAGGGUAGGCUGGUAAUGCCAAAGCUACGAAAAUUUUUCACUACGUUGGACUUGAAGGAUGCGGUUACAGUCGGUCUGUUGGACGGCAGGCAUGUCUUGAUCACUCUCAAGAACGAGGUAGAUUUUGUGGUGACCCCACUUCCCCCUAAGACGAACCAGAGGGUUGGCGGGCCGUCUGCCUAGCUCUCGCCAGGACUCACACAAGCAAUCUAGCCCAAAUCCUUCCGAAAAAUAACCUAAGCUAUUACAACACCGUUUCCUUCCAAAUAGACUGAUAACUAAAUCCUCAUUAACUUCAAAGAUAACAACAUUUUUAAGAUAGCCAAUCGUCGACUCUUAAAUACCUCACGCGUUACAAACCAGGCAACAAAAACAUACAAUCCAAAUACAUUAGUACAAGCCAAAUAACAAAUCCAGGGUUUACACUUUUCCAGCUUCAAGCAGCAAUCCAACAUAAAAGAUACAAUGUCUAACUCAAACUACAUGCAUAAAAGUGAAAUUAGAUUUCAAGUCUUGCUCAAGUGCCAGAUCCUGUCAAGGAAAACAAAAUAACGUGGGGUGAGCUAAAGCUCAGUGGUGCCCCAAAACAUGCAAUCAAAUAAACAAAUAACAAGUAUUGAUUUCGACUAUAGUACACAAACAGGAAAGCGAAUAGCAGGACAAGGUAGGAUACAGGGGCUCUCAGGAGCCAUUCUCCUCGCUUGAUCAAAAGUCAUCGUAGUUGACCCUCCGUCAACUCUCACUACUUACGGUCCAUGUAGAUCUUUUUCUUUUUCUUAACCCGUCACCAAUCAUACCCCUGUCCCGGGCCCGAACACCAAAUAAGAAAGCGGUAAUACUCGAGUAUACCCUUUGGAUAAACUAGUCGAGAGAUUCACUCAACGACGUCACGAAAUAAGAAAGCAGUAAUACUCGAGUAUACCCUUUGGAUAAACUAGUCGAGGGAUUCACCCAACGACGUCACAACACUUGAGAUAUUCACGAAAACAUUUCACACAAGUCACCACUCGAACGGCUAGUGUGAUAAAGUACACACUGCUCACUUCGAUGGAUCAAAAACCACUUUGCAACUAUCAUAUAUCGAGUCAAGAAAGCACUGUAACCACAUAGUCAUAAAACAAGCAGGGACACUCACCAAGAGUGAAGUCACAAGUCAAGCUGGGAAUCAAAAUCUGCGUCCUCGCUAAAUCCUAGAAAACCAAGUUUUAAGAACUAUAAGUUUUCUAUUCAAGUUCUAGGUUUAUAAAUAUAAAAGAUUCUCUAGAAUAUAAAUAGUUUAUUUUUUCGAAAUAAUUCGACAAUCCACUUAAGGUUAAAAUUAGUAAAAGUAGAAAAAUGUUUCAUAUGGCUUUCUUCAAAAUACUUUUCUUUUUAAAGGUGCAACUAGAGCUACUUUACUGGAAUACGUUAUCUUGCCGAGCAAGUUUUCCUCUAGAACAACUAGCCUGGGACAAAUUUUAAGGAAAGAAAAGAAAGUAAAACAAGACUUAGGGUCUUAGAAACUAGUGAAAUCAUUUUCUAAAAAUAAUAAGGCUAGUUUAAGCUAAAGGAUGAAAUAUCGAGUCGGCAAAGUUUAGAAAAUCCCUACACAAGAAUUUCUAAUGUUAACGUAUAAUACUAAGUUUUAUUGUUCAAUAUUAGAGCGAAGAUAUAUUUAAAUAGCUUGCUUAAAACUUUCUCAAGUUCACAGGACCAAAACGGAUUCCUUACGAUUCCGAUUCACAAGCACGUAAUAUUUCAGAUUUGCCAAUAUAGCGAACUCACAUUUCAAAUAGAAACCUCACUAGGGCUUCGUCAAUCAUUAGCCCUAGGUUUCAACAAAUUCAUUUCUGAUAAAAAAUUAAACAAAAGACCAAGGCUUCGUCAAUCAUUAGCUCUUGGUAUCCAACAUUCUCAUAUCAGAUCACAAUUGAACAAAAUAAAUGCAAAGCCUCCAAGCAAUUCCGUCGACUAAACCGCAAGGGUUUUGUCAACCAAGUGGAUGUAAUAACAAGCAACUCCAGCAGUUAAUUUCAUCAAAACCGUAAUGCUCGUAAAAAUUACUCAAAUAGCCAAGGGCUUCAUCAAUCAUUAGCCCUUAGCAUCCAACAAUCAUUUCUUAUAGCAAUAUAGCCAAUAAUUCAAUUGUUUAGAAUCACUAACAGGUACAUGAACACAGGGACAAAAUUUGCAACACUAUCUUAUCCAAGAUUUCAACCAAAAUCUCAUUGUUUGUAACCAAAUGCAGAUUAAACAUUUUCCAGCAAUUUUUAUUCCAAAAUAUCCAUUCCAAUGCCAAGAAUUUCAUCUCAACAUUUUAGUCGUAAUAAAAAUCAAAUUAUCAAUCGUAUCAGAAGUUUCACAUCUACGCAGCUUACUAGGCUUAAAACACACAUUUCUCAUGCAUUUCUAAACUGUUAUAUUCCAAGGAAAAUUCCAAAUCACAAACCCUGGUCCUUCUAAGUACGUUUCAACCAACCACUUGAACAAAUUCACCAAAAAUUAAAUUCUUGCAAAAACUACUCAAAUGGCCAAGAGCUUCGUCAAUCAUUAGCUCUUGGUAUCAAACAAACAUUCCUUGCCAUAAACAACAGAAAUCUAACUCAAGUAUAAAAGAUAAGUCACGGCUAGCUUACAUUCAAAUAACUCUAGAAGUUCAUACUUUCCUUUCUUUGAUAAUCAAGAAAAAUUCUAGCAAAUGUCAAUUCAAGAUGUCUAUUAAAUCUCCAUCUCUUACUUGCUAAGUGCACUAAACUCUUAUCAUGCAAAAGAAAAUUAGCCAACCACGAACUACUCUUAACGUCCAAUACGAGAGUCUUAGCUAAAAAUUCGAGAGAAACUAGUUAAAUGUUCAACCCAAAACAAGAAGAAAAACCACAGCCAACUUGACUGCCAAAUAACUCUAAAAUUCAGAUUUUUCUUCAAUUUUUACUUAACAACAUACAAAAGGUGAUUAGCAAGCUACAAGUAAAUCUUAAACAUUCCAUAUGAAAAUCUUAGUUAAAAUUCAAAGGAAAACGAAUUAAAGGCUCAACCUCUUCUUUCGGCCGCAAUUCAGCUUUCUUUUCUUUCUCCUUUUUUUUUAAUUAAACACGACUCAUCUCAGCUUCAUGCAUGAUCAAAAUAAUUAACUAUCAAUCAGCUUUGAUCCAGUCCAAGUGCAGACAUCAUAAAAAAAUCAUCCAACCAGAAAUUUCAUUCCAACCCACUCGAUUGACAUGCAUGCAUCCAGAUUUUGUUUUCCUUCAAAUUUCUGGUUUACACACUACUAAUAAAUCUCAUGCAGGGCUUAAUCAUCCAGUAUUUAGUUAGCUAAACACGCAACCAAGUGAGAAUCAAACACUUUCGAGCAAAUUUCAUACUAGAAUACCCAUACAAUUCCCAAAACAACUCCAUCGGCUAAGCUGGAAGAUUAGUUUAGCAGUCCAGCAACUUCCAAUUAAAUUUUCCAGCCAUGCAACCGAAUUCCUGGCCAUAAAGUUCACAUGCAACACCAAAUAAAGGCUAUCUAUUAGAUUGGGUCCAAAACUAAGCUCAGAUCAUCACAAAUUAACAAAUUAAAACUGAAAUUUCCAGCUCAAGCUCUCGGCAACUUCAAUUCCUUCUCAAUCAGAUUUUUUUGUGACUUAAUCUAUCAUCUAACCACACAACCACCACAUGCAAGCCUAUAAUCAACAUCAUCUACCCUUAAAUAAAGGCUAUCUAUUAGAUUGGGUCCAAAACUAAGCUCAGAUCAUCACAAAUUAACAAAUUAAAACUGAAAUUUCCAGCUCAAGCUCUCGGCAACUUCAAUUCCUUCUCAAUCAGAUUUUUUUGUGACUUAAUCUAUCAUCUAACCACACAACCACCACAUGCAAGCCUAUAAUCAACAUCAUCUACCCUUAAACAACUAAUCUAGUUCCAGAAAUUACCUCGGCUUGGAGUUAACACACACGGCUAGCAGUAGAAAUUAAUUUCCUCCCUCUCGGCAAUCCAGAAAUGCAGCCGGCUAGCUCUUCCUCUCCCUUGCUUCAACUUGCGACUAGGAUGUAGAUAAUAUGGCUCUCAAUCUCUUCACCAGCUCACGGAUAGAAGGUAAAUGAACAGCUAGUCUCUCUCUUCCCUCUCUAGUUUACGGACAGAAAGAAAGAAAAAUAAAAGGCUCGGCUCUUUCUCUCUUGCUCUCUACUCUCAGCUCAGCUCACAGCAGCAAGGAGUAAUAGAAGUGAGGUGUUGUGGUAAUUUGUAAAUGAUAUAGUGGAGUGUGGGGUAGUGGAAUGUAUAUAUAUAUAUUGAGGUGUUUAAAAUGGAGCUAAGUCGGUACUAGGAAUGGAAGGCAAUCCGGCAGAGGUGAAGGUGUUUAUGUUUUAGAGUUGGCCAAUGGGCUUUGGUGGUUGCAUGGCAAAUCCGAGGUGGUGGAGGGCUAAUUUGGUCCUUUCACAUCUUAUCCGAAUUUUCACUUAAGUCAUCAUUCUUAAUCUAAUUCCACAAUUUACCCCAAAUGAAAUUUGACUACUUACUAGUAUACUAUUCUUGCAAAAAUUCAAUUUUUGAGACUUUUAUGUCUUAGGUAUGCUAAGUGUACUUGUGAUGGUUUUGUCUAAAAUAUAUUGACUUCGUCUAGACGCUAAGGUUCCUGUUAACACUUAAUUAUUAUAAACGCUUAAGAUUAGCUAUCGGAAUACAAAGAAUUUAUUUUAAGACUAUGAAAUAAUCUACCUCACGAGAUGUUAAUUUAACUUAACAAAACCAAGUAAUUUAAUAUUUUAGCACAAUUAUAUUAUUCGUAACCUAAACAUUCUUUGUAUUUUAGCACAAAUAUUUUAGCACAAAUAUUUUAGUAUAAUAUUUUACACACUUAUUUAAGAUCAAGUAAAAAUAAAAAUGAAGUUUAGUAACAAUCUAAAAUGCAGGUGCAAUACAUAUAUUAUAUAUAUAUAUAUUAUUUUUUCACUAUUAUAUAAUUUGUAACAUGAGAAUUGUUUUCACGUACUCAAUUAAGAACAAGUAUAAAUAAAGCUAGACUUUAUUUAAGAAUCAAAAUGCAAAUGAAAUAUGCAUAUAGAUGAAGGUAUGUAUGUAGGCAUUUUUUCGAGAUUCUCACAGAUUUCUUACGGGUUUGGUCUAGAAGUAUUUGGUAUGUUUGCGGUUGCUCCAUGAGAGUCUUUAAAUGGACACCAAAGUUCCAUGUGGACAGAGAAUCCUCUUUGGUUCCUGUUUGGUUUAGGUUGCCUAAGUUACCAAUUCACUUGUUUGAUAAGCAAUGCCUGUUUCAUAUUGUUUCCUGUCUGGGUACCCCCCCUAUUUGUUUGAUGUCGCAACUGAUUCACUACAAGAAUUUUGGUCAUCAGUGAUAACUACUUUUCGUCACAAAUAAUCAAAAAGUCGUCACUGAUGACCAUUAUUGACAACAUUUCAGUUGUCGCAAGGUCGUCACUGAAUCUCCGUCGGUAAAAGUAUACAGUGACGACUUUAAAGUCGUCAGUAAAUAGAACCUUUUUUAUGACAAUCUAUGUCGUCAGUAAAAGAUGAAAUUAUACAGUGACGACCUUAGAGUCGUCACUGAAUGAAACUUUUAAUGACAACAUAUGUCAUCAGUAAAAGCUAUAAAUCUAGUGACAACACCUUCUCUUGUCAGUGAUGCAAGUGAUGCAUGAAGGGACGAUAGUGAGGGCAUAGGGGAAUUAGUGACGACUUUGUUGUCAAUAAACCCCUGAUCAACUGUGACAACAUUCCCUUAUCAAUAGACAGUUUUGAUUGAGUGAUAAUAACAAUUGUCAAUAAAGACAUCCUGCCUAGAAAAAUACUACUCAUUUACAACACCUUACACAUGACUUUCCUACUGCAAUAAUAUCUAAAAAAUGAAAAUAUCAGCAAUGUUUAAUAAAUAACAAAUGUAGGCACCGUUACAAUAGAAUAUGCCAAAAUAAUAUAUUAAAUAUUCAAAUGUCAUAAAUAAGUGCAACAUCAUAGUACAAAUAGUUUCAUAAGUUUGAGUAGAACAAAUACUACUCAUAUAAGUCAAGGCUGCACUAAAAAACAUAUUCCAAGUCCCAAAACAUUUCCUACGCUUCUGAAACAUUUUCUAAACUUAAGACAGCACUAUAACCACAGUUUUUGAGCCGACAUGUAAGCCGUACUGCUAAUCUUCUUCGAAACCUCCAAAAUGAGCAAUAUAUCUGCAAUAAAGUAGUAAAGUUAUUAGUAAAGUUAUCAGGUGACAAAAGCAAAACAGUCUCUAAUUGCUAAAUAAACAACAAAAGUAACAAGCAUUCACUAAUCUGAUACCACCGUAAUGAAUGCAGCAAUUGCAGCAGAAAUAGAGUGAUAAGGGGGAGAGAAACUAGACUUGAGGAAGAAGAAAGAGAGAUAUUAUUCAAAAUGAUAUUUCCAUGUUGCCCAAUCCAGAUUUCUGCAUUCUUAUACAGCUCAAGAAUAACAAAAUAACUACUUGAUUGUUGACUCAGCACAACAGUCUAACUAACAAGGAAGAUUCCCUUUAACUACAUGAAGGAAAUACAUUUCGCAUGUACUAAACUGGUAUUCUUCAAGUGAAGUACUAUACUAGAAAUACAUUAAUUCUUUAAGUUGAAACUGACAAUCCACUGCAGAGAGACCAAACAGUACUAUACUGGUAUUAAAGGCUAGACGGACACAAAUUAAUGGAAGGGGAGAAGAUGGAGAAGGGGAGAGUAUGUGUAACAGGUGAGCAAGGAGGACUAGGUAGGUAGGUGACAGUUCUUCUCAUGGCUGGUAAGACAUAACAAAACUGUUUACCCCAAUGAAGAAAAAGCAAUCUUUAGAACUAAAGUCUGUAGAGCUGAAUCGGAUUCCACCCUGCAUGCCAUCCGGAGGAUUGUAAAUGGAUUGAUGGUCUGUGGAAAAAAAAAAAUUAGUGCACAGGAGUAUGUGUAGGAGGAAAGAGUUGGUGGAUUGGAUUGAUGAUCCGAAUUUGAUUGCUGAAGACAUUGGUGGGGUAGAAAAAUCUUGUUUCUGCAAAUUUUGCCUGGAUGUCAAGAAAUGAUAUGUUUUUGCUGCAAUGGAUGGAAACAGGGAAAAACUGGGAACUGUGAUAAUUGCAGGCCUUAUCUACUACACAAGAUACCUUGGAUGACUACCAAAGAACGAGUGUUAACAGUUGUAAAGAGGAGGUUUGUCACAAAUGAAGACCAAUUUUGGCAUCAGCAAUGUUUCUUUAAUCUGUCAAAAUACUGUCAAAGAUGAAUAAAUCUUCUGUUUUGUUCGUCCAUCACUACUAUACUACCACUCUGCUAUACAAGAGGAAUAUUCCUUUUAGAAUAGUCACGUAAUCAAAUCAGUAAUCUUACAAUACAAGUCAGCGAUUGAUAAAAUGUUUACGUAAUCAAAUGCAGUAUUCUCCCAACCCAACACAAGUCGGAGAUUGAUUAAAUUGUUCACUUAACACUUGGGACUGUAUAUCUUGUUCCGUCAAAAGUUUUUAGCUAACUCAUUGGCCAUGAAAAGUUUUUAGCUAACUCAUUGGCCAAAUGACAAUAAUAAUCUUUUCUAUUCUUUAGCCCUUCUGUGCUCCUCAAAUUAAUAUCAUGAAACAGAAACACUAUUGAAGCUUUUUUUUUGUGUAAUGUUAUUGUUUCAUGAUAACAAAGCUAUGAUAAAGCCACAAAUGUACUCCCAGGAUCAAAACACCAUCUGAUUAGAACCUUGUGUUGACAGAAGUAAUUCUUAAAUGUCCCUCCUCAGUCUUGAUAUUACAAGUUAAUAUUGUCACCUACCAAUAACUAAUUUGCAAUAACUUAUGUUAACUUUAAACCAUAGCAGCCAUUAUAUCUAUUUAGACAAGUAUAUAUAGUUGAAAAAUUGCUUACCAAUCAGUUCGUUCAGAUGUGCCUUCAUCGAAAUGGAUAGGAACAAAAGGUUCCGAAAUGGGACUCAAAUCAAUAUUCAACAUUAAUUGGUUCACAUUUUCCACAAGUCAACAUCCCAUUUUUUUUAAUCUGGAUUUGCUUUGAAAGCAAAUUGAUACACAAAUCCAAGAUAAAAAUAAGAAGAAAACGAGUGAAAUAUUUCCUCAAUAAGGACAGUCUUCAUCCAGCAUUUGCUGUGAUUGAGUUAUUAUGGGCCAUAGUAGCACCAUCAAAACUAUAAGUUCUUUAGAAAACCAUUAAACUUUCCUAUUUCAUCCUAAAGUUCAUGAAAAAUCUAUCCACAAAUCAAAUGAAAACAUACCAAGGAAAAAUAAUAUGUCAAAAGGAUAAAAAUGAUUAAUCUUUUCAAUCUUAUGGGCCAUAGUAGCACUAAACCCAAAUUAAGGGGUUAAAGUACAAUUCUUUGAACAUUCCCAUGCAAAAUGCAUGCAAAAUGCUACGACCCAGCUUCUGCAGCAACAAACCAAAAAAAAACAACUUCCAGCAUGCUAAAAAGUGAAUUCCCUAUGAUUUCAUCCGCAAGCUUCAUUCAUAAACCUUCAGCAAGCGAAACUUUGAACUAACUUUAAUUAAAACAAGACUAAACAACACCUGACAAGGCAAUUAUGCAAAUUAACUGAGAAACAAACCUCUGCAACUACUUUCUAUACUUCAGAAAUUUUUUUCUUUUCUUCCCCAACCAUUCUCAUGCAAUUUCUUUAUUCAACUUAGAUGCAUUCAUGCGAACAAACCAAGAAAAACUUGAUUGAUUUGUUAACUAAACAGAAAACACCGGAGCUUGGAAUCAAAAAGAAAGAAGAAAGGAAAAAAAAGGACUGUCGAACACAGCCUACAUCCAAGCAAUCACAGCUUUGAAUCACAGGCCCUUAAAACAAACUUAAAUCAUGGACAAGAGCGAAAACCACCCAAAGUUAGCAGCUCACAUUACUUCAGUUUCACGGGAGAAACUGAUACACCAUAUACAUAAGCUCCCCAUCAAAAGAUACAAAGCACAGCUUUAAGAAAGAACAAAGGAGCAUCCAAAACUUCAGGUUCCUAAAAUUUCCUAAAGGUUUCUGGGCUCCGGCAGACCGAAGCUUUCUUUGCUCCCACAAAGCAAGCUCUUUCUGCUGCAACAAUUGCAGCUCAAACCCAAACAGAUUCAGCAGCCAAACCGACAUUAACUUUUGUAAACUCAUAAUCAAAAUGCCAUGUUGUACAUACAAGAGGAUAAGAGCUAACAAAGUGAAAGUUUGCAAAUUCUAAUUCAUUCAAAAGGUCUCCACCAGUUCUGAAUUUACCUAUGGGAGUUCACUUAAUAAGUUAACACUCACACUUGGUCGGCAUUAUGAAAAGGAAAACAGCAGUGAAAGUCUUGUUUCAUGGUAAAGCAAGUCAAAAUCUCUCAAACGGGCUCUUAAGCAAAACUCCACAGAAACGUAAGAAAACAGUUACUUAAACAAGUGAACGAACAGGAGCACAACAGAAGGUAGCAGGCUUACUGAUUGCUGUUUUAAAUCGUAGCAUACUCAUAUAUGAGAUUAUUAUCAAACAACAAACCAACCAAAAAGGAAAUUCAAACCAUUCCAGAAACUUCAACAAUUCAAAAGAUCAAAAUUUUUAUUGCUGCAGCAGGACAAGGAGCACCGUCCUUGUUGCAGCAACUCUCAGCUACUGGAAUUGCUCGCAUAACAGCGAGGGAAUGGGAAAAGAGGACAGUGUGCCUUUAGUUCAAGGCUAAUGACUUUCUAAACACAGCCUUGAUAGCUGAUAUGUUCAUAGUAUCCCACUCCAGUUGCAAACGAAAACAAGAUUAUCAAAUGAAACCACAACUUUAGCAAUCCCAGAAAGAAAAGACUGCUGCAACAAGCCGAUAACUUCGAGCUUGUCGCAGCGCAUCCUUCGAUUGGACUCCAAAGGCCCUAACAGACCCAGGUUAUGCAAAUAAGGACCAAAGAUGUAGUCUUUGGCUUACCAGAUUGGAGAAAGUUAAAACCUUUGGAUCAAACAACAAACACAACAUCACAUCAAACGCUAUCUCAGCGACCGAAAGGCCAAAAAAGAUUAUAAAAAAAAAAGUACCGGAAACAGUUGCAACAAGCAAAAGGUUUCAUCUUGUUGCAGGGGUUCUAACAAAACCAUUAAUCACUACCACAAGUAAAGGAAUGGAACGUUGAAACAGGAAAUUUAUGUGAUUUUUCUGAUUUUGGCCUGUCAAAACAUAAGAGGGCAACCAUAAACAUCCAACGAAAGACCUCAUGGGUUCAUCAUAGACUGUACCAAGAACCUUAAAAUCAUAAGUAUGGCAAGGCUACCUCGUCAUCGUCAAACAGAUAGAUAAGAAGUAACAUACCUGGACAGCAAAAAGGAAGCGGAUUGGAAAGAUCUUUAGCGGACAGAGUUGCCCUUCAACGAUGAUGGAAACCGAUGAUGGAAAGCGAUGGUUUUCUCCUUCACUCGCUGCUUUCCCUUUCCUUUUGCUUAGAAUUUCUCAGCCUUACUCUCGGCUCUCUCGGUUUCUCUUCUCAGUUUUUCCUUCUUGUUUCAGUCUUUUUCCUCUCAGCUCCAACACCUUGCUCCCCUGUGCUUCCUCGACAUAAAUAGAGGGGGCAAAAGAUUGGAAAAAAAAGGAGAAAAGCAAAUGUAGUAGGGAUUUGGAAAAAUUGGGGAAAAUGUAGUAGAAUAUUAGGGAUUUGGAAAAAUUGGGGAAAAUGUAUAGGAAGCUCUGUUUCAGCUCAGUGCAGAAGCUUGUUUGUGUUUCAGACCAAGUGUUCCGUUGCUUUUGUUUUCAGAAUGUGUUCCACUGCUUUGGUCUUUGCUUUGCUUUGGAUAUUGUUUUUGUUGCGCGGCACUUUCCUAUGAUUUGAUCAAAAUUUUGACUUCACUCAUUUUCCCCCCAUUUGAUACCAAAAAUCAUGUUUUUUUCUGGAUUUGUAAUAUGGUUUGAACCAUAGAUUUUAAUGCUAUAGUAUUAUUCUUUAUUUUUUUAGCAAAAAAUAAAAAUUUUCAUCAACAUAGGUGGCAAAAUUUGUUAAUUUCAUAUAAUUGAAAAUGUACUUUUAUAAUUUGCUAAUAUUUUAUACUAAUUUCUUAUAAUUGCAGCACUAAAGAACAUCAUGUAAUUCAAAAUAAUUAAACUCAAAUUAUAUCGUUAUAACAUAGUUUCAAUAAAAAUAAUCAUUUUCCCAACAUUUGAGACCAAUCAUCAUGCUUUUUUUUAUUUUUAAUUUGGUUUGAAGCAUAGAUUUUAUUGCUAUAGUAUUAUUCUUUAUUUUUUAGUACAAAAACACAAAUUUUCAUCAAUAUAGGUGGCAAAAUUUGUUAAUUACAUAUAAGUGAAAAUAUACUUUUGUUCUUUUUCAAACAUUUAUUUUAAUGUUUAAUUUUGUUUAAAACUAUUGUACUAGUAUAGAUUUGCAAGACAAAACUUAAGUUCUCAAUAGUUAAAAAAUUCAUUACAGAGAAAACACAAAGUAGUAGUUGCAAAAUGUGUAUAAAUUACAGAUAUUUUAAUGUGUAUAAAUUACAGUUUAUUUUAAUGUUUAAUUUUGUUUGAAACUAUUUUACUAGUAUAGAUUUGCAAGACAUAGAUUUAUGGGUAAUUUCUUUUUUUUUUGCUUUCACAUAUUUAAUUUAUGUUAAAUACAAAACCUACCAGUUUCCCUUUCAUAAAAAUAUUAGUGCAACACUUUUUGAAUUUUACUUACAAACAUUUAUGUAUUUAACAUAAAUUAAAUGAUUCAGAGUGAAAUGCCCAUAAAGAGCAGAAUAUUUGUUCAUGUAAUGGAGGAAACCCACAAAGAGUUGGUACUUUAUGGGCCAUUUCUUUUUUAAAAAAAAUUUAAUUUAUAUUGAAAAGAUAACCUACCAGUUUUCGUUUUGUAAGAAAUCAGUGUAACACUUUUUGAAUUUUACUUACAAACAUUUAUAAAUUUAUCAUAAAUUAUAUGUUUGAGAGUAAAAUGCCCAUAAAAAGUUGGUACUUUGAAUAGAUAAUGCUCAUUUGCCCAUAAACUGCACUCCCUGAAGGCUAUUUUGUUAAUUACUUUGUAGUACUUUGUUAUUCCUUUGCUAAUACUACUUGGCAUGUAGUACAAAGGAUAAAUCUGGCAUAAAUUUCUUAUUCCAUUGAUAAAAAGACCUGCCUGCUUUAUAACUAUUGUAAUGAAAGAUAUAUCUUUAGAGUUUAUAACAAAUUAUUACUUAAGUUUGAGAAAAUUAUAAAAUAUUUAUGCAUAGUUUAUCAAGAUACCAUUCGCAAUUUUCUAAUAAAAAAAUAGGGACUAAAUUGUAAAAGCUAGGGUGCCAUAAUAGAAAUAAUAAAAUUGGUGUAUUACAUAUGGGUGUUAAAUUGCAAAAGUUAGAGUGCCAUAGUAGAAUUAAUGAAAUUAGUGAAUUACAUAUGGGGCUAAAUUACAAAAGUUAGGGAGUAAUAAUAGAAUUAAAAAAAUCGGUGUACUACAUAUGGGGCUAAAUUGUAAAAGUUAAGGUAUCAUAAUGGAAUUUUUUACAACAUUUGGGGCUAAAUCGCAAAAGUUAGGGUGGCAUAGUAGAAUUAAUGAAAGUGACUUAGAAAUAAGUACUUUAAACAGUGACGAUUAAUUCUUGUCACUAAAUCUGAAUCGGUAGAGUGACAGUGACGAUAUUAGAAGUUGUCACUAUAUAGAUCAUUUUAGUGACAACUUUUUCAAGGUCAUCACUGAAGACUUAGUUGCUUUGAGCAAUUAUGACAACUUUCCUUGUCGUCACUAAAAAUGUUGUCACUAAAAUGUUGUCACUAAUGAACAUAUUUCUUGCGGUGUAGUUUGUGACGAAAAUAACGGGUCGUCACUAAACAUUUAGUUGCUUUGAUGCAAUUGUGACAACUUUAGGUGUCGCGACUAAAGAAAUACUUUUUGUGACGACUUAUUGUCAUCACUAAAAAUUGUUGUCACUAAUAAAUUUUUUUUAUAGUGAUCAGUGACGACAACUAAAAGUCGUCUGUAAAUAGUCCAAGCAAUAGUGAUGAUGUUCUUAAUGUCGUCACUAUUGUGUGUUCUAAACACUCCCGCACUCUUGCUAAAUCUUGCCGGGAAUUUACUAGUGACUACUUUUCUAAGUCGUCACAAAUGAGUUGGCUCCCAUUAGAGGUUUGUGACGAGUUAGAAAGUCGUCAAUAAAGGAUCCACUUUUGUGACAACUUUUUUUCGUCACAGAGAAAAGUUGUCACUGAUGACCAAUUUUCUUGUAGUGAUUCUUACUCUCGAUCGAAUUUGGCUAGAGUUUGUGUGGAGGUAGAUUUGUUGAAGGCCUUACCGUCAAGGGUGUGGCUGGAUAUGGGGGAUGGAGAUGGUUUCUGGCAAUCGCUACAACCUGAAAAUCUUCCGCAGUAUUGUACUCACUGCUAUAGGCAGGGACAUGGAGAGGGUCAAUGUCAUGUGAAAUACCCGGAGUUGAGGCAGUCUCAACGGGAGUCACGUCACAAGGAUGAUUUGGAGCUGCCUAAGCCUGUGCUUGAGUCACAGGGUAAGAGGAUGCGUGCAACCUAGGGGAGUCAGUCGCCCAAUCCGGAGGCUGCACUAGCGGCUAGGCAAAUGGCAUCCUCGGGUUUGGAAGGUGGAAUGAUUGCGGAGAUGGGUGGGGCUGUCCCUGAAUCGCCUCAGAUACCACGGGCUGCCCAGUUGCAGCAGACGUCAGUUCAGCAGUGUGAGGCUAGGGUUGUGGAGUCGGUGGGUCUGGAGGGUGGGGAGCAGCCUGCGGCUGUGGCUGAAGCAAUGCUUGGCGCUGCUGUUAUAGCCCAGCGCGCAGCCACAAUCCUCCCUGCGGCAGUGGUGUAUUCUGUCAUGCCAACCUGGCUCGUCAAGGAGGCUCCUAGCUGCAGCAUUGAUGGUGCGGUUGAGGUUGGUGAGCAGCGUUUACCGGCGUGUAUCGAAAAAGGAUCGGAGCUGGAUGGUUUACUCAUGACAGGAAUGCUACAGGUGGUUUUACCACUUCCGGAGGCGCAGGAGCAGUCCAUCCCUUCUGGAGAGCUAAGAGGGGGAGCUUCAAGGUAGGGCGGAGAUGGCAUUGGAAGAGGAGCUUCAGCUCGUGGAGAAGAUCACAGGGAGCUUGUCUCCAUGACAGAGGGAGGGUAAUGCUAGUAAUGCGGAAUCAUCGUCGGUGUUGGAUAUUUUCAACCUGGACCCCAUAAUCCAGCACGUACAACAUGAUGUGCAGCACCUAGAGGGCUUUCAAUUGGUGGGUCAACACAAGAUGAAGGGGAUUCGGGCAAAGUUUCCUUCAGACCGUUCUUUACGCUCCAAGAGUAAGUCAUCCAAUAAUUCUUUCGCAACUUUGUCAGAUGAUUAAUUAUCUCUUCUGGAAUAUACGGGAUGUAUCACGCCCUCCUAAUUUUCGUCAAUUGAAACAUCUAAUUCGACAUCAUUCUCUGCCACUGGUGGCUUUGUGUGAGCCUAAAUUGCCUGCAACUUCUGCUAAUAUCCAGUCCAUUCGUCUAAGACUUCACAUGGACUCGGCCUUGAUAAAUAGUACUGGCUCAGUAUGGGUGUUUUUCUCAAGUGCAGUAUCUUGCUCAUUUGUGGGUGAGUCGGAUCAGCACUUGUCCAUAAAAAUUAAUUCCCAGCUACUACCCUUCCUUAUGAUAUUUUUUUUUGUGCAUGCUAAAUGUACCGUGGCUGAGCGAGAGGGCCUUUGGGCUGGGUUGCCCAAGGAUAAGGAAGCGUCGGAGCCUUGGUUUAUUGUAGGGGAUUUUAACGUAAUUACAGGAGAGGAGGAAAAGAAAGGGGGGUACCGGUUAGACUUUGUGACAGGUGCCGAACCUGUGUGCAAUAAUAAUAAAUAAAACCUAACUACCACCUGAAGUAGUCAAUAAUCAAUUCUAGUACUGGAGCAGGGACUCUAGGUGUGCAAUGGAUUACUUGAUUCACCCUGUUCUCGAAGAGUUUGCUUGAUCCGAUAUACUUGAAUUAAUUAUUUAACCGAAUUCACUAACUAGUAGACAGUGGCAAGCAGGGUCGUCUUCUCAGGGACUAGCAAGAAAUUUGUUCCUUUUCAAGUAAAGAUCAAAGGGGGGUUUUUGGGAUAAAAUGCCAAUUAAAUAAAUAAAAUGCAGAAAAUAAUUAAUUCAAAGAAAUAAUUAGAGAAACUCCAGCCAAGGGUACACUUCAGAAAUGGUUCAGACACUGAUCAUCGAUUCACAGAUAAUUCCAACAGUUAUCAAUAGACUAGUUAUAGUUGUCAUGCACGCGAUAAACAACCAACCUUUCCUUAAUUUCUCGAUAGCUAAGGUAUGACCGUUAACUAUUUUUCUAACCCAGAAACAACCCUAGGUAUGACCGUAAGAUUUAAUUUCUAGCUUGCAUUAAUAAUUAGAAAGACUCAAUCCUAACUAACAAACACGCUAUGAGGGUUUGUUUAAGUUAGAUCGUAUAUCCCCCUGACAUAAACCCAAUUACGCCAGUUGCUACUAAGACAGUGAUAACGAACAAUUACGGAUUCAAUUACCCCUAUUUAGCAAAAUAGCCUAUAUGAAUAAUUAAUUAUUGCGCACCAACCAAUCACACACAAGGGUAUAACAAUUAAAAGCAGGGAACAUAUAAAUAUCAAUAAAUGAAGAAAAUAAUUAAAAGCGAUUUAGAUCUCACAGUAAUUGCCGAACCAAUUCGUCAGUGCCCCUUGACUAGAAUUAGAGAAUUAGCCCUCCAUUAAUGGAGGACAAACUGCGCGUGUGGAUUUGGAAAAAGUUUGCGAACCGAUUCUUCCAACGUCGGUCAACAACAGGAGGAAAAAGCAAGGGAUUUUAUUGCAUCCAAUUGUCUCCAAAAAUCCAACGUAAAAGAGAGUCUGAUGCCCUCUUCCAAUUUCGGUCAAAGUCAAUUGAAAAGCAAAGCCAAAAGGGUCAAUAAUGGCGACUCAAUUGCUUUCUUUUCCUAAUUCCUCGCAAACAUACGGGAAAGGCUUUUGCUUGAUUUCUCAAUUCGGUCAAUGCAAUUGGAAAAGCAGUUUUGCAAAGUCAACAAUUGGGGCUUGUGUCCCCUUGAUUCUUUAUAGAGAUACGGCAAUCCAAUUGAAAAGCAAGGGCAAAAGAACGAGAAGAAACCUAAGCUAGAAGGAAAAUUCCUUCGCUUAAAAAAAAAACCGACCUCUUGGAGUCUAAUACUCCCCUCCUUUUGUUCUUGGUCCCCACUGACAUUCAAGGAGGGGAUUUUCCCUUAUCGGAAAUUGGUGUUCAAAAAUUAAAACAAGACUCCCCAAAAUAAAAUAACAUAAAGUCUAUUACAAUUUAGUUUCUUCAGCUUCUCAAGCGGACCCCACUACUUGAAGUGCCCCACGUACGAUGAAUCUUCUGAAUUUCGAUUUUAAGCACUUUUCAGCAUCAAUUCCUGCAAUUAGCACCAAAAUCAUAUCUGAGUAGAAUCCACCCAAUUAAUGAAAAUAUUUAGUCAAAUAAUUGUGCAAUAAUGCCCAAAAUACCCCACUAAAAUGCACCCUAUCAAUCUUCCCCACAUCUAAACUAUGCUUGCCCUCAAGCAUAAUUAACUCAGAAGUGCAAUCAAGAUACCAAGCAAUUCACAGCAGUUCAUACCAAAAAUGGCAUUCCAAAUUCCCCAAUAACCUCAUCGAAAUCAAAAUAUACCAAAAUAAACAAUUCUCGCAGUUUAAAGUGCACUCAUUUACUCCAAAUUGUAUAGGAUAUAUAUAUAAGAUGGCUCUCAAAUCAACACAAUAGAAUGAUACUACCAUAAGCUUGCUCAUAUAUCAUAUCGCCACCACUUACUUAUGAAUUUAAAUGCAGCAAUCGAGGGACUUUGCAAGGUUGUAAUGGGGCUAGGGUGAGAAGGUAGGAUAAAAAGGGUUCAAAGGGUGUAAAAAAUAUAAAGAAAAUGCUCAGAAAUUCAUUACACAGAUUCUUGCACAUUUGAAACUUCACGACACCUCAACAAUCGCACAAGUGAAGUAAAAAUUGGCCCUCGCUACAACCUUCGACUUCUCUUUUUCUCUUUCAUCUAUUUCUCCUCUCUUUUUCUUUCUCUUUUUUUUUCUUCUUUUUUUUUUCAAUAAGUUCCAACACCAUAAAAAUCAACUCCACUUAUUGAUUUCUUGCACUUUUUUUUUCUUCUUUUCACAUUUUUCAUUUUUUUUCUCUUUUUCCUUCUCAUAUAUACAUGUAAUGCCUCUCGAAUAAUACUCCAAAUUUCUAUGUAAUGAAAUCAAAGCACUUCUUUACACGAGGUUCAAAAAGAAAGUCUAAAAAGAAGUUUUACGGCUAAAAACUAGGGUCUCAAGCGAAGAAUAAGGGUUAAGGCUCAACUUGGCUCCCUAAGGGUAAAUAGACUAAGGGUUAGUUUUUAAGAAAGUUAAAAAUAGUUCAAUUCUAGGCGCCUUAUCAUUUUAAUGCAUUAAACUCAUUUAGAUGUGGUCUUGACACGUAUAAACCGAGCAAGUUCUAGAAUGACAAACCAUGUGCAAUAACCACUCAAACAAACGAAAAAGUAGGCCCAAAAAUCGCACAAAUGGUCAAAUUUAUGUCAAGUUCAGCAUAUUCAUCAAUCAAUUCAUCAUCAAGGAAAGUGAAAAGUCUCAUGGAAUGAACUUACUACUCAUGACCAUAUCUCAAUUGCAUUCAUCACUGUUUAAAGAAAAGAACUACUAGGGUAAAGAAAAUGCACAUCAAACAACUAAAAACACCACUAAAGCAUAGUUAACCCUCCCCCAUACCUAAACCAUUCAUUGCCCUCAAUGGAAGCCGACAAAGAUCAAAAUAGAGUUAUUGGGGCAACGGCACUUCCCUUAACACGGAGGAGGGCAGAGGUAAACUAAGGCCAUGGAGGGCACGGUAGGUGGAAACCCACGUGGUGGAGGUAUUCGUCAAAUUCUGGGCCAUUCCGGCCAUUUGAAGCUCCAUUCACUCCAUACGAGUGUCCAUGUGCUACAUCUGGAACCGAAGGGCUGCAAACUGGCUAUCGGCGGAGGAAGACGGUGGAGGUGCCGAAGAGGACGGUCCGGGGGCAUCCGUGGAAGGACCACCGGCCUCUGAGGCAGUGAAUUUGGAAGCCUUGCGCUUCGGAGCAACAUAUAUCGGCCCCGGAGGGGCGAACUGAAAAACACCAUUUACCUAUUGCACAAGACCCAUUUUUUCCAAGCAAACUAAAUCUAGGGGUUCCAUAGUACAUGCUUGAUGCAGAUUAUGAUUAUUUAAAUCCAAAACUCCUAUAUUUAUGGCUAAUUGAGUGAUAUAUGAACCCAGAAUUAAAGACUUAUUCUUCUUACUCAAGACGGUUUGAAAGUGAGAGGCAAACCAACAACCCAAAUUGACCUUAAUCUGAGCAACCAUGCUCUAAAUGAAAAAGAAUUCGGGUUUGGUCAGAGUACCUGAGCUGUCCUUUCUACCAAAGAAACUACAAGCCAUGAAUCUGUGCAAAUAGUGGUAGGUAGGGCUUUUGAGAAAAGAUGCCUUAGACUGGCUAGAAUCAUAGUGUUGUCGAUCAACCGACAACUCUCUCCAAUAGCCAGUAUUGUGAGAGAAAAAAGGCUCCGUGUAGUCGCACAAACUGUGCAAAUAUUCCUCACUCUGAGAGUAGGGAAUGUCAAUGAACCCAAGGGCUAAAUUAAAUUCAGUGAUAGAGUGGGUGAACUCUCGACCCAUUAAUCUAAACCGCACCACCCCCGGAGUAGUAACAGAAAAUUCAUCGGGGAUAUUAAACUCAAAAGUAGCAUAAAAUUCCCACGUCAAUUCAGUAAAAGCAGGUAAAAUGAUAGCAGCAUAACGUGUCCAGCCUAUGUCGGCUAACUUUUGAGUGACCUCACCCCUAAGGUUCAGAAUAUCAAGUGUAGGGUCGUGGAUAUAGUUACAAGAAAUUAUCUUCCUUGUACACGCCGAGGCGUACCGCUCUUUGUCGGCAGCCCGGGUGAAGGUCAAAUGACCGCCAAAAUGGGCCGGGAAGGAGAUAUGAACAUCCCUACUCUGCCUAAGGCGGGUCCGGGGCCCUCCCGGAGCAGUCGCUGGGGUAGGUCCUCCCAAGGGGACCGUAGGCUGUGGGGUGGAGAUAAAAGGUUUGUUCUUACCUUUAGUUUUUAGUUUAGUCAUUGGGUAUCAGUUAACAGGGCAAAGACAAGGUAAUGGUGUUCAAAAGAAAGAAAUAGGCAGCCACCAAGCAAAGGGUUCCAAACACAGCUCCCAACCACAGAUAAUUGCAGAAACGGACAAUAAACUCACCCCAAAAAUUAAGUAAACAUGUAAACAGCAGAAUUGUACCCAAAUACUACCAAUUCAACCCCAAAAAUUAAUUAAUUAGAUAAACGCAGCAAAACUUUCCCAAAAACUAAUUAAACAGGCAACUAGAAUAAAAACUUCCCCCAAAUAUCACUGGUUGAGCACAAAAUUUAACAAAUAGUCAACAAUCAACCACAGAUAUAUCACAGCACCCAAACAAGCACAAAAUUUCUGUCCUCAGCUAGCAAAUCAAAAAUCUGGCCUCAACUAAGAAAUUAAAAUUUGGCAUCAGCUAAUAAAGAACUAGUAAUUUGGUCUCAGCUAAUUAGUGACAGAAAAUUAAAGAAGAAAUCACCGGAGGUUUGGAAUAAGCAGUGGGUGAUAGUGGAAGAAGCGCAGGGGACAACGGAGGGGGAGGAAGGUGACGUGCGCGUGUCGCACGCGCUCGGGCAGGAUGGCUAUGAGCUUGGCGCCUAGUGGGUUGCGUCUGCGCGAGCAGGCUUGCACGUGCGUGAUGGGUCGCACGUAGGCAAGGGAGCGCGCAGAGGCUGGCGCUGCUGCUGCCACUCGCUGUUUUGGUCGCGCGCAGACUGGCGAGCGCGCUUGUGGUCCGCGCUCUGGGCUAGGCUGGAGAAAGGCGCUGGCCUGCUGGUGAGUGUGCUCAGCUCGCGCUUGGCUGCGCGUGGUGGGCUUGGAGAUCGCGCGCAAGGACGGAGCUACUCGUGAGCCUGUGGCUGAGCUCACGCGCGCGGUCUGCUGAGCUCCACGAGCUGGGCUGCUGCUGGCGCAAGGCGGUCGCGCUGGUGCGCGCCUGCUGCUGCUGCUCGCGUGCUGGGCUGCGCCUGGAAAGGAGCUGGAGUCGUGCGCGAUGGGCCAGAGAAGGGCGCGCGGGCUUGCUGGUGCUGGUGCUCUGGCCACGCGCGAGCUUGCUGGUGGACGACGGAGCGGUGGUGACGAUGGAGGGCGGACGAAGGCGGCGGUGGACCUUGGCCGUAGCGUGGUGUGGCGGGCGGAUAAGGAGAAAAGAAGGAAGAAGAAAAGGAAAGAAAGGGAAAAAGAAAGAAGAAAAAGAAAGAAAAGAGAGAAGAAGAAAAAAAGAACAAGUAGGGCUACGGGCCCUUGUAAAAUUUUUUUUUUUAUUUUAUAAAUAAUCUUUCUAUUUUUUAUUAUUAUUAUUUCUUCUUUUUUUACAUCUAUUAAAAAAAGGGUUAAUUCCACUUUGUCCCCCCCAAACUUUGGACGAUUAUCCACUUAAAUCCCUAAACUUCAAAAUGGGACACUUAAAUCCCUAAACUUAUAAAUACCUCCCACUUAAGUCCCUAAACUUAUAAAAUGGGACACUUAAAUCCCUAAACCCUUAUAAAAUGGGACACUUCGACCACCAGCGGCAUUCAGGAUUUGUUAACAAUUUUCCUUAAGUGAGAGGUAUUUAUAAGUUUAGGGACUUAAGUGUCUCAUUUUGAAAUUUAGGGACUUAAGUGGGUAAUCGUCCAAAGUUUGGGGGGACAAAGUGGAAUUAACCCUUAAAAAAAACCUUUUUUUCUUUUAAAAAUUUUCUUUUUCUCAUUUUUUAUAUUUUUUUAUAUUUAUUAUUUUUUUUAUUAAUAUAUUUUUAUUUCUUUUUUUUUGAAAUGAGGACAAUCAUGUCUUUUCACACCUCCCUUUACAUAUAUAAAUAUCAAAGAACCUGUGUCUUAGGCGCAGGCAAGCCUAACUGCCCUCUAGUCUUCUGACCAAUUUUCGAAAAUUGAGUUCCUUAGGCGUACCCACGCCAGGUGGUCAUGCCUAACUACUGUAGAGUCUUCUGACCGCGGACGAGAAUUUUCUUCCCUUAAGCGUGACCACCUGGCGUGGGCACGCGUAACUGCUAUAGAGUCUUCUGAGCAUCGCCUUUCAACUCUUUUCCUUAGACGUGACCACUUAGCGUGGGCACGUCUAACUGCUAAUUUUUUGCCACAAAACAACAAACUACAAAAUGAUACCAAAACUUAACAAAAACUUCAAAAAUGUACGAAAACUAAAACAAAUAGUCUUGGGUUGCCUCCCAAGUAGCGCCUUUCUUUAACGUCUUUGGCUAGACAUGGCCGGAACCCUCAAGCGAGAUAAAUUGGAUACUGGAGGUGUACAACUUCUACUUCUUCAACAGAGAAUUCUUCAUAAUAAAGUUUGAGAUGAUGGCCAUUCACUACGAACUUCUUCUCUGUCUUUAAACUUUGGAUCUCCACUGCACCAUAAUGAAACACAUUAGAAACGACAAAUGGACCAAUCCAGCGAGAACACAACUUACCGGGAAAAAGUUUAAGUCUCGAGUAAUACAAGAGGACUUUUUGCCCCACUACAAAAGAUUUCCUUGAGACUUGCUGAUCAUGGAAGAUUUUACUCUUUUCCUUGUAGAUCGUGGCAUUCUCGUAUGCCUCAUUUCUAAUCUCUUCCAAUUCUUGUAGUUGCAAUUUCCUUUGGACCCCCGCUUUUUCAAGAUCCAUGUUACACUAUUUCAUUGUCCAGAACGCCUUGUGUUCGAACUCCACGGGAAGAUGACAAGCCUUUCCAAAGACUAGUAUGUACAGGAACAUCCCAAUCGGCGUCUUAUAUGCGGUGCGGUAUGCCCGUAGUGCAUCUUCUAAUUUUAAACUCCAAUCCUUCCUGUCGGGCCGCACCGUCUUCUCCAAGAUUGAUUUAAUCUCCCUGUUUAACAUUUCGGCUUGGCCAUUUAUUUGCGGGUGAUACGGUGCAGACAUCUUGUGGAGUACGUCGUAUUUUCGGAAUAGGGCAGUGAUAGUCUUGUUGCAAAAGUGUUUCCCUAUUACUUACCACAGCUCUUGGCAUUCCAAAGUGGACAAAAAUAUUAGAUUUUAAGAACUCUGCAACCACUUUAGAAUCGUCAGUACGGGUGGCUUUCGUUUCCACCCACUUAGAGACAUAAUCAACCGCGAGUAAGAUAUUUAAGAAACCAAAAGAUGAUAGAAAAGAACCCAUAAAAUCUAGGGUAAAAUACAUAAAACCCCCCUGUGUUAAAGGAAAUUAACACGAAAUUUCCUCAUUGUUUAGAAAUACCCACUUAACCCCCUCGUGCUUUGGACUUCUUAGGAUUUUACCUGCUAACCGGCUGGAAAGCUAGCGAGUGAUAUUGACGCGACCUAAUGGUCACCUGUGACCAGAAGAAACUCGUUUUCAUUCCAAUUUUGCCCUCCAUAUCUCUUACAAAUGAAACCCACCAUAGUUGUAGUUCUGCAAAUGGAAAAAAAUGGACAGAAAAAUACAAAACUAAGACAAAAAAACGUCAGAGUUUGAAAAAAAUGCAAGGCUGAAUUGGCAAAUUUUGAGCACACCAAGUUUGGACUUUGCACAAAAAAAAAGAAAAAAAGAAAUGGUGUUAGCAAGCUCCAGAUUGAGGUAGUGAUUGCUAGAAUGGCAGCAGCAACUGUAAGGAAAGAACAACAACUAACUAACUACUUUACCUGCCUCUUAAAAAAAAAAAAGAGUAUUCCUCCUUUCUUCAUCCAAAUGGCGGUAAUGUUGUACUAACCAGAAUUACUACCGGUGAAGUAGAUUAACAAAAUCUCCCGGAUACAAGUGGAGACCAAUCAGUGGCCAGCUUAUUCAUAAAAUGAAUGAACAAAGCAAGAUGAAGAAGAGACAAUUUACAGUAGUUAUGGUUGACGGGUUUUUACUUUAAGUGCAAGUUUAAUUCCGAAUUUACACCCGUUGGACUGCAAGUAUACAGGUCGCAAUUGUAGUACGAGAUGUGUAUCGGGUCGAUCCCACGAGGAGCAAUUUAAAACAAUUAUUAGAUACUAAUUUACUCUAUUAUUUAGACUUACAAUUAAUUUGAGCAGAAACUUCAGAUUUUAAUUCAACUACAAAAAUUCUUAAAUAGAUAAAUGCAAUUUCACAAUAGGAGUAGAAUUCACUAAAUAUUAAGAUCUAGGGAUGUAGAUUCCACUUAUAACACAAAAGAUCUAAAAUGAAUUAAUUCAACACUUGUUACUGCUCUUGUUUAACCAAGGAUUCAUUUUCAGAAAUACCAAAAUCACAUUCUCAUGAUAAUAAUGGGUUAAAACAGAUUAGUUUUUCCUAAUCUCUUGGUAAAUACUAAAUCUGUUCUUAUUCACACAUGAAAUGCAGAUUUCAUCCACUUGAAUGUAUUUCUAUUCUCAUGAAUAUACUACUCAAGCUCUACUUAUGUCAUUCCAUUAUUUUUACCAUUUCUCAAUGAGUAAAAACAACUAUAAACCUGCUAUUGGUGAUCAAGCAACAAGUAAUCCAACAUACACAAGUAGAUAAGUUAAUACAAGACAUAACAAGCAUAAAUCACAAUCACUUCAUAUCAUUUGGCCAUAAGCUUCAUCUACUCCCUAGAUAAAGGAAAUUAGCUACUCAUGAAUGAUGAAACACUCAUAACUUCAUUAAUGCAAAUCAUCAUGAAUUUACAAAUACAAAAAGAGUAAAGAAAGUCUUAGCCAAGAUAUGGUGAAGCCUUCCAAAAAUCUCCUUGUCUUGAACUUAGAUGAUUACAAGAUGAAACCUCAAUUGUCCUUUGCAAGUACCUAGCUAGAGAGACUAUGUUUUUCUGUAAGAAGCUAAGCUACGAAUGGCUCUCCAGACCUCUCUCAAUGUCUCUGCAUAAAAACUACUCAAAGGCUCAUUUUUCCAAGUCAAAUUCCAACUUUUGAUUCCCCCAAUCUAACUUUGUUAUAAUUGUCAAUAACCAAUAUUUUUGACUUGAAAAUAAGCCACUUUUCUUGCCCUUUUGUCUUCUGAAGCAUGUGCACCGAAUUCCCUUGCAUCUUAUAGCUGGAAAGUGGUGUGAACACAAGAGAAUUGGCUGAGUCAAAUUACAGAAUUUCGGCUAUAAAACGCGCCUACACAAAACGCGGCAUAACUCGCGUUUUGUCUACUCGCGUUUUCACUCUGGCCUUAUUUCAACUGUGAUUUUCUCAUUGAUAAAGGCCAAACUAGCUUUUGUGCAAAACACAAAAGUUGUAGCCCUUUGUAUUAGCUUUCCAAUGCUUCAAGAAUCAUCCAAAUCGGAACUUUGUAGCCUGAGAUAUGAUCGAAAUACUGUCACCUGUUCAAACCUCUGUUUUAACUUCCGACCACAGAAUGCAGCUUCUGUAUUCCAACGUUUUGCCCAUGAAGAUGGCAGAAAUGGAUUUCGAUGUCUUCAUACGAAUUGUAGGUCUCUUUCUUAGCUUUAAAAUGGUAUAAAGAUCACCUCAAUCCGAUAUGUGUAGCUCCAGAUAUGGUCAAAAUACUGAAGAGUGUCAAAACUGACUUGUAUUGCAUUUCCUCACUUGAACGUUUUUCACUUCAUUCUUCUUGUUGCCACUUGAAUUCAUCACCAAAUCUCUAUUUUUACCUCAUUUGACAUCCUUUGGUGAUUGAAUCAUCAUUCCUGCAUAAAAAUGAAGUUUUUACCAUUAAAAUCAAUAGAAAUGCAAAAUUAUCCACUUUUACCAAAAAUAUAUAAUUUUACCAAAAACCUCUUUAUUUUAUUUAUAAAACUAAAUAAUCAACUCAAAAUUAACUAAUAAAAUGCACUUAAAAAUACGUAAAAUAAACUCUUAUCAAAUACCCCCACACUUGAAUCAUUGCUUGUCCUCAAGCAAUAUAAAAUUCUAACCAUCAAUGAUCCAAAAAUUGAAAAUAAACAUAUAUAGUAUUUCAACUCCAUUUCCUUGAAUCAAGGUAAAUAACCCUUAUGUGAUCUUUCCAUUAAGUUCAAGUACUCAUAAUAUCAAGCAAAGAAGAGCCAAGUAUACCAUAAUUUUACCAAUUCAACUCAACUUCUUAUUUUUAUCCAAUUUCGCAAGCAAGCAACUCCUAUAGUCAAUAAAGAUGCUAACUAAUCUCAUGAUCAACUUCUUAUUUUUCUUAAAGAGGGAUUUAAUUUACUUUUUUAUAUAUAUAUAUAUAUAUAUAUAUAUUUUAAGGGUUAAAUAUUACUUAAGUUGUGAAAAAUGCCUUUUGACGCGAAGAUCAACAUUUUUAGAUGCAGAUCCCCGGUUACUCAACAUUUCACAUACUCAAGUUGCUUUGCAUACUCUUAAUUCAAGUACCUUUUUACGCGAAUGUCGACAUUUGUAGAUGCCAACCCCCGGUUACUCGGUAUGAGAAUCAUUGGAGUAGAAUAACCCUUUUUUUUUUUUAAUAUAUAUAUAUAUAAUAAAAUUCCCUCUAAGAGUAAUCAUGAGAAGAGUAUGACACUUAUUAACCAUAUUAAUUUCUUAUCUUAUAAAAUUAGAUAAAAAGAAGAAUUUUCAUCAAAUAUACAAAAUGUAGGCAUAAUUUUCUCCACUUUACUAGAUAUACUUUCCUAUAAAUGUAAAAAUUAUAAUCACAUAAAAAUCAUUUCCAAAUUUCAUAAGAAAAGAAGUAUCAAAACCGCAUAUAUUUAUUUCAAAAGGAUAAGUGACAACAUUUUAUUUAUUUAUUAUAGUUAAUAACAUAUAUGUGUAUAAGGUUUUGGAAAAAUUUUGACAGAGUCUCCCCUUAAAAGUGGACUAAAACUCCCUGCCAGCAACCACAAGAAACAUAAUUUAAGCACAAGAAUUAUAUCAAACACAACUAAAACCACAAGUACCACACAUAUUUCUCCCCCCCACACUUAAAUUACACAUUGUCCUCAAUGUGUAAGGAAAGAAAAGAAAAGAAAGAAAAGAAAGGAAUAAGUGACUCCCCAAGUGAGAUGACUGCGGUCCAGUGAAGCCUUGAAUCAUGAGUCAUCGACCGCGCAACCAUCUACAGUCAACGAUCUACUAGUUACUGCCACAAGUUCCAAUAUUCAAAAUAAGGAAUGUAAGUUAACAUUUUUUCAAACAAAAGAUAAAAAUAACAAGCAAACAAGCAAACAAAAGAAAAGCCAGCCAAAGGACAGCCUCAAUCAUCCUCUUCAUCGUCAUCUUCAUCAUCAUUGAUGGGAGGUGGGUGUGUGCCUAAAUGAUCUUCAAUUCGGUCCAGGCGAGUAUCCAUUCUGGCUAAGCGAUGAUCGAUGUCAUCUAAACGACCAAAGAGCCGCUGCCAGUUGGUUUGUGGCGGAGGAGGAGGUGGUGCUGCAGUAGAUGGUCCAGCUCCAUCGCGACCAUGUCUAGCCUUUUGUCUCCGCUCCUGAACAGGGCGUGGAAUGUCUCCCGUGCCAAUACCAAGGCGGCGAAGAGUAGUGAUAGUCAUCUCAGCACGUGGUGGAACAUACUCCCGCCGCAUGCCUUCCAAGGGAACUCCGUGUGCCCCGUCUUCUUUGGGAUGACAUUGUGAGCCAUCAUGUAAAUGAUAAGCCGAUGACGAGGUUCGAAUACAUUUGCCAAUAUAGUCUCCUUUCUGGUAGAGCGAAAAGGUUGGUACUCGAGACCAAACCUAGCCAUGGCCAAUGAUGGAUCCCACCUCCUAUUCGGGGGAACAAACUCCUUCUUCAAGUCUACUGGACGUCCGUCAUCCAUACACCCCAAAAUAGCAGCCAAAUCUUGUCGUGACAAGGUGAUUCGUCUUCCACGCACCCAGGACUCAAUUAUUUCUCCACUAUGGCGCGCCUUACUUUCAAUGUUGGCGUAAAACUCGCGCACCAGGUCUGGGUAGUAAUGGUUUGGAAGGGUGAGAAUCGGAGCCCAUCCUAGCUGAGCAAAAGCUUCUGAGAUGUUGUACAUCAUCUCAACUGGUGGACUGACGUGCAUCUCAAACAAAAACUCCAAAUUAGCACGCGCCUCAUGCCACUCCUGAUUCCUGCGAGUGUUGAACCUAGCACUGUCAAAUACCGAUCUUCCCGCUCCACGGGAGGUGCCCUCACCAGGUCGACGGUUAAUUGGUGGAGGAGAAGGUGAAUUCUCCUCUUCAGUCACCUCCAUCUCUUCAUUAACCUCCCUCUCCUCACUACUAGAGGAUGAAAGUACCGCUCUUCUUCCUCUUGGCAUAGUACCUAAAAAAUAUUUCAAUUAUUCACAUGUACUACAACUCAUUUUUUUGGCAACAAAAGUUCAGCAUUAAUCCAAAUAACCUCAAAUACAAUUGCUUAAGUUCUAAUCAUUCAAUGAUCGUACAAGACAUAUUUUCUGCCUAAAGUUGCCCAAAAUCACCAAAUUACACAAGAUAUGUAUCAAUUAUAAUUCAAUUAGUGAAAAUAGGAGCAAUUAUGAUUAUAACUAUUUAGAAUUAACAAUAAUAAUAUGCUUUUAGCUAUAAUCAUGUUUAGGCAAAAAUUAAACUAACUAACUCACCAAAUCAACCAAAUUACUCACUAUACACAAUGCACAUGCUUAAACAUCAUCAACUAACCCUUUUUAACCAUAAUUUAACAUCACCAAUGGCUCAAAAACAUCCUAGUUCCUUUUUCCAAUUUCAUCUAAAUAUAGCAAUUGUGAAUUUUAAAGUACUUGAAAACCAAUAAAUUGCUACAUUUAAACAUUUAAACAUGCUUAAACAAUCAUAAUAAUCAUGAAUAAAAUAAAAAAUAGCCAUGAACCUCAUCAAAUUUUCGAAAUUAAAAGAUGUCAGAUAGCUCAGGAUAAAAAAUAUGAACUUCUAAAAUCAAAAGAUUUGAUGAAGAAACUUACCUCAAUCACGUAGAAGGAUGUUUGGUGAUGCUAAAAAUGCAAAAAGCCCUAUGAAACAACCUCCAAUUGACCUCCAAUUGAAGAAAUUAGAGUUUAAGAACCCUAACCUUCAAUCCCUCAAAAACCUGAUUUUAGGUGUUUUUCUUGGAUUUUAAUCGGUUAAAAAGGUUGUAUGAAGCUCAAAAGGUGUUGGGGUGAUGAUUUCUAGCAAGAUUAUGGAGUAUAAAUGAAAAUUUGUGAGUUGGGUAGAAGGAAGAGGGAAAAACGCGGCUGGAAAAAUUGGAGAAGUGAAGAAGAAAGGCUGAAAUCGCGUUUCUGAAGGCUAUAUUCAGAUACGGAAAACGCGACUAAAAACGCGCCUUCAACUCGCGUUUUUGAAGUCGCGUUUCCUGCACAAAUCUUGCAGGAAUGAAAACGCGACUGUGAUGGAAAACGCGACUUCGAGUCGCGUUUCUGAAGUCGCGUUUUUGAGUCUUGAUCCAGGCUUGAAAACGCGAAUUCCAUUAAAACGCGACUUUGGGUCGCGUUUUGAAGGCGCGUUUUCUGUUCUGCAGGUGCAGAAUUGAAAACGCGAUUCAUAGAAACGCGACUUGUAGUCGCGUUUGCUUUGAAAACGCGUUUUCUGCUUCAAUUUUUAGCAGAAUUUCAACUUUUGAAAAAUUACAAAAGGUACCCCAAUGACUCAAAAUGCAUCAUAGAUCAUUUGUUUGCCAAUUUUAAUGACUGGAACAAAUGUAAAACAUUAAAAACAUGCAUUUUACCCCUUUAUAAUGAAUCAAAAACACCUUUAACGCAAAUCGAGGGGUUGAGUUGUUUGAUCAAAGUUCGCCUUUUUUGUACUCAAUUGGUCAUCCUUGCCUUCAAUUGCCAACCCUACAUUACAAAAACAACUAUUUAGCUAAAACAUUGAUUCAAACCACAAAAUCACACCAAGUUAACAAAUAUAACCUAAAUAUUGGGUUGCCUCCCAAUUAGCGCUUUUGUUUAUAGUCGUUGGCUCGACUGAAAAAGUUGAAUCACUUUAGAGCAUUAGAGAGAGAUUUUCUCUCCAUGGGUCGAAACUCCCGAGCCAAUCCACCAUGUGGUGAACCAUGCAUUGAUCUUCAUAGUCCAAUUUCCUCAAAUGCCAAGGAGGAAUAUUAGACUUGUCAUAGAGAGGCUCAACUUCACCUUGGAGUGGAUUUUGCUUGUCUUUUCUGAAUUGGCUCAACUUUUCACCAUUUUCUUCAUGGAAUGGCGAAUUUAUUAAGCCAACUUCCAUCCUUAUCUUCUCCUCCUUUGUUCCUACACCAUGAAAGUUAGUACCAAGGACAUUUAUAAAUUUAACUUCUUCGGUCCUUUCUUGGUUAACCUUUUCAUCAUAUGGCAUAUUAGAAACAAGAGCAGUAGGCUCUAUAUUCCCUUCUUUAUUAUCCAAAUUGAAUUCCAAUUCCUCACCAUUAACCCGUAAUAUAAGCUUACCUUUUUCUACAUCAAUUAUAGUUCGUGCAGUGGCUAAAAACGGUCGUCCUAGAAUAAUUGGCAUUCUCACAUCUUCUUCAAUAUCUAAGACAACAAAAUCCACAGGUAUUAUAGAUUGUCUUACCUUUAUGAGCACAUUUUCCAAAAUACCCAUGGGACGUGUGAUUGACCGAUCCGCCAAUUGCAAUGUAAUAUUGGUAGCUUUUAGCUCUUGAAGUCCCAAUCUCCGGGCAACCGAUAACGGCAUAAGUGACACACUUGCACCUAAAUCACAUAAAGCAUUAGAAAAAUGCAAUUGACCAAUAGUGCAAGGAAUAGAAAAACUUCCCGGAUCUUUCAAUUUAGGAGGGAGUUUAUUCUUAAUCAAUGCACUACACUCUUCCGUUAAUGCUAUCAUCUCAUUAUCUACAAUUUUCCUCUUCUUUGACAUGAUGUCUUUCAAGAAACGUGCAUAAGAGGGAAUCUGUGUUAUAGCAUCAAUGAAAGGAAUGUUAAUGUGCAAUUGUUUAAACAUUUUGAAGAACUUUUCAAACUCCCGAUCCUGUCCAUCUUUCUUCAACCUGUGAGGAAAAGGUAUCACAUUAGAAUUUAAUUUGGGAUGAAGUGCAUCAAUAUCAAUGAUAACAUGAUCAUUUUGACUUUCUUGCUCCCCUUCAAUUGCUUGCUUCUUGUCUUUUUCACCACCUGAAUUUUCAAAAUCAAAUCCCUCAACCGUUUUACCGCUUCUAAGAAUGAUUGCAUUGACAUGCUCUCUCGGAUUCACUUCGGUUUUACUUGGUAAUUCACCAGGGUUUCUAUUGUUGAUCACAUUGGCAAUUUGACCAAUUUGAACCUUCAAGUUUCUGUACAUCCCAGCUAAUUGGUCCAACCGCCCCUCAACUCGCUCGAAUCUAUCCGAAGUCACCUUAGCAAGUUUUUCCACCGCGAUCUCCCAACUUGGUUUAGUUUCAGCCUGUGGUUGCCUUGGUUGAAAUCCCGGCGGAUUGGUUGGCCUUUGUUGAUUGCCUUGAUCUUUCCAUCCAAAGUUUGGAUGAUUUCUCCACCCCGGAUUGUAAGUAUUCGAGUAGAGAUUAUUUGGAGCAUUUCGGUUGUAAUUAUUAACAAAUUGUACCUGCUCAGAAUCAACACACUCAUUAAUAUCAUGUUCGCCUCCACAGAAAGAGCAACAAGCUACGUGAGCAUUAGAUGAACUUGGGCUAACUCCACCUUGUCUACUUAGCAAUUUCAUCACAUUAUUCAUUUGAGCACUCAGCAUAUUGAGAGUGUCCAUUUCUAUCAUACCUGCGGGACGUCUUGUAUUACCUCUCUCAUUGGCCCAUUGGUAGUUAUUUGCUGCCAUUUCUUCUAUCAAAUUAUGAGCUUCUUGGGGUGAUUUACCCAUUAAAGCUCCACCUGCAGCUGCAUCGAUCAUAGUUUUAGUAGAAAAAGCUAAACCAUUAUAGAAGGUUUGUAUGAUUAACCAUUCCGGCAGUCCAUGAUGUGGACAUUUCCGAAGCAAAUCUCUAAACCUUUCCCAUGCCUCAUAUAAUGAUUCUCCUUCCAUUUGACUAAAACCAGUGAUAUCCAUUCUUAGCUUAGCAGUCUUACCAGGUGGAAAAUACUUAUUCAAAAAUGCCCUUGAUAAAUCAUCCCAUGUGGUAAAAGUGUUAGGAGCAUGAGAGUGUAACCACAUUUUUGCCUUAUCUCUUAAUGAAAAUGGGAACAACCGUAACCUUAUAGCAUCAUCACUAACUCCAUUCAUUUUAAUUGUAUCACAUAUUUCUAAGAAUGUAGCUAAGUGUGAGUUAGGAUCUUCUACAGCAUUACCUCCAAAUUGAGAUUGUUGAACCAUUUGGAUAAGUGAUGGCUUAAUCUCAAACUUGUUAGCAUUUACCGUAGGCCUUGCUAUGCUCGUUUGAGAUCCUUGUGUUCCCGGUAGAGCAAAAUCUCGUAGAACUCGCCUAUUUGCUUCAUUUUCAGCCAUUUCUUCUUCAAAUGGUAGUUCUAUCAAAAUUUCCUCUAUCGGUUGCCAAAUCUCUUGCUCCUCCUGCUGUUGUGUGUGCCUCCUUUGUCUACGUAGUGUCCUCUCAAUUUCUGGAUCGAAAGGUGCGACUUCUCGAGACGCCCGGUGCAUACACUACAAACAGAAAUAAGAGAUAUUAUGCAAUUUCAAUUGUCAAAAACUGAUUACAAUAUAAGAUUAAAUAUAAUCAGCUCAACUAAUAAAAAUAAAUCUGUCUAAAUUAAUAGAGUUGAUUAGGCUCUAAUAUUGCCGCUCCCCGGCAACGGCGCCAAAAACUUGACGGGUUUUUACUUUAAGUGCAAGUUUAAUUCCGAAUUUACACCCGUUGGACUGCAAGUAUACAGGUCGCAAUUGUAGUACGAGAUGUGUAUCGGGUCGAUCCCACGAGGAGCAAUUUAAAACAAUUAUUAGAUACUAAUUUACUCUAUUAUUUAGACUUACAAUUAAUUUGAGCAGAAACUUCAGAUUUUAAUUCAACUACAAAAAUUCUUAAAUAGAUAAAUGCAAUUUCACAAUAGGAGUAGAAUUCACUAAAUAUUAAGAUCUAGGGAUGUAGAUUCCACUUAUAACACAAAAGAUCUAAAAUGAAUUAAUUCAACACUUGUUACUGCUCUUGUUUAACCAAGGAUUCAUUUCCAGAAAUACCAAAAUCACAUUCUCAUGAUAAUAAUGGGUUAAAACAGAUUAGUUUUUCCUAAUCUCUUGGUAAAUACUAAAUCUGUUCUUAUUCACACAUGAAAUGCAGAUUUCAUCCACUUGAAUGUAUUUCUAUUCUCAUGAAUAUACUACUCAAGCUCUACUUAUGUCAUUCCAUUAUUUUUACCAUUUCUCAAUGAGUAAAAACAACUAUAAACCUGCUAUUGGUGAUCAAGCAACAACAAGUAAUCCAACAUACACAAGUAGAUAAGUUAAUACAAGACAUAACAAGCAUAAAUCACAAUCACUUCAUAUCAUUUGGCCAUAAGCUUCAUCUACUCCCUAGAUAAAGGAAAUUAGCUACUCAUGAAUGAUGAAACACUCAUAACUUCAUUAAUGCAAAUCAUCAUGAAUUUACAAAUACAAAAAGAGUAAAGAAAGUCUUAGCCAAGAUAUGGUGAAGCCUUCCAAAAAUCUCCUUGUCUUGAACUUAGAUGAUUACAAGAUGAAACCUCAAUUGUCCUUUGCAAGUACCUAGCUAGAGAGACUAUGUUUUUCUGUAAGAAGCUAAGCUACGAAUGGCUCUCCAGACCUCUCUCAAUGUCUCUGCAUAAAAACUACUCAAAGGCUCAUUUUUCCAAGUCAAAUUCCAACUUUUGAUUCCCCCAAUCUAACUUUGUUAUAAUUGUCAAUAACCAAUAUUUUUGACUUGAAAAUAAGCCACUUUUCUUGCCCUUUUGUCUUCUGAAGCAUGUGCACCGAAUUCCCUUGCAUCUUAUAGCUGGAAAGUGGUGUGAACACAAGAGAAUUGGCUGAGUCAAAUUGCAGAAUUUCGGCUAUAAAACGCGCCUACACAAAACGCGGCAUAACUCGCGUUUUGUCUACUCGCGUUUUCACUCUGGCCUUAUUUCAACUGUGAUUUUCUCAUUGAUAAAGGCCAAACUAGCUUUUGUGCAAAACACAAAAGUUGUAGCCCUUUGUAUUAGCUUUCCAAUGCUUCAAGAAUCAUCCAAAUCGGAGCUUUGUAGCCUGAGAUAUGAUCGAAAUACUGUCACCUGUUCAAACCUCUGUUUUAACUUCCGACCACAGAAUGCAGCUUCUGUAUUCCAACGUUUUGCCCAUGAAGAUGGCAGAAAUGGAUUUCGAUGUCUUCAUACGAAUUGUAGGUCUCUUUCUUAGCUUUAAAAUGGUAUAAAGAUCACCUCAAUCCGAUAUGUGUAGCUCCAGAUAUGGUCAAAAUACUGAAGAGUGUCAAAACUGACUUGUAUUGCAUUUCCUCACUUGAACGUUUUUCACUUCAUUCUUCUUGUUGCCACUUGAAUUCAUCACCAAAUCUCUAUUUUUACCUCAUUUGACAUCCUUUGGUGAUUGAAUCAUCAUUCCUGCAUAAAAAUGAAGUUUUUACCAUUAAAAUCAAUAGAAAUGCAAAAUUAUCCACUUUUACCAAAAAUAUAUAAUUUUACCAAAAACCUCUUUAUUUUAUUUAUAAAACUAAAUAAUCAACUCAAAAUUAACUAAUAAAAUGCACUUAAAAAUACGUAAAAUAAACUCUUAUCAAUGGUAUCAAAGGAGGAAGAAGAAAGAAAGAAAAAACUAGAGAGCCCUCUCCUCUGCCCGCACCCAAGAGAGUCCCAGUGGGCACUGCAGUGGCCCCCCACCACCACCAAAACAAGAGUAAAGAGACAGACCAAUCAGUAGCCCAGCAGGCGGCAGUAAAGAAAGGGGAAAGGGUUGCAGACAGACAGCAAUCAGGUUGCUCCGAUAGUUGCUCCGAUAGUCCCUCUUGCCUUCCACCCAUGGCUGAAAGAAGAAGAAGCAGCGACAGCAGCAAUGAAUCAUCAUUAUCAUCAGGUGCAGCAGCAGCGACCGUGUGCAGAAUACCGGAUGACCACCUCUUCUCCAUCUUGUUGCGUCUUCCAAUAGACUCAAUCCUCUACUUUGGUAUGACUUGCAGAAGAUUGAGGUCUCUUACUCACUUCGACGUUCUCUGGGAAUCCAUCUGCAGGUGCGACUGGGGUUCAAAAUAUCCCUUUUUUUUUCAAAUAAUACUUCUUUUACCAAAUUUCAAAAUAUCCACAACAAUUUACUAUGAAAACUCCUGCCAUCAAACAAAUCAACUCCUCUGAAAUUUAGGGUUCAAAUAUGAGAUUACCUGGUUAAUAGCUAUGCUCGAUUCGUUGCAACCCUCAACCGAUCUGCACAGAAACGCCGACUCAUCUUCACUAUAACUCAGACCGAUCUGCAUAGAAACACCUCUUUCUUAGUUGUAGAUUUAGGGUUUCUCUCUCUACACAUGAAGUACUCUCAAGAUUUACUAAUUGCAUCUGUAUCUUUUCAGAUAUUAUAAAUGAGGGUAUCUUUGAUAUUUCAUAUUGUUACUGGCUUCCCAGCCGGUUAGCAGGUAAAAUCCUAAGAAAUCCAAAGUACAGGAGGGUUAAGUGGGUGUUUCUAAAUAAUGAGGAAGUUUCGUGUCAAUUUCCUUAACCACAGGGGGGUUUUAUGUAUUUUACCCUUUUUAUUCCCCAUACAUCAAAAAUUUCAACAAACAACAUGGAGAUUUGAAACAUUUGGUCCUUACGAAAAAUAUUUCCCAUCCUUUGACACCUAUCACAGGAUUUGCAAAAUAAGUAUGCAUCUUUAAAAAGAGUGGACCAGUAAAAGCCACUCUCCAACACUUUGCGAGCUGUUCGCUUGGCCCAAAAUGUCCUCCACAUGCAAACAAAUGACAGAAAUUUAAAAUGGAGUAGAAUUCACCUGCACUCACACACCUUCUUAGCACUUGAUCCGAACAAUGUCUCCAAAGGUAGGGGUCGUCCCAAAUAUAGUACUUGACAUCACUCUUUAACUUGUCUCUCCUAACCUUUGGCCAACCUACAUGUAAUUGAUUAGUCACUAAGAAAUUUACUAUAUCAGCAUACCAGGGUGCAGACGAAUCAACGGCAAGUAGUUGUUCCUCUGGGAACGCCUCUCUCAAUGGUUGCUCCUCCUUAUGUGCAAACAAGCGGCUCAAGUGAUUAGCAACUAAGUUCUCUGCCCCACUUUUAUCUUUAAUCUCCAAGUUGAACUCUUGCAGGAGCAGAAUCCAUCUAAUGAGCCUUGGUUUUGCAUCUUUCUUCAUCAUCAAGUACCUUAAGGCUCCAUGAUCAGAGAAAACUGUUACUUUUGCACCAAACAAAUAAGGUCUAAAUUUUUCUAAUGCGAAAAUCAUAGCUAAUAAUUCUUUCUCCGUCGUAGAGUAAUUGAGUUGAGCUCCAUUCAACGCCUUUGAUGCAUAGUAGAUUGCAUGUGCUGCCCUGCCAAUUCUUUGCCCCAACACCGCUCCCAUUGCGUAGUCACUCGCGUCACACAUUAUUUCGAAUGGGAAGCUCCAGUCUGGAGGUUGAAUGACAGGUGGUGAGGUUAACGAUUCCUUCAAUUUGUCAAAUGCCAUCUUGCACUCCUCGAUAAAGUCAAAUGUUACAUCCUUUUGCAACAGCUUGAACAGGGGCGCUCCAAUUUUGGAGAAGUCUCUGAUGAAUCUCCUGUAGAACCCUGCAUGACCCAUAAAGGAACGCACUUCCCGUACACUUACGGGGUAAGGUAAGGCAGAAAUAAUAUUGAACUUUGCUUUAUCUACCUCUAUACCUCUAGCCGACACUACGUGUCCUAAGACAAUAUCAUACUCCACCAUGAAGUGACAUUUUUCCCAAUUAAGGACUAAAUUUGUCUCUAUGCAUCUUUUCAAAAUUAAAGUUAAGUUAUCAAGACAUUCAUCAAAACUAUUCCCAUACACACUAAAAUCAUCCAUGAAUACCUUAAUAAUCUUUUCUACAUAUUCGGAAAAGAUACUCACCAUGCACUUUUGAAACGUCACUGGAACAUUGCAGAGGCCGAAAGGCAUCUUCCGGUAGGCAAACGUACCAAAGGGACUGGUAAAUAUAGUUUUCUCCCGAUCCUCUGGUGCUAUUGCGAUCUGAAAAUAACCUGAAAAACCAUCAAGAAAACAGUAAUAGACAUAACCAGCUAACCUCUCUAUCAUCUGAUCAAUAAACAGGAGAGGGAAGUGGUCCUUCUUCAUCAGAGCAUUCAGUCGUCGGUAGUCGAUACACUGGCGCCAUCCUGUGGGUUUUCUCACCGGGACCAUCUCGCCUUCCUGAUUCUCUUUUACCGUUACUCCCACCUUUUUCGGGACUACCUGGACCGGACUAACCCAUAGACUAUCUGAAAUGACGAAAACGAUUCCCACUUCCAGGAGUUUAAGUAUCUCCUUCUUUACCACUUCCAUCAUUACUGGGUUUAAUCACCGUUGCGCCUGUCUUACCGGCUUUGCAUCAUCCUCAAGUCGGAUCCGAUGCAUGCAUAAGGAGGGGCUAAUUCCCUUAAUGUCUGCUAUGCUCCACCCAAUCGCCUCCUUAUGAUAUCGAAGAAGACGAAUAAGGUUGUCUUCUUGUCUUGGUGACAGGUGAGCAGAUAUGAUGACUGGUAGCGUCUCAUUGUCUCCGAGAAAUGCAUACUUCAAGUGCUUUGGGAGAGGAUUGAGCUCCAACUCAGGUGCCUGCAUAACAGAAGGCAACAAUUUCGCCUGAGUUUUUGGUACAAAGAGAGAAGUAAGCUCAUACCUUGGAGAAAUUGGUGGGAGCGAAUGCAGUGCUUCAACUGCUCGGUAUAACUCAUCAUUUAUUUCUACAUCAAGAGUUGCUCCCAACUCAAGAUGUUUGGCCAAUGCCACUGCCAGUACAUCGUCCCCAUCCAAUUCAAAUGUGUCAUGUACAAGGGGUUCAAUAACACUCAAAGUAAAAACAGAGUUAGCCUCAUCCGGGUAUUUCAUCGCAUCAAAGAUAUUGAAAUUGACAAUUUCACCAUCAAAUUCCAUCGACAAAGUACCCUCAUUCAUAUCUAAUUUUGUCCUAACAGUGCUUAAAAAUGGUCUACCUAGAAAAAUAGGUGACGGAUUUAAUGACCUCUCAUCUCUCAUAUCUAGGACAUAGAAAUCUGUAGGAAAGACUAACUCACUGACCAGUACUAAAACAUCUUCAACUAACCCUUCUAGGUAAGCGUUGGUACGGUCUGCUAGUUGGAUUAUAAUGCUUGUGCCUUUUAAUGGCCCAAGAUUAAGGGAGGCAUAAAUUGUCUUAGGCAUAACAUUAAUUGACGCCCCCAAAUCCAAUAUCGCUUUCCUAAUUGGGGUACCUCCUAUUUUGCAGGGAAUGGUGAACAUACCUGGGUCUCCACAUUUUGGUGGGAGUUUCCUUUGGAGUAUAGCUGACACAUUUUCUCCCAUCGCUAUCCUUUCGUCAUCCCUUAGCUUCCUUUUGUGGGUGCAUAAAUCUUUCAAAAACUUGGCGUACUUCGGUAUCUGCUUGAUUGCAUCCAACAAGGAGAUGUUGAUCUCCACUUUUCGAAACACAUCCAAAAGUUCUUUUUCCUUCUCAACCUUCUUUGUUUUUUUCAACCUGCAAGGAAAAGGAGGUAAGUUAGAUUUAAUAAGGGGUGGAGGAGUGAAUGGUACCUUAGGAUCCUCGUGAAUGCGUCCUUCUUCUUCAAUUUCUUUUUCUAUCUCCUCCUUACUUUUGCUUUCGAAUUUUAGGUCUCUCCAGUUCCUUGCCACUCCUCAGUGUCAUGGCACUUACAUUUCUGAGAUUUACCUCGGGUUGCGAUGGUAAUUUUUUAUAAAUGUGGGACUCCAGGCGAUUGAUGGCAGUUGCCAUUUGGCUCAUUCGAGCCUCCAUAUCUUUCAUGUCUGCUCUGGUGUCCUACUAGAACUGAGUAGUCCUCAUGGUUAAGACUCUAGUUUCUUGCUGGAGUUGAACCAUAUUCGUGAUCAAUGAUCUGGUCUCCUGCUGGAGUUGUCUAGUCUCUUGCUGGAUCUGAGUAGUAGUUGUGGUCAGACUCUUGACAAUAUCCUCCAAAGAGCUUCUUGAGUUGGAGGUGAAGGUUGAGGCUUUGGUUACCAUAGUUGCUGAAACCCUGGUGGACGAUUUGAGAGUGAAUUUUGUGGCCUAUUCUCAUAACUGAAAUUGGAAUGGUCUCUCCAACCGGGGUUGUACGUGUUAGAGUACGGGUCAUACUGCCUACGGGAUGCGGGCACGCUUCCGGCCAUGUUCACCUAUUCCGCCCCAUCCUCUUGCAAAAGGGGACAUGUGUCCGUACAGUGGUCCAUGCUUGUGCAGAUUCUACAGACCUUCGCUCACUGCACGUUCCCCAUGGCUAAUUGCCUAACAACCGACGUCAACUCUGACAGCUGCUGCUGAAGGGAUGACGUCUCUAUCUCGUUGACCCUACGGGUGGGGUUGUUCUCACGGAAGCCAAAUUGCUGCGAAUUUUCUGCCAUUGACUCAAUAAGCUCCCAUACUUUCUUUGGCGUCUUAUUUGCCAGUGCCCUUCCACUUGUAGCGUCAAUGAUAUUCCUGUCAGUUGACUAGAGUUCUUCAUAGAAGUACUGGAUCAACAGUUGUUCACUGAUUUGAUGCUACUGGUAUCUAAUGCAUAACUGGUUGAAUCUUUCCCAAUAGUCAUACAAGGACUCCCCGGGAUGCUAUUUAAUACUGCAUAUCUCCUUUCUCAAACUUGCAACUCGAGAUGCGGGGAAGAAUUUUUCUAGAAAUUUCUUUUUCAAUUGUGCCCAUGUGGUGAUACUACCUGCAGGUAGGUAGUAUAGCCAAUCUUUUGCUGCAUCCUUGAGAGAGAAGGGGAAUGCUCUAAGUCUAAUUUGCUCCUCAGUGACCCUAGGAGAUUUCAUGCUAGAGCAAACCACUUCGAACUCCUUGACGUGUUUGUGGGGUUCUUCACCAGAGAGACCAUGGAAUGAGGGUAGGAGGUGAAUCAACCCCGAUUUCAGCUCGAAGGAGGUAUUCUCAGCCAGAGCUGGGAAUGUAAUGCACAAAGGCUGGUGAGUCAACUCCGGGGUAGCCAGCUCCCUUAAUGUUUGGGUGUUGGUCAUGCUAAAUUCGUCUUCUACUGACUCGUUUGCAGUAAAUAAUUGCCCUUCUUUUCGUCUUUUGGUCUUUUGCCUUCGCCUACGUGCUGCCUUCUCAACCUCAGGUCGUAUAUCAAUUCACCUGUGCGAGAAGAAUGGGGCAUAAACUAGCAAAAAUACCAAGAAAAAUAAAAUAAAAUAAAAUAAAACUGAAUUAAAAAAAGAAACAAAUAAUUCAAACGCCACUCCCCAGCAGCGGCGCCAAAAAUUAACAGGUGUCGAACAUGUGCAAUAAUAAUAAAUAAAACCUAACUACCACCUGAAGCAGUCAAUAAUCAAUUCUAGUACUGAAGCAAGGACUCUAAGUGUGCAAUGGGUUACUUGAUUCACCAUAUUCCCGAAGAAUUUGCUUGAUCCGAUAUAUUUGAAUUAAUUAUUUAACCGAAUUCACUAACUAGUAGAUAGUGGUAAGCAGGGUCGUCUCCUCAGGAACUAGCAAGAAAUUUGUUCCUUUUCAAGUAAAGAUCAAAGGGGGGUUUUUGGGAUUAAAUGCCAAUUAAAUAUAUAAAAUACAGAAAAUAAUUAAUUCAAAGAAAUAAUUAGAGAAACUCCAGCCAAGGGUACACUUCAGAAAUGGUUCAGACACUGAUCAUCGAUUCACAGAUAAUUCCAACAGUUAUCAAUAGACUAGUUAUAGUUGUCAUGCACGCGAUAAACAACCAACCUUUCCUUAAUUUCUCGAUAGCUAAGGUACGACCGUUAACUAUUUUUCUAACCCAAAAAUAACCCUAAGUACGACUGUAGGAUUUAAUUUCUGGCUUGCAUUAAUAAUUAGAAAGGCCCAAUCCUAACUAACAAACACGCUACGAGGGUUUGUUUAAAUUAGAUCGUAUAUCCCCCUGACAUAAACCCAAUUACGCCAGUUGCUACUAAGACAGUGAUAACGAACAAUUACGGAUUCAAUUACCCCUAUUUAGCAAAAUAGCCUAUAUGAAUAAUUAAUUAUUGCGCACUAACCAAUCAUAUACAAGGCUAUAGCAAUUAAAAGCAGGGAACAUAUAAAUAUCAAUAAAUGAAGAAAAUAAUUAAAACCGGUUUAGAUCUCACAGUAAUUGCCGAACCAAUUUGUCAGUGCCCCUUUGACUAGAAUUAGAGAAUUACCCCUCCAUUAAUGGAGGACAAACUGCGUGUGUGGAUUUGGAAAAAGUUUGCGAACCGAUUCUUCCAACUUCGGUCAACAACAGGAGGAAAAAGCAAGGGAUUUUAUUGCGUCCAAUUGUCUCCAAAAAUCCAACGUAAAAGAGAGUCUGAUGCCCUCUUCCAAUUUCGGUCAAAGCCAAUUGAAAAGCAAAGCCAAAAGAGUCAAUAAUGGCGGCUCAGUUGCUUUCUUCUCCUAAUUGCUCACAAACAUACGGGAAAGGAUUUUGCUUGAUUUUUCAAUUCGGUCAAUGUAAUUGGAAAAGCAGUUUUGCAAAGUCAACAAUUGGGGCUUGUGUCCCCUUGAUUCUUUACAGAGAUACGGCAACCCAAUUCAAAAGCAAGGGCAAAAGAACGAGAAGAAACCUAAGCUAGAUGAAAAAUUCCUUCGCUAAAAAAAAACCGACCUCUUGGAGUCUAAUACUCCCCUUCUUUUAUUCUUGGUCCCCACCGAUAUUCAAGGAGGGGAUUUUCCCUUAUCGGAAAUUGGUGUUCAAAAAUUAAAACAAGACUCCCCAACAUAAAAUAAAAUAAAGUCUAUUACAAUUUAGUUUCUUCAGCUUCUCAAGCGAACCCCACUGCUUGAAGUGCCCCACGUACGACGAAUCUUCUGUAUUUCAAUUUUAAGCACUUUUCAGCAUCAAUUCCUGCAAUUAGCACCAAAAUCAUAUUUGAGUAGAAUCCACCCAAUUAAUAAAAAUAUUUAGUCAAAUAAUUGUGCAAUAAUGCCCAAAAUACCCCACUAAAAUGCACCCUAUCACCUUGGGAAGGGGUUGAGUUGCUAUCGUUUAUGUCCAUGGUUGGGGUGGUGGAUACGGGCUUCUCGGGGUCCAACUUUACGUGGUGCAAUAAUAGACAAGGUCAGGCACGCAUUUGAAAACACUUAGAUCGGCUGCUCAGUGACCGGUAGGCAGUGGAGAUGGGUAUAAAUUUUAGGGUCCAACAUUUGAGUAGGGCUCCUUCUGAUCAUGCUCCCUUGCUACUGUCUACAGUCCCUCGAUUGGAUAAUUCCUCCAAACCAUUUCGUUUUUUAAACUAUUAGACUACGCAUGAGUCUUUCCUGAAUGUAGUUCAGCUGAACUGGCAUGUGGAGUUUGUGGGGGACCUCCUGUAUGUGUUGGCAGCUAAAUUGUGCCGAGUUAAAAAGGCUCUUAAGGCAUGGUUGAGGGAGUCUUUUGGGGAUAUUUUUUAGAAGGUGAAGAAGGCGGAGGAGGAAGUGGCACAUGCAGAAAAUUGUUUCGAUGAGGAUCCUUUAGAGCUGCACCAGAUUCGAUUAAAUGAGAGACGGGCAUUGCUAACCCAUGCGCAGGUGCAAGAAGAUAUGUUUUGGAGCCAAAAAGCCAGGGCGGCAUGGUUGAACGAUGGGGAUAAGAAUACCAGAUUCUUUCAUGCGUGUGUGUCUGAACGGAGAAGGAAGUCUGUGAUCCAUCGGAUAAGAUCGCAAUGCGGGGAGUGGCUGGAAAGGGAGGACGACAUCUCUAAGGGGACAGUAUCCUUUUUUCAACAACUGUUCUCGGAUCAAUCAGGGUUGAGCUCCAUUCCAGUGUCGGAUGUGAUUCCAAAACUGCUAUCUGAUCGGGAUAACCUUGAGUUGGAACGGCAUCCCUCUCUGGAGGAGAUUAAGGACGUGGUGUUUUCAUUGGAUCCCGACAGUGCUGCUGGUCCUGAUGGAUUUUCGAGGAGGUUUUUUACCUUUACAUGGGAGGUUGUUGGGAAAGAUGUUUUUGACGCGCUAGGUAGCUUCUUUUCUGGAUCGGAGCUGCCAAGGAGCAUAACGGCUACUUCUAUUGUCCUCAUUCCCAAGGUGGGCUUUUCUUAGGAUUUCUCGCAAUAUCGACCAAUUAGUCUGUGUACAUUUGUGAAUAAGAUUAUUUCUAAACAGCUUGCGAAGAGAUUGGCUGAUGAGAACAUGAAGAUUUGGAUUCCCUUCAAAUUCAAGGAAAUUCAAUUGAUGAUUGAUGGUGCAAUCGGGUUCAAGAAUCAUUGAAGAUUUGUCAUGCUUAUUUCUUGUUAUUUAUUUAAGUAAGUUUCUAGCAAUACUUGUUAGUUAGUCUUGAGUUAUUAAGGGAAAUAAAGGCUAAGGUCAUGUUGACCAUAGUUAAGCCAAUUAAGUCAGUUAGUUUCCUAUUCUAAUUGAAUUAGAGUUUUAGGAAAGUAGUUAAUUGCUUCCAAAUUUAUUUAGGAAGUUGUGUCAAGUCAAAUAAGGAAGCUUGUAUUGUUUCCAAUUUAGAUUAGGGUUUUGAGUCUUGUAAGGCUAUAAAUAGCCAACUUUAUUUAACUAUUCAGGCAGAUGAUAUUGAAGAUGAAUUAAAAAAAAAAAGAGUUGUCUCCUUUUAUGGAGUUUCUUGAUGGAACUUGAGUUUUUUUCUUGAACAGUAUCAAGUAUUUAGUUUGGAUACUUGUGGUGUUCAAGGCAAGAUGAUCACAUCAUCUUGUUCUUUCAAGCCAAUAACCAAUCCACUAGGUUUCUAGAGACGGAUUCUCUUUAGGUCUAACAAGAUAGUUAUUGUUCCAUGCCAAUAACCAAUCCACUAGGUUUCUAGAGACGGGUUCUCUUUAGGUCUAGUAAGGUAGUUAUUGUUUCCAUAACCUGGUCAAGAUAGAUCCUUCCGCUGCCUGAUCAACUUGGUUCUUCAAGACAGGUUCUUGCUGGGUCGAGUUCGUAUCAUUGGCGAGAUAGCCAGAACGGAUUUGUUCAGGGUCGACAACUUUCUGAUAACUUUUUGUUGACCGAAGAGCUAGUUUCCGGCAUUCGGAGGCCAAAUAGAGGAGGUAAUUUAGUCCUUAAGCUAGAUAUGGAAAAGGCCUAUGAUAGGGUAUCCUGGAAUUUUCUGAUGCAAGUGAUACGUAAAUUUGGUUUCAGAGAGAGGUGGAUUGAUAUGAUGUGGCGACUAGUGGCUAAUGUGUGGUUUUCAGUGAUUAUUAAUGGGACACCGAAGGGGUUCUUCACAUCCUCCAGGGGGCUGCGCCAAGGGGACCCCAUAUCACUAGCUCUGUUUAUUUUAGGGGCGGAGAUUUUAUCUCAGUCACUGAAUACUUUGUUGGAAGAUAGGCGGUUUGUGCUGUUCAAGGUUUCCAGAGGCUGCCCUAACAUUUCUCAUCUCGCUUACGCAGACGAUGUAAUGAUUUUCAAUAGCGAGUUGAAGAGUUCUUUAACGAUGGUCAUGAACUCUAUGGAAGCAUACUGUAAAGUGUCGGGACAACAGGUGAACCUCUAGAAAAGUUGUUUUUGGUGCAUCGAAGGCUUAAUGCAGCACAAAAGCGUAUCAUCUCUCAGGUUACGGGUUUCAAAGAGAAGUCUUUCCCAUUAAGUUUCUUGGUUGUCCGUUCUAUGUCGGAAGGGGUAAGAUGGCCUACUUCUCUAGAAUUGCAGAGUUAGUGUCCAAGCAGGUGUUUGCGUGGAGAAGUAAGUUGUUAUCUUAUGGUGGGAACUUGACUCUUAUUAAGAGUGUUCUUGCAUCUAUACCAAUUCAUAUAUUGGCUAUUGCGACUCCCACGAAGGGUUUCUUUCGAAGUCUGGAAAAGAUCUUUGGAGGAUUCCUAUGGGGUAGUUCAGACUACGGUUUACGGUUACAUUGGAUAAAAUGGAGCACCCUUUGUAAGCCGGUAGAGGAGGGUGGCAUGGGGAUACAGUUGUUAGAGUCGGUCCAUGACGCUUUUUCAAUGAAAUUAUGGUGGUCAUUCCGACAAAAUGUGUCCUUAUGGGCACGCUUCAUACAGGGGAAAUAUUUGCGUGGGGGUCAUCCUUGUGAAGCUGAACAAGUUUGGGGGCAAUCCCCCAUAUGGCGAAGGAUGGUGAUGGUCAAAGACCUAGCGGAACAGCAUAUUAGAUGGGUCUUGAGGAAUGGGGAAGUGGAUUACUGGCACGAAAUUUGGAUGGGGUCUGGGCCUGUGUGCGAUAAAGUGGAGUUUUUUGGGGUGCAUUCAGUGGCGAGUUUUGUUGUCCAAGGCUGGUGGAGUAUAAAUCUGUUACAGCAAUAGCUGCUGCGAGUCAUUGUGUCGAAAAUAUUACUUAUUCCUUCUCUUGUAUCCCGAUGGUCGGAUCACAUGGUGUGGGACUUAAGCUCAUCAGGUUCGUUUACAGUUUCUUCGGCUUAUCAGGUGGUGAGCCAACCUGCACCCAUGUCAUUCUUUUUGGCAAAUACAUGGCAUUCGCUGAUUCCUGCAAAAGUUUCCUUCUUUAUGCUUUGUUUGCUAGAGUCCCGACUACCAGUUAUAGAUAUUCUUUACCGUUUUCAAGUACAGGGUCCAUCUCACUGUUGGUGUUGUAAAGAGCCGGGGGUAGAGAGUCUAGACCAUAUAUUUUGCACUGGAGAGAUCCCAUCACUGGUUUGGCAGUCUUUUGAAGGGGUUGACGGAGGCCUCAGCCCAGCUUAUAUGGUGCGACAUGUGCUGGCGAAAUGGUGGUUACGGAUUACAACAAAAUCCACCUUGAAGCUUAUCUAUCGAAUUCUUCCUUGCCUAGUGUGUUGGCACCUAUGGAGGGCUAGGAACUCGGUGCUAUUCAAAGGCAAAAGGGUGACGGCGGAAGGUAUUCAUUGGUGUAUUCUCAGGGAGCUGGGAGAGAUUUUGUGUGGCCGAUUCCCCAGUCUUGCUUCUGGUGGUUUGUCUUGGUAUUCUCUUCUUGAUUUAGUGGCCCAGAGGGAUAAACCUAGUAGGAUUUCCAAGUAGAAAUGGAGCGGGUCGCCGUUCAUGAUCCCAAAGUUGAAUGUGAAUGGUUGCUAUUGGGACAACCCGGGAAGGGCAGGCGAGAGUGGUAUUCUAAGGGAUCCAUCGGGGCAUUUUAUUUUUGCUUUUGCUAACGUUGUUGAUGUAGCUAAAAGUUUGCAGGCAGACCUGAAGGCAGUGAUUGAGAGGGUGAGGCUUUGUGUACAACAAGGUUUUGCGGACGUGCACGUGGAGUUAGAUUCUUGGCUUGUGGUUCGAAUGUUCCAUGACGAGGUGGGGAUACCUUUGUGGCUAAUGCGUGACUUUGAGGAGCUUUUAGCUUUGCGCCAUCAUGUGUGUAUCAUGACGCAUUGUUUUCGAGAGGCAAACAAGUCUGCUGUUUGUCUUGCUAGGGUUGGCAUUACCUCGGGCAUCAACCGGGUAUUCGAGUCGUUGGAUCAACUUCCCCUAGAGGUUUGAAGUGAGGUUACUUUGGAACGCGUAGGUACCCUUCUAUUAGGAUUGAAUAGUGCUCGUCAGAAUAGUGCAAUAGCUCUUUGUACUCCGCCAUUUACGUAUAAGCAAUAAAAGGGAAUUUUUAUUUUAAAAAAAAUCAAGAAAGUUGCACAUUGAAACAAGAGGGAAAAAGAGCGCAUACCUAUAUGUAUGAUACAAUUUUACGCCUUGCUUAAGUAUUUGGACAACUUAAAUAUUGAUGAAUAGUGGAACAAAUUAAUUUACACAUUUAAUCGGAUAAUUGGAUUAGCGUAUAUGUAUUGCUUGACCAUAAAUACACAUAUACCCAUUGUUUCAUUUUUAUGUUUGUUGGUGUAUAUGUUAUUGUGUAGUUUGCUUUUCGUUUAUGGAAUCAAUGAUUGUCAUACACAAAAAUUAAAAGUAUAAUUAGUUGCAUACUGCCCUAGAAAAAUAGUAUUUUCUUUUUGUUGUAUAAAAGAUUACAAGGUAUAACACGUCAAUUUUUUUGACCUUCAAGACAAAAUUAAAGAUUUCAUAAUUCCUAAUCUAAAAAUGUAUCAAAUUAUUGAAUAACAAUUGAUACUCGAUCAUUUAGGUUGAGAAAUUUCAGUCAAAUUCAAGGGAUACUUUUCAUUUGAUUGUUUUAGGAUAUCAUAAAUGAGGAGCAUUUUGUGGCUGACAAUCGGUAUACAACUAAAAAAUUGUUGAAUAUUUAACUAAUAGUCCACAAGAAGAAGAAAAGGGAAAAGAUUUUGAAAAAGAAAAAGUGCACAAUAUGUUUAUGGGAAAAAUGUACAGACCUUCUCAAUAAAAGUAUUCCAAAAAGAUGUAUUAAAGAAAAAAAGAAAGGAAUGAAGUAUAUGUUGGAGAAAGCAAGAUAUAUGUAAAAGAUGAAAUAUUGUUUGCUAGCAUAUAUAUAAAAGUAGUUUUCAGCCAAUUCAAGUUCCAAUAUAACUUAAAAAGUAUGGUGAAUAAAUUGUUCAAAAAAACUUGGUGUAUUUAUUACGUACGGCAUUUAUUAUGCCUAAGUUAGAUGUACUAUUAUAAUCUGUAGUACUUUGGCAUGCAAUUAUAUGAGGUUGAUUUUUUUUUAUCACAAAAGUGCAAUUCUGUAAACAUCAAGGAAUGUCUCAUAUCUAACUGUGUUUUGUCUAAUUGCUAUAAUUCUUAUUAAAUUUGUUGUAUUUUACUUGAGGAGCUAUUCAGAAUCAUAUUUUUAAUUACACCAAAAUUGUAUAAAUUUACAAAAAAAAAAUCUUAUAAGUAUUACAUACCCUAAUAUAACCCAGCAAAAUUCAACUAGACCUGCCCUUCUGGCAACAUAUUUCUGCAAUCUUCUACGUUUCUGGAGCUCUCAUCUGCAAAUACCAAGUAACUUACAUUUUGUUACACUAUCUUGAUUCUAAAUGAGCAAGGGUUGUACUCGUACAAAACAUAAAUAGAAUUCGAAAAAAACUAAGUGAUAAAAGGUGAAAAUAUUGUGAAACAUUCAGUAUUAGCCCUAUAUGAAAAUUUUACUCUAUGUUCUAUACUUGAAUCACUUUUUCCAUGGUUCUUGCAAAAUAUUGACAGUAGCAUGCAAACCAAAAAAAAAAUCUGAAACUGUAAAAAAAAAAAAAAGAAGGGUUAAAUUAUGUUGUGGAACUGUGGAAAAGAAUAUUGAGUAUUCACAGAAGCAUGCAAUUCCAUGCAACUCUACUCCCACCUCAAAAAAAAAAAUGUCAUACAAGUAACAGCCACCUUUUUUUUCGGUCGCAAUACAAUUAAUUCUUCACAAGGGCUGCCAAGGUCACCUUCAACAGUAGUAUUUUGAUUGAGCUGUGGCAUUAUUGAUCUGAGUCUAUAACAAGAUAUGACCAAGUAAAAUCUAUAUUGGCCAUGUAUGACAAAUCCGAAAAUCCAACUAUAUUGCCAAACUUUUAAUGAUCAUUAUCCAUUUCCUCACACUGGGAAAAUUGUGGAUAUGUAUACAGCCCCCUAAAAGUGAAAGCAACCCUUAUUUGUUAUACUAUCCUAUGAUCCAGGAAAGGUGUCUAGUCCAAGACUUUAAUCGUAUUGGGAUAAGAGGUGGGGAAGAAUAGUGUUGAGAGGUCACCAUUAGAAAAGCCCUGUCAAUAAAGCAUAGCCCGAGAGGUCACUCCAAAAAAAAAAAAAAAAAAAAAAACUGUGAGGUUGGAGAUUUUUGUGCAGUGAAGCACCUGUUUCUUUGUCGUUGAAGGUAACUAAUGAAAUCAUGAUGUAUAAAUCAUACGUGGAAGAGAUUAAUGUGGGCUCCAAUAUUCUCUACUUCAAAAAUUUUUAUUCUAUUCCUAUAUUAGUUAAUUAGUAUCCUAAUGUACCCUUCAAAGCAAUUAGUAAUUUAGUGUUCCUACAUUAUGUUGCUUGACAAGUCGACUCUAGGUAGAACAACUUUUGCUCAUACGGACUUCUCGAAUGAAUUAUUAAAUCAGCUAAGAUACAUCGAAAUGUACUUUAAUUCAAUUUUUUUUUCUUUUGUUGCUAAAUGGAUCAUCGUUUUAUUUCUUCUUUUUUACAUGACAGUGAAGUGUUCCUCUAUUUUUUUUUUCUUUCCAUAUCAGUUUCACGUACAAAAAAAAAACACAAUCCAAAAAGAAUAUGUAAAUAACGGAAAUAGUUGGGCAAAUUCAAAGUGCUUUCAAUACAAGUAUUGAAUUCUUACUAGUUGAGCCACAAUACCUUGGUAGAGAUUUAUUUGUGUGACUUAUCUCCUACAUCAGAAAUUUUGCAAAGCUUCUUGUCCUUUGGAGGCCAUAAAUAUAGAAGGUUUUAGCAAGAUUGAGUAGACAAAACCCCGAGAUAGGCUAGUUGGGGCUUUGGAUCAUAGAGCCUUCUGUAUUUCUUUGCGCUUUCUUUUUGUCUUGUGCUUCCUUGUAUUAGUGCUUAUAUGUCUAAAAUUACUUUUCUGUAAUUUUAUCUGUAAUUUUACUUUUAAUAGUUUCUAUGAAAUUUAUCCUAAACUUCAUAAAAUAUUCUAAUUUUAAUGUUAUUUUUUUUAUUGUUUUACAUAUUUAUGCCUGACAUAAUUCACCCCUUCAAAAGUAACAAUUCAGUAACCAAAGGAAUGGAAGGAAGCCAAAGAAGAAGAAGAAGAAAAUAUGAAGAAUUUUUCAAUAUUUACAAGUUGAUCGACAAGUUAUUCUUAAAAGGUAUUUAUCAUGUUGAAGUGUUUUUGUGCGUGUGUCCAAAUGAAAUUAGUUAUUUACUCAAAAUUUUCAAUUAUUAGAAUAACAGGGUGGGGAAACAAAUGAAGACGAAAUGAUUUUAGAGAAUUUUUUUUCUAAUUUUUCCCAGUAAGGAAUGAGUGGAUUUAAGGAGCGAAGAGAUGAUAGGAGAAUUAAAAUUCAGGACCUCUAAUUUUUGGGAUCUCAACUUCAGCCAUUAAACUAAAGAACUACCAUUAUGUGAAAACCACCAUCUUCAUCAUGAGUCAUGAAGUAGACAUUAAUUCUUUUGCUAUCAAUCAACAUUUGAAAUUGAUCAUCAUCUUUAUACACCCUUAGUUACUAGUAUUAUCUACAAAGAAAUAUGAAUAAAUUACAUUUUACCCUUCUGUAGUUUGGCACUUUACCACAUAAUCCACUUACGAUUUUAAAAUUUAUAUAUAACCCCCGCAUGAUCGAGAAUAUAAGUGUACACAUAUACACUACUCUUAAACCUUUUUUAAGUGUAAAAUAUGUUAUUCAUGUCCAAACACUAGAAUUCAAUUCACUGGCCAAAAGUCAAUUGAACUUUUGUUUUCAGUUCCUUUUUUUUCAAGCUUUAAUUUCAGAUAGACAUGACUGUAUUUCUAAGUUUUGAUGCAAGAUAUCAUUCAUUUUGGUCUAUUUGUUUUGGUUGACUAAAAAUAAUUCUUGAUCAUGGGGGGAUUAUUUAUAAGUUUCUAACUUUUAAUCGCAGUCACAAUUGCAAGUAAUCUCAAUCGCAGUCACAUUUGCAGCGGUUGCUGUAGAAUCCAUUACUCACAUGGGCUGCCGACAUCUCUUCGGCCAGCCUCGUUUAAUUUCAGCUGUAGCAUUCAGUCCUCUGGGUCUACAUAGCCAAGUAAACCUUCACUAUGGCUACCUAUUACAAAUCCAAAUAUCUCUAUCAGCAUUCCCAAACUUUUGAUCAUUAUAGAUUUCCACACACUAGGAAAAUAGUGAAAUUGUAUACAGGUGACUAAAAGUGAAAGCAACCCUUUACCCGUCUUAGUGGAAAAUACAUUUAAUUAUUAUAAUAUAUUUAGGCUAUCAUUCUGGUGAUUAUAUACACGUAUACAUAUACAUACAUACAUACUCUGGUCGAAGACUUUCGCCUUUAGAGAUAAUUAGAAAGAACAAGAAAAUUAUUUAGAGGCAUAAGCGUAGAGCUGGAAAAUGUUCAUACUACUUUUUGUAAGAUUCAACAUGCAAAGUUUUAUGGCUGUUUACUCAUGAAUAAUUUUUUUUGUGCAAUAUUUAUCCAUUAAAUUAUGUUAUUACUUGCUGCUUGAAGUUGAAUGUUGAAUUUUCUAAUCAGUUAAUCCAAUUGGCAUUCUUGAAAUUUAUGACAUACGGCUUAAUUUGUUUCCACUUAGUUUCCUAGUACACUAUUUCAAACUAGAUUAAUAGCUUGACCUCAUUUAUUUGCACUUUAUUUUAGUACCCAUUCUCAAUUUUCACCAUAAAGCUUAUAUAGUAUUUGUCUAGUCAUAAGCACUUGUUGAAUUCUAAUCAUUGUGGUCGGGCACAUAAUUUUUUAGAAACAAAAAAUAUCAAGUGAAAACCAUAGUUAUUAAACCCGGUCCGAAGAGGAACCUGGCGAAAGAGGUGGGUGAACGGGUUACUGGUUUAACUAGUGGGUGAGUGGUUCAACCGGUGGAUCACUAAAUAUAUUUAAAUAUUAUGUUUCACAAUUUUUGAUAUGGUUAAAACUAUAAUAAAUUAUGCCAUAGUAAAUGCUCAAUUAGUCUAAUUUAUUAUAGAAUCAUUAAUUCUUGUAAGAAUUAACAAAACCUAAAUUCAAUUAGUAAUUCAUCAAAUUUCAAGUAUAAAAUUUUAUCUUUGUGUAAUUAUCUAGUUUAUUUAUGAAUUUUAAGUGCAAAAGAUUAUUUAUGAAUUGUAUGAUAUGUUAUUUUUUAAAUACAUUUCAUAAUUGAUAGAGUUUGGGGAAUAAUAAAAUUUAUUAAAGAUUCCAAAUGAAUUGUGUUUUGAAGAAAUAAAAUAAGAAUAAAAGUCUAAUAUAUAAUAUAAGAAAGACUAAACAAUCAACAAAUGAGCUGUUGGUAUAGUGGUGAUUUCAUUGACUAAUAUACAUAAGGUUGUUCGAACCAUUGCUUUAGCAUCUUUCAAAAAUUUUUAACAUGUAAACCGGGUUCCCUACAAAACCGGACGGUUCAUCGGGUUGAUCGGUUGAACUGUCCGGUUGAAUGGUCCGGUCUGUUGACAAGUCAACGGUUCACUUGCAGAAACGAUCCAAUUAAUAACCCAGCCCAGCUUAAUGACCGGUUCAUCAGGUUGACCGGUCGAACCAUCGGGCCGGACCGAGUUCAAUAACUAUGGUUAAAACAAUUAAAAUAGGAUAAUCAGCUAACAACAACAGAUAUGCCUACAAUUUGCAACUCUUUUAAUUUUAUAUUAUGUUAUGUGAAUCGAAAGUGCUUUGUCAGUUUCCAGACAUUAAACAUAACUCAAAAACUUCUUUAUUACAUCAUGCAUAUUAAAAUUGUUAACAGGAUAUUUUUUUACUAUGACAUGAAAAAUAAGAUAAAUAUAUGCUUUCAAGCAUAUAAGAUAUGUCAAACAUUUCCAUAUGCAGCUUUUAAACACAAAAAAUUCUUCAUACAAAAGCAUCUUAGGCUAUAAUUGUAUUUAAUUUGUAACAAAUUCAAAAUUGAGCUAUAGCACUUUUCAAACCUUACUGUCUACGCCAAGAUGACGAACUCAAUCAUAGUAUGUUUUCGUAUUAAUUUACUAUUAUGGCUAAACUUAGGCAUUGUUUGGAUUGAAAGAAUGAAGGGAAAGGAAAUGAAAGACACCAAUAAAAAGGAAAGGAAAGGAGAGUAGAAGAAAACUAUUUCUAUCUAUUUUGUUUGGAUUGAACAUGGAACCAAAAAAAAAAAAAAAAUGCCAAAUUUUUGUUUGAAUUGAUGGGGAAAAAAAGAAAAGAUCAAGUGUUAGUUAACUAAAAAUGAUGAAAAGAAUAAUCUUUUAACAAAAUUUAAAUUAUUUUAUGAAAUUUGAUUUUCUACCUCUCCAUUUUUACCCACAUUUAAAUGAAAACUAUAACUUGACAAAAUAAUUAGAUAAUUUUCCUCCCUUUUGACAGUGUCGAGCCUGUACAAUAAUAAAUACCUGCUCAAAUAAAGUAUAAAUUUUGUAUACAGUAGUAAGCAGGGUCGAAUCCACAGAGAUUGGAGAUAAUUCGUUCCUUUUCAAGUUAGGAAAAUUUAUGGGGAUUUUGGAAAAUUAAGAGACUAAAAGAAAGUGAUAUAUCAAAGCAAUAAAAAUACGAGAAAUAAGUAAUGGAAAAAGCUCUAGCCAAAGAUACACCUCAGAAGUGGUUCAGGCAACUGAUCAUUGAUUCAAAUAUAAUUCCAAUAUUCAUUAAUAAAUAGGUUUUUAAUUGCCAAUACGAUUUGACAAUCAGUUUCUCCAUACUGUUUCGAUAGUCAAGGUAUGACCAUUGACUAUUUCUCUAAUUCAGAAAUAACCCUAGGUACGACCAUAGAAUUUAAUUUCCUAAUUACAUUAAAAAUUAGAGAAUCCCUGUUCUAAUUAAUAAACACGUUACGAGGGUUUAUUUAAAUUAGCCUAUAUGUUUCCCUAACACAAAUCCAAUUAUGUCAAUUGCUAUCGGGAUGAGAGUAAUCAAACAAUUAUGAAUUCAACCAUCCCAAUUAGCAAAUAGAUUACGUAAAUAAUUAAAUAUCGCGCAACUAUUCAAUCAUAUACAAUUAUCAUAGCCACGAAAAGUAGAAAACAUACAAAUAUCAACGAAUGAAAGAAGCAAUUAAAAUAAUUUAGAUCUCACAGUUAUUGUUGAAUCAAAUCUUCAGUUGUUCCUUGACUAGAAGAAGGAAAUUUAGCUACUCUUUAUUGAAAAUAACCCACGUAAUUUCAUUGACAAAAGUUGUGCGAGCCUUCAACAAUGGAAAAAUAAUGAAAAGAAAAUGAAAGGAAGGAAAACAAAAGGAAGGAACGACGCUUUUCUUUUGCCUUCCAGGCCUGCCGCCCAGUCUUUUUGCUUCCUUCAAGUAUUAAUCAUGCAGGAUGCCGGCCUUUUCUCUUCCUAUUUUCUAGUUUUCUAAGGAAAACAAACUCCUAAUUGAAAAAGGAAACAUUCUAAAGAGAUAAUACUUAAUUGUUUCCUAAUUCAACUCUACAACUAACAAAGAUAAUUAAAGUCUUCCAAAUUCACCAAAGAUGUCCAUAUUUGACUCGAACUAGGAAAUCUCCAUGCGCGAUAAAUUCUCGAGUCUUCUGGACUUGAAUAUAGGUCUCGAACGUACCACCACCAAAUUAGCUGAAAAUUGCCCCUUUUAAUCAUGUUUUGGUUAUUUUCCUACAAUUAGCACUAUUAACCAAAUAUAAGUAGAAUCUAUGAAUUAAAACAAUAUUUGGUAAAGUAAAAGAGGAAAAUAAUUAUAAAAUUGAUGAUAAAAAUGUAACCUAUAAAUUUCCCCCAUACCUAAACCAUGCUUGUCCUCAAGCAUGAGAACAACAAAUCAAGCAAUCAAAAUCAAACAAUGACUAUUGCUCAAAUCUUCUAUUGUCAAGAUACAAUUAAAAUACAUGUCAGGUAUUGGUGGUUAAUCUCUGAGAAAUAUCUCUCUAGUUAGAUUUCAAGAUCAAAAACUUUUUCAAUUUAUGACUAACUAAUCCAAGAAUAUAAAAUAUUCAACCAGCAUUUUUUAACAAACGAUUCAACUAUUAAGCAAAAUCUUGACAUUAAAAUUUAUGGAUCAGCAGGCUAACAAUUCAUUCAAACACUUUCACAUUUUUCACUAUUAGCACAUAUUUUUUUCUUUUCUAGAAUAUCCCAACACUUGAGUUUUUUUUUUUAGGGGGAAUGCUUUGUCUUUAGUCAUUUAAUCGUUUUGAUGCGAAUUCCGAUAUUUGUCAAAUAAAAGAGUCCGGUUACUUAGCUCUCAUUAUUUAAAAACCACAUACUCAUAGUUAUCGUCGUUUUUUGACGCGAAAAUCAACACUUUUGGUGAAGACCUCCGGUUACUAGGCAACGAUACUAGCGGAGUAUAGCCAAAUACUGUUCAUAAAUAAGCAUCAAAUUAAAAUUAAAGAUCACACAAACCCGCUUCAUUUCUUAAACAUGGAGAAUUAAGAUUAAUAGUUAACUAAUUUGCACAAAAAAAUACUAGAUAAAUAUUUACAAUACUUAGAGAAGUUAACCAAAAAGUACAAAAGUCAUAAAAUCUCAAAUAUUUGCCAAAAAGAUACCUUUAGAUUUAACCAUGUCAUACUUAACACCUUAGAGUAUAAAAUCUUAGCAAUAGAAAAAUUUGAAACAUCUAACCAUCGUUUAUCAGGAACAACCACAAAUAUGCACAAAGAUAGGCAAAAAUUGAAUAAAAUUCUAAAAAAAUCGAACAAAAAAUUCUAACAAAAAUGCCUAUGUUGCACUUUUUCAAUAUACUACUCCCCCCACACCUAAAUAUUACAUUGUCCUCAAUGUAAAGGAUAAAGAAUCAAAAGGUGAAAUAAAAAGGACAGCAAAACUUCCCUGAGAAUUGAGGGGGUUCAUGGACAGUUAAAGGUGAUGGGCAAAUGACUGUGGAGCUUGACGUAUGUUGAUGGUUGGUGGCGGUGGAGUUCAGAUGGAAAGAAUGGAAGAAAGAAAGAAAGAAGAAAGAAAAAGAAAAGAGAAAGAAAGAAAGAAAAAGAAAAGGAAAAAGGAAGAGAAAAGGAAGAGAAAAGAAAGGGAAAAAAAUUAUUUUUUUGGACCACUGCGUUAGACAUGAGCACGCCUAACUGCCUUUAAGUCUUCUGACCAACCCUCGAAAAUUAAGUUCCUUAAGCGUGACCAUAUGACGUGGGCACGCCUAACUAUUAGAGAGUCUUCUGCCCGCAAACGAAAAUUGCCUCUCUUAGGCAUGCCUAAUUGGCGUGGGCAUGCUUAACUGUCCUCGAGUCUUUUGAUGGUGGAGUUUAUUUGUGCAUUUACCACUUGCCCUUUAGACACGGGCGCAUCAUGUCGGGAGGAAGUCUGCUAAUCAUUAACAACAAAAAAUUAAACCACCAAAUAUGAAAAAUCUGAGAGAAACAUAUUGAAACACAUAAAAAAAACAUUUAACAAACAACUAAAAAAUGGAUUGGGUUGUCUCCCAAUAAGCGCCUUUCUUUAAUAUUUUUGACUAGACAUUACCAUGUUUAUUCACGGAGGAUAAAAUCGUGUAACUCGUUUCAGUGCUUCAUCUUCUAUGUAAGCCUGAUAACCCUCAUAAAUCGAGUAACCAUUGUGCACAUGAGGUAAGGUCUUCCAUGGACUAGUAGAUGACGCCAAACAAAUCAACAAUAAUUUUAAUUCUUCACUCACUUCUCUAUCACGAGCACUUAUUGGUUCGAGAUAUUUUGCCAUCGCAACUCUUAACUUAUUCCUGUCAUGAAAUUCAAAAUCUUCUGGUAUAAUAAAGUCUAUCUCACUAACAGGAAUUAAAGAAUAAGAGUCAGGAGAAUAUUGAUUAAGGAAUGGAGGAGAUGUCACUGCAUUUAGAGAUUGUUCAUUGGAUUCAUUCACUUGAACGAUUUGAUGUCACUGCAUUUAGAGGUUGUCGAAGCCUGUGCAAUAAUAAAUACCUGCUCAAACUAAAAGUAAUUUCUGUAGACAGUGGUGAGCAGGGUCGAAUCCACAGGGACUGGGAGUAAUUGUUUCUUUUCAAAUUCACAGUGACAAUGGGGUGUUUUUAUGCAGAAGGUGACAAUAAAAGAAGUUCAAAUAAAAUCUAAGAAACUACUAAAAAUUAAUUAACAAAUUACUAAAAUCGAAUGAAUGAUAAUUAAGGAUCUAGCCAAGGAAUAACUUCAGCAAUGGUUCACCUAAUUGAUCAUCGAUAAGCAAAGGCAAUCCCAAUUAUUUACUAAUAAAUAGGUUAUAACUGCCAAACAAGCGAUGACAGUCAACCCCUCCUUACUGUGUCGAUGAUUAAGGUACGCCCGUUAAUCACUGCUCUAAUUGAGAAAUAAUUCUAGGUACGCCCGUAGAAUUUAAUUCCCCAAUUGCCUUACGUAUUAGAGGAGCCCUAUUCUAAUCAAAUAACGCACUAUCAGGGUUAUUUUAGAUUAGCCCGCGUAUUCCCCUGACACAAACCUAAUCAUGCCAGUUGUCACUAUUUUAGAGCAAUUAAACAAUUACGGAUUUAAUGCCCUAAUUGACAAUAGAUUACCAAAUCAAUUAAUUAUCCGGAUCCAAGACAACCAAUUAAUUAAAUAACCAUAAGCUUAGCAAUCAGGAAAUAUGCGAAUACCAACAAAUAAAAGGGAAAGAUUAAAUUAAAUCGAUCUCACAAUUUUUAGGUAACCCAAAGCAUCCGUCGUUUCCUGACUAGAAUGAGGAGAUUAGUUCAUAUUUGAUGAACAAAAUCCACACAAAAUUGAAACAAGAGUCGCGGCCAUCAACUCCGAAAUUGGGAAAUGCAAUUCACUCGAAGGAAUAAAGCAAAGUAAAGUAACAAUGGAUGAUUUAGUCUUCAGUGCUCCUGACUCACGUAGGAGGUAGCCACAAAAGAUUCCAAGGAAAAGUCAAAAGCUCUCCACUACAAGACGAAGGAGACCAAACGGUCAAAGGAAAAGCUAAACUAUAAAAAUGGAAAAACUAAGAGGGAAGCCAGCUCCCUGCUGUGCGGCGGCUCUGUGCGGCGCCCUCCCUUGCGGAGAGGACUCCGGAGGAAUAAGAAGCUCUCCACUUCAGCUCUGCGUUCCUCCUUUUAAUGCUGCCAUCUGCGAAUUACCAAAAAAGACUUGUAUCUCCUUAUUCCAGAAAUGCCCUCGAUUGCCUGCUAUGUGAACUCUUUCUCGAUAACUGUCAAAUUGGCCUUUAUUGUGACAUUUUUGUUCUACUCCCUGAAAUAAAUGUAAAUUACGAAAAGUGAGUAGAAUCUAAUAAUUAAUUCACAUUGGGUUAAGUAAUAGGAAAAAUUAAUAAUAAAAUUAACUAUCAAAUUGCAACCUAUCAAUUUCCCCCACACCUAAACCAUGCUUGUCCUCAAGCAUAAGAAAAGUAAACAAGCACCAAUAUUUGAUAAUGGUCAUUGCUCUAUCCAACAAAUUGCCAAGGUACCAAGAAAAAUAAUAAUCAAGAAUCAAUGGUCAAGUCCAAGAAACAUCACUCCGGUUAGCUUCUAAACCACAAACUCCUCUAAUUUUAGGUUAACUAAUCUAAGAAAAAGGAAUGACGCAUAACAUUUAUCAGUAAAUGGUCCAACUAUUAACCAAAAUCUUCAACAUUAAAUCCAUAAUUCGGCAAGCUGACGUUUAUUACACACUAACACAACCUUCACUUGUUUUUUCUACUUUUUUUUUUUGUUUUUUUUUGUUUUUCAAUAGUAACAAAAGACUUAGUCGCUAGCCAUUUGAGCCUUUUGACGCGAACUCCAACAUUGGCCAGAUGAAGGAGCCCGGUUACUCAGCUUCUAUCGCCGCGUGACCACGUACUCAUAGCAAUUACUACUUUUUGACGCGAGAAUCGACACUUUUAGGUGCAGAUCCCCGGUUACUCAGUAGUAACUAAUAGCGGAGUACAGUCAAGUUUAUGCAUAGCUAAAAAUCACAAAAAGUCAAUAUAACACAAGAACCAAAAGAAAACUUGCAUCAGCUAGCCUCAUUUUCAAACAUGGAGAACUAAAGUUAAUAACCGGACCAAUUCACUAAAAAUGCCAACAAUCAUUCCCUAUGCCUAAGAAAGUUAACCAAAAAUUAUAAGAGUAAAACAAUUAUUGAUAUUCACCAAAGAGAUGUUCUUGAAUUCAACCACAUUAACUUGAUACCCUUUUAUUAUUAAAAUUGGCAAUAGUAGAAACAGAGACAAUAAUCCAACAUCAAACCUUGGCAUGCACUUACGAGCCAAUCACUAAAAAGAAAAAAAAAAUGAACGAGAGGUGGACAAAUAACAAACUAAAAAUAAAGAACUAGUAUAGCUGUCCCCCCCACACCUAGAUCCUACAUUGUCCUCAAUGGAGGGAUUAAAGCAAUUAAAGCGAAGAGGGCAACGAAACUUCCCUCACGAGUGGCCAAAGGAUAGGAGGGAACAGUGGAAGGAAGCCGAGCUCUGAGACAUCCUUGCCACUUGGCGGGUGAUGUUCGUCAUUCGUUCAUCUACGUUGUGAACCUGUGCUUGUAAGUGGCGCCACUCACCAUUGACGCCAAUUAUCACCCCAAGCAACAAAAGACAGAAUAUCCAACAAAGAUAGCAAUCACCAACGCACAUUCAUAGUCACCGGUGUUCCCCAACUCAACAAUUAAAAGCAAACACGGGCCACCCAAGCCCAAAUAUGGUCAACAAAGCAACAGUUGCACUCCAAAACUAACAACCAGCAAUUAUUAUCAACAACUAGAAACUAGCAAGGUCACGUCAAUAAGCACAGGGGCUACCCAAAUCAGUCAGUCAACAAGCAAACUCGGGCCAUCCAUACUCUCAACAAAUGCAUUCUAAAAUUUCAACAAAUAUCUCCAGAAAUUUCAACAAAUGCUAUAGCAGAUCAAAGCAGUAGUAAAGCAAUAGCCCCAAGUAUGUACUAAUCCACCAGUUGGGAACCCCGGCCACUGAGGUCACAAACAAUGGUCCCAAAAUAGCAAUAUUAACCAAUCACCAGGAUGUCUUCCAUAAUUAAUAAAUGCUACCAAUCUCACAAGUAAAACAAGCGGCCAGAUAUUCCAAUUCAACAUGCAAAAGCAGAAUCAAAUCGCCCAAAUGUCACUAGACAGUUGCAGUAUUUCAGCUCACCCAAAAUCCCAACAAAUGGCUCCAGUUGGCCAAUAAAAGUCGCAACUCAAAAUUAUUAAUUUCAAUGAUAACAGCUCAGGGAUUGGACAAUGAUCACUUGGUCAACUAAAUAGAAGUAUGCAAUUGAGGUCCAAUUACCUCACCAGUACCACUGGUGUAGUAAACUUUGGAAAAGAAAUCACACACUACCACUAGCCGGCCACCGAUAAACCAAAAUAACAACUAUCAAUGCCAACAAUUGAGAAUUUCAACAAUCAAAACACAGGCAGAGCUGCCGUCCUAAUUAGCAAAAGAAAAUUUCACAACACCAGCCCACCCAAUGUAGUCAAAUCGUAACAAGGGCCCCAAUAAUAUGGCAUACCAGUGACAGCAUUUCAGAAAUUAAACAAUUACAACCCAAUCACAAAACCUCAGCAGUUAACCAGGUGGCCAACCGAAUGAAAUGAAGAAAUUAGGGGGGGCAACUUCCAAUUACCUCCACCGUAGGUAGUAGCCAGACGAAAUGGGACAGUAGUGGGUGUCAGUUGUGCCGGAAUCGCGUGAGGGGUUGCGGCGGUGUCGAUGAAAACAGCGGCGGUCAACGGUGGAGCAGGAGCGAGCGGCGCGCUAUGGAGGUGAAGAUGGCGGUGGAGCGCGCAAGGUGGGCCGCGACUGGCGACGGAGAGCCGCGCUCUGGUGGAGCGCUGGGGUCGCGGGCGGCGGCUGGUUGCGGACAGUGGAGGCGAUGUGGUGGACGGCACUGUCUGGCGGGCGGCGAUGGGGGCUGGUGGAGGUCCGCUGAGUGGCGGCGGUGGACCAGAGAGAAGAGAGAUGGGAGAGCUGCGGCGGUAGGCUGCUGCGUGAUGGGGGUUGCGGCGCAAGUGGGCGGCGGGCAACAGAGAGGGAGCAAGGGAGGAAGAAAGAAGAAAGAAGAAAGAAGAAGAAGAAAGAAAGAAAAAAAAAAGAAAGAAAGAAAGAAAAGAAGGAAAAGAAAAAUUUUUUUUCUACGGAAAUCAAAUUUUUUUUUGAAUUUUGGAAACUAAAGCUACGUUGAUAAGAAAAAUUUUCUUUGUUCUUUGUUCUUUUUUUUUUUUUUUUUUUUUUUAAUCCUUACCUUUCCCGCGAACGUGACGCGGGCACGUCAAGAGGGCAGGAGAGCUCCUCAAAUUUUUUUUUGAAUUUUGGAAACUAAAGCUACGUUGAUAAGAAAAAUUUUCUUUUUUUUUUUUUUUUUUUUUUUUUUUUUUUUUUGAAUCCUUACCUUUCCCGCGAACGUGACGCGGGCACGUCAAGAGGGCAGGAGAGCUCCCAGAAGUUUCAGAAAUUUCUGAUCGUGAGCUUCCUGCACGUCCCCACGCGGGCACGUCAAGAGGGCAGGAGAGCUCCCAGAAGUUUCAGAAAUUUCUGAUCGUGAGCUCCCUGCACAUCACCACGCGGGCGCGUCAUGACUGAAGGGCACCUAUAAAUCAGCAAAAACGAAAAUUAACACCCAAAAUCAGUCAAAUUCAAGGAAAGCAGAUUUAAGCUAUGACACGAAACCAAUCAAGCAAUUAAAAGAAACAAUUGGGUUGCCUCCCAAUGAGCGCCUUUCUUUAAUGUCUUUGGCUAGACAUUAUCAUGUUUUGCUCAUGGCGGAUAAAAUCUUGUAGCUCGUCUUAAUGCUUCAUCCUCUAUAUAGUCCUGAUAACCCUCGUAGAUGGAGUAAUUCUUGGGCACACGAGUUACGGGCUUCCAUGGACUAAUAAAUGGCGCUAAACAAGUCAACAAUGAUCUGCAUUCUCCACUCACUCCUCCAUCACACGCAUUCAUUGGUUCAAGAUAUUUUGCCAUCUCCACUCUUAACUUAUUCCUGUCAUGAAAUUUUAAAUUUUCUGGUAUAAUAAAAUCAAUUUCAGUAACAGGAGUUGAAGAAUAGGAGUCAGGAAAAUAUUGAUUAAGGAGUGGAGAAGAUGUCACCGCAUUUGGAGAUUGUUCACUGGAAUCGUUCACUUGAAUGAGUUGAUCCUGGAGUCUCAUUUCUUGCACUUCAGCUUCCUUUUCAACUGCAUCUUUAAAUCCGUUUUCUUGAAACUCUUGCAGUUCCAUGUCAUUUGGCCGGACAAUUGCACUCUCAUCUUCUUCUAGAUCAACAAUGGUUUCCGAGGGCAAUUCUUCCCUUUGAGAAGCCAAUCGAUUCACUCUGGAUGUCAAUAGACAUAGUUGAUCUGCCAGAUAAUUCAUUGCAUCCUUCAUCAUCUCAUCCUCCAUUUGUGUCUCCUGUUGGAAUUGGUAUGUAUUAGUAGCUAUUGGUUCAACUAUUUCUUCAGGAUACAUACCUGACAUAGAUGACGAUUCUUGAGACUCAUACUGCUGAAAAUUCAUUGGCCCCGUUGAAUAAUUAUAAUUGGAGUUUUCCCACCAUCCUUGAUCAUACCCGUAUGGAUUAGGGUCAUACCACGUUUGAGACCAGGGUGAAAAAUCUCCGUAAUUAUUGAAUGGGACACUCUGAUUAUCUUGAUAUUCGGGGCACAUACCUGUUGAAUGAUCCCUGGCAUAACAAAUUUUACAGGUUGCAGCAGCCAUUCUUUUUCUAAUAGAGUUUACUGCCUCUGCAUAUGCAGACUCAGCAAUAAAACUAGUCACAUCGCAUUUUCCGGAAAGAAAAUCCAGUAUUUCACCAAAAUACGAAGUGUUAGAAGCCAUAAAAAAAAUAAGAGAAAAAAAUGAAUUAAAAAUGAAAACAAGGUGAACUCAAAAAGAAACAAAUUAAUCUGACACCAGUCCCCGGCAACGGCGCCAAAAAUUGACAGGUUGUCGAAGCCUGUGCAAUAAUAAAUACCUGCUCAAACUAAAAGUAAUUUCUGUAGACAGUGGUGAGCAGGGUCGAAUCCACAGGGACUGGGAGUAAUUGUUUCUUUUCAAAUUCACAGUGACAAUGGGGUGUUUUUAUGCAGAAGGUGACAAUAAAAGAAGUUCAAAUAAAAUCUAAGAAACUACUAAAAAUUAAUUAACAAAUUACUAAAAUCGAAUGAAUGAUAAUUAAGGAUCUAGCCAAGGAAUAACUUCAGCAAUGGUUCACCUAAUUGAUCAUCGAUAAGCAAAGGCAAUCCCAAUUAUUUACUAAUAAAUAGGUUAUAACUGCCAAACAAGCGAUGACAGUCAACCCCUCCUUACUGUGUCGAUGAUUAAGGUACGCCCGUUAAUCACUGCUCUAAUUGAGAAAUAAUUCUAGGUACGCCCGUAGAAUUUAAUUCCCCAAUUGCCUUACGUAUUAGAGGAGCCCUAUUCUAAUCAAAUAACGCACUAUCAGGGUUAUUUUAGAUUAGCCCGCGUAUUCCCCUGACACAAACCUAAUCAUGCCAGUUGUCACUAUUUUAGAGCAAUUAAACAAUUACGGAUUUAAUGCCCUAAUUGACAAUAGAUUACCAAAUCAAUUAAUUAUCCGGAUCCAAGACAACCAAUUAAUUAAAUAACCAUAAGCUUAGCAAUCAGGAAAUAUGCGAAUACCAACAAAUAAAAGGGAAAGAUUAAAUUAAAUCGAUCUCACAAUUUUUAGGUAACCCAAAGCAUCCGUCGUUUCCUGACUAGAAUGAGGAGAUUAGUUCAUAUUUGAUGAACAAAAUCCACACAAAAUUGAAACAAGAGUCGCGGCCAUCAACUCCGAAAUUGGGAAAUGCAAUUCACUCGAAGGAAUAAAGCAAAGUAAAGUAACAAUGGAUGAUUUAGUCUUCAGUGCUCCUGACUCACGUAGGAGGUAGCCACAAAAGAUUCCAAGGAAAAGUCAAAAGCUCUCCACUACAAGACGAAGGAGACCAAACGGUCAAAGGAAAAGCUAAACUAUAAAAAUGGAAAAACUAAGAGGGAAGCCAGCUCCCUGCUGUGCGGCGGCUCUGUGCGGCGCCCUCCCUUGCGGAGAGGACUCCGGAGGAAUAAGAAGCUCUCCACUUCAGCCCUGCGUUCCUCCUUUUAAUGCUGCCAUCUGCGAAUUACCAAAAAAGACUUGUAUCUCCUUAUUCCAGAAAUGCCCUCGAUUGCCUGCUAUGUGAACUCUUUCUCGAUAACUGUCAAAUUGGCCUUUAUUGUGACAUUUUUGUUCUACUCCCUGAAAUAAAUGUAAAUUACGAAAAGUGAGUAGAAUCUAAUAAUUAAUUCACAUUGGGUUAAGUAAUAGGAAAAAUUAAUAAUAAAAUUAACUAUCAAAUUGCAACCUAUGCUCAUUGCUGAUGAACAAAGCCCACAAGAAAUUGUAAAGAGAGCCGCGGCCAUUGUCACGGAUAUUUGGAGAAUUCAAUUCGCAAGAACUAAAGGGGAAGAAAAGUCAAAGCUAUUCCUAUUUGCUCCUGACAUGCGCAGGGAAGUCCUAAUCAAAAGCUUCAAAAGGAAAAUCGCAAGCUAAGCUCCUCAGCAAUCUUCAUACGUAAGAAAGAAACUAGCUAACAAGAACUAAGAAAAAAGUCAACAACUGCGGCUAAGCUACAAGACGGAAAGCUCUCCAAUGUGCGGCGGCUCCCCUUCCGGAGAGGAAGAAGAAGACCCCCACUUCAGCCCUUCGUUCCCCCUUUUAAUGCUGCCAUCUGCGAAUUACCAAAAAAGACUUGUAUCUCCUUAUUCCAGAAAUGCCCUCGAUUGCCUGCUAUGUGAACUCUUUCUCGAUAACUGUCAAAUUGGCCUUUAUUGUGACAUUUUUGUUCUACUCCCUGAAAUAAAUGUAAAUUACGAAAAGUGAGUAGAAUCUAAUAAUUAAUUCACAUUGGGUUAAGUAAUAGGAAAAAUUAACUAUCAAAUUAACUAUCAAAUUGCAACCUAUCAAAGCAAAUCAACACAAACAGAGAAAGAGUACAACAGAAACAAGAAGGCAAUUUGGAAAUGAACAAAUGGAACAAAUAGAUGUUGAGACUGUAAUUCUGAAGCUUGCAGUCCAACACUAGAAGGAAGCCAAAUCUUUUGGUAUUGGCAUCACAGCACUGAAUGCUGCAAACCAAGGGAUGGCAGCUUGGUCAUUAAGAGAGAGACUGACAAGAAACAAAGACCAAGACAUGGCAGAGGCAGUGAGAUUAUACAUGAUCAAGGCAGCAGGGAAAGGAUGGGAGAAAAUCAAUAUACGGUUUGUGAUACGUUGCAAUUUUAUCAUUUAUUUUAUUAUUAAUUUCCCCUAUUACCUGACUUGAUAUGGAUUAAUUGUUAGAUUCUACUCACUUUUGGCAAUUUGCAUUUAUUUCAGGGAUUUGAUCGAAAACACCAUAACAAGUGCCAAUUUAGCAAUCAUCAGGAAAGAGCUCGAGUAGCAGGCAUCCAGGGGCAUUUUUGGAACAAGAAGACACGACCUUUUUUUAUAAAUUACGGAAGACAGCAUAAAAGAGGAAAAGGAACGAAGGGCUGGAACUUCUUCUUCCUCUCGCGGGGGGGGGGGGGGGGAGCUGCUGCACGGUGGCCAGGCAUUAGAUAGAAAGAAGAAAUAGAGUAGAGAAUUGGUAGGAGUACUUUAGAUUAGCCUUUGACUUUUCCUUUCUAGCUUUUGGUAGUGGAGACUUUUAGUAGUUGUUGCUUCCUUCGUGAAUGCAUUGGAUGAUUCUUUUUUCUUUGCUUUUUGCUUUUUGACUUUUCUUUGGUUCUUAGUAAUUUCUUUUCCUUCUACGUAUGUCAAUUCUGAAUCCUUCUUCGUAUCACUACUUCGGACGAAUUGAGUUUUCCCAAUUUCAAAGGACAAUGGCCGUUGCUUUCUCUUCAAUUUUCUGUAGAUUUUGUUCAUCAAAUAUGAACUAAUUUCCUCACUCUAGUCAAGAAACAACGGAUGUUUGGGUCGCCUAAAAAUUGUGAGAUCGAUUUAAUUUAAUUUUUUUCUUUUAUUUAUUAAUAUUCGCAUAAUCCUUGAUUGCUAUGCUUAUGGUUAUUUAAUUAAUUGAUUAUCUUGGAUUCGGAUAAUUAGUUAAUUUAGUAAUCUAUUGUCAAUUAGGGCAUUUAAAUCCGUAAUUGUUUAAUUGCCUUGAAAUAGUGGCAACUGGCAUGAUUAGGUUUGUGUCAGGGGGAUACGCGGGCUAACCUGAAAUAACCCUGAUAGUGCGUUAUUUGAUUAGAAUAGGGCUGCUCUAAUACGUAAGGCAAUUGGAAAAUUAAAUCCUACGGGCGUACAUAAGAUUAUUUUUCAAUUAGAGUAGUGAUUAACGGGCGUACUUUGAUCACCGACACAGUAAGGAGGGGUUGACUGUCAUCGCUUGUUUGGCAGUUAUAACCUAUUUAUUAGUAAAUAAUUGGAAUUGACUUUGCAUCGAUGAUCAAUUAGGUGAACCGUUGCUGAAGUUAUUUCUUGGCUAGAUCAUUAGUUAUCAUUCAUUUGACUUUAGUAAUUUGUUAUUUAAUUUUUAAUAGUUUCUUAGAUUUUAUUUGAAUUUCUUUGAUUGUCAUCUUCUACACAAAAACACCCCCUUUGUUACUGUGGAUUUGAAAAGAAACAGUUACACCCAAUACUUGUGAAUUCGACCCUGCUUACCACUAUCUACAGAAAUUAACUUUAGUUGAGCAAGUUUUUAUUAUUGCACUGGCUGAUAACCUGUCAAUUUUUGGCACCGUUGCCGGGGAUUGGUGCCUGAUUAAUUUGUUUCUUUUUGAGUUCAUCUUGUUUUCAUUUUUUUAUUUAUUUUUCUCUUUUUUUAUAUAGUUUAUGGCUUCUAACAUUCCGUAUUUUGAUGAUAGACUGGACUUUAUUCCUGAAUGGGGUUAUGAGACUCGUGUUUUUCAUAAUGAUCAAUUAGCUGUUGCAAAUUGUGGAACUUAUUUUGCUUCAGGUUAUUCAACCGACAUAUGCCCCGCAUUUCAAGAUAACCUAAAUGCUCCAAUUGAUACUUUUGGAGAUUUUUCACCUCAAUAUCAAACGUGGUAUGACCCUUAUUCAAACGGGUAUGAUCAAGGAUGGGGGAUGAUUCCAAUUUUAAUUAUGCGACCAGGCCAAUGGGUUUUCAACAGCAAGAGUCUCAACAACUAUCAUCCAUGUCAGGUAUGUCUUUUCAGGAAAUGAUUGAAUUAUUCGCUACUAAUACAUAUCGAUUUCAUUAGGAGACACAAGCGAGCAUUAGUAACCUAGCGGAUCAAGUGCAUCUAUUGAUAUCCAAGAUAACGCAAUUAGCUUCUCACAUGAGUGAAAAAUUGCCCUCACAGACCAACAUCAACCUUGAAGAAGAUGAGAGUGCAAUUAUCCGGCCAAAUGAUAUGGAACUGCAAGAGUUUCAAGAAAACGGAUCUAAAGAUGCAGUUGAAAGGGAAGGUGAAGUGCAAGAAAUGAGACCCCAAAAUCAAUUCGUCCAAGUGAAUGAAUCCAGUGUACAAUCUCCAAAUACGGUGACAUCUUCUCCAUUCCUUAAUCAAUAUUUUCCUGACUCAUAUUCUUCAACUCCUAUUAUUGAGAUUGAUUUUAUUAUACCAGAAAAUUUUAAAUUUCAUGACAGGAAUAAGUUAAGAGUGGCGAUGGCAAAAUAUCUUGAACCGAUAAAUGCGUGUGAUGGAGGAGUGAGUGGAGAAUUCAGAUCAUUGUUGAUUUGUUUGGCGCUAUCUAUUAGUCCAUGGAAGACCGUAGCUCGUGUACUCAAGGAUUACUCUACUUACGAGGGUUAUCAGGAUUACAUAGAGAAUGAAGCACUGAAACGAGCCACAAGAUUUUAUCCUCCCUGAACAAACAUGACAAUGUCUAACCAAAGACAUUAAAGAAAGGCACUCAUUGGGAGGCAACCCAAUUUCUUUUAGUUGCUUGUUCGGUUUUGUUUGUUAGUUUAAAUAUGUUUUCCUUGGAUUUGACUGAUUUUUUGUUUCAAUUUUCGUUUUUGAUGAUUCAUAGGCAUCCCGUUGACAUGACGCCCCUGCGUCAACUGGGCGCGUGACACAGUGCGAUUUCUUGGUGCUUAGUAAAAAGGGUUUCGAUUCCCUUGACGUGCCCGCGUCGAGUCCCAUGAAGAGCUCAUGGUCAGAUUUGUCAAAAGGGUUUCGAUCCCCUUGACGUGUCCGCGUCAAGUCCCAUGAAGAGCUCAUGGUCAGAUUCGUCGAAGGGGUUCUUGUCCUCAUGACGUGCCCGCGUCAAGUAACUUGGAAAGCUCCUCAUUCCGUGCCUUCUUGACGUGCCCGCGUCACGUUCGCGGGAAAGGUAAGUAUUCAAGACUCGAGAAAAAUUUUCAAUUUCCUGUUAAUUUCUAAUUUUGAAUUUCAAAAAUAAAUUUUAUUAAUAAUAAUAACAAAAAAAUUAAAACAAUUUUAAAUUAAAAAAAACUAAAAAUUUUAAAAAUUUUAAAAAAACUAUUUCUUUUUCUUUUUCCUUUUCUUUCUUUCUUUUUCUUUCUUUCUUCCUUUUUCUUUCCUUCUUCUCCCUUGUUUCACUUUCUUUUGGCCAAAACCCACAAGCAACUGCCGCCGCUCUCCUCUCCUUCCUAGCCUCGCGCGCCUUUCUCUUCCUCUCUUGCUCUCCUUCUCCACCGCACCAUCGACGACGCGCACAGCUGUAGCCCCACUCUCUCGCGCGCUGCUCAUUGCACUCCAGGCCGCCGCCGCUGUACGCUGCUCCACACAUCCGCCUCUCUUUUCCCUCGCACGCAGUCGAGUUCCCCGUCAUAGCCAGCUCGUGAGCGCGCGCCGCCACCCUUCCUCGUUCCCUUGCUCUCUCACCAUGCCGCAACCGAUGCUCGUAGCCCACAGACGGCCACCACCAUGUGCCGCCAGCCCUCCAUCUCCCUCACGCGUAGUGUCAACCACGCUCCACCAGCUCUCACCAUCUGUCUAAUUUUGACAGGUGGAGGUAUUGUAUUUUUCCUGCCGUUAAUUAAUCCUCUGGGACAUCAAUUUCUAAAAUAUCGUUCGUUAAUUGUUGUUACCCUUUUCUUACUUGGUUGCCCUAUACUGCACUGGUGGGGUUGAUUUGUUUGAUUUCCCAUCUGUUAUUUGGGAAUUAUUUGGGAGUUAUGUGCAAAUUGAUUGCCAUUUUGGUUUCCUCUAAAUGCUAGUAUUGUUUGGUGUUGGUUGGGAUUUCUCAGUAGUUUGUAUUGACUGGUUGAUUUGUUGAUUACCUGUGCGUGCUCCAGUGGUACUGGUUGUGGUAGUUUGCAUAUAAUUUAUUACUCCUCUGUGAUUGGCUACCUAAUUGACCGCUGGGCAUCUGUGACUAAGUUGUUCUUGUCCAAUUGAAGAAUUUGUUGAGAUUUUGGGUGGACAGAGUUUUGCAUUUGCUGGUUGAAUUGAGUUGAGAUGUCUCAGAACUUGGCCGCAUACUUCUAUCAUAUCGGUUUCACUCCACUAUUCCCUCCUAUCCCUUAGCCAUUCAACAGGGAAGUUUCAUUGUUCUCUUCGUUUUAAUUACUUUAUUACCUCCAUUGAGGAUAAUGUAGGAUUUAGGUGGGGGGGGAAGAGCAGUUAUGGUGCUAGUGUCUUUAAUUUUGAGUUUUUAGAUUUUUUUUUGUUUUUAGAUGUUUUUUUUCUUUAUUUUUAGUUUAUUAUUUGUCCACCUCUCGUUCAUUUUCUUUCUUUCUUUUUAGUGAUUAGCUCGUAAGUGCAUGCCAAGACUUGAUGUUGGUUUGUUGACUCUAAUUCUGCUAUUGCCAAGUUUUAAUACUAAAAGUGCAUCAAGUUAAUGUAGUUGAGUCCAAGAACAUCGCUUUGGUGAAUAUCGGUGAUUGUUUUACUCUUAUAAUUUUUGGUUAACUUUCCUAGGUACUGGGAAUGAUUGUUGGCAUUUUCAUGUGAAUUGGUCCAGUGAUUAACUUUAGUUCUCCAUGUUUGGAAAAAAUGAGGCUAGCUACUUUUUCUUUGUGAUAUUGUGAGAUAUUGUGUUAUCUGAUUAUGAAAUAAAGUUGACUGUACUCCGCUAUUUGGUACUACUGAGUAACCGGGGAUCUUCACCUAAAGUGUCGAUUCUCGAGUCAAAAAGUAGUAAUUUCUAUGAGUACGUGGUCGUAUAGCGAUAGGAGCUAAGUAACCGAGCUCCUUCAUCUGGCAAAUGUUGGAGUUCGCGUCAAAAGGCUCCGAUGGCUAGAGACUAAGUCUUUUGUGCUAUUGAAAAAAAAAGAAAAAAAAUAAUAGAUAAAUAAAUAAUGAAAAAAAAAAGUGAAAGUUGUGUUAGUGUGUGAUAAAAGUCAGCUUGCCGAUUUGUGGAUUUAAUGUUGAGAAUUUGGUUAAUAACUGGACCAUAUGCUGAUAAAUUUUGUGUGCCAUUCCUUUUUCUUAGAUUGGUUAACCUAGAAUUGAAGGAAUUUCUGGUUUAGAAACUAACCGGGGUGAUGUUUCUUGGGUAUUGAUCACUGAUGCUUGAUAUAUGUUUUUUUUGGUAUCUUGGCAAUAUGGUAGACGGAGCAAUGACCAUUGUCAAAUAUUGGUACUUGUUUGCUGUUCUCAUGCUUGAAGGCAAGCAUGAUUUAGGUGUGGGGGGAAUUGAUAGGUUGUAAUUUUAUCAUUUAUUUUAUUAUUAAUUUCCCCUAUUACCUGACUUGAUGUGGAUUAAUUGUUAGAUUCUACUCACUUUUGGCAAUUUGCAUUUAUUUCAGGGAUUUGAUCGAAAACACCAUAACAAGUGCCAAUUUAGCAAUCAUCAGGAAAGAGCUCGAGUAAUAGGGAUCCAGGGGCAUUUUUGGAAUAAGAAGACGCGACCCUUUUUGGUAAUUUACGGAUGACAACAUAAAAGAGGAAAAGGAACGAAGGACUAGAACUUCUUCUUUCUCUCGGGGGCGGGAGCCGUCGCACGGUGGCCAGGCAUUAGAUAGAAAGAAGAAAUAGAGUAGAGAACUAGUAGGAGUACUUUAGAUUAGCCUUUGACUUUUUAGCUUUUGACUUUUAGAUUAGCCUUUGACUUUUCCUUUUUAGUUUUGGGUAGUGGAGACUUUUAGUAAUUGUUGCUUCCUUCGUGAAUGCAUUGGAUGAUUCUUUUUUCUUUGCUUUUUGCUCUUUGACUUUUCUUUGGUUCUUGGUAAUUUCUUUUCCUUCUACGUAUGUCAAUUCCGAAUCCUUCUUCGUAUCACUACUUUGGACGAAUUGAGUUUUCCCAAUUUCAAAAGACAAUGGCCGCUGCUUUCUCUUCAAUUUCUUGUAGAUUUUGUUCAUCAAAUAUGAACUAAUUUCCUCACUCUAGUCAAGAAACAACGAAUGCUUUGGGUCGCCUAAAAAUUGUGAGAUCGAUUUAAUUUAAUCUUUUUCUUUUAUUUAUUGAUAUUCGCAUAUUCCUUGAUUGCUAUGCUUAUGGUUAUUUAAUUAAUUAAUUGUCUUGGAUCCGGAUAAUUAGUUAAUUUGGUAAUCUAUUGUCAAUUAGGGCAUUUAAAUCCGUAAUUAUUCAAUUGCCUUGAAAUAGUGGCAACUGGCACGAUUAGGUUUGUGUCAGGGGGAUACGCGGGCUAACCUGAAAUAACCCUGGUAGUGCGUUAUUUGGUUAGAAUAGGGCUCCUCUAAUACGUAAGGCAAUUGGGAAAUUAAAUCCUAUGGGCGUACCUAGGAUUAUUUCCUAAUUAGAGCAGUGAUUAACGGACGUACCUUGAUCACCGACAUAGUAAGCAGGGGUUGACUGUCAUCACUUGUUUGGCAGUUAUAACCUAUUUAUUAGUAAAUCAUUGGAAUUGGCUUUGCAUCGAUGAUCAAUUAGGUGAACCGUUGCUGAAGUUAUUUCUUGGCUAGAUCAUUAGUUAUCAUUCAUUUGACUUUAGUAACUUGUUAUUUAAUUUUUAAUAGUUUCUUAGAUUUUAUUUAAAUUUCUUUGAUUGUCAUCUUCUGCACAAAAACAUCCCCUUUGUUACUGUGGGUUUGAAAACAAACAGUUACACCCAAUCCCUGUGGAUUCGACCCUGCUUACCACUAUCUACAGAAAUUAACUUUAGUUGAGCAGGUUUUUAUUAUUGCACAGGCUGACAACUUGUCAGUUUGAGAACAGGAAGAUGACGAACCAAUUUCAAACCGGGAAAGGUGGUAGCAUAGAGAUAGCUACUAUUAUGGAGGAUAUCCAGAAAAUGACCUUAUGGUUUCGAAUGUGCUCUUUUGUGAGUUUGAAUGAGGAUACUGAUAGCCUAUGCUACAGUUUGAGCAAAAGUGCUCUUUUGAAUUUUUGUGACAUGGAAUGGAACUACGCCACUCCAUAGUGCUAAAUGCACUUUUGUAAAGAUAGGAGCCCUUGCUCCAAAAUUGUAUAGUUUUGUGAUGAUAUAAAAUUUCUAUCGUUUCGGGAAAAAAAAAAAAAAAAGUAAACUUUAACACUAUCUUAAAACUUGUCUCCCUAAGAAUAGUAUAAUUCAAAACAAAAUUGUGAAAAUCUAACUAGAAUGUCAACUAACGAUUUGGAAUUUUACUUUGACAUAUUCAUGGUCAAAUGGUGGGAGGUUUGACUUUAUCUUACAACCUUUUCUUUUCAAACUGGAGAUAUUAUACCUCCAAUAGAUAGCAUUCCUACUAGUCUAAGUAUGGUGCAAAAGAAUCAGAUUUCCAUUGUCUACAGAGCCACCAAACAGCAGCAGUUAUUUAGCAUUCCAUAGUUUCAUCAGCAUUAAUACAAAGGGCACAAAUACUAGAGACCCAUGCUUUCAAUCUACCUUUGGUGUUUAAUCUUCGUUUGCACAGCAACCAUAAAAUAAAACUAAACCAAGGGACAAAUCCGUGUCCCAAAACCAGCUCGUGCCACUCGAUAGGAACUUUAGUUCCCCUUAGUGCUUUGAUUGAGGAGUUGACAACAAAAAUACCUGCAGAUUGGGUAAUUCACCCAUAUGAUCAAUCCUACGAAUACCAGGGAGGAAUUGCAUAGGGUUAUCCCUCUUCAUGGCGCUAACUUCGUAAGUGUAGUGCCUGCCAAUAUGCCAUUUGCGGAUCCUUUCCGUAAUACAAGCAGCAAUUGUGUCACACUUUGUGAGAACAAAUGAUUCCAGGAGCUUCUCAGUAAAAUGCAGGUAUAGGGGGCCAAGAGGGUGCCAGAAAUCUGCAUUAAUAGUAGUGUUUAAUGCAUUAGAUAAUGUAUGAGUAUUCGCUGGAUGGUGCAUCAUUGAAUGGGUUAAAAAGCAGUCAUAAUACUGAUUAUGUUCUUGUAGAAUAAUAAAGGAUGAUUGUAAGUAUACCAAAGUCAGAAUCUGCAAAGAAAUGAAAGGUUGCGAAAGAAAAGGAGGUUGGAAAUCGUGGAUGCCGUGAAGUUGUCCAGGGCAAGAGAAAGAUGAAUCUUGAACAAAAAAGUUCACAAGCGAGUAAGAAGUCAUGUAACAAUCCUUGGCCUCCAAUGAAUGAGGCCGAAAGCUCGCUAGUAACAACUCAGGCAAGCGGACCUAUGGAAUUGCCUAAUUUGGUUAAUUGUGACUAUGAUGGAGAUACAAGACUGCUACAAACAUAUACAAGUUUAUUGCUGGAUGAUGGUGUACAGUCAAUGACGUGUUGAAAUGGUGAUUAUUUGGGAUCAGUCAUCCAAGAAGAAGCUCCUUCAUCCUAUACUGAAAAACAUUGGUUCAAUUCGACCAUUGAUGGAAUGGAGAAUUCAGAACAUAUAUGCGAAAAUCUUGAAAAUUCGGAACAGCCCUUUGAAGUGCAAGUUUGUGAACAGUCAUCAUCAUCAUCAGUUGAUUGUGAUGGCCAGAUGAUGACCACAUGUCAAGAAGGGCAAGUGGCGGAGAACAACUUGUCAGAUUCAAUCACUUGGAGGAUAUUUUGCGAUCCAUUGAAAGAGGGAAUAAAGACAUAUUUGGAAGAUUGCCAUUACCACCAGAUGCAUGGUUGCAAGUAGCCGUCCCAUGUAGUUGAUUAGCGCUAAGAUUGCGAACUUCUAGAGGCAAAGUUGAUGCCUUGUGACUUAUUUGUUCUUUUGUGGGUUGUGGUUUCAUUCUUGAACAUUAGAUGCAGCAUAUUUUUUAUCUUUUACAGAAAAAUGAAGUUAUUUCUAUCUACACUCACUUGUCCAAGCUUUUCUUGUCAUAUUCAUGCUUUUUCCUCAUUAUGAACUGCCCGAAGUAGGAGUAUGAUAAACUUAAGAGAAAUAAAAGGAAAUUAAAUAGCCCUUUGGAAUUUUUUUUUUUGACUCACUUGUUCAAGCUUUUCUUGUCAUAUUCAUGCUUUGGAAUUUAAACGAGAAUGCUUUUUUUUAUUUCUAGAUUUCCUCCGCAGAUCGCAAUCGUUUUGCUUGUUUGUUUAUUUACUUUGCUUGCUGCUUUUGCUUGUUCAUAAUUUUGAUUUUUUUUUCUGAAUUCGUCUUCUUAAGAUUGAAAUAUAUGAAUUUGGGUACUUUAUAUUUUGUCUAAAAUAGCUUUAGCAGAUCAAAGUCUACUAUGCUGGGCGUUUUAAGGCAAAAAGUCGCUUCUGAUGCUCCUUCUGCUUUGGUAUUUAAACUUCAAUUUUUGCAUGUGUGUUUAGAUUCCUGCAUUCAUUUAUGCUUGAAGGCAGAAAUUUAUUUUUUGAGUAAGAAUACUGAUCUCCUUUGUGUUUUUUGCGGACCAGAUUAAGAAUGCAUAAUCAAGAACUGACAAAUGUGCCUAUUAACAAGUCAAUUAGUAGUGCCUAUGGUGAUUGGUCUUGCGAUUCCAAAAUUUAGAUUUUCCUUGUACUUUAAUUGAUGCUUUAGGUUUAUUUUCUUACAAAUCUAGUAUUAUUUUGGAACUGCACUUGGUGUACGUUAGAGUUACAAGUAUUAGUAUGUAUACUUACCCCAAAAAACAAGUAUUGUUAUGUAUAUAUGCUUCAGAACAAAUAAUGUGCCUCUUGAUAUGAUAUGUUGAUUCAUGAAUACAUUAAAUAGUUUUUAGGGUUGUAAUUGAUCUUAGAGGUGUAAAUUACCCAUGAUUUCACGAAAUAUAACCAAAUUUUUGGUUCCACAAUUUGUUUAUAACAAAUGCUUUUAAAGAAUGUUUGUCCAGUAUUCUUAUAAGUAUUUUGAUUAAUCUUAUAUACACUAAUAGUGUAUAUAUUUUUACCCUUAAAUGAGUGUCAAAGUUUUUGCCAUUUCAUUUUUAUCCCCAUAUGAUUUUUUCCAUUUUCUUAAACUUAGUCCUAACUUGACUAGCACUGUUACGAAGAAAUUUGCCAAAUUGAGUGAUAUAAAUUACCAAAUUUGCCAAAAGUGGAAUGUGAAAUUCCUCCAAAAUUGAUGGAAGGAAAAGAAAUAAUCAAGACUUCAAUAAUGGAAAGGGAAGCAAGAAUAACGCUAGGCAAGACGGCAUGGAUUUCAAUUGUUUUUUUUUUCCAGCGUUCAAUUCCCCUGGAAUCUCAAUAUUUGGAUUGUAGGUUUUUUAAGAGAAAAUUUUUACAUUUUUCUUGAACACAUUUUUUAAUUAUUUUAUUAUUUUAUAUAUAUCAAAUUAUUAUAAUAUAUUUUUUUACAAAAAUUUUAAAAAAAUAACAAUCUAAACGCAAUUGCAGCACUAGUGCUUAGCAAGCUUGAAACAACCCUCUCGAAUUAAGGUGUGAUCAUUUUGACCAAAAAAAAAAAUUAAGGUGUGAUAAUGCUGCACGUCAUCUACGAUUUUUCAGAUUCCUACUUCUUCUAUAUUUUGACAAACGGCAUGUCUGUGUCUAGCAAGAAGUGUGAUAGUGCUGUACGGCAUCAACAAUUUUUUAAUUCCUACAACUUCAAUACCUUGACGGGAUAAUUUUAAAAAACCUCCCUUGAGAUUUUGAUAAUUUUACUCUGCUCUCCUCAAUUUUAAAUAAUUAUGCUUACCUCCCUUGACAGAAUAAAGUACUUAUAAUGACCUUCACUUAAUAGAUAAUUUACAGUAUAAUACAAUAUAUUUGUAAAACCAAAAAAAAAAAUCAUAUUUAUCUAUGUCUUGGCUAGCUCCACUCUUCUCUUUUCUAAUUAUUAUACUGUCAUAUCCUCUCUUUUUUUCUUCAGUUUUAUAGAUAUUACCAAAUUGAAAUUGUAAAAUUAAUAGUUCAAUUGAAAUGAAAAGACUCGGAGUCAUAGAGAAAAAAAAUAAUGAAAUUAAUGAUUGAAACAGGUUGGAGGAUCAAAGAUGAAAAAUUUACCCUAUAUUUUUUUUCUGUGGCAAGCAUUGAUGAUCCUUUGGAUAGUUGCUUUGAUUUGGAACUAGAGUUUUUACUUAGGUGGUUGUUAUGAAUUGGGAUGGUGGAUUUGUGCAGAGUGUGAAAGAAAAGGAUCGAGUAUACUGUAUUUUUCUUUUUUACUUUUGUAUUAAAGGGUAAUUUAGGAUUUUUGAGAAAAAAUCUAGUUUGUUGGACUUAUAUUAUUAUAUAAACAAUAAAAAUAAGGAGUGAUAUGUAAUUUUUAAAAUUAAAGAGAGCUCUUGCAAACAGUGACGGAGCCAGGAUUUUUCCCUUGGGAGGGCCAAAAUUUUUUCGAACAAAAUUAUCUUAAUAUGUUAUGUUCAAACUAAUUUUUAUUUAUUUAAAUAUAUGACAUCUUAAAAUAUCAAAUAUUAAUUUUAAUUAUAAAGCUAUGUCUAUUUCAUAAAUAUGUAGCAUAGUUAUAACUAAAAUUAAGAUAAGAAAUAACAUUUGAUUAAAUAUCUUAUAACAUCACAAACCACUUAAGUUGCACAUUAUGAGAAGAUGCUCCAAUAUGUUACCUGUGCAAAAACAAAAAUAUGACUAUGUAACAUAAAUAUAAGUAUUUUCAAUUAAAAAAAGAUAAAAGUUAUGUUAAUAUACCUUGAAAUUCCAUCCUCUUUUAUUAAAAAUAAAUUGAGUUUUAAGUUCUUUCAUAGAACGUAAUUCAUCUCUAAUUGAAUCAAUGCUAAAUUUUCGAACAACUUCCUUUUUUUAUGUACAUUGUUAGGCAAUCAUUAAAGAAAUGAUCUUUUAUCUUGUUUUGGAGCUUUAUUUUGAUUAUUUUCGUAAUUGAAAAUGUCCAUUCUAUAGACUAUAAAACGGAGCCAGGAUUUUUUCCUUGGGAGGGGGGCCAAAAUUUUUCUGAACAAAAUUAUCUUAAUAUGUUAUGUUCAAAAUAAUUUUCAUCUAUUUAAAUAUAUGAUAUCUUAAAAUAUCAAAUUUUAAUUUUAAUUAUAAAGGUAUGUCUAUUACAUAAAUAUGCAGGGUAUUCAUAACAAAAAUUAGGACAAAAAAUAACCUUUGAUUAAAUAUCUUAUAACAUAACAAACUACCCAAAUUGUACAUUAUGAGAAGAUGCUUCAAUAUGUCAUUUGUGCAAAAAUAAAAAUAUAACUAUACAAUAUAAUAUAACUAUUUUCAAUUAAUAAAAGAUAAAAGUUAUGUUAGCAUACCUUGAAAUUUCAACCUCUUUUUUUAAAAGUAAAUUGAGUUUUACAUUCUUUCAUAGAACUAAAUUCAUCUAUAAUUGAAUCAGUGUUAAAUUUUGAUCAUCCUUUUUUUAUAUACAUUGUUAGACAAUCAUUCAAGAAAUUAUCUUUUAUCUUGUUUUAGAGUUUUGUUUUGAUUAUAUUCACAAUUGAAAAUGUACAUUCUAUAGUUGCAAUUGAUACAGAAAGAGUGAGAACAAAUAUCAUCAAUCUGCCAAUAACAGGAUAUAUCACUCAAUUUCUUGUCUUCACCAAGCCUUCAAGUAAUUAUUUGUAUAUUUGUAUAUGAGUCAACAAGAGAAUAGAUCACUAAUUUUAAAUUUUUUUAUCAAUUAGGCUAAGGUGUAUAUUUGUAUAUGGCCCAAUAAAGUAAUUAUUUUUAUUGUAGCCCAUUGAUAAUUAUGAAUAAAGUCUUUUAUUAUAAUACAUCAAAUUGGGUAAAUUUACUAUGGAUCAUCAAAUUAUAUAAUUUUUUGAAUGUUAAAUAAUUAGUACAAUAAAAAAAAUAACUUUUUUUUGAAGAAAAAAUUAAAUCAAAAGGUGGUAAUUCACACACACACACACAGAUAUAUAUACAUAUAUAUAUAAACUCUCAUAAUAUAAACUAAAAUUAUAAAAAAUUAGGGGGGGCCAACUUUGACUUAUACAUAUAUUUACAUAUUAUGAAUUAAAUUUUUCAAAACUUAGGGGGGGCCAUGGCCCCCUCUGCCCCCUUGGCUCCAUCAUUGCUUGCAAUUAUGAAAAAUGUUAAGGAAGGUUCAUAAAAUUAUCCCAUACUUUGACAAAAGACAUGUCAAUGUCCGGCAAGACGUGUUAUAAUGCUGCACGCAUCAAUGAUUUUUCACUUCCCUACGACUUCAAGACUUUGACAAAAGACAUGUCUGUGUCUGGCAAGAAGUGACAUAAUAUAAUAAAGAGCAAAUUUUCCAAAUAGUCCUUCAACUUUUUUAACUAAUUCACAUUUGGUCCUUCAACUUAAAAAUGAGAUAGAAUGAUCCUUCAACAAAAUUUUUUAGACCAAAUUGGUUCUUAUCUGGCAUAGCAGCCAAGAAAAAGUUGGAUCAAAGUGGUGAUGAGAUUUGAAUUUUCUUACCAGUUCCGUCACAUAGGGACCAAUUAAGCCUAAAAAAUUUCGUUGGACGGCCAUUAUGUCCCAUUCUUAAGAUGAAGGAUCAAAUAUGAAUUAGUAAAAAACUUGAAUGACUAUUUGGGGGACUUGCUCCAUAAUAAAAUUGAAAAGCUGGGAUGUUUGGAAAAUAUUUAGAGGCUUGUAGCAAAGUGUGUUAAUGGGAAAAAAAUGAUUUGAUGGGCAUACCCAUGAGAUAAUCUUGACCUAUUGAACUUGAAGAGGACACGGCUGCUGUGGAAAUUAUAAGUUCAAAGACAAUUCGUGGUUUCUGAGCUACAGCAAUGAGUGAUAUUUUUAGGAACAUCUGUUGGGGUUUUUGAUAAUUAUGUAGUAUUCUUAAACUUCUAAAAAUAUCACUUACCUCUCUCAUUUGAAGUCAACAUCACAAGUCACCAAUAUUUUUACCCUCAAUGCUAUAGGUUUAUUCUGGAAAAAUACUUUCCAACCAAAAGAAUUGGCAUGAUUUUCUUCUUUUGCUUUUUUUUUUUUUUUUGAAUUUUGGCCUGUUUUAAUGAAAAUGUCGCAUAUAUUAGUCCCAAUUCAGGAGCUUAUAUUUUUUAGUGUAAUUCUUUUAUGCCAGUUUACCAACCACAUUCCCCGCAUUAAUUUCACUGCCUUCAUAUUAUUGGAAGAGGUUGUACUUUCACUAUCGAAGUAGAGCCUGUUUUUGGGUUUUUUUCCUCCGCUCUCAAUUUUUUUUCUUAGUUUUGGCUCUCAAAAAUUUCUGGUUCUGGCCUUGCAAUUAGAACCACUAGUGACCAAUCUAGUUUUCUCUAUUUCUUGACUUUAUAUUUUAGAAUAUGUUCAUCAAUGUUUCAAUUCUUUUCAUCUCAACUCUCUUCAUAUGCAUUUCGAGCAACAUAAGUGUCCGUUCCGAUUUCAACAAUAAUUUGCUUAAUAGUUGUUAUAUAUUGUUAUAUUUAGUUGCAUUACAAUAACAAACACUACACAAAAUUUUCUUGGAUUUUAAAUCUUUUAUUAAUACUAAUAAGGAUUUUGGAUAAGGAAGGAACAAGACAACUGAAAGGGCAAUUUUGAAAUAAAAAUAUGCUCAUUUUACUUAAAUGAAUCAUUUAAUCUUACUUUGCUCCUAGUUAGGGGUGGUAGAUGAAUCGAGUUACUCGCAAGGAAUUUAGUCAAAGCUCUACUCGAACUCGAGUUUGACUGAUAUUCGAGUCAAUUAUUGAAUCGAAUUCAAGCAUCUAGGUAAUUGUUAAAUUACCUAAAAACCUAUAUUUUUAGAAAAAAUUGUCUUACCACUCAAGCUGGAAUUUGAUCUUAAUUUGCUUCUUGAGCACCUUUAUCUUUCACAUGAGCCGAACUUGACCUUCAAAGUUGAUGAGCUCAAACUGAGUUUGAGCUCAAGUAAUGUCUUCAAGCUCAUCGAGCUCUAGCUUGAAUACAUUCUGUAUUUGAGUUUGACUCCGUUCAUUGCCAUUCCUAUCCUAGUCAUUGGACAUGUUACAAAAUAAUUUAUUUUGGGGAGGUUAAUGAGAUUUUCAAAAGUUUAGAAGUUCCAAGCGAUAUUCACAAACACCUUAGGGAAGGUUUUCGAAAUUAUCCGAAGAAUCAAUUCAAAGCCAAUUAAUGCAUGUGGCACAGAUUAACCUUAUCAAUCAUGACCGUGUGCAUAAAGCCCCCGCUGGAGUUCGGCAUUCAAACACCCACUGGAGUUCAUUGCCAUACUAACUUAUUUCAGCCCUGAUGGAGACUUGGCUGCUCUUAGCCUUGGCAUGGGUUGUUGCAUUGGCUUUUCUCUCAAAAGUAUCCACUCGCAAACGCCUAAAGCUAAAUCAUCCACCAGGACCAAAACCAUGGCCUAUUGUUGGCAACUUGAAACUCCUAGGUUCAAUCCCACAUCAAUCCUUACACUUGCUGUCCCAGAAAUAUGGAAAAAUCAUGCAACUAAAAUUUGGUUCCAGCCCUGUUGUAGUAGCUUCAUCCCCUGAAAUGGCAAAAGAAUUCUUGCAAACACAUGACAACAUCUUCGCUUCUCGGCCAACAACUGAUGCUGGCAAACACGCUAGCUAUAACUGCUCCGAUUUGACAUGGGCACCUUAUGGUCCAUUCUGGCGACAAGCUCGUAAACUUUAUCUUACCCAAAUAUUUAAUCCAAAGCGACUUGACUCCUUCGAGAGCAUACGCAUUGAAGAAAGGCGUGCUUUCAUUUCUAGAUUGUAUGCUCUCUCAGGAAAGCCAGUAGUUAUGAGAGAUCAUCUAACACGUCUUACCCUCUCCACUGCAAGCCAGAUGGUCUUGAGUAACAAGUACUUUGCGCAAUCUGAAGGGGAGAGAUCUCUACCUACCUUUGAAGAAUUCCAAGAGAUGAUAGAUACUUGGUGUUUGCUGAGUGGUGUGUUCAAUAUUGGGGAUUGGAUACCAUGGCUCGACAGAUUUGACCUCCAAGGUUAUGUAAAGCAAAUGAAAGAACUUCACAAGAAAUUUGAUAGAUUCCACAACCAUGUGCUUGAUGAUCACCAGGCCAGGAGGAAAACAGAGAAAGAUUUUAUCCCUAAGGACAUGGUUGACAUUCUAUUGCAAUACGCUGAAGAUCCAGAUCUCCAGGUUAAACUCACCAGAGAUCAGAUAAAAGGGCUAAUUCAGGUGCUCUUUCUUCUCAUUGUUUAAUCAAAUUCCUAGGUCUCUUUGCCUCUUUAAGUUACUGAAUCUCAAAGCCAGCAGUCUUGCUUAGUAUAAUGUGCCAUUAAAGAUAACUGUCUCCUUUUUUCUAAUUAAGAGUUUUUUAUUUCCUUUCUAGAUUAAUAGUAUUACAAUAUUUGAUCAUAGAGGCACUAACUUUACCAAUAUGUCAUGUUGAGGACUAACUUUACCAAUGUGUUGCUGACCAGAACGUUCUAUUAAAGAUAACUGUCUUCACCCUCACAAAAAAAAAAGGAUAACUGUCUUCUUUCAUCCUUCUGAUUAAAUGGGCUUUGUUGAAUUUUCCAAGAUUCCAAUAUGAGAUUUUUGAAUACAACUAUGAUAUAGACGCAUAACAUUUAUAAAACUAAUCUCUGAAAAAAAAACUAUUAACUAGAUUCAUAUUGAUUCAUUGCUAUUUGAAUCCUUUAAAUCUUUGGCUGGCCUUUCAAAUCAACAUGUAUUGGUUUAUCCUUAAAGAGGGUUCUUCAAUUUCUCUCUGGUAUCUGAGAUAUAAGAACUAUUUUGCAAUGCCAAAGUAUACGACAUAAAAAUGUAUGUGAUCCGGGGAUUAUAACUAUAAUAUAAAUAACUUUUCUAUUAUCUUUUAGUAUUUCUAUUUUGAUCCAUCAUACAAAUAGAAAUUAUUCAUAAGUCUCUGUACAUAGCCAAUAUCUUAUGAAAUACAUUAAAAUCUAAAUUAAAAUGAAUUACUUAAUUGAAUUUAAUCUAAUUUGACAGUUUGCAAUACACAAUUAUUCACAUAUAUAAGCCUAGCUUUGGAUCUAGGAUCCAACAGUUUUUUUCCUUCCAAUUUGUUGUAAAUCAUGAUACUUCACCAAUAUUUAAUCAUGGCAGGACAAACUUUACCAUUAUUUGAUCAUGGCCAGGACUUGCUGGUUGGUGGUACCGAAACCUCAGCCCUUACGGUAGAAUGGGCAUUGAAUGAACUUCUCAAACAUCCACGUCUCAUUCGAAAGGCAACCGAAGAGCUUGACAGAUUGAUAGGGAAAGACAAGUGGGUGGAAGAGGCUGAUUUCUCAAAACUGCCUUUUCUAGAGGCGAUCAUAAAGGAAACUUUUAGGUUACAUCCACUGGCAACGCUACUUUCGCCCCGUUAUGCCCCCGAGGAUUGCACUGUAGCUGGUUAUAACAUUGCUAAAGGAACAACGGUGUUUAUAAACACAUGGAGUAUAGGGAGGAACUCAAAGUAUUGGGAUUCUCCUGAAGAAUUCAUUCCAGAGAGGUUUUUGGAGAAGGAUAUUGACAUGAAGGGACAAAACUUUGUGCUACUGCCCUUUGGCUCAGGUCGGAGGAUGUGCCCAGGCUAUAACCUUGGAAUCAAACUUAUUCGAUCAAUGUUGGCAAACUUGUUGCAUGGAUUCAACUGGAAAUUGCCUCAUGGCAUGAAACCAGAGGAAAUUUGCAUGGAAGAACACUACGGACUCACAACUCAUCCAAGGAUUCCACUUGCUAUGAUCCCAGAACCACGUUUGCCGGUCAAUCUCUAUUAGCAAGUAUUGAUUUAAGGCAAAAUUGAAAUAUAUUCCUACUCUGCAUCAAUCAAAGGUUAAACUUAAUCUCCCCUCUCCAAUUGUAUCAUGCCCUUUUGAUCACUUAGCUCAAUUUAGGUGAGAGCUUGGGAGUUGGGACAGUAUAUUUGAACUAAGGAAACUUUGAAGAGACGAUACUCCUUUUGGUGAUUUCUAUUGUGAAAUAAUACAAAAGUCACAAUCAUGCUGGUUUUCUUUUCUUUCUUGAAAUUGCUUUUGGUGAAUUCUAUAUUGUGAAAUAAAAGAGAAGUCACAAUAUAUUUUUUUUGCUAAAUAAAAAAAGUCAAAAUAUCGCAAUUAUGACGUGUGGAAGAAUUGACAUGGAAAUAUUGAAGACUGCAGAGAGAGGGGGAAAAACUGGCUCUUUUGUUAGCAAAGAAAAUAGGUACGCAACGGAAUUAAAUAUAGCAUCUCAAAAAUUUGAUGAACAAACAAGGAGGCCCUCAAUUAGAGCCACAAGUCUUUUCAAGUUCUCGAGAACAAAAGAUAACAUUCACGAAAGCAGAGUUGGCGCAACUUACUGGACCAGAGAAGGAACAAAACUAACCUUGUGCAAUGACCAACUUUAUGAUUGGUUCGCACCAGGCCUGUAAAAAAGACAAAACAAAUCUGACUUCUUGACUUCAUACUACUAACACAUGUUUCAAUAAGGCAAUGCUAACUAUGAACCCAAUUCCUAUGCAACUUCAAGAAUCUAACGAAACAGAUUGAACAGAGACACCCAAUUUAAGUAAAACUAGGGGUGUCGAGGUUAAUUAAGUAGCUCAUGAGUUUGCUCUGUCAAAGUUCUAAAACUUUUCAUUGGUCAAGUUUAAGCUCGAAUUCGAGUAGUUCAAGCUACUUGACGAGUCGAGUUCGACUUUAAUAUAUGAAACUCGAAAGCUCGUCAAAGUUAAUCGAAUUCAAUUGAGCUUCAUGCACACAUAUAUUAAUUUUUUUUAUAUAUAUUCUAAAAAUGUACGAGUUGGCAUUGGUUUUGGGCUAAAUAUAAUUAAGUGAAUAUGAAUACAUCUCAAAUUAAAUUCAAUUAGAAAAUGAGUUAAAUUAUCUUACCACAACAUUGCAUGAAAAAAAUAAAAAAUUGUUGUACCAUAAAAGUUUUACUGCAUGGAUGACAGGUGUCGAGCCUGUGCAAUAAUAAAAAUAGAACCUAAUUACCACUAAAAGCAGUCAAUAAUUAAUCCUAGGUACUGGAGCAGGGACUCUAGGUGUGCAAUAGGUUACUUGAUUCACCCUGUUCCCGAAGCGUUUGCUUAACCCGAUAUACCAGAAUUAAUUAAUUGACAAAAACUACUAAAUAGUAGACAGUGGCAAGCAGGGUUGUCUCCUCAAGGACUGGGGAUAUUUGUCUCUUGAAAUUCCAAUUGGUAAAGGGGGAUUUUAUCAGAAUGAAACUAAAAACAAUUAAGCAAUUCAACUAAAAAUAAUUAAUUAACUAGCACGAAUAUAGCAAGAAUUAAAUCAAGACUAGAUAAAUUCUAGCCAAGGAUACAACUAUUCAGACACAGUCCACUUACUCGAUCAUGAUUAAUAGGCUAGUUAUAAUCGCCGACGAACUCUAACGAUCAAUUUUUCCUCAAUUUAUUGAUAACCAAGGUACGACCAUUGAUUACUCCUAACCAGAAAAUACUCCUAGGUACGACCGUAGGAAUUAAUUUCCCAAUUCCAUUAAGAUCUAGAAAAACCUAACCCCAAUAACACGCUACGAGGGUUAUUUAAAUUAGAUUGCACGUUCUCCUAGUGUGUAAACACGUCAGUUGCCACUAAUAUUAAUCAAUCAAACAAUUACGGAUUUAAUUGACUAAUUUGACAGGAGAUUAAUAAGUCACAUUGAACAUCGGGCCCUUGACAUCCAAUUAACAAAAUAAUCCCAUGGAAAUUCAAAUAGGUAACUUGCAAAUAUUAACAAAUUAAGAAACGCGUGAAAACUAAUUAGAUCUCACAGAUAUUUGGGACUGCGCCGUCGAGUUGAUCCUUGACUAGAUGAAAGGCUUAGGCACGCCGCAUAAAUAAAUCUCCACACAAAUUAAUUGACUAUAAAAGCAUCGCGUUUGUCACUAGAAAGCAAGAGGUAAAAGCUAUUUUUCUAGUAUGGAAUUACAUCGAACAGAAGGCACGCAUGCCAAGUAGAAGAAAAGAAACUAAAACUCUUGCUUAAGAGAUGUCCCUGGCCUCUGUACCUUUUUUUUCUUUUCAAAGCCAAAAGGAAAUAACUAAUGCUAUCUCCUAGUGAUCCCCACGCAAUUGAGAGUCAAAGGGCCAAAGAGUUGGAGGUCUGCUGAAGUCCUUGUCUUUAGUUUCCUCUUUAUAAGAAAACUCCUAGUCAGUAGCUUUUCUAAUCAGCAAAAAGAAAUGCAAUCCGUCUGUGGCACCAUGUGGGCUAGUUCUGUGGCUUGUUUGAAGUCUCAAUUGUCUCCAAAAAGUCCCUCCUUUUUUGUAGUUUUCUGCUCCACUCCCUGAAAUUGAGUCCAAAUACCAAAUAUAAGUAAAUAUUAAUAAUUAAAACAAUAUUUGGCAAGGACAAAGGGAAAAAUUAAUAAUAAAAUUACUAACAAUUAACACCUUAUCAAUGGAUUGAAGCACAAAUUAGAUUGCUCUUUUUAAGAUAAUUAGUGCAUAUGAAGUAUUAUCCGAUGCAAUAGGUUUUAGCAUUUCGCUUCUAACUUGUUUUUGAUUGCCGUUUAUCCUAAUAUACCAAUAGGUUAGACAAAAACUUAACACAAUACUGUUUUUACUUCAAAUGAAAUUUAUACUAUAUAUAAAGGGAGAGUAGUGAUAGUUGGUAUAAAGAUUUUCUGUCAUUUUUAUGAACUUUCAAUUUUACCCCUUAGAAAAACUAAUUUUUUGUCCUAAUUACUUGAUCACAUUUGCCAACAUCGCUGCUCGUAACUACACUAAAUAUUCCAGCUACCAAAUUAUCUAUUUUUUAAUUGAAGGAAAAUUACUUAUAAAUUGAAGUUUGUUAAUGAAAAAUUCUUUUAAAAUUUAUUUGUGCAAAAAUAAAAUUUGUGAAUUUAUAAAAAUAAUAAUUAUCUCUAAAUUGCACACAUACUCGGUGUGCCUUUAACACUAGUACAUAUAACAUAUCUAAAACUAGUUUAGUAUUAGUAGAAUAUAGUAGAAGAAUCUCCUUAUCAAGAGUAAGAAAUAUAGGUGUGACAAUAAUGUAAGAUAUCUGUUGUUUGAACAUUUAUUUAUAGGUAGAAUAUUAUAUGAGUACAACCUUGACAAUUGACAUUAAAUCUAAUGACAAUACAAAAUUUUAGUUUGAAAAUACUAUUGCUUGUAAUGCCAUGUAUAACGGUCAAAUUAUUAUGAAAAUAACAUUAGAAAGGUUUCUCAUUUUUGUUAUCAAAUUUGCAAUUGAAAAUCAUUGAAUAAUAAUUGUAAUUUUUUUUGUUAAAUUACUCCAACAAUACCCCCUUUUAUUUUAAUAACAAAUAAGUGGGGGACGUGAAACCAUUUAAUUUUACAUAACAUUUUCUUAGAGUUCUAUAUAGUCCCUUCCUCAACUUUCAUUUAAUUUUUUCCAAUUCACUCAUCUAGUACCUAAAGGUGUGCACCUAAAUCAAAUUCUUACUUUUUAGAUCUACCUACUACUGUCCUAACACACUACUAAUCGAUUCAAUACCCUACUAUUGCAAUACUAAAACGACUCAAUGAUGUCCUAACACAUCGUUCUUGGGCUGAUCCUGUGAGAUUUUAGUGCUUCUGUGAUUUUUGUGGUUCGGCGUUAUAAUCAGUUCAUUCUUCGAUAGUAAAGUGCUGGGCAGUUACUGACCAACAAAUGCUCUGAUGAAGAAGAGUUUGUACUUUGUAGCAUUAAAAAAUUGAGAACGGAUAAAUUGUACUUGUCGGCCCGAUGGAUACGAAAUCUUGUGGCACGUCUAUUCUUCACUAAAGUUAUUAGAAUUGGGCCACAGAUUUACAUGAAUCUUCCUCCAUCUUCUCUGUUAAUUACGGCUUUUUCAAAUUGAGUUUGUAAUUUUCAAGUUGAGCUUUUAUCUUCUUCAGCAAAUAGCAUCCAAUUUAAGGUACUUAAGUUUUGGCCUUUACUCAUUUGACUUUAUGUUAUGACCUUCUGUCUGAUACGUUGUCGGGAAAAUGGGGCCUCGCAAGUUCCAUUUCAUACAAGUUGGUGUAAAUUAAUAAUUUGCUUUCAACUUACAUCAAAUUAUCUUUAAUUUACACUAAAUGAUAAUAAUUAACUUAUACCAAACGGUACUUAAUUUACACCAAAUAAUAACAAAUCAACAUACAUUGAAUUUAACUUAUUUACAUUAAACUUGACCUGAUUUAUACGAAAAUCUUAUUAAUUUAUACCAGAGCUCAAUUUGUGUGAAAUUGUACGAAACAUAAAUUGCGAAUCCCCAGAUCCUGUUGUAGGAUAUUCCUCAAGAUGAUUGCCUUGAGUUUUUUCUUGUUAAUUUUUAGUGUUUUUUAAUAGCUGUUUUUAAAAUGUACGUGAUGUGUUUUUAAGGUGUAUUUUGGAUAGAUAAUCAGUGAGCCCGUGCUAUCUCCUUUGACAGUGAUGCGAACGGUCUCAUCUGCAUUAGACGAAAGAAGAAAAAUUAGAUACAUCCAACUUUAUCUGUAUCUCAUAUCGACGAUCCUUUUUUUCAUGGACUUAUCACAAAAGGAGUUGACAGGAACAAUUUUAGAUUGUUUGGCCUACAUGCCUUCCUUAAGAACAAUGUAAGUAUGUUUUUUUAAAUCUUUAUACAUAAAAAUCUUAAUUAAUCAAUCAAAACUCAAUCAGAGGUUAAAACAACCUCAAAAUACAUCCCAACUCCCAUGGCAUUCAACAAGAACUGCCUAGCUAAUAGGCAUACAUACACAAACAACAAAGUAACAAAAAAGCUAGAUACCUAUAAUUAGUUAAUUAACCAACUAUCUUUAAAGUAGUUGGCCACUAGGGUGCAGGUUAAGGGAUCGAAUCCCUUAACUUGCAUUCAUUUUCAGGAUUUUCAGAAAUUUUACAAGUGGGUGCAAAGGCACUCGUUUGGUCCGAUGAUAGUUUAGUCCCUUCCAGGUUCUCCCUUGACCCAUUUAGUCAUUUUCAGGAUUUUCAGAAAUUUUACAAGCGGGUGCAAAGGCACUCGUUUGGUCCGAUGAUAGUUUAGUCCCUUCCAGGUUCUCCCUUGACCCAUUUAGGCCCACCCUCUCCCUCCCAAUAUAGAGUAGGAGUAAAUAUAGAAUAGAAACUAUUGUGUCAAUAGAAAAAAAAAAUAUGAUUAGUUAAUAACACACUGCAAAAUAAAAAAAAAAAAAUAGAGGUUCUAAAAGUUCCCUAGGGUUCUAUGUAUUUGAAUUCAGUUGUUAAACUUUUAAUCAUCAUCAUCAGCACCAUUAGAAGACGGACGUCAAUCUUUAGAUUGAAAUGGCAUGAUUAAACACCAAUUUCUCAAUGUUAAUGAGGCUGAUAUCCUAGACAUAGUCCUUACAUGUUCAUGAUUAUCUAGAAUAAUGUGCUUCUCAAAAUGUGUAACUUAUGAUCAGCCAGUGAGCAUUUAAUCAUAAAUCGGUUUAUAGGCGCUUAUGGCAAGAAAUAGAAGUUUAUGUACAAAAUUGUUAUCAACUAAGCUGAUGCUGCAAACUGUUGAAAACAGUACUACUUAAUAGAUUGACUUUUUAAUUUACAACUGUUUUAAUUUACUUUUUUUUUUUUUUUUGUGUCCUCCCACCUCUUUCCAUACCCAAUUGUUAGGUUUAGAAUACAAACUCUGAACUUGUUAAUGUAUUUAAACGGUCGGAACAUGUAAUACAUAUAUGGCUGUUGAUGAUAUAAGUAAAACCGAUUCAGGUCUGAUCCUUGUAUACUGGGCUAUGGCCUAUCUUGGAUCUGGAAAUAUGGAUCGGAUCUGGACUUGGAACCGGUGGUCCAUUGAUAGCCUUAUGCCCAUGUCUGCAAAAAUCCUAUUCAUUCGUACACAGAGUCCCUGAUUUCUUCGAUCAAAAGCCACGGGGCCCCGUGCUUUAAGAUGAAUAGGCCGCCAUGGAUCUUCACUGGCAAAUUGUUUUCCUUGUUUCUUGAAAAAAAUUGCUUGGAGUAUAAUAAAGUUUAAUUUCGUGAAAAGUUUGUUUAGGAUUUGAUUAUAGACCGUUGAUAAUAUUUUACUAUAAAUUAAUAUUUCGAUUUAAUCAUAUAUGAAUUUGAGACAUAGAUGAAAAGUAAGGACUCUUGUGAUUUCUUAAAAAUUUCGUUUACGUUGUAUUUGUGAUUCAUACUAUUGGUCAUGUAAUUACUGUCCUUUGUAGAAUUUACAAUUUAUAAGAACUUAAUCAUGAAUAUGUUCCAAAAAAAUCACACUACUGAAGCACAACCUGAAUUAUAUAUAAACAAGCUAUAAAAGUGUAUUUAAAAUGGUAGUAGAUUAAUUGAACAAAACUACAAAACUACUGCACUAUUUAAAAUGGUUGUUUUUGACAAAUUUCAAUCCAUGAUCAUUAAUUAGCUCAAUCAACCAUAAGAAUCCCCAAAUUGACUUCACUUCUAAUAACUUUAGACAUGUUAUUUUUUUAGUUGUUGUCAAUCAUUUCUCGAGAUGUGAUGUCCCUUGGAUUUGUCCACCUCGUGUUAAGAAUGCUUGGUUGUCUUCCGGUAGGAAAUUUUGCUUUUGCUUGGUUGUCAUGUCCCUUUACUAUUGCUUCCCUUUCUGCCAAGACGCCUUCGAGUUCUAGUCGUGAUUGUGCUUGGUUGUAUUGUAAUGGGAAAUUUUGGAUAACAAAUCACCUCACAGGAUACCACUAAUCACUUGACCUGAAAAUUGGAGGUUUUGCCAUUUAAGUCGAUUUUCUGGGUUUAACUCCCCAUGUCUAGAGACACCUUUUUUGUGAUAAUUUCCUUUUGAUUAAUCCAUACAUAAUAUUGAACGUUCCUUUUGUUAAUCGAUUGUCGAAACUUCUAAUUUGCUAAUAUUUGCUGGUUUUUUCCAAUAUCUGCAGACAAAAUAUGAUCACUUUUAUUUUUUUUAUAUGAUAAUAGUCAUACCGUGAUCAUCAUUUAGUUGGGAAAGAAUAUGCUGAAUAUUACAAAGGAGAAAGUAGAAAUGAAAAAUUUCGAAUUCGAGACCUCUUACUUUAUUAAAAAAAAAAAAACUAUGAUCAUUAUUUAGAACGGCAAUGUCAACAUCCUUUGUUGUAUCCGGUAAUUGCUGCUUCGUUUCAAGCAAAACUAUCAGUAUCUGCCGUUUGUAAUUUUAUGAUAUCGUAAUUGUAAAGAAAUUUCAUUCUUCUCUUUCCAAUUGUCCAUGGAUUUUCUAUGGAAGCAGUGGAUCCGGCGACUUUUCUAUCAGGGUUCCGUAGACGAUGGUGUAUCUUAGACCGCAGAGUCUCCAUUCAAUCAGGAACCAGUGGGCCCCAUGCUUUUAGCUGGAUGGGCCUGGAUUUUCUCAGCCGGGGCCCAGCAAAAGUUGUAAAUGGACCUACCGUAGAUCCGACCGCGCAAGAAAUUUUUAAUCUUCUUGGGUCUCUCGAGUUGACUCCAGAACAAGUCAACAAGUCAACGGACGAUCGGUAUACUCUGGACCUGAGGUCCGAAACAGCAAAACAAUAUGAAAUUAAACAUAUGCUGGCAUAAAAUAUUUCCAAACAAGAUUUAAAUGAGUUUUUUUUUCACUUUAAUUUAUCAGAAUUUAUUAAUAAUUGCGGUCUAUUUUUAACUAUUUCAUUAAAUCUAGCUGUCGAAAGAAAAAAAAGUUUGGAAUAUGCUGCAGCUUAAUACAUGAAAAUUUUGUUUGGGAUUGAUUGCACCUUUACUAAAUUAAGUUUUACUAGAGUUGUAAGUUGUUGACUAACUAAGGUUUUCUAGAAUUUAUAACUUCUGAGAAAUUAUACUUUCUUCUCGCUAUUAGGUUCAGUCUUAAGUCUAGCAAUUAGGGGUGGGAAGGGUGUUGACAGGAGUAGAAGGUAUAAAAAAAAGCUAUAGUCAUGACUUUGUCCCAAAAAAAAUCAAAUUGCUGAAUCUCAAUUUGAACGAUAUAUUUACAAUUUAUUGCUAAGAUGUAUUCGGGUAUUAAAUUAAUUGAAUGAAAGAAUCGUUCUGUUUGAAAUGGUUUUUUUUUUAGAGAAUUUUUAAAAACGUUUAGUAUAGCCACAUUAUUGGAAGAGUGUAUGUAUGUAAGAUAAGAAAUUAUUAAAGGACGUAAUUAAAAGGUUUUCAUAAAUGAUCCUUCCAAACAAAAACAGUUUUCCAUUUGCUUUAACUUAUUAGUUUAACCUGCGAAUUUCCUCUCAGAUAAAUGAUGAACAAGCUUAAGUUGGACAAAAUUUUCUUCUAGGACAUGAACAUGGUCAAGGGAUCUCCUUUUCUGCCUCAGCUUGUUCAAACUUAAAAACUGGUCAUGACAGACUCAAAUUCGUAUACAAAAAGCUAUUCAACGAUUAGAGGAAGAAUAUUUUGGUAGUAGUACUCAAAGGUUGUAUUCAGAAACUCUUGCGGAAUUGCUUCUCCUGAAAUGUUUCCAAAUUCCAGGUUUAAAUAAGACAAGAAAUUGCGGUCCAGAUAUUUGAUGCAAACCAAAACACAUGAUGGAAAACGUUUGAUUUACGUUUAUAGAAAAACAACCCUGUAUUGACCGUAACAUAGGAGUAGAACAAGUCGAGGGUUAGGUUUUACAACACAUAUUUAGAUUUUCUUUUUUUUUCCCCCUUACCAGAGCAUAAUAUAAUGGGAACUUACAACUAUAAUACAAUUGGCUACAGGUUCGGCAUGUUCACGAGUUCACAAAACGUCGCCAUGUUUUUCUCGUAUGCAAGUCCAUGCUGCAGGAGAAGGCAAAAGGCCGCUGAUUUCCAUGAAUGGUCGCAAUUUAUCUGAAAAAGAGCUUAAGUUUGAGGAACAUGCACGAUGGGAACUUAUACCAGGCAGAUCCAGUAAGUCCUUUGAUAUAUAUAUACAUAUAUAUAUAUAUAUAUAUAUUCUUAGCAGCUAUCCUUCAUCUCCAAGCAUUGUCAGGCACUAUUCUUAGCGACAUCUAAAUAAUUUAUUGUACGUCUAUUUAGUGAUUCCACUAUAUGCCAUUUCGUUUCCGCUGAGAUACUUCUGUCAAGAAUUUUAGGCCUUUGUACGUUAAUUUUGGUCUUGCACUGUAAGUUCGGAGAACUACACCGACGGUACACACACAGGCACAGACAGAUAUAUUCAAGAGCUCGUUUGGAUGGGUGUUUUUGAGAAUAUUUUUUAUAGAACUUUAACUCUAGAUAUGUGUUUUAUAAAACCAUUUGAUAUGGUGCUUUAAAAAUGUUUUCAAGUGUUUUUGGGAAUGAUUUUAAAACUGAUGAUUAGCGCCAUCCUCUUCUCACCUCUACCCUGCCCUCCGAUCUCCACUCUUUCUCUCCCCCCGCUUCUUUUCUCCACCUCUGGCCACCCUCGCAUUCCAUCCCCUCACCCCUCCUAUUUUCCACCCUUCCUUGUCACCUCUAAAAAAAAAAACCAUCAAAUCACCCCUACCAGAUUGCAUAGAUCUUUCAUGUGGCCAUAUCAUAAAGGGACGAGGGCGCAAGGGAAAGAGGGAGUGUGGUACUUAUAUUUAGAGAUUUAAUUAAACCCGAAUUAUGAGUAGCAAAGAAUGAUUGCAACAUUCAUUUUCUGAGGGCUUGGGGACAAAGCCAUUAAGGGUUUGUUUCGAUGUGUUUCAACUUGUAAAAAAGUAUUUGAUUGUUCAUAAACAUAUUCUCUAACCACCUUUUGAUUUCACAUAUAUCAUAUCACAAAAAUGUUACGGUAUUUCAACAAAUCUCCUAUCCAAACACACUCAUUGUUUCUAAUUUCGGUUGAAUAGAUAAGUCCAAAUGCACAGAUUUGUCGAUGACUUGAUUGAUUUUUGUCUGCAGGUUUCAUCAGUAUCGACUGUGGCAUAGAAAAUGGUAACGAUUAUACUGACAGCGAAACUGGAAUUAGUUAUACAUCAGAUGCGCAAUAUGUUGAAAGCGGAGUAAACAUGAAAAUAUCUGAUUUAUUCUUGUCUCAAACUCAAAAUUAUCAAAAGCUGCUGUCAACUGUUAGAAGUUUUCCUGAAGGAAACAGCAGUUGCUACACGCUAAAACCAACAGCAACUGGCGGAGGCAACAAGUACUUGAUUAGAGCAUUCUUCAUGUAUGGAAAUUAUGAUUUGAAAAGUCAACCACCACUUUUCAAACUCUAUCUUAAUGCAAAUGAGUGGGAUGAAGUAAAACUGGACAAUGCAUCUCAGAUUCUGAUCAAAGAAGUCAUACAUAAUCCUCCUACAGAUUAUAUACACGUCUGUCUUGUCAAUGUUGGCUCCGGAACACCUAUUAUUUCAGCACUUGAGAUAAGAGAGUUGAGCAACACCAUCUAUGAUACUAUGUAUAAUGAUUCGCUAAUCCUCUACAGAAGGUUAGAUGAAGGUGCAAGUUCAACGAUUAGCAACAAAUUCCAGAGGUAAAUAAGGUCUAUAUAUGAGUAAGAAUAUUAUUAAUUAUUUGAAUAUUGUUCUUUGCAUUUUAGACGGAAUUAAUUUGGUUUUCCAAUUCUUCAUUUUCAGGACUGCUUGUCUAUUAUUAUUUUUUUCUGUCGUUUGGAAUCUUCAGUGUUCAAAACCACACUAAGCUCAGGUGCCUGUUUAUUCAAGGGCAAAAAAUAGUCGAAUCUUUCUCAUUAUCUUUUAAUCCUGGAUACCUCUUCAAUUUUCUUUUUUCGAAUUGGGGAUUUUAAGGCUAUUGCACAAGGUUCAAUUACAUACGAAGUUAACUUUAAGUUGAAACCCAGACCCCUCAAAUCACUCCUAAAUCCCCCUCAUUUUUUUUCCCAAUAACAAGACAUGAGCAAAACAAGAUAACUUUCCCAUUAACGUGAAAAAAUAGAUUCCUAGUAUUUACUACAAGAGGCGCCUAGUUUAGUUGUUAAACAGUGUUUUGAAUUUCAGAUAGAAUUGGCUGAUUCAAUUGAUUGAACCAUGAACAGUCAAUUGCCCCGUCAAAGCCUUCUCAAUGAGCUGGUCAAACUUAGUUAAAAACUGGAUUUGACCUGAGAAGAUCAGGAAAAGAUCUGAAAAAUUGGUUUCUUCAAACUUAGUUAAAAUUGAUUAACUUUCCUUCUUGUUUUCUAAUUUUACAUUUUUUUUUGUUGAAGCUUUCCUUAAUUAUUCUUGACUCGAGUUUGAUACUCAAAAUUUUUGUGGCAUUUAGGUUUGACAUUUGAAUAAUUUGGACAACUAAUUCUUUCACGAACUUUUUCGAGUUACAAUCUUAGUUUCUAAAUUUUGUUAAUUAAGUCUUAUGAAUUUAGUAGUAAGAUGUUAUACUUUUGUUGUGCAUGAAUUCCUAAAAUUUCUUUCAGGUACCGGGAUGAUUUCUAUGAUCGUAUAUGGGAAGUCCCUGACUACCGGCCUGAUUGGGAACCAAUUAACACAACUUCUUACAUUACUGAAGAAUAUCUUGACAACGCCUAUAAACCUUCACCAAUCGUCAUGAGCACUGCAGUCACGCCUGCGCAUGGAAGUUCGUUGGUGCUGUCUCAAAAUGUUGAUCGAAACCAACAAUUCUACUUGUACAUGCAUUUCCUCGAGGUGGAAGAUCUCCCAUCGACUCAAAUCAGGAAGUUUGCCAUAUAUGUGAACAAUAAAAUCUGGUCCGACCCUGUUGUUCCAGACAGUGGUCCAGAUACCAUCUACAGCACAUACUCUCGGGGUGGUGCUGAUACCCUACUGUUCUCAAUCAUUAUGACAAAUGAUUCUACACUUCCUCCAAUUCUCAAUGCCGUAGAGUUCUAUAUCCGCAAGAAAUUCCCUAUCUUGCCUACAAAUCAAAGUGACGGUACGCUUAAAUCUAAAGCCGUAUUUUUUAUUUGAUACUUCAUACUCAAUGACACAAAUUAUUGGGAGAUCUUUGCUAAUUACAACAGUUCGUUCAAUUAUACUUAACCAAAAAAAACAAUUGAAAAUAUGAAAAAGUAAUCAUUAAAAUGAAGAAUUUCGUAGGGUUUCUAUUGAAUGCUUUACAGCCCUGAAUUAUAUACAUUAAUUUUGUUCUUGGUUGAUUUCAGGAUUGUCCCUUUCUCAUAGCGAUUUAUCGUGUAUAAUUUUGUGUAAUUUUAUAUAAAAUCAAGAUACAGAUUCAUCGGCGUUGUGACCUUUUAUACGCUAUCUUCUUUCUUUCUUUUUCUUUUUUUUUUGCAUGAUGUGUACAUACGAUGAAUCCUUCUAUAGGAGCUGUAAAAUUUUUUUCCCUCUAACUUUUUUUUUCCCCGACAAACUCUAGUUGACGCCAUGAUCAGCAUUAGGUCAACGUAUGGUGUAAAGAAAAAUUGGCAAGGAGAUCCAUGUGUACCCGAGGAACUUAGGUGGGAUGGACUAGACUGCAGCACCAAUGAUCAGGGUUUAUACAGAAUCAUUUCAAUGUCAGCUUCUGUUUCUACAACAAACUUCAUUUUUUGUAAUUGAAUGUGAAGAUGACUGCGUCCUUUUCUGCUAUUUAACCAUGUUGACGGAACUGAAUUAAAGCAGGAACCUAUCCUUCAGUGGGUUAGCCGAUGAAAUCACAUUCUCAUUGUCUAAACUUGAUUCACUACAAAGCUUGUAAGUAUAUCUACUGCCAUAUGUCAUAUUUCAUACAUUUAUUUAUUUUUUUAAAAUAAAAAUGGCCAAUUGCUUUUGCCACUUUUCUGAAACAAUAAUUGUGGGCAUUUUCUCUUUUCGUCAAAUUUCAUACCGUUGUAAGUAAAUUGUGAACUGCUAGAAAGAGUAUAUUGGAGAAAUUUUUAUUUUUUUAAAGUAUUGGAGAAAGUUCUUGUUCCAUCAAGACAAUUAUUUCGGAAGUGCAAAAGAAGAUUCCAGUCAGGAAAAAAAAAAGUUAAAAGGUCUAGAUUGGAGUUAACCUGAUUAUAAGCUAACUACUAGAAAUGGUACUAGUACAACUACUAUUGGAGAUUUGGAGUCACAAAUACAAAUAAUUGUUUCGUUUAUGCAAUGAAUUCUUUUGCAAAUAAUCAUGUAAGUUAUACCUAUUUCCUAUGUUAAACAAGGGUUCCCAGUUGGCUGCAGGAAGAAAACUUCUUAUAUUUGCAUUCUAGAGUUGGACAUUUUAUGCAUCUGAAUUAGACUACAGAAGAAAAAUUAGGUAUAUCGUACUUCUAUCUCAUAUCGACAAUCAUUAUUCAGGGACAUGUCUCACAAUGACUUGACAGGAACAAUUCCAGAUUUUUUGGCCUACAUGCCUUCCUUAAGAACAAUGUAAGUUCCUACACGAUUUGCCUCGAGAAAAAAUUGUAGUUUUGAUCCCUAAUGUUUGGCCCGAAUGUUUAGUUCAAAAUAAAUCUGAUCCCCAAAAUUUGUGAUUUUAGUUAGAUUUAGGACAAUUAUCAGAAAUAGAAUAACGACUAACGGUCAUCAUCAAAUUGUUAUUAAUCAACAACUUUGACUUUGCACUUUUGGUCUCAAAUAUUUUGACUUUGAAUCAUCAUAUUUUCCUAAAUUUUAAAUAGUGAUAUUAAGAGUUUUAGCAUGAGUUGUAAUUAAACUUCUUUUUCUUCUUUUUAUUUUUAUUUUUAUUUCAUUUAUUCAUGCUAAUAAUAUAUCAUAUGUUUCUUUUCUUUUGCAUAGUUAGUCUUAAAUUUGGUAUAAUAUAUAUAUUAUUAUUUCUCAGUAUUAAUAAUUAAUUGAUAAUGAGUUUUAUUAUUUUUAUUUCUAAUGAUAAUUACAAACUUAAUUAAAUAUCCCUUUCAAAUAUAAGGAAUGUGCUGAUCUUUUUUUUAGGCCAUUUAAUAGGUUAUCAGUUGAAUUUAAAAUAAAGUAGGCAUCUCAUAUAUAUUAUAUUAAACAUUAAAUGAUUAUCACAAUAUAUAAAUAUAAAUUCUUUAAAACUACAAUAUUAGAACGUUAAAUUUUAAUUGGAAGGAUAGACAACAAAAGAUGAAAUAUAGUUUUCUUAAGGUAAGUACCAAUGUGAAGUAAUUUUUUAAAUUCUUUAAAAAAAUCUUUUAUUUUUUGUUGUCUUUCCUACCAAUUAAAAUUUAACAUUCCAAUAUUGUAGUUUUAAAGCAUUUAUUUUAAUAUCUAUGCACCUUAAUAAUCAUGUAGUUGUUCAUAUAAUGUGUAUAAAAUGGCAACUUAAUUUCAAACUCAAUUGAUAAUCUAUUAAAAUGCCAAAAAAAGAUCAACUUAGUUUACAAAAAAGUAUAUAGUCUUUAUAUUUUGAAGGGAUAUUUAAUUAAGUUUUUAAUUAUCAUUAGAAAUUCAAUUAAUUAUUAAUAAUGAAAUAAUAUACAUAUAUUAUACCAACUUUAAGACUAUGCAAAAGAAAAAUAUAUAAUAUAUUAUUAGCAUAAAUAAAUAAAAAAAUUAAAAAAAGAAGAAAAAGAAGCUUUAUGUUUUAAAUUGUCAUUAUUUAAACUUUAUGGUUCAAAAAUAUAUUUUAGGUUACUCUGUGUAAAAGAAUAAAUUUCAAUUUCUUCUGUAGAGAAGGAUGGGGGACAGGAAAGGAAGAAACAGAAGUUGUUAAGGUGUGUUUUUCUCUUAUCUUGCAGUAACUUAUCUGGAAACAAGCUGGAAGGCUCAGUUCCUGCACUUCUUCUUGAUAAAAUGAACAACGGGGCAUUGGCACUCAGGUAUUUUAAAUUCUAGACCAUGACCCUUUUUCUUUUUGUUCUAUUCCAGAGGAUGACUUAUUUAACUACACAUUGGUUGAAUAGAAGGAAAGUUAUAUGGGAAAGUGAGAUAAAGAAAAGUGAAAAUGAGUUUCCUAUAUAAGUUUGGUUACGAAGAAAAAUAUUGAGAGAAUAUAAGAAGUUAAUGACAGUUAAUAGCAGUUAUUAAAACUUUCGUGAGUUAUUUUCCUGAAAGCCCUGCAAAUUUUGUAGGACACAAAGUGCAGGAAAAUGCAAGAAAAAGUUUCAAUAUUCCUGCUAUGAAGAAAAAAAUAACUAACUUUCAUUCAUUUCUUCACACUUUUCCGAUAAACAAACACUAUAUUUCACUUUUAUUUGAGACAUAGCAUCCCAUAAUGUUUUUAGAUUGUAUCAAUGAGUCAGAUUUGCCAAUAGAUCGAUCUAAUUAAAUUCAAGUGGGAGGAAAUUGGAAUUGUAUACCCAGAUAAUGCCAGAAAGAGACAAAAAUUACAUGUAUGUAAUUUUUGCUCAUUUGUUUUUUGGUUAAAAUGUAAUUUUUGUUCUUUUUCUUUUCAGUUAAAAAAUUUUUUUUUUUUGUUCCUUUUGUGCAAGUUUGGAUGGAAACCCGGAUCUUUGUUUAUCAGGCCCUUGCAAGAAGAAGAAGUCUCAUAAGCAGAGACUGAUCGUUAGCAUCGUUUUACCGACCAUAUCAUGUCUUCUUGGCAUAGUAAUCGGGGUAGCGAUUUUCAAGCACAGAAUAAAAGCCGCCUCAACGAAGGGUACUCCUUGAUAUCUCAACUUUUCAAAAUUGCACUACUACUCCUUUCAAAAGCAUAAUAUUUUUGUUUGACAUACAAUUUUAUAAAAUUCGAGGGUUCAAAACAUAGCCAAUUGCAAUGACAGGAGUGAUUCGAGAUCUUUGUUAACUUAAACAUCGGAACACUGAUGUAGUACAAGAAAUGCCCAUGAGUCUAUGAGGAAUUUGGUUGUAGGGGUAUGAAAUUGAAAUGGGAUGGUUAUUUUAUCAAUUAUUGUGUUUGGAAAGACAAAAGAGGCCUUUCUACCCUCUGGUCCAAUUGUUGAAAACGUAUCAAUCUUUUUUUGGGUCGCUGCAAUAAGUCCUAAUGUACUAAAUUUUGAGUUAGAGCGCCCUUAGGCCAAAAAAGUUCAUUAGAACACCUUCUUGAUUUAUUGCAAAGCAGGAAUUUGUGCCUAACCUACAGCCAAAAAAGUAACUUCAACGGAUGUUUACAAAAAAAGGACCGGGGAGGGGGGGGGGUUGCUGUAAGAGAAUAAUAGAAAGAUUUUAAUAAUUUGCAAUUUUUUUAUACACAUGAAGUAACUUUGUUUAUUGUAAUUUAAAUUGUUACAUAUACUGCUAGAACCUAAAUAUUCAUUCAUGUUGGAAACUAAUUAAUAUUCAUUCAUGAGAAAAUGAAUUAUUGCAUAUCUUGUAUUUAUUAAAGGGAUAAUUUCAGAAACCUCCCUUGAGGUUUCUUGCUAUUUCACUUAGUCCCCUUGGUGUUUUAAAAAUUACACUUACCUCCUUUGAUUUCACACUUUGGUAACCAAACUUUAAAAUAGAGUAAAAAGUUUAAUGAAUACUCUAAAAUGCCCUUAUCUUGCAAAGUUCAAUUUGUUCUUCUAAACAAAAAGAGUAUCAAGUUUUCAUGCUAAUAUUUGUUAUUUAAUAAUCAACUAUAACAAUAAAUCUUUUGCUAUAAUAGGGUAUAUUUCAUAGUGUUUUACUGGGAAUAUAAAUUCUUUUUAAGAUAGAGAGUGCUUUUUUGUUUCUUUUAAAGUUUAUGGAUAUUUUUUAAAUGAAAAUUUAUGGACCAGUUUAAUGGUGGAACUAUCAUAAUUUGGUAGUGAUUUUGGGCCAUUUGUUUUUAAUCAUUGUUGACUUACCCUUGAUUUUGCUACCAAAAAAAUUGGAGAAUGUUAAAAGUCAUCAAAAAAAUAUUACUAGUUUAACAUAAUUUGAAUAGAUAUUGGGGACAACAUUGAUAAUUCUUCUAUACUUCUAAUGAAAUAUAAGAGAAAUGAAUAAGAGGGAAAAUGGUAAAAAAAUAUAAAAUCCUCAGUAUUAAGGUUAGUAUUGCAUAAACAUGGCAACAAGAGAGUUUUAUUAAAAAUAUUAAGGUUAGUAUUGUCAUUUUAAAUGGACAAGGGAGGUACAUGUAAUUUUUGAAACCUUAGAGGAGCCAAGUGAAAUUAUUAGAAACCUCAGGGGAGGUUUCUAAAAUUAUCCCUUAAUUAAAUACUAAUGCAUACUUCAAGGUUUAUCAUCAUUGUAAAAAUCUAGUUACUAUUUCAAUAGAAAAUCUAUUCAUGUUUUGGAAUUUGCUACAGUGUUUUGACGAGUAUUCUUACAUUAUAGUAAAAGCAUGUGUAUUAGUUCUAAAUAGUUUGUAUGAUAUUUGAACACUUAGAAUAAAUUAAUUAUCUAAAAGUGAUAUUAAUGAAUACAUAAGAAUACCAUUAAUAUUUUUUCUUAAAUUAUACAUAGUUGCACAACUUCACAAUUGACAGGUGCCGAACCUGUGCAAUAAUAAUAAAUAAAUCCUAACUACCACCUGCAACAGCUAGUAAUCAAUUCGAGUACUGGAGCAGGGACUCUAGGUGUGCAAUGGGUUACUUGAUUCACCCUGUUCCCGAAGAGUUUGCUUAAUCCGAUAUACCUGAAUCAAUUAUUUAACUGAGUUCUCUAACUAGUAGAUAGUGGUAAGCAGGGUCGUCUCCUCAGGGACUGGAGAGAUAUUUGUUUCUUUUCAAAUCAAGAUUAAUGGGGGGUUUUGGUAUCAAAUGCCAACUAAACAAAUUAACUGCAGAAAAUAAUUAGUUAAAAGAAAUAAAUGAGAGAAACUCUAGCCAAGGGUAUACUUCAGAAAUGGUUCAUGCACUGAUCAUUGAUUCAAAGGUAAUUCCAACAUUUACUAAUAGAUUGGUUCUAGUUGUCUCGCACGCGCUAAACAACCAACCCUUCCUUAAUUUAUCGAUAGCCAAGGUACGACCGUUAGCUAUUUCUCUAACCCAAAAACAACCCUAGGUACGACCGUAGGAUUCAAUUUCCAGAUUGCAUUAAUAAUUAGAAAGGCCCAAUCCUAACCAAUAAACACGCUACGAGGGUUUAUUUAAGCUAGAUCAUAUAUUCCCCUGACAUAAACCCAAUUAUACCAGUUGCUACUGGGAUAGAGGUAACGAACAAUUACGGAUUCAAUUACCUCUAUUUAGCAAAAUAGCCUAUAUGAAUAAUUAAUUAUUGCGCACUAAUCAAUCAUACACAAGAGCUAUAACAGUUAAAAGCAAAGAACAUAUAAAUACCAAUAAACGGAGGAAAUAAUUAAAAGCGGUUUAGAUCUCACAGCAUUAAUUGAACCAAUUCAUCAGCUGUCCCUUGACUAGAAUUAGAGAAUUAGCCCUCCAUUAAUGGAGGACAAACCGCGCGUGGAAAACUGAGAAAGGUUUGCACUUCGAUUAUCCCGCUUCGGUCCACCACAGGAGGAGAAAGCUCAAAUUUGUAUUGCUCUCGAUUGUUAAGUGGAAACAUACGAGAGAUUGCUUUUGUUCUCCAAUUCGAUUCGCACAAGGUAGGACAGCCCAAGAGCAAAGUCAACAAUGGCGGCUCCUUUAAGCUUUCUUCCUUUUUCCAAUUGAAGUCAAGAUACACGAGAGUGAAAGUUUCUCAAUUGCUUGAUUUCUCAAGUUGUCAAGUCAAAACAUGAAGAAUUCGUUUCUCACAAGUCAACAAUGAUGGCUUCUGUCCGUUGCCUUUUUCCCCUCCAGGCUGCGGCUCUCUCCUCUCAUUCAAAAGCCAAAAACGAAGACCCCUCUCUAACCUAAGCCGCGCCAGAGAUAAAUUACAAAUUGUUACUUCUCAAAAUUGCAGCAAGACUCCCUAGAAAUAUAUAUUAAAAUAAAAUCUAUUACAAUUAGGUUUUUUUCCGCUUCUCAAACGGGCCCCACGUCCGACGAAUCUCCUAAAAGUUAAAUUUAAGCACUUUUCGGCACCCAUUCCUGCAAUUAGCACCCAAAACAGAAUAUUAGUAAAAUCCACCCAAUUAACGAAAAUAUUCAGUCAAUUAAUUAUGCAAUAACGCCCAAAAUACCCACUAAAAUGCAACCUAUCAAUCUCCCCCACACCUGAACUAUGCUUGCCCUCAAGCAUAAUUAACUCAGAAGUAAAAUCAAGAUGCUAAGCAAAUCACAGCAGUUCACACCAAGAAUGGCAUUCCAAGUUCCCCAAUAACCUUAUCGAAAUCAGAAUAUACUAAAUCAGCAACGCUCGCAGUUCAACGUGCACUCAUUCACUCCAAAGUGUAUAUGAAAUGUAUAUAAGAUGGCUCUCAAAUCAACACAAUAGAAUGGCACUACCAUAAGCUUGCUCUUAUAUCAUAUCUCUACCACUUACUUAUGAAUUUAAAUGCAGCAAUCAAGGGACUUCAAAAGGUUGUAAUGGGGCUAGGGUGAGAAGGUAGGAUAAAAAGGAGUAGAAAGGGUGCAAAAGUAUAAAGAAAGUGCUCAGAAAUUCAUUACACAGAUUCUUGUACAUUUGAAGCUUCAAGGCAUCUCAACCAUCUUAUAAGUGGAGUACAUUGGCAUUUGCCACGGCUUUCGACUUUUCUCCUUUUUCAUUCAUCUACUUCCCCUCUCGUUUUCUUUCCCCCCUUUUUUUUUUUCUUUUGCUUUUUUUUUCAAUACUCCCAACCAGCACCCUAAAGGUCAACUUGACUUGCUGGUUUCCUGCACUUUGUCUUCUUUUCACAUCCCUUCUUUUUUCUUUUGUUUUUUUUUUGUUUUUUUUUUUCGGUGCAUAAAUGGGUGUAAUGCCCUUCGAAUAAUACUCCAAAAGUCUGUAUAAUGAAAUCAAAGCACUUCUUCACACGAGGUACAAAAAGAAAGUCUAAAGAGAUGUUUUACGGCUAGGAACUAGGGUCUCAAGCGAAGAGUAGGAGUUAAGGCUCAACUUGGCUCCCUAAUGGUAGUAAAUAAUCCAAGGGUCGGUUUUAAGAAAGUCCAAAAUGGCUCAUUCCUAGGUGCCCUAUCAUUUUAAUGCAUUAAACUCAUGUAAAUGUGGUCUUGACAUGCAUAACCGAGCAAGUUCUAGAAUGACAAACCAUGUGCACUAACCACUCAAUCAAACGAAAAAUUAGGCCCAAAAAUCGCACAAGUGGUCAAAUUUAUGUCAAGUUCAGCAUAUUAAUCAAUCAAUUCAGUAUCAAGGAAAGUGGAACACCCCAUGGCAUGAACUUACUAUGUACGCUUAUAUCCCAAUUCGCAUUCAUCAUCGUUCAAAGAAAAGACAACUACUAAGGCAAGGAAAAACUCAAUCAGACAACGAAAAGCACAACCAAAGCAUAGUUAACCCUCCCCCACACCUAAACCUUACAUUGCCCUCAAUGUAAGCAAAGUAAGACCAAAUUAGAGGUAUUGGGGCAACGACACUUCCCUGACAACGGAGGAGGGCAGAAAUUCAAAUCAUGGCUGCGGAGGGAAAGGCGGGCGGAAGCCCACGUGAUGGAGAUACUGCGCUAUAUUCUGGGCCAUCCCGCCCAUUUGACGCUCCAUCCGAUCCAUACGAGUGUCCAUGUGCUCUGGCCCUUAUUUUUUUGGUUUAGUCAUUGGAAAUCAGAGGGCAAGGUGGAGGCAAGGAAAUGGGAUUCCAAAGAGGUCAACAAACAGCCAACAAAGCAAAUGACAACUAAAUACAGCUUCCAAUCACAGACAAGUGCAGAAACGGCCGAUGAACACAUCCCCAAGAAUUAGUUAAACCUGUCAGCAGCAAAAUUUUCCCAAAAUACCACAAAUUCAACCCAAAAACUAUUUAAUUAGACAAACACAGCAAAAUUCCCCCAAAAACGAAUUAAACAGACAACUAGAGUAAGAGCUUUCCCCAAAUAUCACUGGGUGGGCACAACGUUAACCAAAUAAUCAACAAUCAAUCCACAGAUAUGCCACAGCACCCAAACAAGCACCAAUUUUCUGUCCUCAGCUAGCAAAUCAAAAAUCUGGCCUCAGCUAAGAAAUUAAAAUCUGGCAUUAGCUAAUAAAAGCUAGUAAUCUGGCCUCAGCUACUUAGAGACAGAAAAUGAAAGAGGGAUAUCACCGGAGAAAAAUUUUUCAGCUCAUUUGACAGGUUGAGGAGGGACGCGCGUGGCCUGCGAUGGUGGUCUUGAUGAUCGCGCGCAAUGACCUGCUGGAGAUGCGCGCGCCUGGCUGGUAGACUGUGCGACUUCAGGCGGGCGGCGGACUGGGCAGCGGACUGGAGCAGGGUGGGCGCGGAGGAGGCUGGCACGCAGAGGGCUCGCGCGCCUGGGCUGGAUCGCGCGCAGGAGCGGCGCGCAGGGGCGGCAUCGCUGGGCUGCGUCGCGCGCAGGGAGCGCGCUUGGGCGCUGGGGUGGAGUGAGCGUGGCGGAGGCGUGCGGUCUGCGCGCACGGUCUGGGUUGCGCGUGCGGUCUGCGAUGGGCGGCGGCGGCGGGCAGCGACGGCUGGGGCCUGGCGUGGGCACGCUCAACUGCCCUGAAGCCCGCAGAACCUGAGCGAAAAUUUCCUCCGUCAGGCGUGACCACCUGGCGUGGGCACGUCUAACUACUAUGGAGUUUGCAGAACCUGAUCGAAAAUUUCUUCCCUUGGAACGUGACCACCUGGCGUGGGCACGUCUAACUACUAUGGAGUUCGCAGAACCUGAGCGAAAAUUCCUUUCCCUCAGGCGUGACCACCUGGCGUGGGCACGCCUAACCACUAAUCUCCUGCCACAAAACAUCAAACCAUCAAUUGACACUAAUACAUAAUUAAAACUUCAAAAAUGCAUGAAAACUAAAACAAAUAGUCUUGGGUUGCCUCCCAAGUAGCGCCUUUCUUUAAUGUCUUUGGCUAGACAUAGCACCACUCUUUAGUCUGGAUGUAAUUGAAUUUUCCUUGUAAUUGGUGGCCCUCCUCCAGGAUCCACAUGGCCAUUGAGUGCAACUUUUUCCCUAAAUUUUCUCUCCAUUUUUACCUCAUGAAUUGCUUUCAUCCUAUAGGACUUGUUCGUAGCAACCUUGAAUCUACCCCUACAAGCAAACUUAGAAAAUUCUUGCACAGAGGGAUUAAUGGUAUACAUAGCAAACACAGAAUGAGAGUUAACAGGAUGUUUCAUUGUAUCAAAAAUGUUAAAGUGGACUAUUUCUCCAUCAAAUUCCAUCGUGAGAGUACCCUUACUAACAUCAAUUUUAGUCUGGGCAGUACUCAAAAAUGGUCUUCCUAAUAUAAUGGGUGAUGGAUUCGGGGCACUUCUAUCAUCCAUGUAAAGCACGUAAAAAUCAGCAGGAAAAAUUAAUCCAUCUACUUGCACUAAAACAUCCUCAACUAUCCCAUCCGGGUAAGCACAUGUACGAUCAGCCAAUUGAAUUAUUAUCCCCGUUUCUUUUAAAGGUCCUAAAUUUAGGGAAUCAUAGAUUGACUUAGGCAUCACAUUAAUAGAAGCCCCUAAAUCUAUCAUGGCCUUUUUGAUACUAGAAUGGCCAAUCUUACAGGGGAUAGCAAACAUACCUGGAUCUCCGCAUUUGGGUGGGAGUUUCCUUUGAAGUACAGCUGAUACAUUCUCUCCUACCAUCACUCUUUCAUCACCCCUUAGCUUUCUUUUGUUAACGCACAAGUCUUUCAAGAACUUUGCGUACUUGGGUACCUGUUUGAUCGCGUCCAAUAGGGGGAUGUUUACUUGAACUUUGCGGAACACAUCCAGGAUUUCUUUUUCCUUUUCUGCCCUCUUUGUCUUUUCCAACCUGCAAGGAAAAGGAGCUGUAUUAGAUUUAAUAGGGAUCGAAGGAAUAGAUGUUACCUUAGGCUCUUCGCGAAUGCGCCCUUCCUCUUCAAUCUCCUUUUCUAUCUCCUCCUCACUUUUGCUUUUCGAAUUUUUCACUUUAGCCCCUUCCAACUCCUUACCACUCCUCAGUGUCAUGGCGCUUACAUUCUUGGGAUUUUCCUGGGGCUGCGAUGGCAGUUUCCCAUAAACGUGAGAUUCCAAGCGGUUGAUGGCAGUUGCCAGUUGACUUAUUCGAACAUCUUGGUCCUUCUUGUCAGCUUUGGUGCCCUGCUGGAGCUGCUCGGUUUUCGCGGCCAAUGAUCUGAUCUCCUCUUGAAGCUGUGUAGUAGUCGUGACCAGGUUAGUAGUAGUCGUGGCCAGGUUCUUGACUAGAUCCUCCAAGGAACUCUCUGAAUUGGAGGAUGAGGGUUGAGAUUUUGGUUGCCAAGGCUGGUGGAAUCCUGGUGGACGAUUCGGGAAUGAACCUUGUUGCCUGUUCCCAUAACUGAGGUUGGGAUGGUCUCUCCAACCGGGGUUGUAUGUGUUGGAAUACGGGUCAUACUGCCUGCGGGGCGCGGGCAGGCCUCCGGCCAUAUUUACCUGUUCCGCCCCGUUCUCUUGCAAAAUGGGGCACAAAUCCGUGCAGUGGUCCAUGCUAGUGCAGAUUCCACACACCUUUGCUCGCGGUGUGUCUCUCAUGGCCAAUUGCCUGACAGCAGACGUCAACUCUGACAGUUGCUGCUGGAUGGAUGACGUCUCUGCUUCAUUGACUCUACGGGUAGGAGUGUUCUCACGGAAGCCGAACUGCUGAGAGUUUUCUGCCAUGGCUUCAAUAAGGUCCCAUGCUUCCCUCGGUGUUUUGUUCGCCAGGGCUCCUCCACUCGCAGCGUCAAUAAUACCCCUGUCAGUUGACUGGAGCCCUUCAUAGAAGUACUGGAUCAACAGUUGUUCGCUAAUCUGAUGCUGUGGGCAUCCCUUGCACAACUUGUUGAACCUUUCCCAAUAAUCGUACAAUGAUUCCCCGGAGUACUGCUUGAUACUGCAUAUUUCCUUUCUCAAACUCGCAACCCGGGAUGCGGGAAAAAAUUUUUCCAGAAAUUUCUUUUUCAACUGUGCCCACGUGGUGAUACUACCUGCAGGUAGGUAGUAUAGCCAAUCCUUCGCUGCAUCCUUGAGAGAGAAAGGGAAAGCCCUGAGUCGUAUUUGCUCUUCGGUGACCGCAGGGGGUUUCAUGCUAGAGCAAACCACUUCGAAUUCCUUGAUAUGUUUGUGGGGUUUCUCACCAGAAAGGCCAUGGAACGAAGGUAGGAGUUGAAUCAACCCCGAUUUCAACUCGAAUGAGGUAUUCUCAGCCAGAGUUGGGAACGUGAUGCACAAGGGCUGAUGAGUCAGUUCUGGGGUAGCCAGCUCCCGUAAUGUCUGGGUGUUGGCCAUGCUCAAUUCGUCUUCUAUUGACUCGUUUUCAGAAAAUGAGUACCCUUCUUUUUGUCUCUUGGUCUCUUGCCUUCGCCUACGUGCUGCCUUCUCAACCUCAGGAUCGUAUACCAAGUCACCUGUGCGAGAAGAACGGGGCAUAAACUAGCAAAAGUACCAAGAAAAAGAAAAAUAAAAUAAAACAAAAUAAAAACUGAAUUCAAAAAGAAACAACUAAUUCAGACGCCAGUCCCCGGCAACGGCGCCAAAAAUUGACAGGUGCCGAACCUGUGCAAUAAUAAUAAAUAAAUCCUAACUACCACCUGCAACAGCUAGUAAUCAAUUCGAGUACUGGAGCAGGGACUCUAGGUGUGCAAUGGGUUACUUGAUUCACCCUGUUCCCGAAGAGUUUGCUUAAUCCGAUAUACCUGAAUCAAUUAUUUAACUGAGUUCUCUAACUAGUAGAUAGUGGUAAGCAGGGUCGUCUCCUCAGGGACUGGAGAGAUAUUUGUUUCUUUUCAAAUCAAGAUUAAUGGGGGGUUUUGGUAUCAAAUGCCAACUAAACAAAUUAACUGCAGAAAAUAAUUAAUUAAAAGAAAUAAAUGAGAGAAACUCUAGCCAAGGGUAUACUUCAGAAAUGGUUCAUGCACUGAUCAUUGAUUCAAAGGUAAUUCCAACAUUUACUAAUAGAUUGGUUCUAGUUGUCUCGCACGCGCUAAACAACCAACCAUUCCUUAAUUUAUCGAUAGCCAAGGUACGACCGUUAGCUAUUUCUCUAACCCAAAAACAACCCUAGGUACGACCGUAGGAUUCAAUUUCCAGAUUGCAUUAAUAAUUAGAAAGGCCCAAUCCUAACCAAUAAACACGCUACGAGGGUUUAUUUAAGCUAGAUCAUAUAUUCCCCUGACAUAAACCCAAUUAUACCAGUUGCUACUGGGAUAGAGGUAACGAACAAUUACGGAUUCAAUUACCUCUAUUUAGCAAAAUAGCCUAUAUGAAUAAUCAAUUAUUGCGCACUAAUCAAUCAUACACAAGAGCUAUAACAGUUAAAAGCAAAGAACAUAUAAAUACCAAUAAACGGAGGAAAUAAUUAAAAGCGGUUUAGAUCUCACAGCAUUAAUUGAACCAAUUCAUCAGCUGUCCCUUGACUAGAAUUAGAGAAUUAGCCCUCCAUUAAUGGAGGACAAACCGCGCGUGGAAAACUGAGAAAGGUUUGCACUUCGAUUAUCCCGCUUCGGUCCACCACAGGAGGAGAAAGCUCAAAUUUGUAUUGCUCUCGAUUGUUAAGUGGAAACAUACGAGAGAUUGCUUUUGUUCUCCAAUUCGAUUCGCACAAGGUAGGACAGCCCAAGAGCAAAGUCAACAAUGGCGGCUCCUUUAAGCUUUCUUCCUUUUUCCAAUUGAAGUCAAGAUACACGAGAGUGAAAGUUUCUCAAUUGCUUGAUUUCUCAAGUUGUCAAGUCAAAACAUGAAGAAUUCGUUUCUCACAAGUCAACAAUGAUGGCUUCUGUCCGUUGCCUUUUUCCCCUCCAGGCUGCGGCUCUCUCCUCUCAUUCAAAAGCCAAAAACGAAGACCCCUCUCUAACCUAAGCCGCGCCAGAGAUAAAUUACAAAUUGUUACUUCUCAAAAUUGCAGCAAGACUCCCUAGAAAUAUAUAUUAAAAUAAAAUCUAUUACAAUUAGGUUUUUUUCCGCUUCUCAAACGGGCCCCACGUCCGACGAAUCUCCUAAAAGUUAAAUUUAAGCACUUUUCGGCACCCAUUCCUGCAAUUAGCACCCAAAACAGAAUAUUAGUAAAAUCCACCCAAUUAACGAAAAUAUUCAGUCAAUUAAUUAUGCAAUAACGCCCAAAAUACCCACUAAAAUGCAACCUAUCAAUCUCCCCCACACCUGAACUAUGCUUGCCCUCAAGCAUAAUUAACUCAGAAGUAAAAUCAAGAUGCUAAGCAAAUCACAGCAGUUCACACCAAGAAUGGCAUUCCAAGUUCCCCAAUAACCUUAUCGAAAUCAGAAUAUACUAAAUCAGCAACGCUCGCAGUUCAACGUGCACUCAUUCACUCCAAAGUGUAUAUGAAAUGUAUAUAAGAUGGCUCUCAAAUCAACACAAUAGAAUGGCACUACCAUAAGCUUGCUCUUAUAUCAUAUCUCUACCACUUACUUAUGAAUUUAAAUGCAGCAAUCAAGGGACUUCAAAAGGUUGUAAUGGGGCUAGGGUGAGAAGGUAGGAUAAAAAGGAGUAGAAAGGGUGCAAAAGUAUAAAGAAAGUGCUCAGAAAUUCAUUACACAGAUUCUUGUACAUUUGAAGCUUCAAGGCAUCUCAACCAUCUUAUAAGUGGAGUACAUUGGCAUUUGCCACGGCUUUCGACUUUUCUCCUUUUUCAUUCAUCUACUUCCCCUCUCGUUUUCUUUCCCCCCUUUUUUUUUUUCUUUUGCUUUUUUUUUCAAUACUCCCAACCAGCACCCUAAAGGUCAACUUGACUUGCUGGUUUCCUGCACUUUGUCUUCUUUUCACAUCCCUUCUUUUUUCUUUUGUUUUUUUUUUGUUUUUUUUUUUCGGUGCAUAAAUGGGUGUAAUGCCCUUCGAAUAAUACUCCAAAAGUCUGUAUAAUGAAAUCAAAGCACUUCUUCACACGAGGUACAAAAAGAAAGUCUAAAGAGAUGUUUUACGGCUAGGAACUAGGGUCUCAAGCGAAGAGUAGGAGUUAAGGCUCAACUUGGCUCCCUAAUGGUAGUAAAUAAUCCAAGGGUCGGUUUUAAGAAAGUCCAAAAUGGCUCAUUCCUAGGUGCCCUAUCAUUUUAAUGCAUUAAACUCAUGUAAAUGUGGUCUUGACAUGCAUAACCGAGCAAAUUCUAGAAUGACAAACCAUGUGCACUAACCACUCAAUCAAACGAAAAAUUAGGCCCAAAAAUCGCACAAGUGGUCAAAUUUAUGUCAAGUUCAGCAUAUUAAUCAAUCAAUUCAGUAUCAAGGAAAGUGGAACACCCCAUGGCAUGAACUUACUAUGUACGCUUAUAUCCCAAUUCGCAUUCAUCAUCGUUCAAAGAAAAGACAACUACUAAGGCAAGGAAAAACUCAAUCAGACAACGAAAAGCACAACCAAAGCAUAGUUAACCCUCCCCCACACCUAAACCUUACAUUGCCCUCAAUGUAAGCAAAGUAAGACCAAAUUAGAGGUAUUGGGGCAACGACACUUCCCUGACAACGGAGGAGGGCAGAAAUUCAAAUCAUGGCUGCGGAGGGAAAGGCGGGCGGAAGCCCACGUGAUGGAGAUACUGCGCUAUAUUCUGGGCCAUCCCGCCCAUUUGACGCUCCAUCCGAUCCAUACGAGUGUCCAUGUGCUCUGGCCCUUAUUUUUUUGGUUUAGUCAUUGGAAAUCAGAGGGCAAGGUGGAGGCAAGGAAAUGGGAUUCCAAAGAGGUCAACAAACAGCCAACAAAGCAAAUGACAACUAAAUACAGCUUCCAAUCACAGACAAGUGCAGAAACGGCCGAUGAACACAUCCCCAAGAAUUAGUUAAACCUGUCAGCAGCAAAAUUUUCCCAAAAUACCACAAAUUCAACCCAAAAACUAUUUAAUUAGACAAACACAGCAAAAUUCCCCCAAAAACGAAUUAAACAGACAACUAGAGUAAGAGCUUUCCCCAAAUAUCACUGGGUGGGCACAACGUUAACCAAAUAAUCAACAAUCAAUCCACAGAUAUGCCACAGCACCCAAACAAGCACCAAUUUUCUGUCCUCAGCUAGCAAAUCAAAAAUCUGGCCUCAGCUAAGAAAUUAAAAUCUGGCAUUAGCUAAUAAAAGCUAGUAAUCUGGCCUCAGCUACUUAGAGACAGAAAAUGAAAGAGGGAUAUCACCGGAGAAAAAUUUUUCAGCUCAUUUGACAGGUUGAGGAGGGACGCGCGUGGCCUGCGAUGGUGGUCUUGAUGAUCGCGCGCAAUGACCUGCUGGAGAUGCGCGCGCCUGGCUGGUAGACUGUGCGACUUCAGGCGGGCGGCGGACUGGGCAGCGGACUGGAGCAGGGUGGGCGCGGAGGAGGCUGGCACGCAGAGGGCUCGCGCGCCUGGGCUGGAUCGCGCGCAGGAGCGGCGCGCAGGGGCGGCAUCGCUGGGCUGCGUCGCGCGCAGGGAGCGCGCUUGGGCGCUGGGGUGGAGUGAGCGUGGCGGAGGCGUGCGGUCUGCGCGCACGGUCUGGGUUGCGCGUGCGGUCUGCGAUGGGCGGCGGCGGCGGGCAGCGACGGCUGGGGCCUGGCGUGGGCACGCUCAACUGCCCUGAAGCCCGCAGAACCUGAGCGAAAAUUUCCUCCGUCAGGCGUGACCACCUGGCGUGGGCACGUCUAACUACUAUGGAGUUUGCAGAACCUGAUCGAAGAUUUCUUCCCUUGGAACGUGACCACCUGGCGUGGGCACGUCUAACUACUAUGGAGUUCGCAGAACCUGAGCGAAAAUUCCUUUCCCUCAGGCGUGACCACCUGGCGUGGGCACGCCUAACCACUAAUCUCCUGCCACAAAACAUCAAACCAUCAAUUGACACUAAUACAUAAUUAAAACUUCAAAAAUGCAUGAAAACUAAAACAAAUAGUCUUGGGUUGCCUCCCAAGUAGCGCCUUUCUUUAAUGUCUUUGGCUAGACAUAGCACCACUCUUUAGUCUGGAUGUAAUUGAAUUUUCCUUGUAAUUGGUGGCCCUCCUCCAGGAUCCACAUGGCCAUUGAGUGCAACUUUUUCCCUAAAUUUUCUCUCCAUUUUUACCUCAUGAAUUGCUUUCAUCCUAUAGGACUUGUUCGUAGCAACCUUGAAUCUACCCCUACAAGCAAACUUAGAAAAUUCUUGCACAGAGGGAUUAAUGGUAUACAUAGCAAACACAGAAUGAGAGUUAACAGGAUGUUUCAUUGUAUCAAAAAUGUUAAAGUGGACUAUUUCUCCAUCAAAUUCCAUCGUGAGAGUACCCUUACUAACAUCAAUUUUAGUCUGGGCAGUACUCAAAAAUGGUCUUCCUAAUAUAAUGGGUGAUGGAUUCGGGGCACUUCUAUCAUCCAUGUAAAGCACGUAAAAAUCAGCAGGAAAAAUUAAUCCAUCUACUUGCACUAAAACAUCCUCAACUAUCCCAUCCGGGUAAGCACAUGUACGAUCAGCCAAUUGAAUUAUUAUCCCCGUUUCUUUUAAAGGUCCUAAAUUUAGGGAAUCAUAGAUUGACUUAGGCAUCACAUUAAUAGAAGCCCCUAAAUCUAUCAUGGCCUUUUUGAUACUAGAAUGGCCAAUCUUACAGGGGAUAGCAAACAUACCUGGAUCUCCGCAUUUGGGUGGGAGUUUCCUUUGAAGUACAGCUGAUACAUUCUCUCCUACCAUCACUCUUUCAUCACCCCUUAGCUUUCUUUUGUUAACGCACAAGUCUUUCAAGAACUUUGCGUACUUGGGUACCUGCUUGAUCGCGUCCAAUAGGGGGAUGUUUACUUGAACUUUGCGGAACACAUCCAGGAUUUCUUUUUCCUUUUCUGCCCUCUUUGUCUUUUCCAACCUGCAAGGAAAAGGAGCUAUAUUAGAUUUAAUAGGGAUCGAAGGAAUAGAUGUUACCUUAGGCUCUUCGCGAAUGCGCCCUUCCUCUUCAAUCUCCUUUUCUAUCUCCUCCUCACUUUUGCUUUUCGAAUUUUUCACUUUAGCCCCUUCCAACUCCUUACCACUCCUCAGUGUCAUGGCGCUUACAUUCUUGGGAUUUUCCUGGGGCUGCGAUGGCAGUUUCCCAUAAACGUGAGAUUCCAAGCGGUUGAUGGCAGUUGCCAGUUGACUUAUUCGAACAUCUUGGUCCUUCUUGUCAGCUUUGGUGCCCUGCUGGAGCUGCUCGGUUUUCGCGGCCAAUGAUCUGAUCUCCUCUUGAAGCUGUGUAGUAGUCGUGACCAGGUUAGUAGUAGUCGUGGCCAGGUUCUUGACUAGAUCCUCCAAGGAACUCUCUGAAUUGGAGGAUGAGGGUUGAGAUUUUGGUUGCCAAGGCUGGUGGAAUCCUGGUGGACGAUUCGGGAAUGAACCUUGUUGCCUGUUCCCAUAACUGAGGUUGGGAUGGUCUCUCCAACCGGGGUUGUAUGUGUUGGAAUACGGGUCAUACUGCCUGCGGGGCGCGGGCAGGCCUCCGGCCAUAUUUACCUGUUCCGCCCCGUUCUCUUGCAAAAUGGGGCACAAAUCCGUGCAGUGGUCCAUGCUAGUGCAGAUUCCACACACCUUUGCUCGCGGUGUGUCUCUCAUGGCCAAUUGCCUGACAGCAGACGUCAACUCUGACAGUUGCUGCUGGAUGGAUGACGUCUCUGCUUCAUUGACUCUACGGGUAGGAGUGUUCUCACGGAAGCCGAACUGCUGAGAGUUUUCUGCCAUGGCUUCAAUAAGGUCCCAUGCUUCCCUCGGUGUUUUGUUCGCCAGGGCUCCUCCACUCGCAGCGUCAAUAAUACCCCUGUCAGUUGACUGGAGCCCUUCAUAGAAGUACUGGAUCAACAGUUGUUCGCUAAUCUGAUGCUGUGGGCAUCCCUUGCACAACUUGUUGAACCUUUCCCAAUAAUCGUACAAUGAUUCCCCGGAGUACUGCUUGAUACUGCAUAUUUCCUUUCUCAAACUCGCAACCCGGGAUGCGGGAAAAAAUUUUUCCAGAAAUUUCUUUUUCAACUGUGCCCACGUGGUGAUACUACCUGCAGGUAGGUAGUAUAGCCAAUCCUUCGCUGCAUCCUUGAGAGAGAAAGGGAAAGCCCUGAGUCGUAUUUGCUCUUCGGUGACCGCAGGGGGUUUCAUGCUAGAGCAAACCACUUCGAAUUCCUUGAUAUGUUUGUGGGGUUCCUCACCAGAAAGGCCAUGGAACGAAGGUAGGAGUUGAAUCAACCCCGAUUUCAACUCGAAUGAGGUAUUCUCAGCCAGAGUUGGGAACGUGAUGCACAAGGGCUGAUGAGUCAGUUCUGGGGUAGCCAGCUCCCGUAAUGUCUGGGUGUUGGCCAUGCUCAAUUCGUCUUCUAUUGACUCGUUUUCAGAAAAUGAGUACCCUUCUUUUUGUCUCUUGGUCUCUUGCCUUCGCCUACGUGCUGCCUUCUCAACCUCAGGAUCGUAUACCAAGUCACCUGUGCGAGAAGAACGGGGCAUAAACUAGCAAAAGUACCAAGAAAAAGAAAAAUAAAAUAAAACAAAAUAAAAACUGAAUUCAAAAAGAAACAACUAAUUCAGACGCCAGUCCCCGGCAACGGCGCCAAAAAUUGACAGGUGCCGAACCUGUGCAAUAAUAAUAAAUAAAUCCUAACUACCACCUGCAACAGCUAGUAAUCAAUUCGAGUACUGGAGCAGGGACUCUAGGUGUGCAAUGGGUUACUUGAUUCACCCUGUUCCCGAAGAGUUUGCUUAAUCCGAUAUACCUGAAUCAAUUAUUUAACUGAGUUCUCUAACUAGUAGAUAGUGGUAAGCAGGGUCGUCUCCUCAGGGACUGGAGAGAUAUUUGUUUCUUUUCAAAUCAAGAUUAAUGGGGGGUUUUGGUAUCAAAUGCCAACUAAACAAAUUAACUGCAGAAAAUAAUUAAUUAAAAGAAAUAAAUGAGAGAAACUCUAGCCAAGGGUAUACUUCAGAAAUGGUUCAUGCACUGAUCAUUGAUUCAAAGGUAAUUCCAACAUUUACUAAUAGAUUGGUUCUAGUUGUCUCGCACGCGCUAAACAACCAACCCUUCCUUAAUUUAUCGAUAGCCAAGGUACGACCGUUAGCUAUUUCUCUAACCCAAAAACAACCCUAGGUACGACCGUAGGAUUCAAUUUCCAGAUUGCAUUAAUAAUUAGAAAGGCCCAAUCCUAACCAAUAAACACGCUACGAGGGUUUAUUUAAGCUAGAUCAUAUAUUCCCCUGACAUAAACCCAAUUAUACCAGUUGCUACUGGGAUAGAGGUAACGAACAAUUACGGAUUCAAUUACCUCUAUUUAGCAAAAUAGCCUAUAUGAAUAAUCAAUUAUUGCGCACUAAUCAAUCAUACACAAGAGCUAUAACAGUUAAAAGCAAAGAACAUAUAAAUACCAAUAAACGGAGGAAAUAAUUAAAAGCGGUUUAGAUCUCACAGCAUUAAUUGAACCAAUUCAUCAGCUGUCCCUUGACUAGAAUUAGAGAAUUAGCCCUCCAUUAAUGGAGGACAAACCGCGCGUGGAAAACUGAGAAAGGUUUGCACUUCGAUUAUCCCGCUUCGGUCCACCACAGGAGGAGAAAGCUCAAAUUUGUAUUGCUCUCGAUUGUUAAGUGGAAACAUACGAGAGAUUGCUUUUGUUCUCCAAUUCGAUUCGCACAAGGUAGGACAGCCCAAGAGCAAAGUCAACAAUGGCGGCUCCUUUAAGCUUUCUUCCUUUUUCCAAUUGAAGUCAAGAUACACGAGAGUGAAAGUUUCUCAAUUGCUUGAUUUCUCAAGUUGUCAAGUCAAAACAUGAAGAAUUCGUUUCUCACAAGUCAACAAUGAUGGCUUCUGUCCGUUGCCUUUUUCCCCUCCAGGCUGCGGCUCUCUCCUCUCAUUCAAAAACCAAAAACGAAGACCCCUCUCUAACCUAAGCCGCGCCAGAGAUAAAUUACAAAUUGUUACUUCUCAAAAUUGCAGCAAGACUCCCUAGAAAUAUAUAUUAAAAUAAAAUCUAUUACAAUUAGGUUUUUUUCCGCUUCUCAAACGGGCCCCACGUCCGACGAAUCUCCUAAAAGUUAAAUUUAAGCACUUUUCGGCACCCAUUCCUGCAAUUAGCACCCAAAACAGAAUAUUAGUAAAAUCCACCCAAUUAACGAAAAUAUUCAGUCAAUUAAUUAUGCAAUAACGCCCAAAAUACCCACUAAAAUGCAACCUAUCAAUCUCCCCCACACCUGAACUAUGCUUGCCCUCAAGCAUAAUUAACUCAGAAGUAAAAUCAAGAUGCUAAGCAAAUCACAGCAGUUCACACCAAGAAUGGCAUUCCAAGUUCCCCAAUAACCUUAUCGAAAUCAGAAUAUACUAAAUCAGCAACGCUCGCAGUUCAACGUGCACUCAUUCACUCCAAAGUGUAUAUGAAAUGUAUAUAAGAUGGCUCUCAAAUCAACACAAUAGAAUGGCACUACCAUAAGCUUGCUCUUAUAUCAUAUCUCUACCACUUACUUAUGAAUUUAAAUGCAGCAAUCAAGGGACUUCAAAAGGUUGUAAUGGGGCUAGGGUGAGAAGGUAGGAUAAAAAGGAGUAGAAAGGGUGCAAAAGUAUAAAGAAAGUGCUCAGAAAUUCAUUACACAGAUUCUUGUACAUUUGAAGCUUCAAGGCAUCUCAACCAUCUUAUAAGUGGAGUACAUUGGCAUUUGCCACGGCUUUCGACUUUUCUCCUUUUUCAUUCAUCUACUUCCCCUCUCGUUUUCUUUCCCCCCUUUUUUUUUUUCUUUUGCUUUUUUUUCAAUACUCCCAACCAGCACCCUAAAGGUCAACUUGACUUGCUGGUUUCCUGCACUUUGUCUUCUUUUCACAUCCCUUCUUUUUUCUUUUGUUUUUUUUUUGUUUUUUUUUUUCGGUGCAUAAAUGGGUGUAAUGCCCUUCGAAUAAUACUCCAAAAGUCUGUAUAAUGAAAUCAAAGCACUUCUUCACACGAGGUACAAAAAGAAAGUCUAAAGAGAUGUUUUACGGCUAGGAACUAGGGUCUCAAGCGAAGAGUAGGAGUUAAGGCUCAACUUGGCUCCCUAAUGGUAGUAAAUAAUCCAAGGGUCGGUUUUAAGAAAGUCCAAAAUGGCUCAUUCCUAGGUGCCCUAUCAUUUUAAUGCAUUAAACUCAUGUAAAUGUGGUCUUGACAUGCAUAACCGAGCAAGUUCUAGAAUGACAAACCAUGUGCACUAACCACUCAAUCAAACGAAAAAUUAGGCCCAAAAAUCGCACAAGUGGUCAAAUUUAUGUCAAGUUCAGCAUAUUAAUCAAUCAAUUCAGUAUCAAGGAAAGUGGAACACCCCAUGGCAUGAACUUACUAUGUACGCUUAUAUCCCAAUUCGCAUUCAUCAUCGUUCAAAGAAAAGACAACUACUAAGGCAAGGAAAAACUCAAUCAGACAACGAAAAGCACAACCAAAGCAUAGUUAACCCUCCCCCACACCUAAACCUUACAUUGCCCUCAAUGUAAGCAAAGUAAGACCAAAUUAGAGGUAUUGGGGCAACGACACUUCCCUGACAACGGAGGAGGGCAGAAAUUCAAAUCAUGGCUGCGGAGGGAAAGGCGGGCGGAAGCCCACGUGAUGGAGAUACUGCGCUAUAUUCUGGGCCAUCCCGCCCAUUUGACGCUCCAUCCGAUCCAUACGAGUGUCCAUGUGCUCUGGCCCUUAUUUUUUUGGUUUAGUCAUUGGAAAUCAGAGGGCAAGGUGGAGGCAAGGAAAUGGGAUUCCAAAGAGGUCAACAAACAGCCAACAAAGCAAAUGACAACUAAAUACAGCUUCCAAUCACAGACAAGUGCAGAAACGGCCGAUGAACACAUCCCCAAGAAUUAGUUAAACCUGUCAGCAGCAAAAUUUUCCCAAAAUACCACAAAUUCAACCCAAAAACUAUUUAAUUAGACAAACACAGCAAAAUUCCCCCAAAAACGAAUUAAACAGACAACUAGAGUAAGAGCUUUCCCCAAAUAUCACUGGGUGGGCACAACGUUAACCAAAUAAUCAACAAUCAAUCCACAGAUAUGCCACAGCACCCAAACAAGCACCAAUUUUCUGUCCUCAGCUAGCAAAUCAAAAAUCUGGCCUCAGCUAAGAAAUUAAAAUCUGGCAUUAGCUAAUAAAAGCUAGUAAUCUGGCCUCAGCUACUUAGAGACAGAAAAUGAAAGAGGGAUAUCACCGGAGAAAAAUUUUUCAGCUCAUUUGACAGGUUGAGGAGGGACGCGCGUGGCCUGCGAUGGUGGUCUUGAUGAUCGCGCGCAAUGACCUGCUGGAGAUGCGCGCGCCUGGCUGGUAGACUGUGCGACUUCAGGCGGGCGGCGGACUGGGCAGCGGACUGGAGCAGGGUGGGCGCGGAGGAGGCUGGCACGCAGAGGGCUCGCGCGCCUGGGCUGGAUCGCGCGCAGGAGCGGCGCGCAGGGGCGGCAUCGCUGGGCUGCGUCGCGCGCAGGGAGCGCGCUUGGGCGCUGGGGUGGAGUGAGCGUGGCGGAGGCGUGCGGUCUGCGCGCACGGUCUGGGUUGCGCGUGCGGUCUGCGAUGGGCGGCGGCGGCGGGCAGCGACGGCUGGGGCCUGGCGUGGGCACGCUCAACUGCCCUGAAGCCCGCAGAACCUGAGCGAAAAUUUCCUCCGUCAGGCGUGACCACCUGGCGUGGGCACGUCUAACUACUAUGGAGUUUGCAGAACCUGAUCGAAAAUUUCUUCCCUUGGAACGUGACCACCUGGCGUGGGCACGUCUAACUACUAUGGAGUUCGCAGAACCUGAGCGAAAAUUCCUUUCCCUCAGGCGUGACCACCUGGCGUGGGCACGCCUAACCACUAAUCUCCUGCCACAAAACAUCAAACCAUCAAUUGACACUAAUACAUAAUUAAAACUUCAAAAAUGCAUGAAAACUAAAACAAAUAGUCUUGGGUUGCCUCCCAAGUAGCGCCUUUCUUUAAUGUCUUUGGCUAGACAUAGCACCACUCUUUAGUCUGGAUGUAAUUGAAUUUUCCUUGUAAUUGGUGGCCCUCCUCCAGGAUCCACAUGGCCAUUGAGUGCAACUUUUUCCCUAAAUUUUCUCUCCAUUUUUACCUCAUGAAUUGCUUUCAUCCUAUAGGACUUGUUCGUAGCAACCUUGAAUCUACCCCUACAAGCAAACUUAGAAAAUUCUUGCACAGAGGGAUUAAUGGUAUACAUAGCAAACACAGAAUGAGAGUUAACAGGAUGUUUCAUUGUAUCAAAAAUGUUAAAGUGGACUAUUUCUCCAUCAAAUUCCAUCGUGAGAGUACCCUUACUAACAUCAAUUUUAGUCUGGGCAGUACUCAAAAAUGGUCUUCCUAAUAUAAUGGGUGAUGGAUUCGGGGCACUUCUAUCAUCCAUGUAAAGCACGUAAAAAUCAGCAGGAAAAAUUAAUCCAUCUACUUGCACUAAAACAUCCUCAACUAUCCCAUCCGGGUAAGCACAUGUACGAUCAGCCAAUUGAAUUAUUAUCCCCGUUUCUUUUAAAGGUCCUAAAUUUAGGGAAUCAUAGAUUGACUUAGGCAUCACAUUAAUAGAAGCCCCUAAAUCUAUCAUGGCCUUUUUGAUACUAGAAUGGCCAAUCUUACAGGGGAUAGCAAACAUACCUGGAUCUCCGCAUUUGGGUGGGAGUUUCCUUUGAAGUACAGCUGAUACAUUCUCUCCUACCAUCACUCUUUCAUCACCCCUUAGCUUUCUUUUGUUAACGCACAAGUCUUUCAAGAACUUUGCGUACUUGGGUACCUGUUUGAUCGCGUCCAAUAGGGGGAUGUUUACUUGAACUUUGCGGAACACAUCCAGGAUUUCUUUUUCCUUUUCUGCCCUCUUUGUCUUUUCCAACCUGCAAGGAAAAGGAGCUGUAUUAGAUUUAAUAGGGAUCGAAGGAAUAGAUGUUACCUUAGGCUCUUCGCGAAUGCGCCCUUCCUCUUCAAUCUCCUUUUCUAUCUCCUCCUCACUUUUGCUUUUCGAAUUUUUCACUUUAGCCCCUUCCAACUCCUUACCACUCCUCAGUGUCAUGGCGCUUACAUUCUUGGGAUUUUCCUGGGGCUGCGAUGGCAGUUUCCCAUAAACGUGAGAUUCCAAGCGGUUGAUGGCAGUUGCCAGUUGACUUAUUCGAACAUCUUGGUCCUUCUUGUCAGCUUUGGUGCCCUGCUGGAGCUGCUCGGUUUUCGCGGCCAAUGAUCUGAUCUCCUCUUGAAGCUGUGUAGUAGUCGUGACCAGGUUAGUAGUAGUCGUGGCCAGGUUCUUGACUAGAUCCUCCAAGGAACUCUCUGAAUUGGAGGAUGAGGGUUGAGAUUUUGGUUGCCAAGGCUGGUGGAAUCCUGGUGGACGAUUCGGGAAUGAACCUUGUUGCCUGUUCCCAUAACUGAGGUUGGGAUGGUCUCUCCAACCGGGGUUGUAUGUGUUGGAAUACGGGUCAUACUGCCUGCGGGGCGCGGGCAGGCCUCCGGCCAUAUUUACCUGUUCCGCCCCGUUCUCUUGCAAAAUGGGGCACAAAUCCGUGCAGUGGUCCAUGCUAGUGCAGAUUCCACACACCUUUGCUCGCGGUGUGUCUCUCAUGGCCAAUUGCCUGACAGCAGACGUCAACUCUGACAGUUGCUGCUGGAUGGAUGACGUCUCUGCUUCAUUGACUCUACGGGUAGGAGUGUUCUCACGGAAGCCGAACUGCUGAGAGUUUUCUGCCAUGGCUUCAAUAAGGUCCCAUGCUUCCCUCGGUGUUUUGUUCGCCAGGGCUCCUCCACUCGCAGCGUCAAUAAUACCCCUGUCAGUUGACUGGAGCCCUUCAUAGAAGUACUGGAUCAACAGUUGUUCGCUAAUCUGAUGCUGUGGGCAUCCCUUGCACAACUUGUUGAACCUUUCCCAAUAAUCGUACAAUGAUUCCCCGGAGUACUGCUUGAUACUGCAUAUUUCCUUUCUCAAACUCGCAACCCGGGAUGCGGGAAAAAAUUUUUCCAGAAAUUUCUUUUUCAACUGUGCCCACGUGGUGAUACUACCUGCAGGUAGGUAGUAUAGCCAAUCCUUCGCUGCAUCCUUGAGAGAGAAAGGGAAAGCCCUGAGUCGUAUUUGCUCUUCGGUGACCGCAGGGGGUUUCAUGCUAGAGCAAACCACUUCGAAUUCCUUGAUAUGUUUGUGGGGUUUCUCACCAGAAAGGCCAUGGAACGAAGGUAGGAGUUGAAUCAACCCCGAUUUCAACUCGAAUGAGGUAUUCUCAGCCAGAGUUGGGAACGUGAUGCACAAGGGCUGAUGAGUCAGUUCUGGGGUAGCCAGCUCCCGUAAUGUCUGGGUGUUGGCCAUGCUCAAUUCGUCUUCUAUUGACUCGUUUUCAGAAAAUGAGUACCCUUCUUUUUGUCUCUUGGUCUCUUGCCUUCGCCUACGUGCUGCCUUCUCAACCUCAGGAUCGUAUACCAAGUCACCUGUGCGAGAAGAACGGGGCAUAAACUAGCAAAAGUACCAAGAAAAAGAAAAAUAAAAUAAAACAAAAUAAAAACUGAAUUCAAAAAGAAACAACUAAUUCAGACGCCAGUCCCCGGCAACGGCGCCAAAAAUUGACAGGUGCCGAACCUGUGCAAUAAUAAUAAAUAAAUCCUAACUACCACCUGCAACAGCUAGUAAUCAAUUCGAGUACUGGAGCAGGGACUCUAGGUGUGCAAUGGGUUACUUGAUUCACCCUGUUCCCGAAGAGUUUGCUUAAUCCGAUAUACCUGAAUCAAUUAUUUAACUGAGUUCUCUAACUAGUAGAUAGUGGUAAGCAGGGUCGUCUCCUCAGGGACUGGAGAGAUAUUUGUUUCUUUUCAAAUCAAGAUUAAUGGGGGGUUUUGGUAUCAAAUGCCAACUAAACAAAUUAACUGCAGAAAAUAAUUAAUUAAAAGAAAUAAAUGAGAGAAACUCUAGCCAAGGGUAUACUUCAGAAAUGGUUCAUGCACUGAUCAUUGAUUCAAAGGUAAUUCCAACAUUUACUAAUAGAUUGGUUCUAGUUGUCUCGCACGCGCUAAACAACCAACCCUUCCUUAAUUUAUCGAUAGCCAAGGUACGACCGUUAGCUAUUUCUCUAACCCAAAAACAACCCUAGGUACGACCGUAGGAUUCAAUUUCCAGAUUGCAUUAAUAAUUAGAAAGGCCCAAUCCUAACCAAUAAACACGCUACGAGAGUUUAUUUAAGCUAGAUCAUAUAUUCCCCUGACAUAAACCCAAUUAUACCAGUUGCUACUGGGAUAGAGGUAACGAACAAUUACGGAUUCAAUUACCUCUAUUUAGCAAAAUAGCCUAUAUGAAUAAUCAAUUAUUGCGCACUAAUCAAUCAUACACAAGAGCUAUAACAGUUAAAAGCAAAGAACAUAUAAAUACCAAUAAACGGAGGAAAUAAUUAAAAGCGGUUUAGAUCUCACAGCAUUAAUUGAACCAAUUCAUCAGCUGUCCCUUGACUAGAAUUAGAGAAUUAGCCCUCCAUUAAUGGAGGACAAACCGCGCGUGGAAAACUGAGAAAGGUUUGCACUUCGAUUAUCCCGCUUCGGUCCACCACAGGAGGAGAAAGCUCAAAUUUGUAUUGCUCUCGAUUGUUAAGUGGAAACAUACGAGAGAUUGCUUUUGUUCUCCAAUUCGAUUCGCACAAGGUAGGACAGCCCAAGAGCAAAGUCAACAAUGGCGGCUCCUUUAAGCUUUCUUCCUUUUUCCAAUUGAAGUCAAGAUACACGAGAGUGAAAGUUUCUCAAUUGCUUGAUUUCUCAAGUUGUCAAGUCAAAACAUGAAGAAUUCGUUUCUCACAAGUCAACAAUGAUGGCUUCUGUCCGUUGCCUUUUUCCCCUCCAGGCUGCGGCUCUCUCCUCUCAUUCAAAAACCAAAAACGAAGACCCCUCUCUAACCUAAGCCGCGCCAGAGAUAAAUUACAAAUUGUUACUUCUCAAAAUUGCAGCAAGACUCCCUAGAAAUAUAUAUUAAAAUAAAAUCUAUUACAAUUAGGUUUUUUUCCGCUUCUCAAACGGGCCCCACGUCCGACGAAUCUCCUAAAAGUUAAAUUUAAGCACUUUUCGGCACCCAUUCCUGCAAUUAGCACCCAAAACAGAAUAUUAGUAAAAUCCACCCAAUUAACGAAAAUAUUCAGUCAAUUAAUUAUGCAAUAACGCCCAAAAUACCCACUAAAAUGCAACCUAUCAACAAUUAACCAAAAAAAAAAAUACCGUGCUAAGGCACAGGCUAAUAUACUAUUAAAUAUUAUGGUUUUUAUAAAACUUUAAAUUAAUCUUUUAUACAUUGUUAGUGUACAAAUUUUUUUACACUAACAUGUAUAGAUACAUGCCACAUGUUCAAAAAGUGAAUUUUAAAUUUGUACAGAAAAAAUGCAAUAUAUAUUUAAAUCCACUAGCGUGAAUUCUUACUUUGACAAUGUAUAAAAAAAAAAUCCAAAAUCUUUGCCAUUUGGUGGAGUUGGAAAAGAAAACAUUUUGAUGACGUCUAAAAUUUGCCCCCAUUAGGUACUUGUGAUGAACUAAAGAAAGAACAAGGAGAGGGCGGUACUAUCGUUGAACUAAAGAAAGAGCAACUAUUGAAGACCAAAAGUACAAUGUUCAAGUGCUCUGAGAUAAUUGAAAUUACCAACACCUUUCGGAUAGUUAUUGGAAGGGGAGGUUCUGGAAUAGUUUAUCUUGGAUGCUUGGAAGAUGGCAGCAAUUUUGCCGUAAAAAUGCUGUCUUCUUCAUCAGCAACCCGUGGACAAAAGCAGUUUCAAUAAGAGGUAAUCAAGACAAUUUGGCACUAUCUACCCAUUUUACCUAUAGGGAUAAUUUCAGGAGCCUCUACCAGGUUUCAAACAAUUUCAUUGCUAUCCCUCAAGAUUUCAAAAAUAUCACCAACCUCGCUUUUUUUUUUUUUCGAAACGAUAAUUGAUUGUAUUGCUUGACAAAUGAUAUACAAGUGCGAGCAAGGGCUCGAUUGAACUUUACAAGCGGCAUAUUUACCACUAAGGAAACCAAUGUUCCUCAUCAAAAAUCAUGCCCAAGGCAUGAAUGCUAAGCUUGUAGCUUAAAUGAGUCUUAUCUUUUCUAACUAGGCAAAAGGAGCACAUAUGAAACAAUUGGCUUAAUUGAAGAAUGUCAUCCACAACAGUCGCUAAUCUAAUCUCACUUACUCUGUUUGUGCGAAUAUUGUUAAGGAUUUGUGGGUUUUGCACUUGGAAUUGCACUUCCCUGGCUUGCGUUGUGGCUGUCUUACACAUUGCCAGCUUCAGGGCAAUUGCUUCAUCCACCAGAAUUGAUCCUGAACUUCUUGCUCGUAGCGCCCAUCCUCGGUGUGGUCCUUGAUCUCCUUGAUUCAGGCUGAUUCCAAUGCCAAAGGCGUGGUUGGAUAUAUCUGAUGUUACCCCAAUCCGUACUUCCAGUAUCCCAUAUUCUGAAGCUGACUGCGAACUGUGUUGCUGUAGAGCUAUUGUUUCGUCUGUGCUCAUCCUAGAUUCCUUAGUAUCUAAUUCCACCAUUUCUAACCAUUCCUGAUGCGCCUUCUGAAUUGUCUUCCAAGGCUGUUUUUUUUUUCCAUUAAAUUCCUCCUCAUUCCUAGCUUUCCAUAUCUGCCAUAGAAUAUGGACAGACAACGAAAUAUGUUGCCCACCUUCUGGUCUAUUCCUGGCUUCUGAGAUUGAUGUCCACCAGUUGCGGAAAUUCCCUUGUUGCUCCAUCAUUCCUUCCCAUUGGAUAGGGGCUAGCUUCCAUAUCAGUUUUGCCUCCCUGCAGUUCAAAAGGGUAUGCUCUAAUGUUUCCCUAUCUUCUCCACAUCUAUUGCAAAUGGGGUCUCCAAUUUUGAUUCUGCCAUGUAUAAGAUCUCUCACUGGAAGCGCAUCAUUGAGACAUUUCCAUAGGAAGAUUUUCUGUUUAUGCUUCACUUUCAAUUUCCACACUUCCUUCCAUAGCUUUUGUGUUUGAUCCUCCCAACUAGUAGAUCCCUCCACCUGGUUUCUGCUGUGCUUACUUCCUUCUUGCCGCACCUGUAGCUUAUACCCUGAAUUAACGGUAUAGUUUCCAUCUGUCCCGUAUAUCCAGAAAUGACUAUCUUCCUUCCCUGAUAAGCUUAUUGGUAUGGCCAAAAUCCUUUCAGCAUCUUGUCGAUUGAAAUUUUUGAAAACCAGAUUCGUAUUCCAUGACUUUUGGCAGAUCAGCUCAUGAACUUUUUGAAGUCCAUUGUCCAUAUGUCUUCUGGUCGUGACUUUCCCAUUUAUAUUACCCGGGAUCCAGCAAUCAUCCCAGAUAUUGGUGUUGUUUCCAUUGCCAAUCCUUCUUCUUGUUCCUUGUUCCACCAAUUCUCUAGCUCCCAUAAGGCUCCUCCAUAUCCAAGAUGCAGUAUUGGGGACUUUGCACCUAAAUAUGGAAGUCCUUGGGAAAUAUUUAGCCUUCAAAACUUGGCUGACUAGGAGAAUAGGUUGCGUUAUCAGUCUCCAAACCUGCUUGCCUAGAAGUGCUGCAUUAAAUGCCAUCAAAUCUUUAAAGCCUAAUCCUCCCAUGUUCUUACUCCGAGUGAGCUUCCUCCAAGAGCACCAGUGUACCUUAUUCUUUCCAUUGGCCUCUCCCCACCAGUAGUUUGACAUUAGUGAGCUGAGUUCCUUACAUAAUCUGGAUGGGAGCCUAAAACAGGACAUGGUAUACGUCGGCAUGGCUAAGGCUACUGACUUAAGCAUAAUUUCCUUACCUGCUGUACUUAAGAACCUGUUUUUCCACUUGCUCAUUCUCUGUUGUAUAUUUGAUUUGACAAAGCCAAAAAUCUGCUGCUUUGAUCUUGAUACCACCAUUGGUAAUCCGAGAUACUUGCCUUGAGUAACACUUUGCAUAUUCCCCAUAACUUGACAAAUCUCAUGCUUCAGAUUUAGCCUCACAUUCUUACUGAAUAGUAUAGAAGACUUAUCCAGAUUUAUCAGUUGUCCAGACCCUUUGGCAUACACCUGCAGCACCCUCAUUAAUUCCGUAGCCUGAUCCUUAUUUGCUUUGCAAAAGAUCAAAGAGUCGUCUGCAAAGAAGAGGUGUGUUAUACUAGGACCCUGUCUACUUAUCUUCAUCCCAGAAAUUUUUCUGGUUUGUGCAGCCUGCCGAAUGAGGUUGGAAAAUCCUUCAGAACAAAGGAGAAACAGAUAAGGGGAUAGGGGAUCCCCUUGUCUAAUACCUCUUGUGGGUAUCACAUACUCUUUCACCUCCCCAUUAAUAUUGAAGGAGUAAGAUACAGUUCUUACACACUCCAUAAUCCAGUUUAUCCAUCUGUACUGAAACCCCAUCUUUUGCAUAAUGGCCUCAAGAAAACUCCAUUCCACACGGUCGUAGGCUUUGGACAUGUCCAACUUCACUGCCAUAAACCCAUCCUUACCUUGUCUCUUGUUAUUUAGAUAAUGCAAAUACUCAUGAGAGACUAAGAUGUUAUCUAUAAUUUGCCUACCGGGGAUGAAUACAGAUUGGUUUUUGCAAAUGCAGCAAUGUAAAACACCUUUGAGCCUAUUUGCAAGAAUUUUAGCAAUGACUUUAUAAAUGGUAGUGCAAAGACUAAUUGGUCUUAACUGAUUCAAAGAUGUGUGAUUAAGCACUUUGGGGAUGAGAGUAAUCACCGUAUGGUUAACACUUUUCAAGAGGUGGCCUGUAUGAAAAAAGGUUUGGAUUGCAUUUACCACUUCUUUCUUGAUGGUAGUCCAGAAUUUUUGGAAAAAAAGUGGUGACAUACCAUCAACCCCAGGAGAUUUAUCUGGGUUCAUAGAGAAAAUUUCAGCUUUUAUUUCUUCUUCCAAAACUGGUUUCAUCAGAUUUCCAUUGAGUUCAUCAGUGAUAGUAUGGGGUAUACCAUCCAGUACCUCAGUUAAGUCCCCGACGUCAUUACUGUUGAACAGAUUCCUAUAGUAUUCUGCAAUCUCCUUGCUCACUGCAUGCUCACUCUCAGUCCAAGUACCAUCCUCUCGCUGAAGUUUGUUCAGUCUAUUUCUCUUUCUCCUACCUUGUACCGAGGCAUGGAAAAAUUUCGUGUUCUUGUCACCCUCCCUAAGCCAUUGUAUCCGCGAUUUUUGAAGCCAGUACAACUCUUCCUCUUUGUAGGCUUCCUUUAACUGUUUUUUUAGAGAAUCCUUACAAUCCUUGCUGGUGCUACCUAGAGAAGACUUCAGAUCACUCAACUGGUUUUUUAUCUGCUCAGUUUUCACUCUUGCAUUUGCUUGGAAGUUAUUCCUCCAUUGUAGUAGAGCUACUCAGCAGUUUUUGAGCUUCUUAACCACUUGAAACAUCCUAGAUCCAUCCAUUUCCUGCUCCCAAGCCGACUUGAUUACCUCCCCUAUAUCUUCUCUUUUAAGCCACCUCUUAUCAAAGUAGAAUCUCUUCUUCCUCUUACCAAGAUUCAUCUUAGUAUCGAACAAAAGAAUGCUGUGAUCAGACGCAUAUGAGUCAAUAUGAGUACACUGAAUUUUCUCAUACACCUUUGACCAGGAGUAGCUACAAAAACCUCUAUCCAGUCUCUGUUUGAUUUCUCCUUCUUGAUCCCAAUUGUUACACCAAGUCCAAGGAUGUCCAACAAACCCAAUAUCCAUCAACUGAUUCCCAUUAAUGAAUUGCUUGAAGUCUUGAAAGCUGCUUUCCUGUCGACUAUUUCCUCCCCAUUUUUCUUCAUUAGAUACAAUAUCAUUAAAGUCUCCUGCUAUCAUCCAUUUUUCUCCCCACAAUCUCUUCCUCCUUUCUAUAACUUCCCACUGUUGUUUUCUGAACUGAUCAUCACAACUUGCAUAGAUGCCUACAAACCACCAAUCAGUGUUCACUUCCGGGUCCUCCACAUGCGCUUCUAUGGUAAAAACAGUCCUCAAAACCUCUAUAAUAUUCACCUCAUCUUUCCAAAGAAGAGCCAAUCCUCCUGCCUUAUUCAUUGCCUCCACCACGACCAUUUCAUCAAAUCUUAAAAUGUUUUUCACUUUUUCCAUGUAUUUUGUUCUAUUCUUGGUCUCACUUAAAAACACCAUACUUGGGGAGAAGAGGUUAUUAACCUCUCUCAGCUGGGGAAUUGUCAAGGGGCUCCCCACUCCUUGACAAUUCCACACCUGAACUCUCAUUUGGAUCCUGGGGUCCUAUAAGGGAUGGACCCUUCCCCCUCAGCCCCUAGUUUAUUUCGUUUCAUCUCAUGUCCUUCCUCCUCAACGUUAUCCAUAGCCACAUCCACUUCUGUACUUUUCCUCUUGCCUUGGUAUUUAAUAUUCCCCAGGUUGAUACUAAUUCCUUUUAGAUCCUGUCUUCUAUUGCUAGGUGAUCUUAAAGGCUUUUGAACCCUUCGAAGCUGCUUCCUAAUUCCCUUUUGCUUUGUAGCCAUGCUCACCUGAUCAACCUGUGUAAGUAACAGGCCAUUAUUUGCCACCUCCAAAGCUGGUUGUUGAAAUUGCUGAACCCCUUGCUCCCUCAGUAUAUGCUCAAGACCGCUAUCUACCAUCAUAGAAGUCCUCCCACCCUGUUCGUUACCACCCUUUACUUCCCCUGCGUGGGUUAUAUCCCCACCAGAAUUGGGUAUUAGAACUUCAGUUUCCUCAACACCCUCCAUGUUUGAAACAGAUACUGAAUUGGAGGUUGUUGCCUCCACUACCUCCCUCUGAUCAGUUGGUUGUUCAUCCCGCUGGCUUCCUCCCAAUUCUGGGACUGUCUCUCUCUCACACUCCUCUUCCGCUCCUCUGGAACCAUCAUGUACUUGUGUCCCUGGACAUUCUUUCUCUAUCCAUUCCCCAUUCUGAUAACUCCAGUGGCUCCUUUGGGGGUUAAAAACCACCCCUGUAUGUUUUUUCUGAGCAGACAUCAUCCCAUUUGCAUGCCCUGCCCUCAUCCAAUUCCCCUAUUGAUUAUCCCUUUUACCUUCCCUCCCACUCACACCCAUUCCACAAGAUCUCUCACUGUGCCCUAUUCUGCCACACCUAUAGCAAAAGUCCGGACAUCUCUUGUAUUUAAACUGAACCCAUUUUGCUACCCCUGCCACUUUGAUGGUUGUCCCUCGCAGCAGAGGUUGAGUAAUAUCCACUACUGUAGCUAGCUUGAGGUGCCUUCCUUCCUUUCCCCCAGUUUGUGGUAUAAUGACGUCUCUUACCAGGUGGAAAACAGAACCUAUUUUCUUCCCCACCUCCUUUGAGAUAUAGUGAACUGGAAGAUUCCAGACUUGCACCCAAAGUGGUGCUAAAUUAAAGGCCUUUUCAUCAUCUUCAAUCCCCUCAUACCAUUUGUUCAGAACCAGUAAUUGGUUAUCCAAUAUCCACGGGCCUCCCUGAGCUAUUCUAUCCCUAUCUUCUUCUUUUGGUACAAUAAAUUGGAACAAAUUUGGACCCAACUCAGCCACAGUCAAAUCCCUUGGAUACCCCCAUGCUGCUGUGACAAAGUUCUUCACACCCGUGUAAUUAGCUAUCUUCUCCCCCACUAUUUUCCCUAACAAACUGCUUUAACACUCCUUGAUACCUAAAGUUAGCUCCUCGCUCCCCAUCUCUGUGACUUGCAGCUCCUUGUUCGAGAGAUUAAAACUUUGCAGAAUAUCCACAAUGUCUUCAGCCAUUAGGCUUAAAUGAGGUACUGCCAGUAUAAGUCUCACACCCACACUGACCUCAAAGGAAACCCGAUGAACCCACUAAGGGAAAAGAAAAAAAUAUGCUUUUCUCUAGGUAAAUGUUAGAAUGGUAGGCAACAAAGAAACAGAGCAAUAUGCACCUAACACUAAUGCACCUACUAUACCAGACAAGAUAGGAAAUGAGAAUGGCAGUGAGUUUACCUGUCGGAAACAAAACCACUCCCUUGGAACUUCGUCUUAGCCGGUAGAUCUGUUACCUCAUAGUAGUACAGCUUGAAAGGGUCUCCAUGAUCUCAAACAGCGAUUCUAGGAAUUCUGCUCUUAGUAAAGACUUCUUCAGCUCCAAUUACUAUGAAAGGGAUCCGACCGAAAUGCACUUAGAACAAUGUAUUUAACGCUAAAACCUUGUCUGAAAGAUACAAAGAUUGAAUCUUUUGGGACUGUCGGAACUUUUGGAAGCUCCCACAAAAGGAAGAGUUGCUCUCUUUUUUAGAGAGAGAAAGUGCCCCUACACGCGAAGGGAAAAGUUUUCUAUCACCAACCUCGCUUGAAACCUAUUUCCUUGUAAAAAUUUACCAAAUUAAAAAAAAGCAACAAAAAAAAUGAUUUUAGGUGUGAGAAGAUCAUUUGAUUUCAAAGUGCUCCUCACCUAUAAUAAUAGUUAAUUUAAUUAUUCAAUCUAAGUUAUUGUUUCAUUUAUAAGGCCGUUACACAUGAUUAACGAAAAAAUUUCAUCAUUUGCAAUCAAAAGUAACAAAUUUUGUAUCAAAAUUUUUGACUUACCUUAAGAUUCUUGUUAUCAUCAUGGUAUUAAGAAGAGACAAUGGAAAACCAAAUUCUCCUCACAUCCAAUUUUUUAUGAUCUUUAAGAACAUAAAAAAAGCUAGUCUAGCAUUUGACCCCUUUUCUAAUGCCAAAUUAAUUUUAAACAUAAUAAAAUUAUGGGUAAUUUUGUUUUUAAAUGGCUUAAUUAUUUUUAAUCAAAUUAUGGUUAAUAGUUUGUAAACGGCUUAAUUCUUUUUCAUGUUUGAAUCCUUUUAUUUAUUAUGCACAUCAAAUAUGAUUCAUUUUAUUUGUCAAGUAAAUUAAUUAAAAAAAGCCCCCCUAUAUUGGUUCUCUUUUUAUAUAGCAAAUUAGUUGUUUUUUUAAUUUCAAAUUAUGGUUAAUUUAAUUAGCAAAUUUUUUAAUUGUUUCGCUCCUCAAAGAUGUGUAAAACAUCUUAAAUUGUAAGGAUAGCAGAGUCAUUUCACUAUUAAUGAUAUAAGCAUUGGGUCUCAAAUUGCUGAUAUGAGAGGUAAGUGAUAUUUUUAAAACCUCAAAAGAGGGCAAUGAAAUUGUCAGAAUCCUCAAGGAAGGUUUUUCAAAUUAUCCCUUACCUAUAUCGAAUGGUAAAUAAUCAUCGGUUGUGAAAUAGGUAUUCUAGAAGUUUUGUGAAAAUUUUUCUAAGAUUCCCAAAUUAAAUACAUGUUUUAAUUAUAUUUUUAUUUUACAUGCAUCACAUUUAAAAAGUAUUACGGAAAUGUAGUUUUCAAAAAAUACGUUUAGAAAAAGUAAUCUAAAAGAUAUGUCCACAAUUAUACUGGUUUUGCAAACAUUUUCUAUGAGGCAAAAUUAUUAGUACAUAAUUAGAUUUUGGAUUUUUGGAAAUUUCUCGUGCUUGUGAUUUAUAUUCCUUAGGUUAGCCCGUUCAGAGGAAGAUUGUACUAGAGGACAUAUAAAUCAAAGUCAGAAUUGCUACUACUCAUUUUUCUAACGGACUUUGUUAUAUCAUUGAGGAAGGUGGAAAUCUUGAUCAAGAUUCAUCACACAAACUUGGUAUCAUUUGUCGGAUAUUGCGCUGAAGGAAGAGCGCGCUAUGGCUCUAAUCUGUGAGUAUAUGGCGAACGGAAAUUUAAGACAACAUUUAUCAGGUAUUUUAACCUCUAUGUACAUGCUUCCUACUUUUUUUUUUUUUUUAUAAAAUAUAACUUUUUAUUCCAUGAAAUCUAAACGAAUGCAAAAAAAAUACAACAAACAUGUCACAAAUACGGUUAAUCUAAAAAAUCAUUAAAUUUAAUAAAUUUUUAGAAAAUAACAAAGAUUACAUUGUGAAACUCCAACCGAUCAAAUAAAUCAUGAGCAGCCCAAUGAAGCUCUAUGCAAGUUAAGACCAUCAAAACUGCUGUUUAACUGGUUCAAAUUCAAAGUCGAUGUUGAGAUCAGAUGAAAUGAAGGAAUCCCAUAUUUGACAUAUAGGUGUGAAAAACUCUUAGAUCUGUUAAAGAAAUAACAAAAAACUAACAAAACUCCAUAAUAUUUUAGGAAAGAAGAAAACUCUCAUUAGGAAACCCUAUGAGAGAGCAAAACUCACACUAGAAAACAUUAGGAGAAAGAAAACUCUCACUAAGAUACUUUGAAAGAGACUUUAUUGAAUAUAAAAAAAAAAAAAAGGCAAAGAGAGGCAGACCUUGGCUUGAAACCAAGAUCUUGCUCCAUGGAGGAAAAAACUAUUUGAAGUCUUUGCAAAGAUAAGGUAGAGAAAUUUUGGUUAUGUUCAUGCUUACUUCAAAACCAAUGGACCUUACAGAAAUUAGAAAAAUUUUAUAAGAGCGUUUAUAGUUGUCCAUAUCAUCUAAAAGAUAAAAACAAAUACUAUAAAAGUUUUGAUUAUGAAAUUCGAGUGAGGAGAAAUAAGAAAAACUUAAAGUGGUAAAAAAAAAAAAGAAAAUGUACUGGUAAACAAAAAAAAAAAAAAACUAAUAAAAACCGAUUAGUUUGACUUUUGUUCGAUUUUCCCUGGUUAAACCCAGUGAAAUGCUAUCUUCAUUUUUUUAAAGAAAGUUUGGAUCAAACAGCUCACUAGCUCCCCUUUCAACCAAUUGAAUCGGGUGGUGCAAUUUAAAUUUUAAUUCACUGCUUUUACCAAUGGAAAAGACUACUUGGGGUCAAAAUUACUAGAAUAUUUCUUAGAAAAAAAUACAUAGAAUAUUUUGGAAAAAUUGCUGCAUCUAAUGUCUGAAAACCUAACCGAACCGUUUGUUUUGACCAAUCGAAUCGUGAACCGGCCAUGUCUUCGAUCUGGUUCAAUGAUUAAUCCAAAGACUUCGAUUGUACUGGUCAAACUCGUUAGGUUCAACCAGAUUGCACUAAUUUUUUUUUAUUUUUAAAAUAAAUAUUUCGGCUUAAUUCAAAAGUUUUAAUACUAAAACAAAUUAAAAAAUUACUAAACCUUUGAACUAGGAUUGAAUUGGUCAUACCGAUUGAACUACAAACUAGAAGUUCUUUUGCUUCACUUCCAAGUCCAAAUUUAAAAGCACUGGCUACAUCAUGGACUAUAAGUUGUACUAAGCAACAAUACGACGUAAGCAACAGUCAUAAAUUAAAAGAUAACUGGCCUUAAUUUUAGGGGUUCUAUAUUUGUGUCUAUCAUUUAGAAAUGUUGUGAUUUUACGUUGCUUUUUAUUGGUAAACUCUUCUUUCACAUUCUUUUUGAUAAGGAGUAAUUCCAUUUGUAUGCUUGAAUCUAUUGAUAUAUUAACAAUUGUGUGAUGUCCAUCCACAACAUGAGGCAUGUGCUAGUUGUUAUUUAAAGAUUUUUUGGGUUAAGGUAUUAAUCAAGUACUCAAUUUCAAUCCAAAGUAUAUCAUUCAAGUGUACGUGUGAAAGAAAAAGAUGUUUAGGUACUAAAGUAUCACAAGCAAUAAUUUAGGGUGCCAACUGUCAAUCCCUAUAAUUUAAGAGCACAAUUGGUUUAAACUCUUUACUAUUCACUAUUUUUGAUCUUGUGUGUGAAGAUUAUACAUAGAGGAAUGUGGCUGGUAAGUUUCUUCACUUAUUGAUUCUUAUUUGAAUGACUUUCUUUGAGCACAGGGAAAAAUCUUAACCCUUUAAGCUGGAAAGAGAGAGUUCAUAUUGCAUUAGAUGCUGCACAAGGUGAUUUUCAACUCAGUCCAUUCUUUUCUCUUUUGGGAUUUCAGGGAAUUAUUAAGUGAUAAUGAAGUCAAUACAUGGUAAUGACCACAAAGUUUCAUCUCAGGUUUGGAGUAUUUACACAAUGGAUGCAAUCCUCCAAUAUCCAUAGAGACUUGAAAAGUGCCAAUAUACUAUUGAACCAAAAAUUGCAGGCUAAGCUUGCUGAUUUUGGCUUAUCUCGAAUUUUUUCAAGUGAAAGUGACACUCAUGUAACAACAGCAGUGGCUGGAACAGCUGGUUACCUAGAUCCAGAGUAUGUAUUCAAUAUGAAGUUAAAUUUUUCUAUUUUCCUAAGCUGCCAUUCUAUAAAGGUUUCUCAAAUCAUUGCAAUCCUUUUCCUAAUUGAUAUAUACAGUGUUAAGUAUACAACUGGAAUAGUUGUUUACAACUUAGGAUGAAAAUAUUUUGAGCAUGUGGACACAAUGUACGAGUCUUCUAUAAAUUAUGCUUGGUGAACUUUGCUACAAACUAAAUAUUCAUUUACAAGAAAAAGUUCUAAUUCUACUUCUUUUGUAUUUAAUUAAAGACAAAGAUGCAGUUUUCGAUUUCAAUGCCAAAGAAUAUUUGUUGCAUAUUUAUUGCAGCAUUUAAUGAGCCUUACCACAUUAUAAUAUAUCUAUGCAUAAAAGUUUCAAAAAAAUUAAGUACGAUAGUUGAACAUUUAGAAUUUAAGAAAUUUUUUAAACAAUAUGAAAAAAGAUGUAAGCAUAUUAUAAUAUUUUUUAGAGGCUCAUAAAUUGUGUUUUCCAUUCUCAAAAUAUUUUCGUCCUAAGUUGUAAAAAAAUAUUCAGUAAAACUAUAUAUUCUUAUUCAAGUUUAUAAUCUAGAUUUUAUGAUGAAUAUUAGUUUGUACUGUGUUUGACUGUUCGCCCCUUCUCUAAACCAAAAUCCGGGUUCCAUCCCUACCAAACUAUCUAAGAAUUUUUUUUUUCAAGAUUUCGUAUCCUUCAUAGUAAAACUAUAGAUUAUGUGCAUUGGUGUCCUUUAAUGACAUCUAAAUUGGCUUUCAGAUAUAACUACACCUUCAAGUUCAAUGAGAAAAGUGAUGUUUACAGCCUCGGCAUCGUUUUAUUGGAACUGAACACUGGAAAACCAGCCAUCAUAAAGGGCACCGAUGAUGUCAAUAUUCACAUUGUUGAAUGGGUGAACAAAAGGGUAGAAAGGGGAGACAUUCAUGAAAUUAUGGAUCCAAAACUGAAAGGAAAGUUCCACAUAAACUCGGCCUGGAAGUUUUUGGAGGCCGCCAUGACGUGUACAAUGGCAAUGGCUAGUCAGAGGAUGAGUGGCAUGGAGUUACUUGUUGAACUAAAGCAGUGUUUGGCAAUAGAGCUAUCUGAAGAGAUAGCAUCAAGGGCUGCAGAUUUUCCGCAGGAUGAUGGCCUUGAGAUAGACACCGCUCCAAGUGCAAGAUAGGUCAUUCAUGAUCAUUGCUUCUCUACCUCUUUCUGCUAUGAGAUUGGUGGUGCAGCCCAGUUGCUAUGUACGUCUGAGAGAAGAGAUUGCAUAUUCAAACAUUUCAUUUGUGUUAAAUUUCUUAUAUUCUCUACCUCUUUCUGUUUUGUAUUUUAUAUUUGAUAAAUUUCAUGCCAUUAGAAGAAUAUGUUAACAUUAUAAUCUAAAUAAUUUUGAUAGUCCCUGAUAGGGUAAAAGACAAUUUCCUAAUUAAUUCACUCGAUUAUGCAUCAAGUGAAUGUAAAAGUCACUCACCCUCCUUACAUAGUAGUCCCUUGAUCAGCUUCAUUGAUUGGGAAAAACUGGAAUUUUGCAACCCACUCACAAUAUCUUCCAAGGCUUUAGUUGCUAUCAAUCUCAAAAGAGAGUUUAAACACCCUGCAAAUUCUUAAUGUUUUCUUUCGACUGCUUAUAAGUUUUAGGAAUUAAUUGAAUCUAAUUAGUUUGAGUUUUUUCUUCCUAAACUUUUUUUUGUUGUCUACAUUUAUAUCCUUAUUAUCAUCACUUAAUUUCUCGUCCUUUUUUAAUGCUUAUGCAUAAUGAUUAGCUAAUCAAUUGUUAAAUUACUUUUGUUACCAGUUUUCGAUAAGAUGAUUGUUUAGUUGUUUAAAUGAAAAUUAGCCACUUCUUUAGUCAUGCAUACUAAUGCAGUUUUACUUGCUAAAAUGUGCAUCUAAGAGGAAUUAACACUAGACGUUCCUUUUUCCCCCUCAAACAUGAAACUUGGCCUAAAGCUUACUAGAUCUAAAACCUAUGAACCGAAUAUAUUGAAGCAGAAAAAUAUGGGAUGUCACACUUGAUAAACAUUUUUCAGACAUCAAACAAGAGCACAAAAAUUCACCAAUCUAGGAAACCUAGGCUCUAUGUUUGGGCACACUUCUUUGUGGUAGAAACUCUAUUACUCAUUGAGGACUCUACUUUAAGAGAAAAAAAAAAGGACAAAAAAUAUCAGCAGCCACUAAACUAUUCGUCAGAUCAUGUUUUGGCCAUCAAAUUAUUUUUCGUCAGUAAUUGGCCACUAAAUAAUUUAAUCAAUAAACCCGUGACCAUUUGAUCUAUAAUUGCUUUUAAUCUGUAAAAUUAGUAGUACACGUGGCAAAAUGCAAGGGCAAUUUUAUCCAACAACUAUGUGACCCUGUUCUCCCCUUAAUUUACUCAAUUGGAAGCCCUAAAUCUUCAAUCACAAAUCGAAGAAGCCGAAAAAGAAGACGAAGAAUGCUAGGCACUCUCCUAAACCCAUAACAAGAGGAGAUGUUAUAACAAGAGGAUUUAGUCUUGGAAUGUAAAUUGUAGGAUGAGGGAUGUUGCUUUUGGGAAUGGUAUGAUCCAACAACAUAUGAAAGAUCAACUCAAUGAUCGUGGGAACCAUUGGAAAAACAACCAAAAUUUAGAAGCCAGGAAUCAAGCUCCGGACUUCAUACAUGAAAUUGGUUGGCUCCUCCGUAGAAGUAAGUUGAAAUUUAGAUUGGGUCUACAAGAUUCCAACUUGGAUACAUUUCCCUUCCAGCGACUCAGAUGGCCUAUAGAGUUCUUAGUCGAACAUGACUGGUGUACAGUGGUCAAGAUGCUUUUGAAUGUUCUGGUCAACAAAGUCAUGGGUGAAGAAAAACGCUCUUCAAUUGAAAAUGCAUUGCUGGAAAAUGGGUUGCUCCAUAGAGCUGUUCGGCAAAAUUGUAGGUCCAUGGUUGAAGUCCUCCUAAGAUACCAUCCAGAUGCAGAACUGAAAAAAUUAAGUCCAAUCUGCUAUGUACUUAGACCGAUGUCAGGGCUUGACUCCUCUGUACAUAGCAGCCGGAUGCGAUGGAGUUGAGCAAGUGCUGGAUACAUUAACUGAUGAUCUUGGACUGGUACGGCCCUUCUUAAUAUGUAUAUUGUUAUUAGUGGAACAUCACUUUUGGAAAUGGAAAAAUACUGCUCAGAUCCCCCAGUGGAAAAAUACGACCCUUGCUAAUAUCUUUGAUUUGUGUUUGAAGAUUUGAGACUCCUAAUUGAGUCCCUAUUUUUCCUCCACAUAAUGUUCCAUUCGGUGAUUGUUUGAGGAAAGAAAUUUAGGGGAGAAUAGGAUCGCGUAGUUGUUAGACAAAAUUGCCCCUGCGUUUGGUCACGUGUACAGCUAAUUUCACAGAUUAAAAAUAAUUAUCGAUCAAAUGGUCACGAGUUUACUGAUUAAGUUGUUUAGUGGUCAAUUAUUGACGAAAAAUAGUUUGAUAGCCAAAACAUAAUCUGACGAAUAGUUUAGUGGCCGUUGAGAUUUUUUGCCAAAAAAAAAGGUUAAAUGUCACCCAAGUUGUAGAAAUGUUUAAUAAAUGCCUUUUUUCUUUCGAAGAAAAGUCUAAUGCAAUCUCAGAAGAAAAAACUGAUGAUAUUUUACUUAAGCCCAAUGUCUCUUGAAUGUUAUAUUGUUGUUGGAUAGGUUUUCAUUUGCAAUUUUUUUAUUGCAUCACAAAUAGUUUUUCAAUCACAUUUUUAUCUUACUAAUCACAUUUAUAUUUCACAUAUAUCACAUUGAUAGUGAGACAAUUGUGCAUGUUAUUUGAUGGUAUUUGGUCUCAAUUUUGGCCACUUAUUAUGCAAAGUAAUAGGUUUCUGCUCAUAAUUGGUAUUUGUGUCAGUUGCAGGCGAUUGGUGUCAAAAGUGGUGAAAAGAGACCAAAUUCCAGAAGACUAUUCAUUCUUGAGCGUGCCCACGCCAGAGACCGCAGAAUGACGUCCAAAAGAUGGACCGCGAGACUUAUCCCUGGAAGCUGCAGCUAUUCUUGGGAGACGUGUUUUGAAGCUGCGUGGGAUUAGGAAACAUCUUCAGAAAAUACCUUUGGCAACAACUCAAGGAGAAAAAUAAGGAAGUUAUCAUUUAUAGAAACAAACUCUCGAAACUAUCCUUUAUAGAAACAAACUCUCGAUUGGUAAAGGGUGGCGGGGAGACUUUAAAUAGGACAGCAAUAGACUAGGAGUUUUUAUCUUUGAUCUUGGAUCUUUUUCCUUUUUUCCCUCUAAACGGGAGUUAGAGACUCUUUAGCCGUUGUAUUCUUUUUCAUCAACAAAAGUACAUUAAAGCCUAGGAUUGCAUCAUCGUUAUGAGGCAAGGCUAGGUUCCUUUACUUAGUUGAGAAAUAAUCAAGGUCCGGUGCACAGAUAAUUGUGAGAUCUUUCUAAUUGUUCUGCGUGAUUUUAAAUUCUGCAUUCGUGAGUAUUUAAUUAUUUCUUGUUUUAAUAGCCUAUUGUUGUUUGGAUCUAUUGGAUUAAUGUGAUCAGUUAUUCAAUUGUCUGAAUAGUAUACUGCCAAUUAGGACAGGGGUGCGUAUCACUUGAUUGUCUUAAAAUUAGUGGCAAACGGCACAAUUUCAUUGCCUUGCAAGCAGUCUAAUCUGUGUCGUCGGAAUAGUUAAUCUAGUUUAAAUGAACUCGCAUGUGUAUUUGUUAACUAGAAUUAGGUCUCUCUAAUUUCUAAAAUUGUGAAUAGAUUAAAUCCUUCAAGCGUCUCUGGGGUUAUCUAUUUUACAAGGGAAUAGUUUAAGAGCGUCUCUGAACCAUCAUAUAAUUGAGAGAUUGAUAGUUUGGCGGUUGCUGAAUUGCUAGAACUAAUUUAUUUACGAACGUAUAAACUAUUCCAGGGAUCUGUGAUCAAUUGCAUGAGCCGAUGCCGAAAUUAUCUCCUUGACUAAGUUGUCUCAAUUAAUUGUUUAUUAUAUUCUUUAACUACUGCACUUUCUUGCGAUUGAAAACUCAGUACUCUUACAUCUUUAAUUUGUUCUUCUUGUCUUCCUUUCUAAAAUUUUCCAAAUUCUCUGUGUUUAGAUAAAUCUACUAGUUCCUUAAGGAGACGACCCUACUCACUACUAUACUCGUUCAGAAUCUAAAGAUGCAGUUGAAAAAGGAAUUGAAGUACAAGAAAUGGAACCCCAAUAUCAAAUUGUUCAAGUGAAUGAAUCCAGUGAACAAUCUCCAAAUGCGGUGACAUCUCAAUGCGGUGACAUCUCUCCCAUUCAUUAAUCAAUAUUCUCCUGACUCUUAUUCUUUAAUUCCUGUUAGUGAGAUUGACUUUAUUAUAGCAGAAGAUUUUGAAUUUCAUGACAGGAAUAAGUUAAGUGUCACGAUGACAAAAUAUCUCGAACUAAUAAGUGCUCGUGAUGGAGGAGUGAGUGAAGAAUUAAAGUCAUCACUUGUUUGUUUGGCACCAUCUACAAAUUCAUGGAAGACCGUACCUUGUGUACUCAAUGAUUAUUCUAUUUACGAGAGUUAUCAGCACUAUACAAAGGAUGAAGCAUUGAAAUGAACCACAAGAUUUUAUCCGCCGUGAAUAAACAGGGCAAUGUCUAGCCAAAGACGUUAAAGAGAGGCGCUGUUUGAGAGGUAACCCAAGGACUAAACUCUUUGUUAUUGUUAUCUUUCAUUAUUAUUAUUAUUAUUAUUAUUAUUAUUAUGUCUCAUUCCCAGUGCUUUAUUGGUGUUAGGCAGAAGACUGUGGCUUCCUAGGUGUGCCCACGCUUUGCAGGGUUGCUCCAGAAAGCUGUCGACAAACUGGUGAACAGAAGAUUUUAGCUUCCAACCCGUGCCCACGCUUCAUAGAAAAUUUCAUGGGUGCUGUUACAAAGAAUGGACAGCCGACUUAUGCUUCUUAAGUGUGGUAAUGCCUCUCAACCAAGUGCCGCCGCCCAGGCCGCCGCUGCUCGCCAUUGCUGCCUCACACUCUCUCGACGUCCAUCCCCUCUGCAUCCUAUGUACUUGGAGAUUUUUAGUUCCGCGCCUUGGCGGAUGUCCUUCGUGAGUUGGAUGAAUAAGUUGAUCAUUUGGAUAACCGUCUCACAACCUUGCAAUUUCAUUCUUCUAUUCAGACACAAAAUCUAGCAGCCUUCUUUGCCCAUGUUGGAUUUCAGCCACCUCAUUCUCUUCCCCUAUAGUGCUUUCGCGGCGUCCUUUCAGCAUUCAGGGAAGUUCUAGCUCCUUUCUACUUGGUUUCUAUUUUCUUUGCUACAUUGAGGACAAUGUAGGAUUCAUAUGUUGGGGGGAGUAGUUGAAAAUUGCUAGAAUUUGAUGCUAUGAUGAUCAUUGCAAUUACUCUACAAGCAUGAGCAGUGAUAUUAUGUGGUUAAAUGUCUUGUCUUCUUAAUAAUGGAAUUGAAUGAAGAAAUUUGCAAGAUUUGGCUCUUAAUAUCCUGUUGUGAGCUGUCGAGCCAAUAAGCGUUGCAUUGAUAACUGUUCUAUUUUCUUUCAUUGAAUGAUAUCACACAUGAUUUGAUUGUUCUAGAACUUGCUUUGUUAUGCAUAUCAAGAUCACAUUCCUGAAUUUGAUGCAUUAGAAUGAUAAGGGCACUUAGGCUAACCAUUUUUGCUUUCUAAAGACCAACCUUGAUCAGAUCUCCCCUAGUUGACCAUGGUUAAGUCUAGACCUUUUCUUUGUUUAAUAACUCAUUUUGUCACUCCUAAACCCCUUGUGUUCGAACCCUCUUUGUUUCUACCCUAUGUCAAAGGAAUGCCUUGAUUUCAGUGCAUGAUGAUUUCAAAUUAGGUUGAAAGGGGAUGAUUAAAGUUAGCGAGUGUGUCUAUAUCCCCAUGUAGUUGGGCGUAUUUGAAACAAAAAAAAAAGAAAGCGAAAAAAAGGAGCACACCAAGAAAAAAAAGGGAAAAAAAAGAAAAACAAAAGAGAAAACAAAAGAAAGAAGAAAAAAAAGAGGUAUGAAGUGCUAAUUGUCAAUAUGUGAUCUGUUGAGAUGAUUGGGUGAAUCCCUUGGUUGUGCUGACACUUGCUAAUUUUUGAAAAAAUUUAUGGGAAUGCUUUGGAAAGAUCAAUGGAAUGAAGAAGGAAAUUGGCAUUCAUGUAGUGGGUCAAUGGUAUUGCCUUUGACAUAAUGAGUUUAAAUUACCUGUUUGAUCCAACCCGUACCUGAACCCAUUUACAACCCGUAUCAAGACCCUUUGAUUUUUGCAUUAAAUUUGAUUACAGUGGUGGCGAUGUGAUAUAUUAGCAAGCAUAUGAUAACAUCAUUUUAUUGUGUGGUGAGAGUGACCUUUUGUGUUUCAUGUCAGUGUGGUGAGUAGUCAUAUACCAUUCUAUAAGAGAGGGUUAAGUCUUGCAAUUUCUGAAUUUGAUGACAUUGUUAGGAGGAUAGGACACUUGUGCUCGCAUGUUGGACUGCUACAUGUGUGUAGCUGUAAUUGUAUCUCUGACUUUUGAAAUGUUUGAGGACAAGCAUUGUCUUGGUGUGGGGGGAUUUGAUAGUGAGACAAUUGUACAUGUUAUUUGAUGGUAUUUGAUCUCAAUUUUGGCCACUUAUUAUGCAAAGUAAUGGGUUUCUGCUCAUAAUUGGUAUUUGUAUCAAUUGCAGGCGAUUGGUGUCAAAAGUGGUGAAAAGAGGCCAAAUUCCAGAAGACUAUCCAUUCUUGAGCGUGCCCAUGCUAGAGACCGCAGAAUUACGUCCAAAAGACAGACCGCGAGACUUAUCCCUGGAAGCUGCCGCUAUUCUUGGGAGACGUAUUUUGAAGCUGCGUGGGAUUAGGAAACAUUUUCAGAGAAUACCUUUGGCAACAACUCAAGGAUGAAAAUAAGGAAGCUAUCAUUUAUAGAAACAAACUCUCGAAGCUAUCCUUUAUAGAAACAAAUUCUCAAUUGGUAAAGAGUAGCGGUGAGACUUUAAAUAGGAUAGCAAUAGACUAGGCGUUUUUAUCUUUGAUCUUGGAUCUUUUCCCCUUUUCCCUCUAAACAGGAGUUAGAGACUCUUUAGCCGCUGUAUUCUUUUUCAUCAACAAAAGUACAUUAAAGCCUGGGAUUGCAUCAUCGUUAUGAGGCAAGGCUAGGUUCCUUUACUUAGUUGAGAAAUAAUCAAGGUCUGGUGCACGGACAAUUGUGAGAUCUUUUUAAUUGUUCUGCGUGAUUUUAAAUUCUGCAUUUGUGAGUAUUUAAUUAUUCCUUGUUUUAAUAGCCUAUUGUUGCCAACACUCUUCACACCAAUCAACUUUUAGUAUGAAAGUCAAAAUUGGUGAUUUAAUUAAUUCUGUUGAAUUUUGUGUAGUGCGUACUACAAAUGAAUGCACGAUCUUUGUAUGAAUUGAUUUGUUGGUUGAACAACCUAUCACCAUUUUCCUGAGAAUUAAGUACGUACGAAAUUCAAAAUUAGUGUAUUUUUUUACAUAAUUUAUAAAUAGCAUUAUAAAAAAUAAAUAUAUAUCAAGAAAUUUUACAUUCCUUUGUAAUUCUCUGAUAUAAGAAGCAUCACAACCAAAUACGAAUCGUGCAUGUCUGUCUUAUAGAUUAAGAUGCAUGUUACCACUGGAAUCUCUUAUUUAUAUGCUAAUAUUGUACCUAUUUGACAAAUAAAAUGUUAUAUACAAUACAGAAAAUAUGUUGAAAUUAAAAGUAUAUGAAAUUAAUUACCUAACAACAGUGUUGACCACAUCAUUACAAUGCAGACCAAAGUGACAAAGAAUAUGAUAAUGACAAUCUUUUUGUGAUAAGAAACAUUAACUCUUUUGGCCUAAAGGUACAGAAACUGUCAUCAUGACAAUAUCAAAUACUAUACAUAGUUAUUGAACUCCAAGAAUCCAAACUAAGUCGCAAACAAUCUGAAAAUGUAAAUUUUCUAUCGUAAGAAAUUUCUCAUAGCAAAUUCCAUCAUUUUUGUAUCUGGAGGGAACUUGGUUUCAUCAAAAGUCAAAUACCAAUACUUGUGCCAUAGGGAAAAAGAUGACAUAAAAACAGUGAUGGACAUCUAUUGCUCUGACCAUAAAAUAAAUUUUUAUACUUACUGUUGCGUAAUAAGUUGUUAUUGAAUCAUGAGAAAAUGAGUCUAAAAUGAUGACCUAUUACCUAACAUUUCACUUCUAUUUAAAGAUGAAAGGCAAUCAUAGCAAUAAUCAAUCGAAAAUAUUACAUUAUUGGGAAUAAUAUUUAGAAAAACAAUGGAAAUGCAAAUGUUUAAAGAAUAAACAGUACCAGAAUUUCUAAUUUGAUGCGAACGACGUUUUAAUCGGUGUAGUUGGGAUUUUGUCCUUGGAAUUUGAUGUGAGAUUUCUCUUUUGUCAACGCAAAGUUGCUGAAACUUUUCGAACUACUGUGUGGAAUCGUUACGGUGUACGUUUCGUUUUCUAAACAAAUGUUUCCUCCUUUACAAUCUUGCGAGUUUGAAAUUUAGCUGUCGUUAAAAUGCUUGUAGGCGGGCAUGUUCCAUAGUGAAAUUAGAUUAAGGGUUAAAAUGGAUAUCAUAAAAAUGUUGAAGGAGAAAAUAAGUUCUUGGAAAAAAUGCAAGAAAGUUCUCUUAAUUGGAGUGAGCACGCAAGAAAGUUGAAUGAGCGUGCUAUGUUUUGGAGAACUUUUAAUUGAAGUGGAAUUCUUAAAUUGAAGGACUCUUAAUUGGAGUAAAAAAGUGGGGGAAAUGGAAGGAAAAUAUGAGCAUGAUUAUAGGAUUUUUAGGAGCGGUUAUAGGAUUAGUUAAGAGAUAAACAUCUUAAAUUGGAGAACUCUUAAUUGGAGUGGGAAAACGUGGGGAAAAUGUGAGCAUGAUUAUAAGAUUUGUAAUAUAGUCAAUAACUUGAUAGUAUACUCAAAUCACCGAUGAGGUAAAGUUUGCCUAAAUAAUUUUUAUAGUGUCCUAUUUCCUUGCAAAAAAAAAAACACUAAAUAGUCCUAAUUGCCAUUGCAAGUCACAGCAACGUGCUAGUGGCAUCUAGUUCUAAUUUUUUUUUGGGUCAAAAUCUAGUCCUAAUUGGUUCUACUGUUUCUUGAUCAUGUUGUAUGCUUCCAAAUUCUAGUUAGCGUGUAAUAAUUGAUAAUGGCUUAUUCUAUUCUUUCAUGGUAUUGGACAGGUGCAAACCACACCAGAAGUGUGAUAAAUUUACUAUAAACUCCUAAUAUUAUCUCCCAUAAUUUUUGUAUACUUUUUAAAAAAUUUAAACUUUUGUCAACAAUAGACUGGUCACGCAAAUAAAAAAAAGGGACUCGUCACACAUCUUAUUGUUUGCCUGAAAGAACUCAAUUUAGCAAAUUUUUUAGAAUAAUGGUGAAAAAAAUCAUAACAAUGGAGGAACCUGGGUUUGUUUCUUUUUUUUUUUGGGAUUUGAAACAGCCCUAUUCAUUUUUUAAAAAAUAAAUUAAUUGGCCAUCUUACGUUCAUUAAGAAAGGGAAAUUUUUUUUUGCCACUGCACAUGGAUGUCCGACCAUCCUAAAGGAAAAGAAAAAACAAUUAUUCCAUUCUUGCGACUUUUUUAGGGUUAAAUAUAGUAAGCCCCUUAACUUUACAUUUAAUUGCACUUUACCCCCUCAACUUUACAUUUAGUUACAUAUUCGUGAUUUUUUUGAAACGUGAUUGUAAUUUGUAAAGUUCAUUUGUAGGUGUGGUUAUAGGAUUAGUUUAGUGAUAAAUAUUUCUUAAUUAUAAAAAUGUAAAAUUGUAUUAAAAUAGCAUACGAAUAAGCAUUUGUAUUUAAUUGAGGAGUAAAAAGGAUUUAAAAUAUAAAAACAAACUAUAAACGGUUUAUGAAGUAGAUAAUGGAAAUUUUUUAAAUUUUAAAUUUGACUGGUGAUAGGGUUGGUUAUAACCCACUACUUUUUGUGUAUUAAAAUAAAUACAAAAAUCUAGAAAAAAAAUGAGAAGUUUGGAAGUCAUUGAGAGGCUCUCUCCUAAAAACCCACUCUGCAAUACAUAUAGAUAUAGAUUUGUAUAGAUGAUCUAUAAGAGUAACGACUUCAUAUAUUGUGAAGCCAAGCGAUUUGAUCACAGAUCUCAACUUUGCUUUUACUAGUGUUAUAAGAUAGCAUCCAAGAAUUGGAAAUUUUAAAUAUAAUUAUCACAUUUUGAAAGUUGGGCUCAUGAAAUCAAGUAGAUGCAGAGGUGUGAUGUCUUGGAGCAGUGAUCCGCAAGCUUGUCUAUGCCUGGCGAGAAGUGACAUAAUAAAAUUGAAAAGCUGGGAUGUGUGGAAAAAAUUUAAAAGCUUUUAGCAAUGUUUAUCAAUGGGAAAAAGUGAUUUGAUGGGCAUACUCGUUAGAUAAUCUUGACGUAAUGAAGUUGAAGAGGACACUACUGCUAUGAAAAUUAAAUUGGGAAAACCGUUCAAAAAAUUUCUUGCAUUUUGCCAAAUAAAUUUUUUCAUCAUUCACUUUUAAAAUGUUAAUUUUACAUCCUUACAAAUUCAAAUAAAAAAAAAACUUGAUUCUAAUCUAGGGUUUUGACUACUUUCAUCAUGUAACUCUUAUGUGAUUAUUUUUUAGGGGCAAAAAGAUUAGUUACUAUUUGUAGUUAAAUAAAUAACCCAAUUUAUAUUUAUUUUUUUCUCUAAAAAUGUGGAGUCUGAUCUAAAUUAUAUUUAUUUUUUCUUCUAAAAAAUUAAGAUCUGACCCAAUUCAUAUUCAUUCUUGCCCCUAAACAAAUGGGCUGAUUUCUUAAAUUAUUAAAAAAUUCGGUAAAAUCUAGUAAGUGGUGGAUUUGUUCUUUAUUUAAGGGUACCUAUAUAGUCAUACCUCAUGUACUACAUGUGGCACCCAAAUAAUUUUUUCUAAUUUUAAAUGUUUUUAAAAUGUUACUUUAUUUUUUUAAUUUUCAAAAUAGGGGCCACACGUACUAUAUUACAAAAAAAAAUUACAAACAUGGGGGCCGUGGUUAUUUAAUUAAGUGCAGUUUGGUUUGCAUAUAUAUAUAUAUAUAUAUAUAUAUAUAUAUAUAUAUAUGUUUGUUUGGAUUGUGUUUUAUUUGGAAUAUUUUUACUGUAACACUUUUUGUGAUGUGAUGUGUGUGAGAUAAAAAGGUAAUUGGGAAGAUAAAAAGGUGUAUUGGAAAUUGUAAUGAUGAUGUAAGCAGAUAGUGCAAGUCCAAGCGAGGAUGACAACACACCGUGGAGAGCCUGCGGUGGUCUUCAGUGCGGCUGAAAUAGCAGCGAUUGCUGCUCCAUUCCGCUACACUUUGGUUGGGAAGUUCUCUAAGGGGCGGUCGCUGCUGCCUGACCUGAGGAAAUUCUUGUCGACUCUUGAUUUGAAGGAUACGGCGACUGUGGGAUUGUUAGAUGCUAGGCAUGUGUUGCUGAAAUUUCAGUGUGAAACAGACUUCCUUCGCGUUUGGGGACGAAAUUUGUGGUACGUGAAUGGAUGCCCCAUGAGGGUUUUUAAGUGGACAUCUAAGUUCCAUGUGGACAGAGAGUCUUCCCUUGUUCCCGUUUGGUUUAGAUUGCCCAAACUCCCAAUUCACUUAUUUGCUAAGCCAUGUCUAUUUCAUCUUGUCUCCUGCUUGGGUACGCCGCUUUUCGUGGAUGCGGCUACGUCUUCGUUUUCGCGACCGAAUGUGGCACGGGUAUGUGUUGAGGUGGAUCUGCUCAAAUCGAUUCCAUCGAGGGUGUGGGUUGAUAUGGGAGAUGGGGAUGGCUUUUGGCAGGCUCUUAUCCCUGAGAACCUUCCUAGUUAUUGCAGCCACUGCUAUCGUCAAGGGCAUGGCGAGGAUCAGUGCCGUGUGAAGCACCCUGAUCUGCGCUUGCCCAAGACGCAGGGGGGUCUGGUCGCAGGGGAGAUGGGCGCAAAGGUUCGCUCCUCACAGGCUAACACGCAGGGUAUAGAGGGUGAGGAGCGAAGGGUGGUGAGUGAAGGCGCUGCGGUGCAGGCUGGUGUGACGCAGAAUUCAGGCGGGGAUAUUUUUUUCUCGUAGGUUAAUACCCUGGGUAUAGAGGGUGAGGAGCGAAGGGUGGUGAUUGAAGGAGACGGGGUGCAAUCUGGUGCGACACAGAAUUCGGGUAAGAGCCAAUCCGAGGGGGCACGGCACGUUGACACCCAGACUACUGCUGUGGGAGAUGCGUCGUGCUUACUGAACCAGCUUGGAGGAUCUACGGUUGCGCUCGUGGAGAAGGGGAUAGAGGUUGCUGCUGAUGCCAUUCUUCACGCUAUGUCUGACUGCGUGAUUGGCGAACCAGAGGAAGUGCUGGAAGGGACUGCUAAUACUGGAGAGUUGGUGCUGGGGGAGCUGAAUGUGGCAGUUGGCCCGGGCAUGGUGGAGCCCAUACGCACCAAAGAGGGGGCUGUUGUGCCAGGGGAGAGCUGCAAGGAAGAAGCUGUCAAGGAUGGACGACAAACAGAAGCUGCCGAAACUGUUGCAAAAGCAAAGUCCGUUGCUGAUGAUGAAAGGGAGGGACCAUUCGAUCAAUUUGCAGUCCAUGCCCACGGGAAUGAUUGUGAGGGGUCCCAUAUUUUAGUGGAGCAAAUAUUGAGAGAUGGUCAGCAGCAAAUGGCCGACAAUACUUCAUUGAGAAAUCAAAAUGCUGACAAUUCUAAUUGGAAUAAAAGUGAGGGGUCCCAAGCUUUUGAGGAGCAGAAUUUGGGAGAUGAUAAUCAUCAAAAGGUCAACACCGCUGAGCCCAAAAUUCUUUAUGGUGCCUUGCAUGGGGUUGAGGAUGUACCGCCCCUUGUGGUUACGAGUACAAGUACAAGAACAGAAACGAAAACAACAAUGCCUCAAGAUCCAGUGCCACAAUUCAAAGAUGUGUUCGAAGAGAUUAAAUGGGAAAAAUUACAUGGUACAGUUCCCCGACCACAUCAAAUUCCUUUUAUUCGUUCAAGUAUAACAUGCAAUGACAACAAAAAUGAAGAAGAAGACGACGAUUCACAUCGCGAAAAUCACAAAGAUCAAGACCAAUGCCUAGUUCAAGAGCAAUUUACCCAAGUGAUUUCAAAGAAAGCGAGAAAACAACUUUCAAAAAAAGGUAAAACAAUGCAAACACGUCAAGAUCUCAAACCAAAUCCCCAUGCUCACUCGCAGUCACACAAAUGUGGGGCACCUUCGUGUGGAUAAUUUCUUUGGAUUGAUCUGUUAUGUCUUUAAAAUUCCUUCAUAUGCGCGUUUUAUUUUUUAUCAUUAGAUGUUUCUUUUCCUUUAACAGAGGUCAGGUUUGGCCCUCUUUAAUUUGAUGUACUCUUUUUCGGUUAUAAAUAAAAAAAAAAUUAUCAUAAAAAAAAAAAUUGGGGAAAUAAAACACAAUCCAAACAAACCUCCGGUGCUUUAGUUUCUGCCUUGUCCCUUUUGAUGAUGCAUCAUACCAAACUUCAGUACACAUCUUUUUCUUUUCUUUCUUUUUUUUCCUUUAUCCCAAAAAAAAAAGUGAUCAAAUUUUAAACAAAUAAUCCUUUUUGUUUCAUUUUUCUGGAAACUAAUUAAUUGUAUGAUCAAUAUAAUCGUACUAGCUACUGUUAAAUUAAUGUUUUAGCUUUACUUGCUGUUUGAUUAACAAAUGGCAGCAAAUUAAGGCAUCAACUGGGUGAGGUACGAAGAGGAUCAGUGGAUUUGGUCAUUUGUUUUGCAAUAUAUAUUAAAAUAUAAAGGCGGCUGCCGCAACUAUUCAGGUACGUGCAUAAACGCGGGAUGAAAAAAAAUGUGGAAAACAAUGAAAUUAUUGUGAAUGGGUAAAUUAAAAGCAAAUCCUGCCCCCAAGAAAUAAUUCAAAGCCACUGCAUGUGGCCCCUACAGAUUAACCUUAUCAAACUUGACCAUGUCUAUAAAACCCCCACUGGAGUUCAUUGCCAUACCCUAACUUGCUAUUCAGCCCUGAUGGAAAGCACUUGGCUACUCUUAGCCUUGGCAUGGCUGGUUGCAUUGGCUUUUCUCCAAUGUUUUCAAACCCGGACCGGACCGGCCAGUUUGACCGGUUCGACCGCGAACCGGACAUGUGUCCGGUCCGGUCCAUAGCUUAUGUUGACUUGGAUAAAAAACCGGUCAAACUCGUAAAAAACCGUUCAAACCUUCAAAACCGGAUCGGACCGUGAACCGCGGUUUUCCAAUUUUUGAGUCAAAAUUGACAAAAUUUUCAAUUUUGACCGGACCCUAAUCUUCACUUCACUUCAGUCUUCCUCUUCGCCGCAGUUCGCACUUCGCUUCGCGGCUUCAGUCGUCCUGGGUUCCUCUCUGGCUCUCUCUGCAAUUGCCGAAAAUUGCCUUGCCUGCCGUUUCUAUUUCCUUCUCCAAACUCCAAUUUGAUCCAUAGCAAUCAGCAAAAAGGAAGCACCGAGGUCCGAAGCUUGCAGUUUAUAUUGCAGUAUCAGCAAUAUGCAGUAUCAGCAGUAUGACGAUGAGGAGGACUGGGUGUUGUUUGGCUGCGGCUGAGAAUCCAGUCGGUGGCCUUAACGAUGUCGCCGCCGGCGGCCUUUACAGCUUCAGGCUUCAGCAGCCAGAGAGUUGAGGAACCCCAUGCUCACCAGUUGCUUCAUCCUUACGUGCAUCUUUUCUCCCUUCCUCUGGCGCCAACUCUCAUCAAGGAAUUGGAAUUUGGCACUUUCCGGAAAGCUGAAAUAUCAAUAGCCCACCCCACUUUUUAACUUUCCCAUCUUGCUUCAUCUUACGUUGGUCACAUUCAAAAAAGUUGCCCUUCUUCUUCAUGUUAUUACACUAGUCACCCAUAGUCACCAUAAGGGUUAAUUCUAAUUAAACCCCCCACCCCCUCAAAAAAUGUUUCUUUUUCACAUGAAUGUCUAAUUGAAUCAAUUCACCUCUUGUGCUAUUAUAAAGUUUUCAAUCAGGUACAAUUGGUUGGAUAGCCCAAUUUCAGCUUGAGUUUGGCAUGUGCAUUACAUAUAUACUAAUACAUUUAUACUGAAUUACCAAUUACACUUUUACUAAUUAUACAUUUAUUCUAUUUAGCCCAAGUAGGCACCGAUGAGGGGGGAAUGUUUGGGCAACGGGAUGAGGCACUCCACCCCCCCGGUUGCCAUUCCUAGUGGUGAUGGAGAUGGGGUUUUUUUAUUUUUUUUCUCAAUACACCAAAAUUUCCCUGUUGCAAUUGCAGUAAAUUCUAAAACAAUUACAGUAUUGUGGUUCAGUAUUUAUAUCUUAUUCUAUGCAUAGGUCUAGGUGUGUGUGUCUAUAUAUAUAUUUAUUUAUUUAUUUAUUUAUUGAACCGUUCCGACCGGUUGAACCUCGACCCUUUCAUCUCACCGGUUCGAUUGACGGUCCGGGUUUGAAAACAUUGCUUUUCUCUCAAAAGCAUUCACUCACAAACGCCUCAAGCUAAAUCAUCCACCUGGACCAAAACCAUGGCCUAUUAUUGGCAACCUAAACCUCCUCGGUUCAAUCCCACACCAAUCCUUGCACUUGUUGUCCCAGAAAUCUCUGUUUUCAAACUCGGACCGGACCGGCCGGUCGAACCGGGAACCGGCCAGGUAGCCGGUCCGAGUCACAUUAAAAAACCGGAAAUUUAAAACUCGGUCAAAGCCGGUCAGAAACCGGGUUUGACCGGGAAAAACCCGGUUUUUCCGGUUCAACAGUAAUUUUUUUUUAAAAAAAUUCAAACUUUUUAAUAUUAUGUUUUGACCCCCUAAAUUGUUAAAACUUAUUGAUAUACCUCAAAUAUUUGAUACUUUAUAAAUAUUGUCCUAAAAUUUGAUGUUAUUUUUCAAUUAAAUUCAUAAUUUUAAUUCUAAACUUGUUAAUAUUUAUUAAAUAAUAUAAAUUGCUACUUGAUUGUUCUAAUUUCUUUGUAUUUUCUUGUUAAAUAUAUUUAAAACAUCAAAUAUAUAUGGAUAUACCUUUAUUAAUAUCAAUAUAUUAUUAGAUAUUAUAUAUAUAAUAUUUUAAUUUUUAAAUAAUUUUUAUUUAUGACGUCAUCCGGUUCGACCCCUAUCGACCCCCGGUCGAACCCAUUGACCCCUGACCCCUGACCUCGGCCGAGUCGCUAUCCGGUCCGGUUCUGAAAACAUAGCCAGAAAUAUGGAGAAAUCAUGCAACUAAAACUUGGUUCCAGCCCUGUUGUAGUAGCUUCAUCCCCUGAAAUGGCAAAAGAAUUCUUGCAAACGCAUGACAACAUUUUCGCCUCUCGGCCUACAACUGCUGCUGCCAAAUACACUAGCUACAACUGCUCCGGCAUGUUAUGGGCACCAUAUGGUCCACACUGGCGACAAGUUCGUAAAAUUGGUCUAACCCAAAUAUUAAGUCCAAAACGACUUGACUCCUACGAGAGCAUACGCAUUAAGGAAAGGCAUGCUUUCAUGUCUCGUUUGUAUGCUCUCUCAGGAAAGCCAGUAGUUUUGAGAGAUCAUCUAAUCCGUUUUACACUCUCCGCUGCAAGCCAAAUGGUUUUGAGUAACAAGUACUUUGCCCAAUCUGAAGGGGAUGGAUCUGUAGUUACCUUUGAAGAACUCCAAGAGAUGAUAGAUACCUGGUUUUUGCUGGGUGGUGUGUUCAAUAUUGGGGAUUGGAUUCCGUGGCUCGACAGAUUUGACCUCCAAGGUUACGUAAAGCAAAUGAAAGAACUUUACAAGAAAUUGAUAGAUUCCAUAACCAUGUGCUUGAUGAUCAUCGGGCCAGGAGGAAAACGGAGAAAGAUUUUAUCCCUAAGGACAUGGUGGACAUUCUAUUGCAACAUACUGAAGAUCCUGAUCUCCAGGUUAAACUCACCGGAGAUCAGAUGAAAGGGCUAAUUCUGGUGCUAUUUCUUCUCAUUGUUUAAUCAAAUUUCCAGAUCUCUUUACCUCUUUAACUUACUGAAUCUUAACGCUAGCACUUUAGCUUAGUACAAUGUGCCAUUAAACAUAACUGUCUUUUUUAUUCUGAUUAAGAGGUUUUUUGCCUUCAAUAUGUUGUCAAGCAUGAUACUUCAUCAGCAUUUGAUCAUGGCAGGACUAACUUUACCAAUAUUUGAUCAUGUCCAGGACUUGCUUGUUGGUGGUACCGAUACCUCGGCGUCCACAGUAGAAUGGGCAAUGAAUGAACUUCUCAAACAUCCACAUCUCAUUGAAAAGGCAACCGAAGAGCUUGAUAGUGUGAUAGGGAGAGAUAAGUGGGUGGAAGAGGCUGAUUUCUCAAAGCUACCUUUUCUAGGGGCGAUCAUAAAGGAAACUUUUAGGUUACAUCCACUGGCAACGCUGCUUGCACCCCAUUAUGCCCUUGAGGAUUGCACUGUAGCCGGUUAUCACAUUGCUAAAGGAACAACGGUGUUUAUAAACACAUGGAGUAUGGGGAGGAACUCAAAGUAUUGGGAUUCUCCUGACGAAUUCAUUCCAGAGAGGUUUUUGGGGAAGGAUAUUGACGUCAAGGGACAUAACUUUGAGCUGUUGCCCUUUAGCUCAGGUCGGAGGAUGUGCCCAGGCUAUGUCCUUGCACUCAAACUUGUUGGAACAAUGUUGGCCAACUUGCUGCAUGGAUUCAACUGGAAAUUGCCUCAUGGCAUGAAACCAGAAGAAAUUUGCACGGAAGAACUCUAUGGUAUCUCAACUCAUCCAAGGAUUUCACUUGCUAUGAUCCCAGAACCACGUUUGCCGGUCAAUCUCUAUUAGCGUGUACGAUUCUAGGGAAAAUUGAAAUAUGUUCCUACUCUGUAUAUGUAAACUGUUAAACUCAUUCUCCGCUCUCCUAUUAUAUCAUUUAGCUCAUUUUAGGUGAGAGCUUAGGAGUCGAGACAGUAUAAUUGGCCUAAAUAAAUAAACUUUAACGGGACAAUAUGUUCCUUUUGGUAAUUUCCAUUGUGAAAUAAAAUAAAAGUCACACUCAAGUUUUUUCUUUCUUUCUUUCUUUAAAUUGCUUUUGGUGAAUUCUGUUGUGAAAUAAAACAAAAUGUCACAAUCAAGUUUAUUUUUUAUUUUUUUGCUAGAAAACAAACAGGCAAAAUAUCGCAAUAAUGACAUAUGGAAAAAUUGACAUGGAAAUAAUGAAGAUUGCACAGAGUAGAAACUGACUCUCCCUUGUUAGCAAAGAAAAUAGGUAUGCAACGGAAAUAGGUAUCUCAAAAAUUUGAGAAACAAACAAGGCACUCAACCAGGGCCUCAAAUCUGUUUAAAUUCUGGAUAACAAAAGUAACAUUUACGAAAGCAGAGUUGACAGGCAAAUUUAUGAUUGGUUUGUACACCCUAAUCAUACAAGACCUAUAAAUAAGACAAAACAAGUCUGAGUCACGAGUCAGAAUGAAUACCCUCAAGCUAGGAAGAUAUUCGGCCUAGAUGGAAAUGAAGAUCCUAAUUAUUCUUUUUCUGGGCAUAUCAGUUUUGCCCUCUCACCCACGUAUAUUCAUUCUUGGGCUUUAAACCGGAUCAUAGAGCCCGAAAUUUCGGUCAACUUACACGCGAAGAAACUUGGAGAACUCGUCUCCAAUGCCAUCAUCCCCCAUAAUCCUUAUUCCAAGGCUCUUUGAUAAUAUAUUUUAUCUUUAGAAAAAAUAUUUAUAUUUCUUUCGUUGAGGGUAAAUCUUUAUAUCUAAUUCAUCAAAUUUCAUAACUUUGAUAUGUUGAAAGGCAUCAUAUCUAUUUAAAUUUUCAAAGUCUGGUCCAGUCGAAAUAAUCUUGAGCAUCAAAAUAUGUUUGAGACCAUAUGUAGGAUUAUUUUGAUAAAUAUACUUUUACUCCUUUUUGAAUCUACCGAGGGAGUCUGGAAAGUUCAGAAAAAGUAGGAAUAGUUAUAUAGGUAAUAUUGAUUACUCUAAAAUUGUACCAUUUUUUAAUUUCUUUGAAGCGUCUAAAGGAGAAAGGAUGCAUUGGUAUUGGGUUUGUUCGGGUACAAAUUUUUUUCUCAAACAAUAUUUUGUUUAUGAUAUAAAUAUAUCUUUUAACCAUCUUUUUUAUGUUUUUAACUACCUUUUUAUUACAUAUGCAUUACACCACAAAAAAUGUUAUAAUAUUUUUUCAAAUAAUCUUUUAUCCAAAGAUGAUCAACGUGAUCUGUAAAAUCUAUUGGAGAUGGUUUCUUUGAUGUAUCCCUUUGACAAUCUUGCUAAUCUAUUGGACAAAACCUACGGCACUUUUGUUUCAUAGUAAACUUAAAAAUUAAAUUUUAAACUUAAAAAUUCUCAACAAGAAUACUCCAUGGGCACUCCAUUCCAGCGCCUCGCGCAGGGAUCUGGUCAAGUAGUACUAAUAAAGUCUUUAGUAAUCAACUCAAGCUACUUAGGUUGAUAGUAAUUUCUCCCUAAAUUGUUUUUAUUGUCGAAAUUAUUUCCUUGUUAUCUUUACACAAUUCUUUGAGCUUUUUUAAGUGCUCUAACUUCCAUAUUGGUUAGUUAAUAAUUUUUUUUCGGGCAAAAGGGAAAUUUUCUUUUAUUGAUCUGUGAAUUGUAACUUUACAAAGGAAACAAAAUCCUACUACAUCACAAUAUCUAUUGUAAUAUCUACACUAUACAAAAACAGACAGAACAAACAACCAAAUUCCAGUAGCUUAAUCCACCAAACAGUCUUGAUCCAAGCACCACUCAAGCAUCAGUUGCCAAUUUGUCUUGGUCCUUGGAGAAAUCACUUUGAUCACAUUUUCCACAAAUUUGACAAUUCCUGCCGACGAAUCCCGAAAUAUCCUGCUCUUCCUUUCUUGCCAAAUAUGCCAGACAGUGAUUGCUAAAACAAGUCGCCUUAGUGUUGACACAAAAGAACUAGAAAUUGUUAGGAUACUUUCAUUGUUAUUUUUCUAAAAGAUCCAUGUUUAAUUCUUUACUCGCAAUUGAGCCCUUUCUAUCAUAAUGAGUACCAAUGCAAUUAAUAUUACGAAAAUGUUCGCUAUACUUCACUAUAUUUAUUUAUUUUUUUUUUACUAACCCCAAAAAUGAAACUUCGUCUGUAAAAAACUUGGAGACUUGUGUUUGCUAGCGUAGUGUAGCAAUUGUGGAGAGCAAGAAACCAGGUUAUUUUUCAGCAAGCAUCGGUAUCUGCUCUUAGCAUAAUUUCUGCUGUCCAAAUCUUACUUUUCAACGAAGACAUACCAAAUCUAUGAAAUUUUUUAUAACUAGAACCCCACUAAAUGAACAAAUAUCUCCACGUAUCAUCUUAUUCGCCAAUCAACAAAUUUCUUUCUGUGAUUUUUGUGUUACCAUUGCUGCUCGACAAAUUUUUUCUGGCUUGUACGCCCAGCAUUGGCCGCCACCAGGUGAUGCACCAUGUUUGGCCAUAAGUUAUGGAUAAAUCUUAGAUACACUGACAGUGUAUACGCUAUCAUCGUUCGAUACAUGACAUGUGUACAAAAGUUGAAUUUCAAAUUCAAAAUUUGCAUCGUUGUUAUUAUUCAAUGCUGAUAAUGUAUAUACUGUCAGUGUAAGAAAGAUUAAUCUAUAAGGAAUGGUAGUCGAAUUUUGUAAGAAGGAGACUAAACAAGAAAUAAGUUGAGAAAGGUAAGGAGACGGAGGGGAGGGAAGGGAUGGAUGGGAAGGGGUGACAACUACAAGGGGUUUAAAAAGAGUGGAGUGAUAAUAAUGUUUUUUAUAACCAUUUCACUUUUUAAUUUUUCAUAGUAAUAUGUUUAAAAUGGGUGGGUAAUCAAAAUUAUACCCAAUUUGAUUAAAAAAAAUUAUACCCAAUUUAGUGAUAUAUAUAUAUAUAUAUAACCGCUAAAUUUAGGGAACGAGUAUUUAUACUCAUUAACUCAUUCGUAGAGGCUUUAAAAAUCAAUAUGUAGAGUUAUAAUUGAACUUAAAAGUCACCUGCCAAACACUUCCUUAUUUCUAAGAGUUGCACAUUAGCUUUCAUCAUAGGAGAAUAAAGAUUCCACAUUUAACGAAAAUUUUUUUAAAAAAAAUCCAUGUGAAAUAUGAGAAUAUCUUCUAAAGUGUAGAAAUCCAUUAAAUAAGGAAAAAAUCGUUCAAAACAUCAUUUACAUUUUUGUUAAAUGAAUUUUUCGACUUUCAUUUUUAUAAUAAUAACUUUACAUCCCUUACAGAAUCAAGUGAGUAAAAUUUGGUCCCAACUUAGGUUUUCAUUUACUUUUUAUCUUAUAUCCAUCACGUGAUUCGCAUAUGAUUAUUUUUUUUUGGGCAAAAAGAUUCUAUUUGUAGUUAAAUAAAUGAUUUGAUUCAUAUUUAUUUUUAUCCCUAAAAAAGUAGAAUCUAACCUGAACCAUAUUCUUUUUUUUUUUUACCAAAAAGUGGAACCCGGUCUUUUUAUAUAUAAAAAAUGACUACAUAUAGGUUACGUGGUGAUUUCAUGCUAAAAAGUAAUCGCAAACUUAGUUUGGAAUCAAGUUUUAUCGACUUUUUUUUGGUCAAAUGUUCCACUUUUUUAUUAACUAAAUAAAAUAAAGAUACCAAGAUUUUGAGGAGGGGCCAAACCUGACCUCAAGAGCUCUUGAAAUUAUCGACUAAACUUUAUAAGGGAUGUAAAAUUAAUAUUUUAGAAAUGAAGAAUAAAAAAUUAUUUAACAAAAUGUGAGGUAUGUUUUAAACGAUUUUCCCAUCAAAUAACUAUAAGUACGUACUAUACUUUUCCAACUUGUAAUAGAAAUUUUGUUACACAUGAAGAUUGACUCUUCUUCAAAGAAAAGUGAAGUGACACCGGGAUACAUUUUUUACUUUGUAGACAUGUCCAAUGAAUGUCUCGGUUCCUUCUAAGACGAAAACCGAAGAUAUUUUACUCAAGUGCAAUGUCUUGUAAAUAUCAUUGUCAGGAAGAAGACAUUUACUGAAGUUCUGAUGUUGAAUGCUGAAAUGUGUAAGAAGCAAACUUUUUUUUUUUUUUUUGCACAACCAAGAUAAGAUGCAAGUAAAAGUGUCCGAGAAAAUGAUUUUGAUAGUCCCUGAUAGGGUAAAAGACAAUUUCCUAAUUAAUUCACUCGAUUGUGUAUCAAGUGUAUGUAAAAGUCGCUCACCGUCCUUACAUAGUAGUCCCUUGAUCACCUUCAUUGAUUGGGAAAAACUGGAAUUUUGUAAUCCACUCACGAUAACUUCCAAAGCUUGAGUCCCUAUGAGUCACAAAAGAGGGUUUUAGCUCCCUGCAAAUUCUUAUUGUUUUCUUUCGACUGCUUAUAAGUUUCAGGAAUUAAUUCAAGCUAAUUAGUUUGAGUUAUUUCUUCCUAACCUGUUUUAUUGUCUACAUUAAUUUCCUUAUCAUCACUUAAUUCCUUGUCCUUUUUUAAUGCUUUAGCUUGCAUAAUGAUCAGUUAAUCAAUUAUUAAAUUACUUUUGUUAUCAGUUUUCAAUAAAAUGAUUGUGUGCCGAGAAGGCCUCGAUUUAGUAGUUAAGGUUGAGACUUCAGAGUUUAGAGGUUCAGGAAUCUAAUCCCCCUAUCCAGUCUCUACUUCUUAAAUCUCACUCUAAGAUGAUUAUGUAGUUGUUUAUACUUGCUAAAAUGUGCAUCUAAGAGGAAUUAACGCAAGGCGUUCUCAUUCUUGUUUUUUCUCCCCCAUCUGAAACUUGGCCUAAAGCUUACCAAAUUUAAAACUUAUGAACUUAAUAUAUUGAAGCUGAAAAUAUGGGAUGUCACACUUGAUAAAUGUCUUUCAAAUGUCAAACAAGAACAUAAAAAUUCACCAAUCUAGGAACCCUAGGCUCCCUUUGCUUGAGCCUCCUUCUUUGUGGUAGAAACUACUCAUGGAUUGGAGGACUCUACUUCAAAAGAAAAAAAAGGGUAAAAUGUCACUCGAGCACAUUUUGUAGAAAUGUUUAAUAAACGUCUUAUUUCUUUCAAAGAAAAGUCCAAUGCCUUCUAAGAAGAAAAAACUGAUGAUAUUUUCCUCAAAUCCAAUGUCUCUUGAGUAUUAUUUUGUUGUUUGGAUGAGUUUUUAUUUACAAAUUUUUUUAUUACAUCAAAAACAACUUUUUAAUCACAUUUUUAUCUUAUAUAUUAUAUUUAUAUUUCACAUAUAUCACAUUAUCAAAAGUACGACAUUGUCAUUCUAAGAUUUUCUAUUCAAAUAAUCUCCUAUCCUAACAGACUAGAUAUUUUAGUAAAAUUCCAAUGCCAAAUGUUGACAUGUGUCCAUGGACAAAACUUUUGUUAUUUUAAACGAACCAAUAAUGAAAUGUUGGAAAAAGUAUGCCAGGUAGUAUGGUUGUUUCAAUUAUGCUAGGUGGUGUAGUAGAACAAUUUAAUGUAGACAUACCUCAUUUGCUUUUGUGUUAGUUUCACUCAUGCUUCUAUUCUAUAUCUUUAAUGAAAUAAAUGGGAAACAAACAACUUCCUGAUUAUUUACCCUAAUCUUGUAACAGAGACUCUGUUACUACUUAUUAGGGAGCAAAAACUCGAAAGAGCCUACCAAUUAGAGAACCCAAUAUGUAAGUCGAGAAUCAAAUGUUGAUCCAAAAGUUUAAGUUGUUAAGUCUCGGGUCAUUAUUUACAUAUUAAAUACUCUUUCUCCAUCUCUCAAACCAAGGUGGGAUAUAAUUCCCUACUCAUGAAUCUAAUGUCACUUACUAAUGAGACAAACUUGCUAAUCAAAUGGCUGGGGUUUGGACAAAACCAACAGCAAUCUUACCCCUACAAGUUAUAAACUAAAAAAAAAAAUUGUAAAAUUUCAAAAUUCUCAAAAAGAAAACCCCAUGUGGCAUGGGGGUGAGUCCUAAUAGUACUAAUGAAGUCUUAAUAAUAAACUCAAGCUACUUAGGUCGGUAGUAACUUCUCCCUAAAUUUUUUUUAUUAUCAAAAUUAUUUCCAUGUUUAAUUCUUUACUUGCAAUAUAUUAAGCCCUUUCUAUCAUAAUGAAUACCAACGCAAUGACACUUACUCAAAUGCGCAUUAUACUUCACUAUAUAUAUAUAUUCAAAAAUGAAACUUCAUCUGUAAACAUGAUGAAUAUAAAAUUAUAUACUUAAAAGUGGAAGCCAUGUCACACUUUUUUGUUUUUUUUGGCAAACCCUAUGUUCUUAGAGGGGAUGCAGUGUCACACUUGAUGCAUUAAACAUUUUUCAAACAUUGAAAUUGGUGAAGAGCAUAAAAGAUUCAUGAAUGUAUCCUUGUUUGGAAAGCCAGUUUUCAAUAAAAAAAAAUUCUACAUUUUUCAUGAACAUAUUUUCCAUCACCUUUUUACAUCACAUACAUCACCUUUUCAUCACCUUUUUAUAAUUCUUAUGAAUUUCAUCUAGAUUACAAGACUUGUCCCAAAAAACAACAAAAAAAUAAUGGCAGCAGGAAAUACUGAACUGCAGAAUUAAUUGAGAAGUCGAAAAGACUAACUUUGAGUUGUACUCGACAGGCUAAAAGAAAAAAAAUUAUUUGCAACAAAGAACUACAGUACAAUAGCUCUUUACCUUCUAAUGAUCAUUUUGAACUAGCAAAAGCAGCUUUCUUUCCUUCAUAGCAACACCGCGAGUCACUGGAAAUCCGGCUUUACAGCUCCUCUCGAAAACUCAAGCUCAUUCUGGUCAAGACCUACUAUUCAUUGUCAAGUUAAUGAUAGGGUAUAAUUUUAUAUGAAUAAUCACGUGCAUGUUAAGCCCUUAAUAUGAAAGGGAAUUACCUAACUUGAUUGUGUUUUUGGUUUUAGGAGGAUUUGAUGCAAAUGGGCUUGGAAUUGCACGUGAAACUUGAACAUGAUGAUGAAAGCCACCUAACUUGCCUAAACAUGUGGAAGAUUGAACUUGAAGAAGAAUGAACGCAAGUCGUGCGUGACAUGCAAGCUCAGAGUGGGAAAACGAAUUGUGAAGAAAUGUUGCUCAACUUGUCACCGGACAUCCUCUGAAAAUUGAAGAUUUGGAAUUCAUGGAAUGUUCGGUGCCGGACUUGGUCGAAAAUCGCGCAAACUCGCUUUUCUUCAGUUUUAACAAACCUAUUCCUUCUAGGAUUCAACAGGAAUUUUAGGAAACUAUACAUAGGAGUACUUGGGGCAUUUUCUGGGGAGGAAGCACUUAGCUAAACAUUAGUUCUAAGAUUUUUCUUUAAGAUUCAAGAAUCAAACUAGGAAAUUAAGGCGCGGGAUUUAGAGUAUCAUUAAUUAGGAAGUUCUACAUGCUCUUUAUUCUAAGUCUUGUAUUUUUCAACAUUGAAUUAAUAUUUACUCAAUGAUAAACUAAUUUAUAUCUACGGUUAGGGUUUUGUGAAAGAGUAUUGAUUAUUUAUCUUGGUUAAAUUCUUAACUUUUGCCUUGAUUUAUGUGUUUGGAUUUAAUUACAUAUUUAUAUUUGACAUAGACAUACUCUCAGGGAUCAUAGACAUGCUUUUAGGGUUUACAGUGAACUGGAGAAGGGAUAUGUAACUGUAUACUCAUUACAACAAAAAUGAUCUUUCCUGACAUGCUUAUAAGGACACUUGCUGGUUUGUGCCAUUAUAGUAAACAUAUCAUGACACUUAUUAAUAAAUUCAAUAAUAUGUACUAUAAUUUUUUUAUUUUAUCAUGAUAUACAAAUAAUAAUGUGCCUUUAGGCUACCUAUGAUGACACUCUGGAAACUGUGAGAUGAACCAAAAAAAAAAUCGAAAAAACACAGAAAACGACAUCGUUUUAUUUUGGCUCCAAAACACUUGCUGAAGUACUGUGAAGUUUCAUUUUGCCGGCAAAAGGACUUGGUGAAAAUUUUCUUCUUCUCAUCUCUCUCACCUCUCAGCAUACAAGCUAUCUCGGCCAGUCCAGAAUGUUGGUAGCAAUCGAAGCUAUCUCCGCAAACAACCAUCUUCAUCUUUUCUAACCUCAACUUUAAAUCCCUCGGCUAAGACAUCUGGAAGGGCAGGCAGGAAGUAAAAGCUGAAGAACGGAGCUCUACAUUGGGAAAGCGGGAAGAUACUUCAGGUGCGCAUAUCUUGUUCCAAAAUUGAAGUGGUAAACACAAUGAAGCUGUUGCCCAUAACCUGUUCGAUAAAAUGUCAAUUCCCCCCUGUUUUUCAUUUUUUUCUGUGAAUCUCUUUUAAUGUUAAUAUAUGAAACUUAGUUGUAAUUGAAGCUCUGUUUAGGCUAUGAAUAGAAAUCGACUUGGAAGCUCUUUGAUGAAGAUCAAAAUAGCAAUGGGGUGACUGGAAUGACCUUUUUGCAAGACAAGUGCAAAAGUUUAAGAAAUAGGUUGAUGAAAAUUAAUAUUUAAGGACUUAAUUAAUGGACUUCUUGUUGAACUGCACAUUGGUCAUAGAUGACAUAGCACCCUUACUAAUUUGGCCAAAAUGUGGUAUACCCAGCUAGCAAAACUAAAGUUUGAAAGAUGGAUUGAAGGAAAUACUCGAAAGAUUGAAUCAAGAAGAAACUUUUGGAGAAGAAUGAAACUUUGGAUGCUUUGGAAAGGUAGGGAAAGAGAGGGAUUUACAGGGGAAAAGGAGGUGAAGGAGUGCAACUACCCCAACGAACUUUUAAUUGUGAUGGCGCGUAGGCAUUGAAUUUGCCAGACAAGAAAAUAGCAGGAUUUCGUGUAAAACUGUAUUGUAUUUUUUAGUCUUUUUUCUUUUUUUUCUUCCCCUAUCCAUUUUCUUGUCGAACUUCCACCCCUCCCAGUUCAGGUUGACAUAGCACCCUUACGGGUUCUGUUUUUUUUCUCAAUUUAGUCCUGUUUCUAGAUCAAUUAGCUGAACAGUCAUAGCAACUUAAAAGAAUCCUGGGACCAAAAAAAGAUUAUGAGUAUAAAAUAAAAAGCUAGAUAGAUUCUCUUCUUUCUUUCACAUUUCACUGUCUCUCUGUGGUGAAUGCUUUUUCUUCAUAAAUAUCUGCUGGUCUAACCGUGUCAUAAACCUGUGCUUUUUCUAUCAAUCAUUUUUUCCAAUUACCUAUGCCGUAAGUUGCAUGCCUUUCUAAAGAGAGGACUUAUAAAAUUAAUCACUACACGCCAGAGAUGUAUCUAUACUUUGAUGAAAAUUUAGUAAGAUUCUUGAAUUUCACCUUUAGUCUUCAUGCUCAUGUGUUUGUUUAACCUUUGACAUUUCAGAUUGAAGUUAGGAAUUUUGCGAAGACGCGAGUGCAGGAGUUGGUACGAAGGGCUUUGUUCUGGUAUUAGAUAAAUAAAAUUUCUAUCCGCUUGCUUGCAAAUUCUGUUUUUACAGAUUAUUGAGAAAUUUUGCAUUUUGUUGAUUUCCUUUAUUUGCUGGGCUGCUUUAUUUAGUAGACUGUAAAUUCUUGAACUUGAAAUUAGGGACUUGUAAGCUAUGGCCUGAGUUUAAAAAAUCAGGGCGUUUCUUAUUCUCAAUGAUUUUAUGGGAUUUGUCUAGUUUUCUAAGUACUAAUGUGUAGUUGUUGUUUUCAUGCUCUUGGAAGCUUGUUGGAGGACAUUUAUUUAUAUUCAAAGUAUGGAUAAAAGAUGGAUGGAUUUUCCAAGAACAAGUGAAAAGUACGAGACAGGACUUCAAAUGUUUCUAAACUUUGCAUUUUCUAGAUCAAGUUGUGACGGAAAGAUUUUGUGUCCUUGCAAAGAUUGCGGCAUGGGUGUUUGUGUGACAAAAAUGGAAGCAUAUGAUCAUUUGAAAGUGGUAGGAUUUAUCAAGGGUUAUAAUAAUUGGAUAGCACAUGGAGAACUUUCAAACUACAAUGAAGCCACAUCUAAUUCUGAAAAUACAUCAACUGGGGUUUCAAAUGGGACUAAUGACAUGCAAGACUUGGUCCAUGAUGUAUUUGGGAUACCACAUGGAACAAAUGAAUUGAAUAGAGAAGGGGACAUUCCUGUUUCAGAGGCUGAAAAAUUUUACAAAUUGAUUGAUGAUUCUCAACAGGAUUUGUACAGUGGUUGCAAAAAUUUCUCGAAAUUGUCUUUCAUUAUUCGUUUGCUUCACCUAAAAUGCCUGGGUAAGAUGAGUAACAAGAUUUUUAAUAUGCUUGUUGAGCUGUUGAGAGAAGCAUUUCCGGAGGCCAUGACUAAUUUGUCGUCUUCUUACUAUGAGGCUGAGAAAUUGAUGAAUACAUUGGGGCUGGGUUAUGAAAAGAUCGAUGCAUGUCCUAAUGAUUGUUCUCUUUAUUGGGGUAGUGCUGAAAAAAGAACUUCAUGUGAAACAUGUAACGAGCUUAGGUGGGUUGUUUCAGAAAAUGAUCCAACUGGGGAAAAAAGGAAAAUUCCUCAAAAAGUGUUGUGGCAUUUUCCCUUAAAACCUAGAUUACAAAGACUAUUUAUGUCUUCUAAAAUUGCAUCUCAAAUGAGAUGGCAUGAGGAAAAACGUACAAAAGAUGGUUGUAUGAGACAUCCAGCUGAUUCUCCAGCUUGGCAAACUUUUGACCAUCUACAUCCAGAAUUUGCUAAGGAUUGUCGAAAUGUUAGAUUGGGGUUGGCAUCUGACGGGUUUAAUCCAUUCAACAACAUGAGUUCUACACACAGUACUUGGCAUGUAGUUUUAAUACCAUAUAACUUACCUCCGUGGAUGUGUAUGAAGCAACCGUACUUCAUGUUGUCUUUGUUAAUACCCGGACCAUCCUCUCCUGGGAAUAAUAUUGAUGUUUAUUUACAGUCUCUAGUUAAAGAACUGACCGAAUUGUGGGAUUUUGGCAUUCAAACUUAUGAUGCAUCCCAAAAAGAAAAUUUUCAACUGCAUGUGGCUCUGUUGUGGACCAUUAGUGAUUUCCCUGGAUAUGCAAUGUUAUCUGGUUGGAGUACUAAAGGUGAAUAUGCUUGUCCUGUUUGUCACAAGUUCACUCAUGCACGACGGUUGACUCAUAGUUUCAAAUAUUGCUACAUGGGUCAUCGGAGAUUCUUAGAUAGUAAGCAUAAAUUUAGAAAGCAAGCCCAAUUCUUUGAUGGCACCGAAGAACAUGGAAAGCGACCACCUUUGCAAACGGGGAAUAUGAUUGUGAGUGAAUUGAGAGACUUGCAAAUUAAAUUUGGAAAACUUGUGAAAGGUAAUCCGAAGCUGCCUUUCAAUUGGAAAAAGAGGAGUAUUUUCUUUGACUUGCCAUAUUGGAAAGAUAAUGUCUUAAGACACAAUCUUGACUUCAUGCACAUUGAGAAGAAUGUUUGUGAAAACAUUUGGGGGACAUUGCUGGAUGAUAAGUGAAUAUUUAACGUACAUUUUGUACAAAUUUGGCAUGAAUUUUUGGUAUGUUUUGAGAAAAUUAAAGCCAUAUUUGGACUCUUUUGGUGAUAAUUGCUUAAAUAUUGUUUAAAGGUUCAAAACUUGAUAAAUGAGUGGAUUAAUGCGUUAAUUUGGUGAAAUUGUGAAGGUUAUUGAUGUAUGAAAUUCAUGCACAAGCUGAAAGAAAUGUAAGGGUUAUCCAGAGGACAAAGUACACAAGAAAUUGGGAGCAGAAAUGUAAAAAAUGGGAAGAAGUGAAAAACUGAAAAAUUGCACAAGCUCGGAUCCGUGUGUACAAGAGGGAUCCGAGCCCUUUUCUGUACUUCUGACGGAGUGUAUCCGAGGUCAGAACGAUCCGACCUCGGAUACAUCAUGGGAAGUCCUCGGAUCCACUGAUCCGAGCUCGGAUCAAUUUUCAGCCCUCGGAUCAGAGGCUCGGAUCUGUCUCUUUCCUCAGCAAGUGGCACAGCCAUUUUUCUUUACCUUUCUCACAACUUUUCCAGCUAUUUUGAGGGCCAGAAAUCGGUGGCACAUGCUUCUGCAAUAAAAGAGAAGACCAAAUGAGUGCAGAAAAGAAAGAAACAUCAUAUCUUUGACUUCUUUUUACAAAAUCUGAGUGGAAGAAAUUAUGAAGGAAAAAGGAAUAGACUUUCUACCACCUUUUAUGCAGAAACACAGAGGAGAAGUAAAAAAAAAAGACGUAGCUAGUUUUCCUUCUUGUAACAAGUUUUCUCUCUAGCUAAGAGUUCUUAGAGAAGCAUUUGGAGUUUCACUUGUAACCAUCUUGUACAAGAACAUAGCAGGAAUUGGAGAGCUUUACCUUCAAUUGGCUAAGCUUUCUUUUACCUUUCUUAUACUUGUACUUCAUGAUAUUUUGCAUUAAUAAACUUGUGAGUUUGAUUGUUAAUUCAUUCAUGAGUAGCUAAUUUUCUUUUUCUAGGGAGUAGAUGAAACUUAUGGCUAAAUAAUAUGAAUUGAAGGUGAUGUACACUUGUUAGAUCUUUUAUUAACUUGUCUACUUGUGUAGUUGUGAUUACUUGUUGUUGAUUGAUCACCAAUAGCUUGUUAUUAGUUGUUAUUGUUCAAUGAGGAUUGGUAAUAACAAUGGAAACACAUGAGUAGAGCUUGAGUUGUAUGUUCAUGAAAAUAGAAAUACACUUAGGUGGAUUAUUUAGCAUUUCAUGAAAUAAAACAGAGUAGUAGUAGUAUUUCACCAUGAAAAUAGGGAAAUCUAUAUUGCUCUAGGCCAUUUCAUCAUGAAAAUGAGACUUGGUAAUUUUGAAAAUGAAUCUCUGGUUAAACAAGAAUAAUAGCAAGAAGUAAAUCCAUUAAUUUGUGUUGUUUAUUGCCAUAAGUGGAAUCUACAUCCCUAGAAUCUUUCUUAAGUGAAAUUUCGCUAUUUGCAUUCAGCAUUUGUUAAACUAGAUUUGUAGAUCAGGUUUGUAGAUUACAGCAUUAUAUUUUCUCUGCUCAAAUUAAUUGUAAGUCUAAAUAAUAGAGAAAACAAGGGCUUAGUAAUUGUUUAAAUUGCUCCUCGUGGGAUCGACCCGAUACACAUCUUGUACUACAAUUGCGACCUGUAUACUUGCAGUCCAACGGGUGUAAAUUCGGAAUUAAACUUGCAUUGAAAUUAAAAAUCCCGUCAAGUUUUUGGCGCCGUUGCCGGGGAGCGGCAAUAUUAGGGCUUAAUCAUCUCUAUUAAUUUAGAUAUUUUCAUUAUUUUUAUUCAAGUUGUUGAAUUAAAACUGUAAAAUUUCUCUUGUUUUUAUUUGUAGUGUAUGCACCGGGCGUCUCGAGAAGUUGUACUUUUCGAUCCAGAAAUUGAGAGGACACUACAUAGACAAAGGAGGAACACAUUACAGCAAGAGGAACAGGGGAUUUGGCAACCAAUAAAGGAAAUCUUAAUAGAGCUUCCAUUUGAAGAAGAAAUGGUAGAAAACGAAGCAAACAGGCGAGUUCUACGAGAUUUUGCUGUACCGGGAAUACAAGGAUCUCAAACGAGUAUAGCAAGGCUUUCGGUAAAUGCUAAUAAUUUUGAGAUUAAACCAUCACUUAUCCAAAUGGUUCAACAGUCUCAAUUUGGAGGUAAUGCAGUAGAAGAUCCUAAUACACACUUAGCUACAUUCUUGGAAAUUUGUAAUACAAUUAAAAUGAAUGGAGUUAGUGAUGAUGUUAUAAGGCUAAGAUUGUUCCCAUUUUCAUUGAGAGAUAAGGCCAAACUUUGGCUACAUUCUCAUGCUCCUAAUACUUUCACCGGAUGGGAUGAUUUAUCAAGAGCAUUCUUGAAUAAGUAUUUUCCACCAGGUAAGACUGCUAAACUCAGAAUGGAUAUCACUAGUUUUAGCCAAUUGGAAGGUGAAUCAUUAUAUGAGGCAUGGGAAAGGUUUAGAGAUUUGCUUCGGAAAUGUCCACAUCAUGGACUGCCGGAGUGGUUAAUCAUACAAACCUUCUAUAAUGGUUUAGUUUUUUCUACUAAAACUAUGAUCGAUGCAGCUGCAAGUGGAGCUUUAAUGGGUAAAUCACCCCAAGAAACUCAUAAUUUGAUAGAAGAAAUGGCAGCAAAUAACUAUCAAUAGGCCAAUGAGAGAGGUAAUACAAGACGUCACGCAGGUAUGAUAGAAAUGGACACUCUCAAUAUGCUGAGUGCUCAAAUGAAUAAUGUGAUGAAGUUGCUAAGUAGACAAGGUGGAGUUGGUCCAAGUUCAUCUAAUGCACAUGUAGCGUGUUGUUCUAUAUGUGGAGGUGAACAUGAUACUAAUGAGUGUGUUGAUUCUGAGCAGGUACAAUUCGUUAAUAAUUACAAUCGUAAUGCUCAAAAUAACCCCUACUCGAAUACUUACAAUCCAGGGUGGAGAAAUCAUCCAAACUUUGGAUGGAAGGACCAAGGAAAUCAACCAAGGCCAACCAAUCCACCGGGGUUCCAAUCAAGGCAACCACAAGCUGAAACUAAACCGGGUUAGGAGAUUGCAGUAGAAAAACUUGCUAAAGUUAUCUCGGACAGAUUUGAACGAGUAGAAGGGAGACUGGAUCAACUCACUACAAUGUACAGGAAUGUAGAGGUCCAAAUUGGUCAAAUUGCUAGUUCUUUGAAUAAUCGAAAUCAAGGAGAAUUACCUAGCAAAACAGAGGUCAAUCCUAAGGAGCAUGUGAAAGCCAUUACUCUUCGUAGUGGUAGACAAUUAGAAGAUCCUCCAGUGGAGGAAGUUGAGAAUGAUGAGAAUGAAAAACAAGAAGAAAAGCAGAGGAACCAAGAGGCGAUUGUGGAGGAAAAUAGUUGGGAGAAUCCAAGAGAAAAGCAACCAUCAUCUUCCACUACCAUUCCAAUACCUCCUGCGAUUCCAUUUCCGCAAAGAUUAAAGAAAAAUAAGUUUGAUAAAGAGUUUGAAAAAUUUGUUAAACUGUUCAAACAAUUGCACAUUAACAUUCCUUUUGUCGAUGCUAUUUUACAGAUUCCGUCUUAUGCAAAAUUUCUCAAGGAAAUCAUGACUAGAAAAAGAAAGUUGGAAGACUGUGAAACAAUAGCAUUAACGGAGGAAUGUAGUGCAAUUAUUCAAAAUAAGCUACCACCGAAGUUGAAGGAUCCGGGGAGUUUUUCUAUACCUUGCACCAUAGGUAACAUUGAUUUUUCUAAGGCAUUGUGUGAUCUUGGUGCUAGUGUAUCAUUAAUACCUCUAACGGUGGCUAGACAAUUGGGUUUGAAGGAGCUUAAAAGCACUAAUAUUACUUUGCAACUAGCGGACAGAUCUAUCAGAUAUCCACUUGGAGUGUUGGAAAAUGUUUUGAUAAAAGUUCAGAAAUUUAUCAUUCCAGUGGAUUUUAUGGUAUUAGAUAUGGAAAAAGAUGUAUCUAUGCCAAUUAUUCUUGGUAGACCAUUUCUAGCUGCUGCAGGUACUAUUAUUGAUGUCAAAAAUGGCAAGCUGAAGUUUCAAGUAGGUGAAGAAGAGGUAGAGUUUAAUUUGCAUGAAAUAAAAAAAUACCCUUCUUUUACCGAUCAUGCUUAUUCUAUUGGCACAAUUGAUAAACUAACUCAAGAGAUGAGUCAAGUCAACUUUGACUUAGAUCCUCUUGAGUAUUGUUUAAUGAGUGUAGGUAAGCAAGAAUAUGUUUGUGAAGAAAUUGAAGAAUUGGCCAAGCAUUUGGAUUUUCAAGCACCUUAUAAAAGGGGUAAUUUGUAUGAAAGUCUUGACCAAGGAAAAGGGUUUUCACAACCUUCAGAAAUUGAACCUCCAAAAUUAGAGUUCAAGCCACUUCCAACUCAUCUAAAGUAUGAAUUUCUUAGAGAAAUAAGCACUUUACCUGUAAUUGUUAGUGCUGACCUUGAUGAUGAGCAGUGUGCAAAGUUGUUAAGAGUUCUAAGAAGGCGUAAGAAAGCAAUUGGAUGGACAAUUUCAGACAUUAAAGGUAUAAGUCCUUCUAUAUGUAUGCAUCGAAUUUUAUUGGAGAAAUGUUGCAAACCAGUGGUGGAAACACAAAGAAGACUGAAUCCAAACAUGAAAGAGGUGGUAAGAAAUGAAAUUCUUAAGUGGCUUGACGCAGGUAUAGUUUUUCCUAUCUCCGAUAGUGUUUGGAUUAGUCCAAUUCAUGUGGUACCAAAGAAAGGUGGAAUGACUACAAUCAUGGGUAAAAUUGAUGAAUUAAUUCCAUCUAGACUUGUGGUAGGAUGGAGAGUGUGUAUUGAUUAUCGUAAGUUAAAUACGGUAACAAGAAAAGAUCAUUUUCCAUUACCAUUUCUUGAUCAAUUAUUGGAGCGAAUAGCUGGAUAUGAAUUUUACUGUUUUCUUGAUGGUUUUUCAGGAUAUAAUCAAAUAGCUAUAGCUCCAGAGGAUCAAGAGAAGACCACAUUUACAUGUCCUUAUGGCACUUUUGCCUUUAGAAGAAUGCCAUUCGGUUUAUGCAAUGCUCCUGCAACUUUUCAACGAUGCAUGAUGGCUAUUUUUUCUGAUUAUAUUGAGAAAAUUAUGGAGAUAUUUAUGGAUGAUUUUUCUGUGUAUGGUUCAUCUUUUGAUCAUUGUCUUCAUAAUUUGGAAUUGAUUUUGCAGAGAUGCGAGGAAACAAAUCUUGUACUAAAUUGGAAAAAAUGCCAUUUUAUGGUAAAAGAAUGAAUUGUCUUAGGACACAAGAUUUCCUCCAUGGGAAUUGAGGUGGAUAAAGCCAAAAUAGAAGUUAUAGAAAAAUUGCCACCUCCAAGCAAUGUCAAGGGGAUAAGGAGUUUUUUAGGACAUGCUGGCUUUUAUAGACGUUUUAUUAAAGAUUUUUCUAAAAUAGUAAAGCCAUUAUGUGAUUUAUUAUGUAAAGAUACUCCUUUUCAAUUUGAUGACAAUUGUUUGGUUGCAUUUGAAAGGUUGAAGAAGGAAUUGAUUUCGGCCCCAAUUAUAACUUCACCCGAUUGGUCACUACCAUUUGAAUUGAUGUGUGAUGCAAGUGACUAUGCGGUUGGAGCAGUUUUGGGACAAAAGAAAGAAGGACGAUUGCACGUCAUUUACUAUGCUAGCAAGUUGCUAAAUGAGGCACAACUCAAUUAUGCAACGACAGAAAAAAAGCUAUUGACAGUGAUAUUUGCUUUAGAUAAAUUUAGAUCUUAUUUAGUAGGAUCUAAAGUUAUUAUAUAUACGGACCAUUCAGCUCUUAAAUAUUUGCUACAUAAGAAGGAUGCAAAACCUAGACUAAUUCGGUGGAUUCUUUUAUUGCAGGAAUUUGAUGUGGAGAUAAAAGACAAAAAUGGUUCGGAGAAUCUAGUUGCAGAUCAUUUAUCAUGUUUGGAAUAUAUUCCAAUCAAAGAUCAGGUUCCAAUUCAAGAGAAUUUUCCGGAUGGGUUUGUCCUAACACUUAGAAAUUCUCCAUGGUAUGCAGAUUUUGCUAACUACUUGGUCAGUGGAGAGAUUACAAAGGGGUUUAAUUAUUAUCAAAAGAAGAAAUUCUUACAUGAUGUCAAAAGUUACUUUUGGGAGGAACCAUUGCUGUAUAAACAUUGUGCCGAUGGUAUGAUACGUAGAUGUAUUCCCGAAGAUGAGGUACAUAAUGUUUUAUAUCAUUGUCAUAACCUUGAAACAGGUGGUCAUUUCAGUACUUCCAAGACUGUGGCAAAGGUAUGGCAAUCAGGGUUUUAUUGGCCAACUAUGUACCGAAAUGCUAGGAAAUAUGUUAAAAAUUGUGAUGCAUGCCAAAGAACUGGAAAUAUAUCUCGAAAAAAUGAAAUGCCCCUAACUACAUUUUUGGAAGUUGAGUUAUUUGAUGUAUGGGGUAUUGAUUUUAUGGGACCAUUUCCUAAUUCUUUUAAUAAUAAGUACAUCUUAGUAGCAGUGGAUUAUGUUUCUAAAUGGGUAGAAGCAAUCGCUUCACCUACUAAUGACUCUAAGAUUGUACUUAGAUUCCUUAAAAAGAAUAUUUUCAGUAGAUUUGGUAUACCCAAGGCCAUAGUAAAUGAUGAAGGGAAACAUUUUUCUAACAAACAAUUGGAUUCCUUAUUGUUUAAAUAUGGUUGUAGGCACAAGACAUCACUUCCAUAUCAUUCUCAAGCUAAUGGGCAAGCAGAGCUAGCUAAUAGAGAGAUAAAGCUCAUUUUGGAGAAAACUGUGAAUAAAUCACGCAAGGAUUGGGCUACAAAGUUAGAUGAUACACUAUGGGCUUACCGAACGGCAUUUAAGACACCCCUAGGGAUGUCGCCGUAUCGUUUAGUCUAUGGAAAAACUUGUCACUUACCUAUAGAGAUUGAGCACAAAGCUUAUUGGGCAAUUAAAUCUAUUAACAUGGAUUUUAAUCUUGCAGGUGAAAAGCGAUUACUUGAGCUAAAUGAAUUGGAGGAACACCGACUACAUGCAUAUGAAAAUGCCAAAAUUUAUAAAGAAAAGAUCAAAUAUUGACAUGACAAGCAUAUUAUUCCUAAACAAUUUCAGGUAGGACAAAAUGUACUUCUGUUCAACUCACGCUUGAGGUUAUUUCCAGGAAAAUUGAAGUCAAGGUGGUCGGGACCAUUUGAAGUUACUCAAGUAUUUCCUUAUGGAGCAGUGGAAAUAAAAGGAGAAAAUGGUGCUCCAUUCAAAGUAAAUGGCCAAAGAUUGAAGCUCUAUUUGGCCGGAGAAAAAGUUCCUAAAGGAGUAAUUUACUCCUUAGGAAAUGCAAUGGAGAGUUAAAGAAGUUAUAGGAGAGUCGAGCCAACGACUAUAAACAAAAGCGCUUGUUGGGAGGCAACCCAAUAAUAAUAGUGUAUUUGUGUGUUUCUUACAUUUUGGUGUAAUUUAAUUGACUAAUUAGAUGUAUUUCACUUGUUUGUAGGAGGUACGGGAGUUUUAUUAUCCAUCUUGGAGGUGCACUUGAAGAACAUGUGUGAAAAGGGAGUCUUUUUUACCAAAUUUUGUUUUAAGUGCUUAAAAUUCACAUGCAUAUACAUACAUUGUGCAUUUCAAGUAUAUUUAAGUGAGUUUUGGUGAUAUCAUGGUUAUAAAGGCUCAUCGACUCAUUUGAUUUAUAUUUAAUGUCCAAAAGUGCCAUUUUGAUGUAAAAAUGCAAAAAUGAUCAAAGAACCUCACACCUCGAUUUUCAAUGAAAAUGUGUUUGAUGUGUUUUGAGAGGUUGGAUAUUGUGUUUAUGGUAUAUUACAUGUGUGUGGGAGGUUAGAAUUGAUAAAAAGUUUGUCCAAUGUGUGAUUUGGAAUUGGUCGGAAAAGGGAGAAAAAGUUUGAAAAAUUACAGUUUCUGCAAUUAUUGCAGAGAAAUAAGGAUCCGAGCUCGGAUCCUAAAAAGCCCAGAAAGAUCCGACCGCGGAUCCAUUGAUCCUCGCUCGGAUCCAUUCUAACCCAGACAAAUCCGAGGGGUCGUCUGUGUUUCUGUUGGGACUAAUCCGAGCCCUGUCGGAUCCGAGGCCCUCUAGAAACGAUCCGACCUCGGAUCCGUUCGCGGAUAUAGCAGAAACAAGGCUUCGUUUCUGUACUUUUCAAAAUUCUUCUUCCCUCUUCUCACCGAAACCCUACCUCUUUCCUCCAAUUUUCCAUUUUAACCAUCAAAUCUCCAAUCUUUCAUCAUAAACACCUCCACAACCCUUGUAUGAUCAGAAACCCUAAACUAUUUCACCACGACACAUCAUCAAAAGUGGAUUUUGAUCUUCAAAAGGGGAUUUUGGGCCGCACGGAAAUUCUUUGAUUUCUGAGUGAAAUUGGACUUGUUUGUUCCUCAUUCUUCAUCAUUAUCAUCCUCUAUCAUCUUCCCCACACAUUUGAGGUAACAAUUUGCGAAUUUCUUUGACAUUUUAUAAUUUCUUAUUCUACAUAUUUCUAGUUUUUGGGAAUAUUAUGAUAAAUGCAUAUUUGUUGGAAUUUCUUGAUACAAUUGUGCUACAUUGUGCUUAAAUAGAUUGUUACAACUAUUUUCAUGCUUAUUUUUGAGAAAACUGUGGAUUUGGUGAUAUUUUUAAGAAUUUUUCUCAAUUUUUGGGCUUGAGCAUUUUAGUGAUUUAUACUCUUGAAUUUUGCUUUCAUUGAAUAUAUGAACUUGUUCCGAGGAGUAUACAUCACUGUUAUACCAAUUGAAAAUGAUAUGCUAUCAUUAGAGCAAUAGCCCAUGGGGUAAAAGAGUGUGUUCCCAAUUAAGUUAAGCACAUUGAACCACUUUUACUUGAGAUAAUUAGUAUUUGUUUGGAUGAAUUGGAACUCAUGUGUAUGUAAAUUGAGUGUUAUGAGUGUUAUGAAUUUGAUUGGAGAUAUUCUCAAGUGUUUGAGUGUUCAUUCUUGCAAAUGGAUAUAAUUUUCAAUUGUUUGCACUUAAUAUGCAUGAAAUGAUUUCCUUAUUGGUAAUAUCCUUUUUAAAUGUGGGAAUUGGAUUUGAGAAUUGUUAGGAAGUUAUUUGUUUAAAUUUGGGUAUAUUUUGGCAGGGAGUUUAACCCUUUUUCAAGGGAAAACUCUGCCGAAAUUUUCUUAAAUUCUCAUUUCACAUAUGUGAGCAAGUUUCUAUGAUUUCUAAUGAACGUUCAUCUUAUUUUUGUAUAGGAACUAUGACUCGCACAAGGAGGGCUCGCAUUCGUACUCCUACUCCUUCCUCAAGCGAGGAACACACACCCUCUUUGCAUGAGGAGUCACCUGAGGAAGAAUCUCCUUCGCCGGAGCCGCCACCUCGCUCUCGCCGAAAGACCGCGUCUACUAGCCGUGCCGAGCCACCUCCGGACUACGAUACCACACGAUUCACAUCGCUUGAAAACCAACAGUGGUAUGAAGCCGGACUGGACAAGGAGAUCAUAAUAGAAAAGCAUUUGGCACCGGAGGUGGACGCGUAUUAUCACAUUUCUACAGCAUUCAAGAGACUUGGAUGGGAGAACAUCCUUCAGUUGCCCAAACACUACUAUCCCAAUCUGGUCCGGGAGUUCUACGCUAAUGUAGAAAACAAACAGAGCCACAGUGGCAACCUCAUCGUCUCAUGGGUUCGAGGCAGGAGAGUGGCUUUCAAUCGAGAUACACUGAGACGCUUUGUCCAACUCAAAGAUGCAGGCAAAGAUGUCAAAUUGACCAAGGAGUUCACGGCUCGAGACCCUUGGCAGGUAGGAGAGGCGGUUGGACGCCUAAAGGGCCAGUAUCGAGAGAGAGGAACUGCGAAGAAGCUUACAGUUUACGCCGAUUCCUUCGAGCAUAGGUACCACUUAAUUUUCUACCUCUUUGCCUUCAAUGUGGUACCAAAAAGAAGUGGAAAACGGGAGCUCUGCAACAGUGAUCUCUACUUCUUGGACAAGAUGAUGCAUGGUGUGGGUGCGCAGUUGACCGGUAUUCCUCUACCCAGCAUUAUCAUCAGCUAUAUGCGGACCAUAGCUCGCAUGAAGGCCGGCGAGACUUGCUUCGGAUUCCCUCGACUGCUAUCCCUCGUUUUUGAGAAGCUCAAGGUUUCUCUUGGAACCGAGAGAGUGGUGGUAACUAAGUCUGCCGAGGAGGUAAAUGCUUCUAUACUCAAGGCUUUGGGUAUUUCUACGGAUUUUGGAGCUGCUUUGAUCCGGGACACAGGAGAAGCAUCGACUUCCACUCAACCUCCGCUUCACACUGAACCACAAGCAGAAACUCAAGAGACGGAGGCACAACAGACUCUUCCUCCUCCGGUUCCACGACCACCUCCUCAACCGCGCUCCAAGUGGCAAGAGCUCCUCAAUGCCAUGUGCUGUAUGGAGACGCGAGUCGUCGAGCGCAUUGACCAGACGGAGCGGAUGAUGACUGAGCGCCUCGACCGACAUGAUCGCCAUCUUCGUGCGAUCGAGGAUCAUUUCCAUAUCCGACGGUCCCCUACUCCGACACCUCAUCAGGAGGAGGGCCAUAUUGGUACCUCACAUGGUCCUCAUGGAGCCGAGGAGGCAGUAGACCCUCAUUCCGAGCAGCCAUGAUGCUCUUUAGCGGAUUAGAUCUUUUAUUUCUUUAUUUUUCUUUUCUUUUGUUAAAACAAACUUUGUGAUUUUAGUUUUCUUUUAUUUGAAUCAUCUUGUGCUACUUAUGGUGUUUGGUACCCUUAUUGUCUCAUUUUGGGCAGAAUUUGGAUGAUCGUGAUGAUUAAGGGUUUCAAAUUGCAUCACCACCUAUUUGAGGGAAGUUUCAGUUCUUUUACCUUCCUCUACAACGAGGACAUUGUAGAUUUUAAGUGUGGGGGAGGGAUUACUAUAUCUUAUGGGUGAUUGUGUCUUGAAAUGCAUGAUUUUAGUUGUUUAUAGUUUAAAAAUGUUGGAAUUAUAUUUGGAGAUAUUGUCAUGAGGAUAAUUUUUGUGAAAUUGAGGUUGUUGGCAGGGAAUUUCAUCCAUUUUUAUGGGGAAACUCUGUCAAAAUUUUUUCUAAAAUAUUUUCCAAUAUUUCAUUGCAAUUCUUCCAAUUAAAUGGCCAAAAUGUUAAAAUUUUAAGUAUCUAAUUCUUCCAUUGGAUAAAAUGAUAUGUGUAUUUUGGACAAGUUUAGUUCUUAUUUGACUUGGAAUGAAUUAUUAUGCAAUUAGGAUUUUUUACAUUUUAAAAAAGUAUAUUUUGGUUAAAUAAGAAAAAUUAUGCUUAGAAUUUUGCAAGAUUAAUGGUAUUUCUCAUUUUUACUUAAUUUUAUAAGUAAGUGAUUGAUAUAGUCAAAACAAGGCUAAAUUCUUCCUUUAAUUAUAUUUAGAGGGAAAAAGAAAUUGAUUGUUAAAAAAAAAUAAAAAUAAAAAUAAAAAUAAAAAUAAAAAUAAAAAUAAAAAUAAAAAUAUAUUAUUAUUAAUUUUCUACUCCAAUGAUUCACAUACUGAGUAACCGGGGGUUGGCAUUUACAAAUGUCGACAUUCGCGUAAAAAGGUAUUCGAAUUAAGAGUAUGCUUAGCAAUUUAAAUAAGUGAAAUAUUGAGUAAUCGGGAAUUUUCACCUAAAAGUGUUGAUUUUCGCGUAAAAAGAUGUUUUCACUAUUUAAAUAAGAUGAAAUGUGAAUAAAUCCCUCUAAAUUGUUAAGUUUUGGGAUGAGGAAGGCCAUAAAAUUAACUAUGUGAUUUACUUAUUUGUGGAAUUAGGAUAGAAUGAGAGAAUUGAUUUGAAUUUGUUGAAAUUAAGGCAUAAUUAUUUUUAUUUAAUUGAAUAUUAUGAGUAUUUAGUGUAAUCUGAGAAAUGGCAUAAUGAUUGGUUUCUAGGUUUUUGAGGAAUUAAAUUUGACAAAAAUACGUAUAUUGAUUUAUUUAUUAAAUCAUUGAAGUUUUGUGUAAAAUUGCUUGAGGACAAGCAAUGAUUCAAGUGUGGGGGAAUUUGAUAAGUGAAUAUUUAACGUACAUUUUGUACAAAUUUGGCAUGAAUUUUUGGUAUGUUUUGAGAAAAUUAAAGCCAUAUUUGGACUCUUUUGGUGAUAAUUGCUUAAAUAUUGUUUAAAGGUUCAAAACUUGAUAAAUGAGUGGAUUAAUGCGUUAAUUUGGUGAAAUUGUGAAGGUUAUUGAUGUAUGAAAUUCAUGCACAAGCUGAAAGAAAUGUAAGGGUUAUCCAGAGGACAAAGUACACAAGAAAUUGGGAGCAGAAAUGUAGAAAAUGGGAAGAAGUGAAAAACUGAAAAAUUGCACAAGCUCGGAUCCGUGUGUACAAGAGGGAUCCGAGCCCUUGUCUGUACUUCUGACGGAGUGUAUCCGAGGUCAGAACGAUCCGACCUCGGAUACAUCAUGGGAAGUCCUCGGAUCCACUGAUCCGAGCUCGGAUCAAUUUUCAGCCCUCGGAUCAGAGGCUCGGAUCUGUCUCUUUCCUCAGCAAGUGGCACAGCCAUUUUUCUUUACCUUUCUCACAACUUUUCCAGCUAUUUUGAGGGCCAGAAAUCGGUGGCACAUGCUUCUGCAAUAAAAGAGAAGACCAAAUGAGUGUAGAAAAGAAAGAAACAUCAUAUCUUUGACUUCUUUUUACAAAAUCUGAGUGGAAGAAAUUAUGAAGGAAAAAGGAAUAGACUUUCUACCACCUUUUAUGCAGAAACACAGAGGAGAAGUAAAAAAAAAAGACGUAGCUAGUUUUCCUUCUUGUAACAAGUUUUCUCUCUAGCUAAGAGUUCUUAGAGAAGCAUUUGGAGUUUCACUUGUAACCAUCUUGUACAAGAACAUAGCAGGAAUUGGAGAGCUUUACCUUCAAUUGGCUAAGCUUUCUUUUACCUUUCUUAUACUUGUACUUCAUGAUGUUUUGCAUUAAUAAACUUGUGAGUUUGAUUGUUAAUUCAUUCAUGAGUAGCUAAUUUUCUUUUUCUAGGGAGUAGAUGAAACUUAUGGCUAAAUAAUAUGAAUUGAAGGUGAUGUACACUUGUUAGAUCUUUUAUUAACUUGUCUACUUGUGUAGUUGUGAUUACUUGUUGUUGAUUGAUCACCAAUAGCUUGUUAUUAGUUGUUAUUGUUCAAUGAGGAUUGGUAAUAACAAUGGAAACACAUGAGUAGAGCUUGAGUUGUAUGUUCAUGAAAAUAGAAAUACACUUAGGUGGAUUAUUUAGCAUUUCAUGAAAUAAAACAGAGUAGUAGUAGUAUUUCACCAUGAAAAUAGGGAAAUCUAUAUUGCUCUAGGCCAUUUCAUCAUGAAAAUGAGACUUGGUAAUUUUGAAAAUGAAUCUCUGGUUAAACAAGAAUAAUAGCAAGAAGUAAAUCCAUUAAUUUGUGUUGUUUAUUGCCAUAAGUGGAAUCUACAUCCCUAGAAUCUUCCUUAAGUGAAAUUUCGCUAUUUGCAUUCAGCAUUUGUUAAACUAGAUUUGUAGAUCAGGUUUGUAGAUUACAGCAUUAUAUUUUCUCUGCUCAAAUUAAUUGUAAGUCUAAAUAAUAGAGAAAACAAGGGCUUAGUAAUUGUUUAAAUUGCUCCUCGUGGGAUCGACCCGAUACACAUCUUGUACUACAAUUGCGACCUGUAUACUUGCAGUCCAACGGGUGUAAAUUCGGAAUUAAACUUGCAUUGAAAUUAAAAAUCCCGUCACUGGACACCGAGGAUAAAACAAAGGAUCAUUAUAAUUCCCGCCGUGAUUUGAGAGAAAUGGGAAUAAGAAAAGAGCUGCAUCCCAUUGAGACAGAACCUGGAAAGGUGUACUUACCUCCAUCUUCCUUUGCAAUGGAUAAAAAACAGAAAACUAUGUUUUGCAAUGUGCUAAAAAAAGUGAAAGUUCCAGAUGGUUAUGCAGCUAAUGUCUCAAGAUGCGUUCGAGUAAAACCACCAAGAAUUUCAGGGCUUAAAAGUCAUGAUAAUCAUAUCCUAAUGUAGCAAUUGAUGCCUAUAGCUUUGAGAAAGACUUUGCCAAAAUCAGUGCGCUAUCCUUUGAUUCGAUUGAGUAGAUACUUCAGGCAGCUUUGUUCUAAAGUUAUUUGUCCUCAAAAUGUGGUUCGUUUGGAAAGUGAAAUUGCCGUCAUACUCUGCGAUCUUGAGAAAUGCUUCCCACCAACCUUCUUCGAUGUCAUGGUGCAUUUAGUUGUUCAUUUGGCAACUGAAGUGAAAUUAGGUGGGCCGGUGUAUUAUCGUUGGAUGUAUCCUAUAGAGAGGUACUGCUUGUAAUUCUCAUUAUGCCUUAAAUGUUUAUUCCUUUUUUGCUUUCUUUGAUUUGUGGAACUAAUUAGAGAGGUUGGAAUGAUGAUACUUUAGGUACUUAGGAACAUUAAAAUCUUAUGUUCGAAAUAAAAAUAGGCCUGAAGGUUCGAUUGCUCAAGGCUACUUGGCAGAAGAAUGCAUUAACUUUUGCUCAUUGUAUCUUGCGGACUAUGUUGAGACAAAAUUCAAUCGUCCAAGCAGAAAUGAAGAAGUACAUAAGGAAAUUGAAGAUGGUUUAGAUAUAUUCUCUGAAUCAGGACAUCCUUUGGGGAGGGGCAAGCCAACAGUCUUUGAUGCUCAUAUCUUGAGUAAAGCACAUCAGUAUAUUUUAUUUAAUUGUGAUGUUGUCACACCUUACAUAGAGUAAGUUCAACUACAACUUGAUGCAUUAAAAUUUUAUUGUAGAAUUCAAUGCAUGAUUACAAUUUUGACUCAUGUACUUCUAGGCAGCAUCGUAGAUUGAUAGAAGAAGGACAUCCUCAAAUUCCACAGCAUCUAAAAGAGCGCUUGCACAGCGAAAAUUUUGCAUGUUGGUUUGCUGAACAUGUAAGUAAAAUUCUGAAUAUUAAGUACAAUUUGAAUUGUAGGACUUCAAAUAUAGUUUCAUCUUCUUUUUUUAUUUAUUUAUUUUUUUUUUUUACAGAUUGACAAGUUAGAACUUCCUCAAAAUGUUUCGGUGUUGAGAGAGUUGAGGUUCCUUGCUAAAGGUCCAGAUGUUGUUGGAAUCCAACAUGACAGGUUUGUUGUUAAUGGAUUUCGGUUUCACACCAAAGAAGUUGAGAAGAAAAGAAAAACGCAGAAUAGUGGUGUUACAGUCAAUGCAACAACAUCCAGUUUUGCAAGUAUAAGGGAUCAAAAUCCAGUUUUGAGUGAACUAGUUUACUUCGGCGUCUUGAAAAAUAUGAUUGAAUUAAUUUACGGAGGUCAUCGGGUGGUGUUAUUCGAAUGUGAUUGGAUAUCAAAUGGUUCGAGAAUGAAACAAGAUGCUGAUGGGUUUACUUUAGUCAAUUUUGCAAACGUGAGGCCUCAUGUUGAGCCAUUUAUACUCGCUUCACAAGCAUCACAGGUUUUUUAUGUGGAAGAUCCAACUGAUAAGGAUUGGCAAGUGGUUAUCUCUACCACUGCAAGAGCUGGAUAUAACAUGGGCACAACUAUGGAUGUUGAGACAUAUUUGCAAAGUGAUGUUGGCAAUCCUGUUGUUGAGAAUGAAAAUGAGGAAAUUAGUUGGGUUCGUAAGAAUGGACUUGGGAUUGAAGUUGAUUUGUCCCAAUAUAAUUUGAUUUAGAAUCUUUUAUAGCUUUGAAGCUUACUGGCCCUAUUCUUCUCUGUUUCAAUUGCUAGGCCUAGGCUUUAUUUCCUUUUGUCGAUGGUUUUCAUUUUUUUUUUGUAUUUUACUAAUAUGACCGACAUUCUUAGUUUUGAAGGCAUUUACAAAGCUUUGAGUUUAGUGCUCUCGGUGUCAUGUUAAGCCUUCUGACAGAUGUGAUAAAAGACUUGGUGCUAUUAGUUAAAACUAGUGUAUUAAUUUGCCUCUUUAAGGCCUUUCUUUCAUUGAUACUCCUAUGGUCAGUUUUUGGAUUUCUAGUCUUGGUUAGUAAUCGUCAGUCUUAUUCAUAAAAAUGGUAUUGGAAUGAUUUUUCUUUUAAUGGCAUGACAACAAUUGGCAAUCGAGGCUAUGAUUUGGGGAGAACAAUUGGCAACGUACGGAAUGUGCAAAUCAUUUCAGACCAAACAUAAAACUAUCCAACUUUCCAAGGAACCCAUUACUCAUUUUAAGAGCCCAAUGGGCUGCAUAAAUACUGGUCAUUAUUUUAUAAGCAAUUCCAUUAAUUGUAAGCUGUAAUAUUACAUUUGUGAAUCAUUAUAUUAUGGCCAAUUCUUUUUCCCAAUAACCCGAGGUCUAAUUUUUUAUCAAUAGAAAUAUUUUGAAACUUUAAUCUAUAAAUUUCUUAAAUAAUUUUUUAAUACCAUGAAAAAAUUAUUUUUUAAACCAAUAACAAUACAAAAAGUUAAUUCCGAUAGAGCUUUCUAGUCCAACUGAUCUUUGAUCGAAUUUAAUCGGUUUAGUCACAAUUUUAGAUUAUCCUUCAAAGUGAAAAGGAGACACGAUCGAACCGAUCAAGCACGAUCGAAUCGAUCAAACCGAUCAUACUAUAUGUUUAUGUUCAAUCAAUGCGUUGUAAGUGUAAGCCUAAGGUUAAUCAUUGAAAAGUUCAAUAUUAAGAUCUUGUAAGUGAUAGUAAGCUUCUAAUUAACACAAAGUUCAAUGGCAAUUGCUUUGGAAUUGAAAACAUUGAAUAUAUAUAUAUAUAUAUAUAUGUUUAUGUUCAAUCAAUGCGUUGUAAGUGUAAGCCUAAGGUUAAUCAUUGAAAAGUUCAAUAGUAAGAUCUUGUAAGUGAUAGUAAGCUUCUAAUUAACACAAAGUUCAAUGGCAAUUGCUUUGGAAUUGAAAACAUUGAAUAUAUAUAUAUAUAUAUAUAUGUUUAUGUUCAAUCAAUGCGUUGUAAGUGUAAGCCUAAGGUUAAUCAUUGAAAAGUUCAAUAGUAAGAUCUUGUAAGUGAUAGGAAGUUUCUAAUUAACACAAAGUUCAAACUUGCACCUUUUUCUUAUUUUAUACAGGAAAAGAAACUACAAAUGAUUCAAGUGAAGUACAUCAGAAAACCCGAGGCCCUACAUUUAUGAAAGAAAUUUGGGGUCGGCCUAAGGAACUUCCACGGAUUGAGAUUAAACUCGAUGACAAUGGGAUCCCAAUAAGUGAGAAAACCUCUUUCUCUGAAUUCUUGGGCAGUUUGGCUAGGAAUGGUAUGUAUUGUCCAGUAGAUGUUGAAACAUGGCUUAAGAUGCCAAGGAAACUUAAAAUGGACAUGUUAGAAGUGAUAAAGGUAAUGGUAGCUUUUGUAUUAUGUAUGCUUUGUACAAAAAUUACUGUGAAGUUGUGUUGAUUUUCUUGUUGCUAACUACGGCUCUGUUUGGAAGCUUGGUUUUUUACCAAAUUUGUAUAAAACUAGUUUUUUAACAACUUUUGCUACAGGAACCCCAAAAAACUUAUCAAAAUUUUUAACCUACACACUUAAAAUAUCCAAAACACAAAAAAAAAAAAUUCCCUUCCCCUUUUCUUCUUCUUCCUCCCCCACCACCACCUCCAUUGCCGGCUCCAUCACCAAUUUCCGGUGCCGGUCUUUUUUUUUUCCCCUUUUUUUCCCUCUCCCCCUCUUCCUCCCCUGCCAUCAUCCUCUCUUGUCUUUUUUUUUCUCUCUACGUCCAGCGCAGAGGGGGGUGGCGCAGAGAGGGGCGGCGAGGGGGGCAGAGGGGGGAGGGGGAAGGGGCAGAGGGGACGGUAGGAAGAGGGGGAAGGGCGGGGAGGGGAAGGCGGGGGAGGGGAAGGCGGCAGGGAGGGGGACGGGGGGAGAGAGGGAAGGUGGGGGGAGGGGGAAGGGCAGAAGGGGCUGCGGGGGGGGGGAAGGCGGGGGAGAGAGAGGCGGCGGGGGGAGGGGGAAGGGGAGGGGGACAGCGGGAGAGAGAGGGAAGGUGGGGAGGGGGAGGGGGAGGGGCGGUGGCGGCAGAGGGGGGUGGCGGGGGGGAGGGGGAAGGCGGGGCAGAGGGGGGCGGCGGGAGGUGGAGUUGCAGCUGGGGGUAGCGGAGGUAACGAGGAAGAAGAAGAAGAAGAAGAAGAAGAAGAAGAAGAAGAAGAAGAAGAAGAAGAAGAAGAAGAAAAAGAGAGGAAAGAAAAGAAAAAAAGGAAAGAAAGAAAAAGAAAAAGAAAAAGAAAGGGAAAGAGAAAAAAAAAGUUUUUCACCUUACAAAAACUUCUACAAAAUUUUUCACCUUACAAAAAUUUCUACAAAAUUUUUUUAAAAACUUCUACAGUGCACUACAGUAAAGUUUUAGACAAACUCCCAAAAAACUCAGGUUCCAAACAGGCCCUACGUUUCAGGAAAGGUUUGCUUUGCCUAUGGGACUGGAAGCUUGGACCUUAAGAUCUAUUGGCAAAAAAUGGAGAAGCUGGAAGGCAGAUUUAAAGGCUAACUAUUUUGAUCCUGCCGGCAUUAAUUAGCUAGGAUAACGAUAAAUAACUAUAACCACUUUUUUUGUUACAAGGAGAAAGUAAAUUUAAACCUAAAAACUUUGACUACUAAAUCUAAACUUCUUCGGCUAUUAAACAUAAAACACAUAAUUUUCAUGAGGCAACUUUUACAAGUUAUUAAAAUUUGGAUAAAUCGCACACAUUGUAAAUAAAUUGCCUAUCCAUAUUUUUAUGCAAUAUUUUAUAAAUAAGCCACAAAAAAAAAUGGAAAAACGUGGAUUAUCCUAUCCCUAUAAUCUCAACCCCUCAGUUCGCCUUUUACUUGAAGCUCGCCUAUUCAAAAAAGGAGACGGAGGGCAACAAAGUUGAACGGAGCCACCUGUAAGUCUUCACACACUAAUAGUGUAUUUCCGGAUAUGCAUCUUCGUGAAUGUUUGUGAAUUCUAUCUUUGGUCCUUUCUUGAUGAAAUCUAUAGGGCUUAUGUUGUCAAUCCGAAAAUCUGAAAUAUUUGGUACUUAGGUACGUUAAAAUAUAGGGAUAAUUUCAGAAACCUCAAGGGAGGUUUCUGAUAAUUUCAUUGACCUCCCUUGAGGUUUCAAAAAUAAGACUGACCUUCCCUCAACUGAUUUUGGGACCCAUUGCUGAUGUAACCUGGAAUGAAUUUGCUACUUUGCCCUUAUGCAUAAAAGGGUGAUGAGAAACCAAUUUCUGGAAAAAUAUAAUUAGGUCAUUAAAUAAUGAACUAAUUAAAUGAUAUUAACUGUAGUUCUAUCUCUAAUAAGCUAAUAGGGUGUUAAUUGUUAAUAAUUUUAUUGUUAAUUUCUCCCUUUGUUCUUGCCAAAUAUUAUUUUAACUGUUAAUAUCUACUUAUAUUUGGUAUCUGGACUUAAUUUCAGGGAUUGGAGCAGAAAACUGCAAAAAAGGAGGACUUGCUCCAUAAAUGGGAGACUUCAAAAAAGCUCCAUCGACCUGGCUCACAAGGAGAGGAAGAAACGGAAUUCCUUUUCCUUGUGCUGAUGAAGAGUGCUGAAUAGGAGUCCUCUUAUGAAGAGGAAACGAGAAAAGUGGAAUUGACAGGGCUCUCUUCUUGUACUGUGACUCUCAAUUCGGUAGGGGCCACUAGAGGGCAUUAGUCAUUUGGCUUUGAAGGGAAAAACGUAGAGAGGCUAGGAUAGCUUUUGAGCAAUAGUUUAGUUUUCUUUCUUUUUCCUUUCAUGCGUGCCUUGUGUUCGACAAUAGUCCCGAAUAGAAAAACGGCUUUGGCUUCUUGAUUAUUAGCGAAAAAAUAUGAUGUUUUUGAACUCAAUUGAAUUGCGUGGCGAUUUUCUCAUGAGGCGUGGCUAAGCCUUUCAUCUAAUCAAGGAUCAACUCGACAGCGCAGUCCCGAAUAUCUGUGAGAUCUAAUUAGUUUUCAUGCGUUCCUUAAUUUGUUAAUAUUUGCACGUUGUCUACUUGAAUUUUCGUGGGAUUAUUUUGUUAAUUGGAUGUCAAGGGCUCGAUAUUCAAUGUAACUUAUUAAUCUCUUGCCAAAUUAGUCAAUUAAAUCCGUAAUUGUUUGAUUGAUUAAUAUUAGUGGCAAUUGGCGUGUUUACAUACUAGGGGAACGUGCAAUCUAAUUUAAGUAACCCUCGUAGUGUGUUAUUGAUUGGGGCUAGGUUUUUCUAGUUUUUAAUGCAAUUGAAAAAUUAAUUCCUACGGUCGUACCUAGGAGUAUUUUCUGGUUAGGGGUAAUCAAUGGCCGUACCUUGGUUAUCAAUAAAUUAAGAAAAAAUUUGUCAUUAGAGUUCGUCGGCGACUAUAACUAGCCUAUUAAUAAAUUAAGUGAACUUCCCUUGUAUCAAUGAUCGGGUGAGUAGACUGUAUCUGAGUAGUUGUAUCCUUGGCUAGAAUUUAUCUAUUCUUGAUUUAAUUCUUGCCUAUAUUCGUGCUAGUUAAUUAUUUAUUUUUAGUGAAUUACUUAACUGUUUUUAGUUUUAGUCCGAUAAAAUCCCCCUUUACCAAUUGGAAUCUCAAAGAGACAAAUAUCGCCAAUCCCUGAGGAGACGACUCUACUUGCCACUGUCUACUAUUUAGUAAAUUUUGUCAACUAAUUAAUUCUGAUAUAUCGGAUUAAGCAAACUCUUCGGCAACAGGAUGAAUCAAGUAACCCAUUGCACACCUAGAAUCCCUGCUCCAGUACCUAGGAUUAAUUAUUGCUUGCGUUUAGUGGUAGUUAGGUUUUUAUUAUUAUUGCACAGGUUCGGCACCUAUCAUAAGCCAAUGUAACUACACUUGAGAAAUUACACUAAUUGAUGCACCAAUAUGGAGCCAUUUUUUGUGAUUGGACAUGACUUUAGAGAGCAACACAAGGAUAGUGAAGAGGUGAUUUUUGGUGGGUAGUUGAACCGACCCGAAUCAGGCUCCUCUGAGAUGAAGUGAGGUGAGGUGUAUCCUCUUGUCCGAAGUGAAUGGCGGGGCUUCUCCCCUGGGACCACUCCGACGAUCAAGUUAGUAUGAGAACGAGAGAAAAGCAAUAGUAUUGUCCAAUGAACAGUAUGCUUACUUGUUAGGAGUACAUGAGGGGUAUUUAUAGAGCGAGAGUGGAGGGCAGGACGGAGGUCUUAUGCCGGUGGGACCCAUGUCCUGCCAUUACGGCUCUGCUCUCUGUCAGGCGGUCUGACUCUGACGCUGUAGCCGCCUGGGCAGGGUGACGAGGAGUCUUACGCAGUAGUCAUUAAGUGCGACAGUGCUUUUCAGAUAAAGCACUGGUCCCGAGUGAUGUCAGGUGGCUUGACAUCAUCAGCGUGUAGCUGAGGUGAAGGUGCCGAGGUCACCUACACGGUAGACUAGGGAUCCGGCCGAGCUUAGGGGAUAUGCCCAAGACACGGAUGAGCUCCGAUGAGGGACGAGGUGGGUUCACCUCGGACAUGCGGGGUGGCCGAGGUGAGCAUCCUCAAUAAGCCCCCCAAGCCUCGGGAGCUCCGGGCUAGGGAGGUACCGAGGCUUCCUUGUGCCGAAGUCGUAAAGAGUCGGGGUCCCGAAACUGCUCCGGAAGAUGCGGGGACGAGACACGUGGGCGAGUCAGUUGACAGGACGUGGUCACUGGUAACCGUCGCGUCGUGAAAUAGUGGGACGUUUCGUGCAGAGGGUGUCAGUCGAAAGGACGGGGCAUUAAUGAGGAGAGAGGGAGGCACGGUGUUUUGAAUUCGAACGUGGCCGUCUUUUCGCAUUCUUGCCGCCUCUUCGGAUUCCCCCCAAACCCUUAUAAAUAGGGGGUCCUUUUCACCAUAUGGCCCAUCACUUUCUUUCUUUGCCUGUGACUUGCAAAAUUUACGAGUGUUGCCGAGAUCAAUCCUGCCAUCCGAGAUUCCAGCCGAAGUCAUCCACUUCGUCAGAUUCCAUAGUCAACAGUAAGUAUUUUUCUUUUCAUCUCAUCAUUCACACAUGGCCAAAACGGCUAAAACCCACAAAGAACCGUGAAACCCAGCUACCAGGCCGAGGAGGUGCCGGACACUUCGGAAGAGGUGACUUCAUCCAGUUCCACGGGGUUCGCACCUACCGAGGUGGGGGAUCGGCCGAGGAAGAAGUGGCUGGGACAGCAUCGGGGUCAGAGUCAUCAGAGAUGAGCGAGGACGGGUCCGAUGUCGAAUACGACACAGACCUCGGAACUGCAAUACCCCACGACGAGGGGGUGUAGGAGCCCGUCGCCCCAAGAAAUGCUGCCAACCUGGAUUUCGGCAAGAUGCCGCAGUUUAGGAGCCGCAUGGGAAGAGACAGGGCCAGGAAGGUGAUAAGGAAGUAUCCCUUCAGGCCGGAGUAUCUCAUCACAUCGCCCGGGCCGAACGAUUCGGCCGAGAAGCCCCCCAUGGGCACUGUGGCCAUCUACCUUCAGCAGUUGGAGGCCGGGCUGAGGAUGCCGACGUCAAGGUUCUUCCGGGACGUGCUCCGUCACUUCGGCGUGAGAAUCACUCAGCUCGUCCCAAACGCGGUCCGAAUUCUCGUAGGUUUCGAGAUGCUGUGCCGACAUCAAGAAGUGACUCCGACUGUGGAUCUCUUCCGCCGAUGUUAUACCUUCAAGGCACACGGGACAGAUAAGGGGUGGUUCUAUGUCGGCAACCGGAGCAACACCGUCCCGAAACUAGUCAUCGGCGCGCCCACUUCAAUAAAGAAUUGGAAGCUUGACUUCGUCUUCGUCUCGGCUGGGGACUUCCCACGGGGUUUUUGGUGGAGGCCCAUCAAAUCGAAGGCCGACCCUUCCGCGGGGGAUCUCGAGGAGGAGUCCUUCCAGAAAUUGACGGGGUCCGGACUUCGGAUCUUCAGCUGGGACCACCCCGAGGCCGUGCUGGUCGAUGGGGGAAUUAGCCGAGCCUUGAUCCCUCCUGACAAGACUCCCUUCACUUCCACUAAACUUAAGAUAUCUUGUAAUUUUCUUUCAUAACUUUGCUUUCACUUCGGCUGAGACAUAUGAUAAUAUUUGUUUCUUGUGCAGUGAUUAAACUGUCCGACAUCAUCAUAUCGGGCUCGGCCGAGGUGGCCAAGAGGUCGAAGAGAAAGAGCUCGGGGGAGACUUCGGCGCCUCCGCCCAAAAAGAAGUCCCAAGGGCAGGCUUCCAAGACCUCGGUAAAGAAGACCACCCCCACCACGGCAGCCCAGAGCAGCUCGGCUGCUGCGGCCACAAGGUCCACCUCUUCGGUGCCAGAAGGGGUGCCAUUAGGGGUGACCACGGCACUUCCACCUCCACAUGGCCGAGGCAAACAGUUGAAGGCUCCAGUCAACGCGGUGACGGCGUCUUCGCUCUGGAACCGUUACCAAAGUCCCCCAGUGUUUUCUGGGAAAGAAAAAUCUCACCCCGGCGAGCAUUGGUGUCCGGACUGGUCGCUCAAGGUCAACGACCGAUGCAGCCAUCCUCGGGUUGCACAAGACCUGGUGAUGCAGUCCACCUUGCCGAGGGACUUGGAGUUCACAAGGAAGCUGACUCCGGCCGAGAUGCUCUAAAGCGUCAUGGUGACCACGGCCUCCAACACAGCCUUUGUGGCCGAGAUGGCACAUCGGUACUGUGAGUUGCUUGAGGAGCAGGACACCGGCAAACUGCAAGAUCAGAUUGCCAAGCUGAAGAAAAAGCUGGUUGUCUGAGUCCGAGAAGUCCGAGAUUCAGAGACGGCUUCAAGAGGCCGAGGCUAAAGGGGAGGAGGCCGAUGCCACUACCAAUAGUCUGAGGUCAGCUCUGGAGGAAGAGCAGAAGAGGUCGGAGGAGGCGAAGAAGACCCAUGAGCAGGCCCUCGAGAGUGCAAGGACCUCGGUUGUUGAGAAUUUCCGGAGGUCCGAGACCUUCCUUGGGGAUCUCGGCCAACUGACGAGGCCGAGCUUCAUGCUUGGCUUCACGUCGGCUAUUGAUGAGGCCGCGGCUCACCUCUCCUCCGAAGCCUUGGAGUCUUUGAAGAAUAGUGUCAAUUAUAACGAAGACUCCAAGGAACUGUGCGAUUGGAUGGCCGAUGGCAUUCAGGCUGGAAGAAACUUGGCCGAGGUCCAGGACGAGUUCAACAAAUGGCUGUCCGAACUCGACAAAGUGUUCGAGGAGGAAGGAGGGGAGGACACUGGGGGUGACGUCGGCGAGGAGGCUGCUGAAGAGUAAGGAGGAGGUGGAGAAGAUACUCACCCCGGCGGGGGAGAAGCCGCGGAGGCAACUGGCCAAGGGGGAGCCGAAGUGGAGGCCUAACUCAUAGGGAUCUAAAUGUAAAAUCGAGGUGGGAGAUGCUUAGCAGUACUCCUGACCUCGGUCUUUAUCUUCUUUUUGUAAUGCCUCUUCUUCGUUAAAUGAAAUAUUUUCUUCUCAGUUCGGCUCUUUUAAUUUCAUGCUUGCUUCGUCCCCUGUUUGUCCCCCUUAUUUUUUAAUAACAGAUGUGUGGCACAAUCAUAUUGAAAAAUAACAAAGCAGUUGAAGUGAUAACUUAGUAAAAUUUUCAAGCAUAAUACAGCCUGAAGUUCUCGGCGUGCCAAGUCCUCGGCACUAGAGAGCCAUCUCGGUAGCUCAAUUUGCAAUACCCAUUUAGACUAGAUUCCACAACUCGGUAAGAGCCUUCCCAUUUCGGGCCCAAUUUCCCUUGCGGUUCAACUCGGCUGACCGAGUUUUUUCUAAGCACCAAGUCUCCUGGCAGGAAUCGCCGAUGCUUGACGCGGGCAUUGUAGUAGUGGGCCAGGGUGUUCUUGUAGGACACUAUCCGAGCUGAGGCGAGGUCUCUUUUCUCGUCGAUGAGGUCGAGAUCUAACUGCCUCUCUUCCCCGUUCAUCUCGGCUACAUAGGCUGUUAGUCGAGGAUUGGGUGUGAGGAGCUCAGCAGGGAUGACAGCCUCGGCUCCAUAGGUCAAGGAGAAGGGGGUCUCUUGUGUGGAUGACCUCGGCGUGGUCCGAUAUGACCACAGAACACUGGGGAGUUCCUCCACCCAAGAUGAUCCAACUCGGUGUAGUCGGGUCUUGAGACCAUGCAAGAGAGUUCGGUUGAAAUUUUCUGCCUGACCAUUGGCCUGAGGGUGGCCUACCGAUGUGAAAUGUUGUUUGAUGCCGAGGUUCUGGCACCAAGCCUUAAAUGGGUUCUCGGCAAACUGCCUUCCAUUGUCCGAGAUAAUGAUCUGAGGUAUGCCGAAGCAGCAGAUAAUGCAUUUCCAAAAGAAUUUUUGAAUGGCCAGCCCUGAGAUUGUCCGCAGAGGCUCAGCCUCGACCCACUUAGUGCAGUAGUCCACAGCGGUCACCAGAAAGGUAUAGCCCCCGACCGCUUUAGGGAAAGGACCGAUGAUGUCUGUCCCCCAUUGCUCAAACGGCCAGGGUGAAAUGAUUGGAACCAUGAAGUUCGAGGGUUGGUGAAUCUCAGGGGCGUGGACUUGGCAGGAUGGGCAGUUGAGAACAAGAUUUUGGGUAUCCCGUCGAACGGAGGGCCAAAAAUACCGAAGAACUAAGGUCUUCCUGGCUAACAUCCUGUGGCCGACGUGAUCCCCGCAUAGGCUUUCGUGUAUCUCGUGGAGGACCUGUCGUCCUGCCUCUGGUGUAACGCACCUCAGCCAUGGGCCAAGGUACGAGCGUUUAUACAGUUCUCCAUCGCGGAGUGCGUACCGAGCAGAUUUGCGUUGUAUCUUUCUCGCCUCGGCUCGGUCCUCGGGGAGGACUCCCUGUCCUAAGAAAAGGAUGAACGGGCUCAUCCACGUUUCUCCCGUAUUUACAGGGCAAACCACCUCUUCCAGGUAUCCCGACUCGCUCAGCACUUCCACUAAAACGGUCUUGUUGAGGUCAGAAAAUGAGGUGGAAGCCAGCCGGGAUAGGGCGUCGGCCCGCCUAUUCUGGGAGCGGGGGAUUCUUUGGAUUUCGAAAGACUCGAAGUACGCGAUGAGUUGGUGGACUUUGGAUAGAUACCGUUGCAUGGUUUCAUCCUUGGCCUCAUACUCACCAAGGACUUGGCAUACUACGAGUUGGGAGUCGCUGCGGACGUGGAUCCGCUGUGCACCGAGCCGGCGGGCUAGCUGGAGUCCCGCGAUUAAGGCCUCAUAUUCGGCUUCAUUGUUUGUAGCCGGGAAGUCAAAGCGGAGAGCAUACGAGCACACUUCUCCUUGGGGGCCCUCCAGGAGCAGUCCUGCUCCACUCCCAUCCCCAUUAGAGGAUCCGUCCACAUACAACAUCCACAGGUGUGGGGUGGACACUUCGGCUAGGGCGGAGGUGGACUCCCGACCUUCCGUGAAGGUGAGCUCGGCCAAGAAAUCGGCUAAAGCUUGAGCUUUUAUGGCGGUGCGAGACUCAUACAACAGGUCGUACUCCCCCAACUCAACGGCCCACUUAGUGAGGCGGCCGGAGGCCUCGGACCGCACCAGUAUCUGUCGGAGAGGCUGGUCGGUCCUGACGGAGAUGGGAUGAGCUAAGAAAUAGGGUUUCAGCCGCCGGGCGGCGUGGACUAGUCCUAGCACAAGUUUUUCCACUUGAGUGUAUCGAGUCUCCGGCCCACGGAGAGCUCGGCUGACAUAAUAAACUGGCACUUGAGUGCCCUCAUCCCGGAUGAGCACAGCGCUGACAGCCUCGUCCGCUGCAGAGAGGUAGAGGUACAGCUUCUCCUCGGACCGAGGUGAAGCGAGGGUGGGUAGGUGAUGCAGGUACUGCUUCAGCUUGUCGAAGGCAGCCUGGCACUCCUCGGUCCAGGCAAAUUGAUCGGCCUUCUUAAGCACCUUGAAAAAGAGCAAAGCUUUCUCGGCAGAUUGGGAUAGGAAACGGUUCAGCGCGGCCAGGCGUCCGUUCAGUCGCUGGACUUCUCGGAGGUUCCGAGGUGGGGACAUGUCCUGGAUGGCCUUGACUUUGUCGGGGUUAGAUUCGAUUCCCCGGUGGGAAACCAGAUACCCCAAGAAUUUUCCUGAAGUGACACCAAAUACGCACUUCUUGGGAUUUAACUUCAUCCUUGAAUCCCGCAGAACGUCGAAGACCUCCCUUACAUCUGAUAAGAAGGCCGAAGUGGUCAAGUUUUUGACAAGGAUAUCGUCCACAUAGGCCUCCACAUUCCGGCCGAUCUGAUCUUUGCAGAGGCGGUUGAUCAACCUUUGAUAGGUCGCCCCGGCGUUUUUUAACCCGAACGGCAUGGUGGUAUAGCAGUAGACACCUUGGUCGGUAUAGAACGCAGUCUUCUCUUGGUCCUCCUCACUCAUUCCUAUUUGGUGGUAGCCUUUGAAGGCAUCUAGGAAGCAGAGGAUCUCAUGUCCCAUUGCCGAGUCGACGAGGGCGUCUAUCCUCGGCAAAGGGUAGCAAUCUUUGGGACAGGCCUUGUUAAGGUCGGUGAAGUCGACGCACAUCCUCCAUCCACCGGUGUCCUUUUUGACCAUGACAGGGUUGGACAGCCAGGUGGGGUACUGUACCUCAUGGAUCAUCUUGGCGGGCAAGAGUUUGUCCACCUCGUCAGAUACGACCUUGCUGCUUUCAGAGCCGAAGUGCCUACGUUUUUGCCUCACAGGACGGGCCUGCGGGUUAACGUUGAGCUGGUGAACCAUGAGCUCAGAUGGCACCCCAACCACUUCAUCGGCGGUCUACGCGAAGAUGUCCCGGUGGUCCUUUAUUAAGUGAAUCAUCUCUUCCUUCAGGGGCAAAGGGAGCCCGGCCCCUACCUGGACCACUUGGUCCGGUCUUGCCUCAUCCAGGACCACAUGCUCCACCUCAUCCCCGGGUUCCAGCCUACCGGGUUUUCCCGCUUUCUGAGGAUCAAUGCAGUCUAUGGAGAGAACAGUUGGCCUCUUCUCGUCGGCCUUUGAUGCAGUCCGGGGAGUGACUGCGGCCUGGAUGGUGGCGAGGUAGCAUUCGCGGGCCGUACUCACGUCGCUGCUCAUCUCGGCCACCCCCGCUGGUGUCGGGAAUUUGAAACUCAGGUGGUAGGUUGAGUACACAGCUCUCAAGGCGUUAAGCGUGGGUCGACCUAUCAACAUAUUAUAGGGAGAAUCUGCCUUGACCACCGCGAAGUUGAAGGGUAUAGUCCGACAGCGGGGAUGACGCCCGAUAGUCACCAUCAAAGACACCAUACCCUCGGGGUGGACCACGUGUCCCCCGAAUCCCACGAGGGGAGUUCUGACAGGGGUGAGUUGUUCCCGGGUCAGUUUCAAACUUUCGAAAGUUCGGUAGUACAAGGCGUCUACCGAGCUUCCGGGGUCAACAUAGACCUUUUUGACUAUGUAGUUGUUGGUGAGGACCUCGAUCACGAGAGUUUCGUGGUUGCUGGAGGCCGCAAGGACUGGGUCAGUGGGACCAUAGGUGAUGACCUCGGACAACCGGGAGCUCGGCUCGGCCACCUCUAUCCCGGUUUGGCGGUAGGUCCGCUUCCGGGAGUUCUGGCUGUCUCCUCCCAUUGGUCCUCCCGCGAUGGUAUUGAUCACCCCGGCGAUGUUGGGGCCGUAGCCCGGUGAUCCAUCGUGUGGAGGUUGCUUGUCCUCCCUAUGGUCUUCGGGAUCUCGGCAAUGCAUGUUCGUUUCCCGCCUGUCGUCUCGGCAGGGACCCCGGUUCUCCCGGUGGGAGACGCUACGGUUGAAGCCUCAAUCCUUGCGGACGAAUUGCUUCAGGUACCCCUGCCGGAUCAGGUUCUCGAUUUCCCGCUUCAGAUCAUUGCAGUCUUCAGUCUCGUGCCCAAUAUCCCGGUGGUAUGCACAGUAGAGGUUUGAGUUCCUCUUAUCUCUCCUCCCCGGAAUCUCAGGAGGAGUUCGGCCGAGGUGGUUCUGCCUCAUCACAGCCAGGACAUGGGUCCGGCUGGAAUUGAGUGGCGUGAGCUCGGCGUCCGAGGUGGACGACCUGCCUUUAACGAUCCGAUCAAAGACACUUCGGCGGUCUCGGAACUGGCCCGACGAUCCGCUGGGGCCUUGUUCGGCCCUGCCGGCAUCCUUUUUCCUCCGGGAAUCUUGCCCGGUACGAGUGGCUUGAGACUCUCGCUUCAUGCGGUUUAGAUCUUCAUUUCGGAUUCCCUGAUCUACCCGAUCCCAGAGUUCUCGAAGUGUGCGGGGGUAAUUCCGGUGUAUCUCAGUAUUGAAGAUUCCCGCGAUCAGCCAAUUGGUGAAGGCAGCUAUGGUUACCUGCUCAUGCUGAUCAGGUAUCUGCACGUUCUCCUCAUUGAACCUCUGCGCGUAGGAGCGCAGUGACUCACCGGGGGCUCGUUGCAGGUUCAAGAGGUAGGCUGAAGUCUUCGUAAUUGACCGAGACGAUACAAAGCGGUGGAUGAACCGAUCUAUCAGCUCGUCCAAUGAGGAAAUACUCCUCAGUUCUAAACCCCAGAACCACUUUCGAGCCGUGCCCUGCAGGAAGAUGGGGAAAACUCGGCAAAUUACUGCGUCGGGGACGCAAUAGAGCCGAAAAGCGGAGAGGAAGGCGCGGAGGUGAUCCUCGGGGUCACCUCGGCCAUCGUAGGAACGUAGGUCGGGAAGCUUGAAAUUUGGGGGGACCAUCUCCCCAUUGAUGUCAUCUUUGAAGGGCGUUGCCCUCAGAUAUUCUGCUGCUAAGCCUCCGGGACGCCGAGGUGGGUCCUCAGCUCGUUUUCCCAGAAGUCCCCGGGAAAACGCCCGGAAAAUAGAAGCAAUUUUAGAUGUUGCCUUGGAAGAGGCGUGCCUGGAAGUGCUCCGAGAGAGGUGCCCCUCAUCGAAAUCUUCGCCGGAAGGCACUUCAGGGGAUUUCGUCGGUCUCCUCUUGGAGGAUUCAGCUUUUUCCUUCCCCUGCCUCUUGAAGUACCUCCCCAGUUCUUCGAAGAUGUUUGGAUUAUCAGCCACGAACUCGGCCAUCUUGGCGAUGGCGUCUUCGUUGUGGGGCUGGAUCCUUGGGGACCCUUGUUCUUCAGAAAUACGAUCUUGCUGGGCUCCGGAUGUCUGCCCAGCCCCAGUCCAGGGGACUCUUCCACUUUUGGAGCGCAUGGAUCUCAUUUUAGCAGUAAUCUCGUUCCCACAGACGGCGCCAAUUGAAGAGGUGAUUUUUGGUGGGUAGUUGAACCGACCCGAAUCAGGCUCCUCUGAGAUGAAGUGAGGUGAGGUGUAUCCUCUUGUCCGAAGUGAAUGGCGGGGCUUUUUCCCUGGGACCACUCCGACGAUCAAGUUAGUAUGAGAACGAGAGAAAAGCAAUAGUGUUGUCCAAUGAACAGUAUGCUUACUUGUUAGGAGUACAUGAGGGGUAUUUAUAGAGCGAGAGUGGAGGGCAGGACGGAGGUCUUAUGCCGGUGGGACCCAUGUCCUGCCAUUACGGCUCUGCUCUCUGUCAGGCGGUCUGACUCUGACGCUGUAGCCGCCUGGGCAGGGUGACGAGGAGUCUUACGCAGUAGUCAUUAAGUGCGACAGUGCUUUUCAGAUAAAGCACUGGUCCCGGGUGAUGUCAGGUGGCUUGACAUCAUCAGCGUGCAGCUGAGGUGAAGGUGCCGAGGUCACCUACACGGUAGACUAGGGAUCCGGCCGAGCUUAGGGGAUAUGCCCAAGACACGGAUGAGCUCCGAUGAGGGACGAGGUGGGUUCACCUCGGACAUGCGGGGUGGCCGAGGUGAGCAUCCUCAGAUAGUAUUAUACGAAAACUUGGCGAAGAUGGAAAAAUGGAGGGAAAAGAAGGCAAACAGCAUAGCUCCCCUCAGGUUAAAAUAUGCUGAUUUGCAUUAAGAUUAUUGACAUGCUACCCACUCAUGCUUUUGUAUAUGGUUGGCAUUAGUGACAAACAAUCAAUGGUAAUGAAAUUUGGCUUUGCAAUCCUCACCGUCUGCCUCAUUCAUCUGCAUCUGGGGCAGAUGGUGUUUGAAACUAUCUUGGAUUGCAUCGAUAGUUAUGUAAUACUACAACUGCUACAAUUAUAUCAAUUUUGAACUAAUGUCAAGUGACUUAUGUUGCCUUACUAACUAGUUCAACUAAUAAGUUGUUGCUUAUUAUCUCUUUGUAAAGUUACAGUAGUAGUCAUCAAACAAUAGUCAUACAUUUCUUCGAAAUACAAUCCAACUGACAAGUACUACUGGUUUAUUUCUUACAUAAUCAGAAAAGACUUAAAAUGAUUGGUACAAUGUCGUGACACUUUUAUAUUUGUUCCAAGAGUUUAUCCAAUUGAUUUUAUAUUUUGGAUGAAUAUAGAUACAACACCUAGUGUGAUAUUUAUGAUGAGUAUCAUGUUAACUAUGGCCUUUGGUUGGUUUAGCCUUGUCACUUUUUAUUACCUCAAAAUUAGAUAAUCACACUAAAAAUAAAUUAUUUCUUGAGUUGCUUGAGCCGUUUAUAUGCUUUUGAAAGAAACUUAAAGUAUGGCCAUUGCACUAGCCAUUUGUGCAAACUGAAGCUUCAAGUUGUUGUUACUGCACUUUUCCUAAUUGCUAUUACACCUACUAAAAUUUACUAAUUAUGUAUGUCUUUUAAUAUUUUUCAUUAUUUACUAAUACAAGUUGUGGAUAAGCAAAAAGGGCAUAUGUGGAACACAAAUACCAUCUCACUCCUCAAAAUAUUUUUUUAAUGCUCAUUUUCCUGACAUGGGCUGAUCAUGUUACUACAACUAUAAGUUCAGGGGAGGUUUAUGUCAUUUUCAAAACCUUAGGGGAGGUCAAUGAAAUUGUUGGAAACCUCAGCGGAUGUUUCUGAAAUUAUCCCUAAAAUAUAUGUAUGCCCUCUAUCUGUUUGUUAAAAUGCCUACCCCAGAACGUCAAGUGUAUGUGGCUUUUUUAUUACCCUGCUGUGAGCGCGUGCCCGUGUGAGGUUGAAUGGUGAUGGGCCAGCCGCCGGUGAACGGAGAAUAGACAGUGAGAAGUCGUUUAACAUCUCACAGUUGCCUACUUAUGCUCAUACUCUGAUGAUGGAAAAAUGAGUGGAACAAAUGAUAUGCUUUUAAUGCAGUCAAAUGUCAGUUCAUAGUUGCAUCGUUGGUCUUGAACAGGGGAAUGUCUGUGUUAGUUUUUUUAUGAGCAUUCAUAAGAAAAAGGGAUAGUGUCAUGAUCUUCCAUCUACGGUGCACAACCCCGUGACAUUACUAGAUGAGAUGAGCAUUUACCGUGACUAAUAAUCAAAUCAUUUCUCAAUUUUAGGAAUUUUGUCACUAGUUGAGUAUCUUCUUUUCUCCUCUUUUGGAGUUAAAACUAUGCAGUGACUAUAAAAAGAAAAAAGGGGGAAGGGGGAAGGGAGGGGGGGGAAGUAGUCUGUUUCGAGGUAGGAAGGGACAGAACAUAAAUAUGCUAGUAUGGAUUUGGUGCCUAAUGAGAAUGGGAAGUGUCACAGAAUUCAAUUGUGUUAUGUACCAGAAUCGUACCUUAAUCUUUACUUCUUAAAGAAGUCUUAAACUAUAUUAGGGCUAUUAGUACUAGAGGAAUGCUUUCCAUUUGGAUUGUGCUGUUAUAGUGCUAUACUUAUAUGCUUUCCGAUAGCUCUAGAAAGCUGGACGUCAUCAAUGCCCGCCUUCUUCAACUCGACAUGAAGGUCGACUCUAAGCCUGGCUACCCGCAAAGCCUUGCCAUUGGGGUGGCCUCUGGUGCCCUUCUUCAGGGCUUUACAUCUGCCGCUGCUCAGAUUUGGACUGCUGUGCGUCGAGCAACUAAUCCUGGUCGUGAUUCACCUAUCAAUUAAUUCCAGUUAACCCCAUGGCCCUUGGUCCUAACAGGGUGGUAUAGGUAGUAGUAAUUUAGUGAAUUUGGUGUGAAGAUGAUGUAUCUGUUCUUGAUCUUACCUGUUGCAUUUACGUUACGGUGGACUAUUGUGCAGCUAGAUCUUCAAUUCUUCAUCCCCGUAUUAAUCCACAAGUUCUUGAAUUUUGUGGAAUGGUCCUAUAUUUGCCUCUUUUUUGAAACUUUCAGUUCAGUGAUAGGUAGAAGUAUCUUUUACAGAUUGAUUUAUCCAUUUUAAUUAAUGCACCCUAUAAAAUGAUUUCAUGUCUAGUAAAAUGAAUUAACAAUUAUUGAGCUGCUUUUAACCUUUUCUUUUUCAAAGAAAAUAGAAACUUCUGAAAUAAUUUAUUCUUCAAACACCAAAGCAUUUUGCCUUUACUUGUCAUCAUCUUAAAUAUUCAAUUACAUACUUCGAUAAAAUUUCUUUUCAAUUGUAGUCCAGUAAACGUGCAAUUAACUUCCCCAAUUUUACCUUUUGGUCUAAAAUCGAUAGGAAUUGUGAAUGGCUAUCCAUCAACUUUAGGUGUUAACGUGAAAUGAUGCAAAAUGUUGAAAAUUAAAAGUUGAGGUGAUAACAUUUCUUUGCAUUGAAUUUAUGCAAAAAAAUAUCCAUGUUGCUGAAACUUCUUUUUUUUAGGCCAUCUUAACAUUUAUUGAUUGAAGUCAUGUGCAUAACUAAUGGUCAUUGGUAAUUUAAAAAAGUGAAAGUCCUAGAUCUAAUGAAUGAAUUUGGGAUAGUUUAAUUUAAUCUAUACAAUCUAUAAAGGGAGAACGUUAUUGUGUGGUGUAAACACACCGUAUCACUUUUUAAAAUUUCUAAUAUACCCCUAAAUUAUAAGGGUAAAUUUGUCCCAAUUUAUUCCAAAAAAAUCUCCACAAUCAACAGAUAGUUGUUUGAAUCAAAAAGUAAUUAUUUGUUUAGUUAUCCACUAACUACAGCUUUUUUACACAAACUCCCACGAAUUCUACUCCACUUUCAUCAUUUUUCUAUAUGAUUAUCUAAUUUGAUCCAUAAAACCCAUAAAAAAAACUUUUAUAUACAUUGUUAGUUUUGAAUAAAUGACAACUAAUGUAAAAUUGAACUUGAAAUUCAAAUUUUAAAUUUAUAUCAUGCAUCCAUUGGUAAUGGUAUAUGCAAUGUUAGUGCAUAUAGUAUUUAAUCUAUGGAUAUAGACAUUUCAAAGACAAUUUUCUUUUGCUCAUAGUGAUGAACACGUAGUUGAUUAGAGUAAUUCAAUGAGAAAAUACGAUGCAGAUGGCUACUAUUAUUAAUUAUCUUGUGAGGAAACUAGAUGAGCAUGGAGAAAUAUUGAGGCCGUGGAACCCAAAAAAAAAUUCAUACAAAUAUAUAUAGGAGAUAAACUUUAUACAAAACCAAUAUAUAUGGAGAGGUAAUUUACACUCAUAUAUAUAUUGUGGGAGAAGAUGAAUAAUACAAUAAUAAUAUAUUAAUCACACGUCAUAAUAACAAGGCUAUCAAAUUUCAUUCUUCUCAAAUGAUGACAAUAAAAAGACUUCUUAUUUAUAGACUAGAUAAUUUGGCAAAUAGUCUUGACAAUCAGAAUAAAUUAUCUUUUAAAAUAUCAAUUUCUAAAUAAUAAAACUAUCAUGACUUGACUCGAAUAGAAUUAAUAGAAUUACUAAAACUUUACAUUGACUAAACCAUAGCUAAAUAAUAAUAUGAAAAUUUCUAUUUUUGAACCUUGAUUUAAUUGAUUUAAUAUGUAACUAUUGUCUCCCUUAAAUCAAGUUCUCUCUUGGAUCAAUCUCACCACCAUUACUAUCAAUAAUCUCUCUUGCAAAUUCUAAGAUCACUUUGUACUGGUUCUUCAUCUUCAAACCCUAUUCUCAUUGCAAUAAUCCACGCACUUGGAUAAACUAUUUUCGUAGCAUAAUUUGAUAUCAAUUUAUUCACAGCUUAUCACUUUGUGAUUUUAAUAAUCACAACUCAACUGUUAGGCUUUUUCUCUGAUCUUCUUUACACCCACAAUCAAUCUGACAAUUCUUCUGGAACAAUCUUAUAGUCCAAUUUUCACCAACUAGAUACCUCAUGACCAAUCUUUUGGUCCAAUUCGAUCAACUGAUUUCUUCGCUACAAUUCUUAUGAAAAAUAUCCAAAACUAACCUCGUAGUUGGGACAAUUCUUCAAUGUUCAAGGCACUCCAGGAUUAAAUUUCUUGAACAUAGGGUUCUAAUACCAUAUUUAGAAACCAAAAAAUUCUACCAGAAAUCUAUAAGAGAUAAAUUUCAUAAAAUCAAUGCAUAUGAGAAGGCAAUUUAUACACAUAUACCUAUGUGUAGGAGAAAAUAAAUAAUACCAUCAAUAAUAUAUUAAUCACACAUUCUAAUAAUAAGGCUAUCAAAUUUCGUUUUUCUCAAGCGACGACAAUAAUAAGAUCUCCUAUUUAUAGACUAAAUGACUUGGUAAACAAGUCUUGGCAACCACAAUUACUUUAUGAAAUAUCAACUUUUAUAUAAUAAAAUUACUAUAACUUGCCUCAAAUAGAAUUACUAAAACCUUAGAUUAACUAAAGCAUAACUAAAUAAUAAUAUAAAAAUUUCUAUUUUUAAACCUUGAUUUAAUUGAUUUAAUAUGCCAACAGAGGCAGCAGGGGAGCAAUUCCUGCUUCUUCAAUGUGUCAAGGUUUUAGCAUUAUCUCCAUCAGAAUGACAAAAAUGAAGUUGAUUUUGAAGAAAUUAAAAAAAAAUUUAAUGACAUACAAAUUAAUAUCGAUUUUUAGCCCCAAAUCUCUAAUGACUAAUAUCCGCCAAAUUACGAAAGAGACUCCAGAUUAGAAGUGUUGGAGAAAACAAUGACGAAAGAAAAAAAAAAAAAAAACUAAGGGAGACUAGAAUAGCCCAUUUGGUUUUAACUUUUAAAACUCAGACUACCCAUCUAGAUAAGCCCCCAAUUACAUCGGCCCAUAGUCUUCUCAGAUCAGAUAAAUAAAGCCCAAAUCAGCUGAACUUGAUUUAGUUUGGAAUCUUUCAAAGGGAAAAAAAAAAAAAUUUCGAACUUUAUCUCUAUUAAUAUGGACAUUUGUUAGGUGAUGUGACCUAUAACUCUCAAACCCUCACCUUUGACCCCUUUUAGGAAGUUCCACGUUAUGUUUUGGAUACUGGAUCCAUAAGUAUCAAUUCACCAUUAGAUGUAUAAAAAGAUAUAUCAGCCUUACCCUUAGAUGAUUUCAGAAGUUUAAAUUAUUAAAUGAUAUUAUGAGAAAUUAUGAAAUUAUAAUCAUGGGUAUGGAUAUGGCAUCCAAAAUAUGAUUCAAAUUCCCUUGACUUUCUCCUUGUUUAUAGGAGACAAAACUUUCUAAAAUUUGGAGUCCACUCUAUUUCCUAAAAUUUUAAAAUGUGAGUUUAAAUAGAAAAAGUGACUAAACAUAGGAGAAGUAAUUCAUUUGAUUGAUAUCAUGAGUACUUGUCACACCUUGAUUUUGGUUUUUUUUUUCCCAUCUCUAGACCACUGUGUCUCAUUGGCUAAGCUCAAAUAAAUAGUCUUAAUGUCCUUAAAUUAGAAUUUUAAAAUGAUUGAAAAAAGAAUUUAAAAAUGAUUGGGGUUGGCAGAAUCUUAUUUCAAAGUUUUUCACGGUUUGGCGACUUAGGUUUGAGUAAUUAAACGGAAAUCGGACGCAACAAUUGAGUCAAAAAGUUUUAUUGUUGGUCGGUGGAAGUUGAAUAUAUGAAUUUAAAAAUCUGAAAAUAAGAAAAAUUGACUUACACGUGGAAUCAAAUCCAAUUUUCACGGAACAAAAUAAUGUAGAAAUCAUUCACUAAUUACAAUAUUUAACACAUACUUCAUCAAGAAAUAAAAAAUUCAUUUAAAAAUUUUCUUUCUUUGAUGCGGCAUCUCCUUGCCCAUACAUGUCCACUUCUCUUAAUUGCGUUUCGUGAUAAGCAUCUAAAGAGUGGCGAAUUUAUUUUUUUUUUUGGAAGGAGAAAUAGAGUAUUAAUUUUUGUAUUCAACUUCAAACUAAGUUGUUCUGUUUUGUAACCAAUGACCAAUCAGAAGAAAUUGAAAGUUUUUCUAGAAAGAGAAGAUUCUGCCAUUAGGACUUUUCCGUUCAUAUGUUUUUGCACUUGUCAAGAUUGUAGAGGCUGAAUACAACUGCCCAGACAUGUCCGAGCCCAGUUGUACCUCGGGUGGGCUCCCGUUUUGCUUCCUACGUCCGCGUCUCACAAUGUGUGGAAGAGAAGCCUGAUUUGACCGUAAGUUGGGCCAUGUGCUCUAUGAGAAUUUUAGAGCGAGUCGUUCAUCAAUUAUUGUUCAUCAUCUUUCUUUUAUAGGUAUCCGCGUUUACCUUCAUAGGUUUCUCGUUCGAUCUCUCAAACUCCCAAUCUAUUUAUACCAUCGUUAACUUGAUUGUGGGAGAUACACCUGUAGACUUAGCCCUAAUCCUCUCAGUUUUUGCUGCAGGUCAACAAAUCUGAAUACUUAAUGAGUCUAAGCUCGUACAAAGAUGAAAUUAAGUAUUUACUCAUAGUAUUCCGUUAUUUUUGGUACGAAUAACUAGACGGUGGGACUUAGUAGAUGAAAUUAUUCUAGAGAAGUCAAAUAUAGUAUUUCCAUUUAAAAUUAAAACCCAAAGCAAGCUAGAGUGACCUCCAAAAUGAGUCUUGUGAAGAUAUUGAGGUUAAUUCUAUUUUGCUCUCUAAUUUUGAGUGCCUAAAGUAUAAAAUAGAAUAUUGUAUUAUCUAAAGUAUAAAAUUCGUCUCAUUUAAAUACAAUUAUUGAGAUUUUUUCGUCCUUCUCUCUAGAAUUAUUCCCUCCUCAUUCCCUCUAGAUCUCUUCCAGUCAAGUUCUUCUCCAAUUCUCUAAUUAGAGAGAGACCAAAUUUGGUCUUUUUCCAUGGAAAGGAUUCCUCUAUGUAGUUAUUAGUUUUUCUUGUUUGAAUAAAUUCUUUCUUAGGAUUUUUCUAAUGAGAAAUCUUCUCCUUUAGAAUCUUCUAGUGAGAGUUUUAUUCUCUUUUGAGUUUUUCCUUACGAGAGUUUUUUUUUUGUAUUUUUGUUAUUUUUUUGUGAAAUUUGAGAUUUUGUAGAUCUAAAAUCUAGUUUUUCAGAUUUACAAUUUCUCUAUUAUUGUUAAUCUAAAUAUCUCUUUGGAUUUGAAUCAGUUUUAAAUCAGAUUUGAUUGUCAAAAGAUAUGCAUAAAUGUAUUCGGUUACAGUAAUUCAUCCAAAUGGAAGAUAUAUAGGAGCAUCAAUGUUAUCUAUAUUCAUUCCAAUUUUUUAGUUCUAUUGUAUCUAUUUAAUUUCAGAUCUAUAUAUAUUUGUAUCAUGUUUGACUUGAUAUAUUUUUUGCCAUUAAUGCAGAUUUAUCAAAUGAAAUGAUUUUUCUAUCGAAAAUAAAAUCGUUGACCAAAGUGAGAUAAUUUAUAACAAGUAGGACAAAUUUUAUAUUUUAGAGACUAAAAUAGUAGAGAUUUUAUACUUUAAAAAUUAAAAUGGAACAGAUAUUAUACUUCAUGGGGACUAAAGUGUUCCACUAUAAAACUUAAAAAUCAAAGUGGAAUUCAAGCAUGUGUAAAGUGCAAUUUACCCAAGAUACUGUGUAUAUACGACACAGCCACUAACCAGUUGCACCUUGAGUCAUGAAUCAGACGUUAUUCUUUUGCAACAGUCAACGGUGGAACUUGCCGUCAUUCUUUUCUUCUCGAUUGCUUGCUACGUUAUAGAACUCCAAAAAAGAGCAACGAUCGAAUUUCUUACGAGUGGCCUAAUACUAAGUCUACCCUUAAGUGAAGCAUUAUACGUGACCUCACAUGCUCCUCAUGUGCUAACGUGCAGUGUGUCUGGAAGUUUGCACAUUCAAGCAAGCAAAGGAAAAGAAAUGCAUAAAAAAGGGGAAAAAAUGGAUAGAUAGACUCAAAGUUUUUCUUGGUCAAAAAUUUUUUUUCUAGAGUCUCUGAAUUUUAAGCUUAAGAACAGUAAAAGUUUGUGUAAAUGGCAUUUAUUAUGCAUAAGUUAGAUUUUUUUUUCUUUUUCUUUUUUGUAUGAGACUUUAAGCCUUACAAGAGGAGGAAAAAAAUGGAGAAUUUAAAAGUCGAACUAAGGACUUCAAGGUAACUUGACCAAUAUUCUACUAGCUAAAUUAGGUCUUGUGGUCAAAAAUAAUUUUCCAACAUAGAAAGGAUGGAUUUUAAGAAGCAGGGAGGGGAAGCGGCAAUUUAAAUCCAAGACCUCUAAAUGUUGAGACCUUCAACCUUAUCCAUUAAACUAUAACCUUCCCACCCAAUUAGGUGUAUUAGUUUGGCCGGCAUGCAAUUAUUUGAGGUUGUCUGUUUUAUCGAGAAACUUCAUGAGAUGAGAUGCCUAUAAUUGUCAGAGUGCCUUUUUAUAUGCAUAUUAGUCAAAAUAUUUAUUAAUUCUUCUACUGAGAGCUAACUAUUACACAAUCUAAAACCUAGAAGCCCCCAUUUUUUUUCUUUGUUGAUACAACAUCAUAAAAGAAUACCUUAUUGAUAAAACAUCAUAAACAAAUACUACCGAUCUGAAAAAUUGAUUAAGAAAAUACACUCUGAAGCUCCAAACAUUGUAGUCAAAUACUACUGAUCUGAAAAAAUGAUUAAAAAAAUUACAAUGUGAAGCUCCAAACAUAUAGUAUUCAAGGAUAAAAACACUGUUUCAGCUGCCACUGCCUUCUUAUUAGCUAUUUCAAGUUUUGAUAUUAUGGUGAGAUCUAACAAGAUAGACUUAAGAAAUCUCAUAUUUGACUAGGGGUGUAAAUUAACCAAACUACUCCACUUAGUCUCUUGAGUAGCCCAGUCAAGGAUUGACUUGAAUUCAACAUCGAUCAAGUUUGAAUUGAGUUCAAACUACUUGAUAAGGUAAUUGAGUCAAGUUCGAGGAGAUAAAUCAAAACUUGAGUACUCGUUGAACGUUAACGAGUAGUUUAUUUUUAAUAUAAUUUUUAAUUAUUUAUUAUAAAAUUAUGAAAUUUACUAAAAAAUCGAGCUUGACAACUCGAUUGAGUUUGAUUUGGUUGAAUUCGAGCUCGAGUUCAAGUGAGUUAAAAUAAAUUCAAACUCAACUUUGAAGAACUCGAGCUGUAGAAUUUUUAUUCAAAUAGAGUUCGAGUAGUGCACUACUCAAGUUCAACUCAAUUCGAUAGCAGUUUUAGAUUUGAUAACCAAAUCUGGAAAAAAAAAACUUAGAUUUAACAAAAGUACUGGAAAAACUAUAAAACAUUUCGCUGAAAUCUUUAGGAGAGGAAAAAAAACCUUAUUAGGAAAUCCUAAAUGAGAAAAAAACUCUUACUAGGUAGCCCUAGGAAAGACUUAUUACACACGAAAGGGAAAUAAAGAAAGCCGUGGAAGGUAAGGAGAUUGUUUAGUCUUCCUCCCAAGGAGGGAAAUAUUCUGUUUGCAAGGAAAAGUUAUAUAGAAUGAAGAGAAUUUAGGUUUAGAGGAAGAUGAUGAUGAGUCAUUAUGAGCUUUAGGAUUUAAGGUGAGAAAACUUGCAAUAAUGACCUAACAGGGAUGCCACCAGCCAUGUCAAGAAAAGAAAAGUUUUUUUUUUUUAAACAAUUUUAUGCCUUAUUCAAUGCUACAUGUGGAAAAAGAGAAUUUUAAGCUUUGGUAGAAGUUAUUGUCAUAAACUUGUUGUUAGUGUUAGAAACAUUAAUCUUUCGUGUUAUCAUCAACUUGUCGCAUAAUUGAUCCUAACUGUAACCUAAUUACAUCUUAAAGUGUGAAGUAGUUUCUAUGUUUUACUGUCUUUGGUAAUCUAGCUAUCUUUGUAAGACUACUAGUAGAAACUCCAAAAGAAAGUAAGUUCAAGAAAAUUGUUUCUGAUAUAAACACAUGCGCAUUAGUACAAGUAAUCCGCGUAUGAUCCAAGUGACAAAAGGGAAAUAUAUAGUAACCCAUUUUCUAUUAGCCUUAUAUGAAAAUUUUAGUCUAUGCUCUAUACUUGAAUCACUUUUUCCACAACAAAACUUCAUGCUUUGUGCCAAUGAAAGCAAAUUUUGAAGUUCCAAAACGUUAGAAGGGUUAAAUAAUUGUGUGCAUAGAACCUUGAGUACUCAUAGAAGGCAAAUGAUAGUCGCACAACUCAGAUUUUAAAUGCCAAAGUAUUUUGUUUUUGCUAUUCUAUUAUUUAUCUAGAUAAUUUUCUUUAAAAUAUGUAUUCAAUAAAGGAUUAAUUUUUUAUACGCUGACAGUGUAUACACUUUCACCAUUAAAUACAUGACACAUAAUCCGAAUUUGAAUUUGAAACUCAAAUUUUAGAUAUGUGUCGUAUAUCCAACCGUGAUAGUGUAUAUACCGUCAGUGUAUAUAAGAUUUAUGUUGAAUUGUCAAGCAUUGCGGCUUGACUUGUGGCAGAAUUUUUUGUCUCACGUCAGAUGCUGCGUAAGAAAGUUAAUCUUCCUUUCAUCCCACAUCGCAGUAGAUAGCAGGAAAGGCUCCGAUAGAGAACCUAUAAAUAGAAGAGGCCUCUGAAGGUUUUAACUCGCACCACUCAAGAGAGUUAUAUGGGCUAUUAGCUUCUUGAGUCAUCUAGUCCAUUUAGUCAAAUAUUUUAGGCUCUCUUGUUUUGAGUUUAGGAAUAUUUCCUAACUUUUUUGUAAGUGCCUAUUGGCCUAAGAACCACUUUCCUACGGCUUUUGUAUUUCUUCUUCAUAGUAGAAAUAUUGCUCCUCCCUCGCCCGUGGACGUAGGUCAAUUUGACCGAACCACGUAAAUCUUCUGUGUCUUUUAGUUGCUUUAUUAUUUGUCUUUAUUAGAUUGCCGCAACCCUUUUAUAUGGUCGGUUUUACCGCCUAAUUAUUUUAUGGCUGGUGUCUACCGCCUAAACAUUAUAUGGUCGGUUAUACCGCCUAAUUUGUGCUAACUUUAGUUUGUCUAUUUCCUGGGUCAGUCCUAACAAACUGGUAUCAGAGUUGGUUGUUAUAUUUUGCAAGACAGGUUCAUCUGGUGGGGCCCGUUCAUCUGGUGGGGCCCGUCCAUCCUGUGGGGCCCGCUCAUCCUGUGGGGUCCGUUUAUCCGUGGGGUCCGCUCACCUUGUGGGAUUCGUUCAUCCCCGUGGGGCCUGCUUAUCUCGUGGGGCCCGCUCACCCUGUGGGGCCCGCUCACGAGACUUGCAUAUUUGUUUGGCCAGUUUUUUGAGACAAACUUUAGGUUACAGAUUUUGUGGCAACAAUGACGAUAACAAAGACGGUUGUCGAGAAAUUCGACAGGAAUGUCAACUUCGGAAUGUUGCAACUCAAGAUGGAGGCCAUUCUUGUUCAAGACGGAGUUGAUCUAGCGAUUCACGGAAUUGAGAACAAACUGGAAGAUGUAAAGGAUGCGGAUUUCGCCGAUAUGGAUAAGAAAUCCAGAUCCAGCAUAAUCUUAAACCUCUCCGAUGAGGUAUUGCGUGAGGUAGCAACGGAGAUUUCGGCCAAGGCUAUGUGGGAUAAAUUGAAAGCCUUGUAUAUGAAGAAAACAGUCGAGAAUCGGCUAUAUUUGAAGCAGAGUUUGUACAUGCUUCGGAUGUCUAAAGGUACAUCUAUAUUUUCCCAUCUUGAUAAAUUUGAUUCCAUUAUUAUGGAUUUGGGGAAUAUAGAUUCGAAAAUUGAUGAUGAAGAUCAAGCCCUAUUACUUUUGUGUUCCCUUCUCCAAUCUUUUAAGCAUUUCCGUGAUACUAUGAUUUAUGGAAAGGAAACAAUUUCGUAUCAAAAAAUUAAAUCUGCAUUAAAAUCUAAAGAGCAGAUAGAUAGGGGUAUUACUGGGGAAACUAGUGGGAGUCAAGCCGAUGGCUUGUUUGUUCGGAGUAGAUCUGAAAAGAGAAACACAGAAAUAGAAGUAGAUCCAAGUCCAGACAUAAAAAUGUGGUGUGCAAUUAUUGUAAAAAGAAGGGCCAUGUUAUCUCUGAUUGCUUUAAAUUGAAAAAUAAAGAAAAGCAAAAGGGAAAAUUUGUUGAGAAAAAUACUGAAUCCACUGAAGCUAGUAUAGCAGCUGAUGAGAAUGAUGGAACCAUUUUCUGUGCAAUGGAAAAUAAUUUUAGAUCUAACAAUGAGUGGAUUUUAGAUUCGGAUUAUUCGUAUCAUAUGUGUCCCAAUAGGGACUGGUUUUCAACAUAUGAAUCAACUGAAGGUGGAGUUGUCUUAAUGGGCAACAACGCUAUUUGUAAAGUUGUUGGCAAAGGCACAAUCCGGAUUAAAAUGUGCGAUGGUAUUGUGAGGAUACUCACAGAUGUUAGACAUGUUCCAGAUUUGAAGAAAAAUCUCAUCUCUUUAGGCACUCUUGAGUCUAUUGGGUGCAGGUAUUCAGGUGGAGAUGGAGUUCUCAAAAUUAGUCGAGGAGCUCUUGUUGUUAUGAAAGCACACAGAUCUGGUACUUUAUAUAUUUUACAGGGAUCUACUGUUACAGCUGCUGCUGCUGUUUCAACAUCAUCUUUGUUAGAUACAGACAUCACCAAAUUAUGGCAUAUGCGUUUGGGGCACAUGAGCGAAAAAGGCUUGGGCAUACUAAGCAAAAGAGAACUUCUUUGUGGACAAAAUACAGGGCCAUUGAAAUUCUGUGAACAUUGUAUUUUUGGGAAGCAGAAAAGAGUCAACUUCAGUUCACUAGCAAUUCACAAGACAAAAGGUACUCUUGAUUACAUUCAUUCAAACCUAUGGGGUCCUUCUCGUGCUCCUUCUAAAGGUGGUGCCAGGUACAUGUUGACUUUCAUUGAUGAUUAUUCAAGAAAAGUUUGGGUCUAUUUUCUUAAGCAUAAAAAUGAUGUUUUCCUAACUUUCAAACAAUGGAAAGUUUUGAUUGAGAAACAAACAGGAAAACAUAUUAAGCGGUUGAGAACAUAUAAUGGCAUGGAAUUUUGUGGAGGUGAAUUUGAUAGAUUUUGUAAAAAUGAAGGAAUUGUUCGGCAUCACACCGUCAGGAUGACGCCUCAACAAAAUGGUGUGGCCGAACGUAUGAAUAGAACGCUUUUGGAGAGAGCACGGUGUAUGAUCUCUAAUACAGAGUUGACAAACAACUUUUGGGCAGAGGCAAUCAAUAUGGCCUGUUAUAUUGUCAACCGUUCUCCUUCUGUAUCUCUUGAUUUCAAAAUUCCUGAGGAAGUUUGGUCAGGUACUCCUGCUGAUUACUCAAAUUUAAAAAUUUUUGGGUGUCCAGCAUAUAUGCACGUGAACGAUGAAAAAUUAGAGCCUAGGGCUAAAAAGUGCAUUUUUCUUGGGUAUGCUUCUGGGGUGAAAGGAUACAGAUUAUGGUGUCCUGAUCCCAAAUCUCCAAAAUUUGUAAUCAGUAGAGAUGUUACUUUUGAUGAAUUGUCUAUGUUAUCUUCCAAGAAGGAGUCUUCUAAUCCUUGUACUACUGAUAGUACACAGAAGCAGGUGGAGCUUGAUAUUGGCAGUUUUGGUUCUUCUCAUACCAAAUCUUUUAUUCAACAAAUGCCAGUAGAUGCACCUGAAUCUACUGUUGAAAAUAAUUCAAAAGAAGAGGAAUAUUCCAUAGCCAGAGAUAGACAAAGGAGAGACAUUCGACCACCACAAAGAUAUGCAAAUUUAGUUGCAUAUGCUUUGUCUAUUGCAGAAGAAACUGAUGCAGUUGGUGAGCCUUCCACCUAUUCAAAAGCAGUUUUUUGUGAUGAUUCUGUAAAGUGGUUGAUUGCGAUGAAUGAAGAAAUUGAAUCUCUUCAUCGUAAUGAAACUUGGGUUCUUGUAAAGCCGCCGUCAGCUAAGAAAAUUGUUGGUUGCAAGUGGGUCUUCAAGAAAAAGGAAGGUAUUCCAGGGGUUGAAGAUGCAAGGUAUAAAGCACGAUUAGUUGCAAAGGGCUAUAGUCAGGUACAAGGUGUUGAUUUUAAUGAUGUGUUUUCACCUGUUGUUAAACAUAGUUUUAUUCAUGUUUUGCUUGCUUUAGUUGCCAUGUAUGAUUUGGAGUUAGAGCAGUUUGAUGUUAAGACAGCUUUCUUACAUGGCGAACUUGAAGAACAAAUUUAUAUGGGACAACCCCAGGAUUUUGAAAUUGAAGGUAAGGAAGACCAUGUUUGCUUAUUGAAGAAAUCCUUAUAUGGAUUGAAACAGUCUCCAAGACAAUGGUAUAAAAGGUUUGAUUCCUUUAUGUUGGGUCAUGAUUAUUUGAGGAGCAUGUAUGAUAGUUGUGUUUACUGCCGAAAGUUAAAUGAUGGUUCUUCCAUUUAUUUGCUGCUUUAUGUUGAUGACAUGCUCAUUGCUGCCAAGAAUUUGUCAGAAAUUCACACUUUGAAACUGCAGUCAAAUAGUGAAUUUGAAAUGAAAGAUUUGGGAGCAGCUAAGAAAAUUCUUGGCAUGGAUAUCAAGCGACAUCGAGGAGUAGGAAAGUUAUUCUUGACCCAGAAAAAUUAUCUUGAGAAAGUCUUGGAGCGUUUUGGCAUGAAAGAUGCUAAACCAGUAUCUACUCCUCUUGCUAGCCAUUUCCGGCUAUCUGUUGCUCAAUCACCACAAACAGAUGAAGAGAAAGAUUAUAUGGCACGGGUUCCUUAUUCCAGUGCAGUCGGCAGUGUUAUGUAUGCAAUGGUUUGUAUUCGUCCAGAUAUUGCACAAGCAGUCGGUGUUGUUAGCAGAUAUAUGUCUUGCCCUGAUAAAACACAUUGGCAGGCUGUGAAGUGGAUUCUCAGAUACUUGCGAGGUACUUCAAAUGCAUGUUUGGAGUUUGGAAGAAAUAAUAACACUUUGGUUGGUUUUGUAGACUCAGACUACGCUGGAAAUCUUGACAGGAGAAUAUCACUUUCAGGCUAUGUAUUUUGCAUUGGCGGUUGUGCUUUUAGUUGGAAAGCUACUCUACAACCUGUCGUAGCUUUGUCUACUACUGAAGCAGAAUAUAUGGCUGUGACCGAGGCAAUCAAAAAAGUCUUGUGGAUGAAAAGUUUAUUUAGCGAGUUUAGUCUACAUCAAGGUGUUACUGUUAUUCACUGUGAUAGUCAAAGUGCCAUACACUUGACUAAAGAUCAGAUGUAUCAUGAGAGGAUGAAACAUAUUGAUGUGAAGUAUCACUUCAUUCGAGAUAUCAUUGCUGAGGGAAAAGUCCUUAUUCAGAAAAUCAAUAAUAAGGACAAUCCAGCCGAUAUGUUUACAAAACAUCUUCCACUUUACAAGUUCAAACAAUGUUUGGAUUUGAUUGGUAUUCAUUGUUGGUGAUUUAUGCCCAUUGGGGUUUAUGCGGAGAAGGUGGAGCAGUUUUACUAUUGUCAAUGAUGUGACUUAAAAAUUAUGCCAAGGUGGAGAUUUGUUGAAUUGUUAAGUAUUGCGGCUUGACUUGUGGCAGAAUUUUUUGUCUCACGUCAGAUGCUGCGUAAGAAAGUUAAUCUUCCUUUCAUCCCACAUCGCAGUAGAUAGUAGGAAAGGCUCCGAUAGAGAACCUAUACAUAGAAGAGGCCUCUGAAGGUUUUAACUCGCACCACUCAAGAGAGUUAUAUGGGUUAUUAGUUUCUUGAGUCAUUUAGUCCAUUUAGUCAAAUAUUUUAGGUUCUCUUGUUUUGAGUUUAGGAAUAUUUCCUAACUCUUUUGUAAGUGCCUAUUGGCCUAGGAACCACUUUCCUACGGCUUUUGUAUUUCUUUUUCAUAGUAGAAAUAUUGCUCCUCCCUUGCCCGUGAACGUAGGUCAAUUUGACCGAAUCACGUAAAUCUUCUGUGUCUUUUAGUUGCUUUAUUAUUUGUCUUUAUUGGAUUGCCGCAACCCUUUUAUAUGGUCUGUUUUACCGCCUAAUUUUUUUAUGGCUGGUGUCUACCGCCUAAACAUUAUAUGGUCGGUUAUACCACCUAAUUUGUGCUAACUUUAGUUUGUCUAUUUCCUGGGUCAGCCCUAACAAUUUACUCUUCAAUAAAUGCGUUGUUUGAAAAAUGCAUUCGAUGAUGAAUACGUUGUUUUAAAACUCUCAUUAUUUGAAAACCCUUCUUGAAAACUACAACUGGAAAUUUGCUCUCGAAUUCAUUGGUACAAAAUUUUCAGUCUUGAUGGAGUUCGUUUCUCACGUGGGCUGCCGAGGUCUCCUUCACUAGCGGGGCUAUGGCUGUGGCAUUGAUCUUUGCCUAGAUAACCAAGCACGAUCUAUCUCUGUCUAUCCACGUAAUUGCCAACCAUUUUAUCCUUAUCUAUUUGGAAAAAAAAGUGGCAAAAUUGUGGAAAUAUAUACAGCUGAACUGAAGUGAAAGCAACACUGGAUCCCAGUUGAAAAUACAUCUGAUUGAAAUAUAUUUGGGCUAUCAUUUGUUGACUAUUUCAAUAAACCUAGAAAUAUCUCUAGUUGAAGACUUUUCUAAUUUGGAUAAAAGAUGAUGGAAAGAAUAUUCUUAGAUGCCUGAGCCUGCACCUGGAAAAUGUUAAUCCAAGAGUUAUCACCAUAUAAAUUGGGUCUUAUCUAUUUUGCUUACUACAUUCAGAAAAUUCAACAUGCAAAUUUCUAUGACUUUUCACUCAUGCCAAGAUUGAUGGUACAUUACUUCCUUUCUAUUGUCCGGCCCCCUUCCAAAAAAAAAAAAAAAAAAAUCUGAAUUCGAAUAAACCAAAACAGAAUUUAGUUUUUUUUUUUUAUCUUUGUUUAUCCAUUUAAGAAGUUCCCCGGGUUGAGUAGAUAAUUUAUCUCAGGAUCUUCAACUUUAUAACAGCCUCCUCGUUAUAUUUAAUUUUACUACUUUCUGCUUUUCAGUUCAUUUUCGUACCCCAUCUCAAUUUUCAUCUUAAAAUCAUAUGAUAUGAGUAGGAUUAACCCUAAAAAAGAAAUAUAUAAACUAGAAUAUUUCUUAAACAAUCUAAACAACUAAAACAGUUUGAUAGAAUUUUAAAUCUUUCGUUAAAUCUCUCGAUCCAAAUGGAUCCUUAUUUUUUCUCUAGACCCUUUAUCUGAUUGAUCCCAUGCCAUUAAUCUGUUCUACAGAUAUAUCUCAAUAUACUCUUCCUAUUGCGUAGCAAUGCUGUAAUUGAAUUUAUUGUUUAACAAAUUCACCUUCACCUAAUACAACUGAGCCAUAGCACUUUGCCCAUUGUUUGGGUUUCUAUUAAUGUACUAUUAUUGCUAGAUGCAAGAAACCUCAUCUUUAACGGGCCGGGGUGACUGAAGAUUCCUUACAGUUGACCCGAAAAUGAAGCAACGUAACUAUUUCUUAGUCCAUGAUGAAAGCUAAUGAAAUUAGUAUUAAAUAUUGGGCUCAACGAGUUGUUGACAAAGCCAGUCGUGGAAGUAAUUAAUGUGGGCUCCAAUAUUCUCCUUUUUAAUAGAGUUUUAUUUUGUUAAGUUUCUGAAUUAACUGUUAAUUAGUAGCCCAAUUUAUCUUUCAAUAUAAUUAGUAUAUCAGUAAUUCUGUAUUACUUUAUCUGCGCAUAAUUCUAAUUUCCAGCCCAGUGAUCUUCACCCAAAAAAAAAAAAAAUAAGAACUGAAAUAAUAAAAUUUGGGAACUCUGAAGUCCAAUCAUCGUUCAUGAAUGAAAUUAUUUGUGUGGGUUUAAACUGGCUUGUUUAGAGGCUUUCUUGCUUUACAAUAAAGUUCGAUCAUCAUUCAUGAAUGAAAGUUUUACAUCAACAAAAUACAAGAAACUUACGACUAAUGCAACAAAUGAUUGAAAAAAGAAAAACUCCUCAAUGUAAGUGAAAUGAGCACAUCAAAAAUUUCUGAAGAACUAUGAAAGUAAAUUCAAAUUAAGAAAGAUAAUGUUAUGUAUAUCAAUAGUUGCAAAUUUUAGUUCAUUAUUUAGUAUAAGAAAAUUCCAAAGCUUUUGGAAAACACAAGAACAUUUAUAGUAGGAGAGAAGGUCCAAUGAAUGAACCAUCCCUAAUUCAUUUUCUAAUUUCCUUUUGUUUCUAAGAAGAUCUUUGGUUAAUUAUUCUUUAAUUAUUUUAAUUUUUUGGAUUGGUUUGAACACAAACAUAUUUUCUAAAAAUAUUUUAUGUUUGCAAUCACCUUAUUAUCUCGUAUACAUCACAUCAGAAAACGUGUUAUAGUUAUUUUUUUUUACAAAUAAUCUUCUAUCUAAACAUGAUUUAGUUGUCACAUGCUUCUUAUGAAAUACACAAUCCAACAUUUUUUUUAAAACUCCAUAAGUAACAUUUUUCUUAGACUGAAGUUGAAAGUCACGCUCUUGCUACUCAGACCUGAAGUAGAACAUUCUAAGAGACGACAACAUUUUUUUUUCCUUUAAUGACUAACGUGUGCACUGAUUGCAAUAAUUCAGAUUUGGAAAUCAUCCAUGAAUGGACAAGUUUUGCAAGUAAUUAGAUCUUCUAAAGAUGUGUUCAACAUAAAACAACACUAGAAAAUGACACCCUUCAUUGUAUACAUAUAUGAAUGCGUCUUUAUAUGACUAAGAAAUGAUAAAGGUUUUGUCCAACAAAGCUUCAAACAAUCUGCCGGUCCAGAAGAUUGCAAUUUGCAACCCUGAAUGAUGUCUAUGAAGUUGAUUUCUUAACUAAUGAAACUAUGAAAACUUUGGCCUAAAUUGGCGUGUGAUUUCUUCUCAUGUAUUAUAUACGCGUUUACAUUAGUAAAAAUUUAUGAUUAGUUGAAAAUUUUGAUGGCAGUUCUCAGCGCUUAAUUCGUAAAGUCUCAAGUAAUAAAACCCAAUUCUCAUCUAGAAACGUCAAGGAUGAUCAACUAGUGUAAUAUUAGAGGGUUGUUUUGAAAUUUCAUGGUCAAAUGGUAGCAUAUUUUGUACAUGUAUUUGCUUACUUUUCCUUCAUAUUAGAAAGCAAAAGUCUUUAUAAUAACAGUUGACUGAAAUUUAAGGUGACAGGAUUGGAUAAAACUGAAUACACAUUCCUAUUCUUUGUGCUUAUAGCUGGAGAUUGGACGAAGAAUUAUUUUGGUUACCUGCAGCAAGAAAAUGGGAAUUCCAGCAUCAUUAUAGCUUCACUCUUCUCAAUCUUGUGUUUGGUUACAUGCCUUAACUAAUGAAACUAUGAAAACUUUGGCCUAAAUUGGCGUGUGAUUUCUUCUCAUGUAUUAUAUACGCGUUUACAUUAGUAAAAAUUUAUGAUUAGUUGAAAAUUUUGAUGGCAGUUCUCAGCGCUUAAUUCGUAAAGUCUCAAGUAAUAAAACCCAAUUCUCAUCUAGAAACGUCAAGGAUGAUCAACUAGUGUAAUAUUAGAGGGUUGUUUUGAAAUUUCAUGGUCAAAUGGUAGCAUAUUUUGUACAUGUAUUUGCUUACUUUUCCUUCAUAUUAGAAAGCAAAAGUCUUUAUAAUAACAGUUGACUGAAAUUUAAGGUGACAGGAUUGGAUAAAACUGAAUACACAUUCCUAUUCUUUGUGCUUAUAGCUGGAGAUUGGACGAAGAAUUAUUUUGGUUACCUGCAGCAAGAAAAUGGGAAUUCCAGCAUCAUUAUAGCUUCACUCUUCUCAAUCUUGUGUUUGGUUACAUGCCUCAACUUCAGAUGCUAUAAGUUUUUGCUUUCUUUUAAGCCAAAUCAACAUAUUUUAAUGAUGUAGAAAUGAAGGUUGAACAAAGCCCUGAGUGUCGAUUUCUGUGACCACACCUUAGUGAGAGGGGUUUACCUAUAUAUCCGUAUUUGUCUUUUGAAGGAAAUGGAGGUUUUAUGUUGAAUAACAAAUGCCAUUAUUAAGAUAACAAUGUACAACAGGUAAUCCAACACUAAUAAAAUGUUACAUGUUAAUAUCUUAGUGUAUGCUCUGAGAUAAUGGAUUAAACAAAUUAAUUCCAAUUCUCAAAUUAAUUCCAAUUCUCUUACAAAGAAGUGGAAGUAAUUUGUUUAAUUAUGGUGUUAUCUUGAUUAUAGACCCAUGAUGCGUCUUCCUUACGCACCAACAUGGGCUUGUGUUUUCUCCAAGAUUUCUAAUAUUUCACAUUUAGGAUUAAAAUAAGAUAAAUGUUAAUCAUACUCCACUUUUUUUAUAAUGAUCUAUCUAACGACUGCCCUUGUUAAUAUAUAUUUCAGAUGUUAUAUUUUUUAAAAUAUAAUAUUAAUUAAUGAAAGUAAAUAAAUACAAGGGAGGGUAGGUAAGAUUAAAUAGGAAAAGUAUAUAAAUGUAAGGGAGGAUAAUAAUUGUUAGUAUAUGUAUAUAUAUGGUAGAUUAGAUAAAUGUUAGAUGUGUCAACGGAUGCCCUAGAAAAACCCUUUUUGUAAUGGCAUUUCCAUUAUUAUUAUUAUUAUAUAAUUUUCAUUUACUAGACUAUAUGGUACUCCCUCCAUUCCACUUUGAUGGUCUUCAUUUCUUUUCACACAAUGUAAGAAAAAUUAAGUAAUUUUAUUGGAAGAGUAAAUCUAGUAUAUUGUUUUCUUAAAAUACCCUUCUGUUAAUAUUAGAUGUAUGACUAAUCCUUAUACCUUUAUAUUAAUUACAGUAACAAUACUAAUAGAAAGUUGCACUAUGAAAGACAUGAAUCAAAGCAAUUAUUGAACAAGGUAGGUUACACUCAUUGAUAACAAAGCAAAUUAAAUAAAAGUAUAUUAGAGAAGUUAAAAAUUAACUAUACUUUGGGAUGAAUGAAAAAGAAAAAUAAGAUUGUCAAAGUGAUAUAGACAAAGUAAAAAUGAUAAUGGGAGUACUAUUAUAAAAUGUGUAAUAUGAUUAACAUUUUUCCGAAGGCAACAUUAAUUUGUUCAUAAUUGAUAAUCCAACUAAAGCCAAGAUUAUUGGUCCCAUGUUCAUUAAUGUUAGAUUGUAAGAACUCUCUGGGAUGCUUUUCGUCUGCUUCCUCACAAGUUUUGCUCCUAAAGUGUAAACAAGUUGGACUAAGUGUAAACAAGUUAUAAUAAAGUGUAAAAAAAAUUAAAAUGAUCAUUUUACCUUAAAAUAGACCGCACACACAAAGGGCUCAAUUUGUGGGGAACCUUUCAACCACCAAUCAGUAGUUUGUGUCACUCGUAGUAUUUCUACUUUAAUGAUUGCAGCUACCAUUUCUUGAUAGAUCACUAACUUGCUAGCUAUGGUAGCUUUUCGGGAGAUAUGUGAGGUCCAUUAGAUUACUUAACUUGAAUCUAAGCAAAUACUAGAGCAGUGGCAAGAGUCAGAAAUCUUUUCAGUGGGGGCAAAACUUAUCAAGCUAUAUGCUUUAAGGAUGAUUUCUGUAUUUUAUACACUUUUUUUUUUCAAUUUCAAGUCCAAUUACGCAUACCAUUUCAAGUUCAUUUUUGAGUUGUCGACCAAUUUUUUUUUUUUCUCAUUUUAGAGUCAUCGACAUAUGUUUGUCUUGUUAGAUUAAUUUCAAUAUGAAAAUCAUCUCAAAGUGCAAGAAAAUUAGACCCAAUAUACAACUUGUAAGAUGACAAAUAGUUUAUAUUAACUUUCAAUCUAAAAGAAUCCCAUUGGAAUUUGACUUUACAUUUAUCAUGAAUGUUUCUCUCCUGUUUUGUAGGGUUUUUGUUUUUUUUCAAAAUAUAUAGCUGCCAAGACAAAACUUCAUUCUAAGCAACUUGUUAAUCAAAAAAUAAAAGUUUACCAAAAUGCUUGAUAAAAGUAAAAACAAGAAAAAAAAUGUAUCUUAGUCAUCGAUAUUUUUGUGUAGUUUAUCAAAUAAUACUCAUUACAAAUGAGAUGGACCUUAAAGUUAUAUAUAGUUCAAUAUUGCUUAUACCGCAAAGAGUUGAACUUAUUACUAUGUUUGUAAUUCUUUCAAAUUUAUAAACUAUUACAUAAAGAAGCCUGAUGGAGACAGUGGGGGCAAAUGCAGCCAGUGCCCCAUUGUGGCUCCGCCACUGUACUAUAGAUAAUGUACUACAAAAUAUUUAAGUAGGAAGAGUAAUAAAAUUUGAAAUUCUCAAAAAAUAGUCAAAAUACUUAAGUAGGAAGUUAAGUUAUUCAAUUUGAAAGGGAGGUAUGUUUUAGCACUAUCUAAAUACUUGUGUCCCUACAAAUGGAGAAAUUCAACAUAAUAACGCUAUCUUAAUUCUUGUCUCCCUACGAACAGAGAAAUUCAACUCAAGGCGCACAAGCAAAAAUCUGAAAAUCUAACUACUUUGGAAUUUUAAUUUUUAGGUAACGAUUUGGAAUUUUACUUUGACAAAUUCAUGGUCAAAUGGUGGGAGGUUUAGCUUUAUCUGAUAACCAUUUCUUUUCAAACUGGAUUUGUGUAGCUGAAAAACUUCUAUAUAUUGCAACCAAUCCCGAACCGAAGCAAUUACCCCCUAGUAAUUUAGUACUAAGAAAAUGAGAAAUCUUAGCAUCAUUCUAGCUUCAUUCUUUUUCUCGACCUUGGUUGCAAUUUCAUUUGCAGCUUCUGAUCAAUCUGUCCAUCAGGCAUUUGUUCAAUGUCUACAAAAGCAUUCUUCACCCAACAUUUCUGCAGUAAUUUACACCCCAAACAACUCUUCAUUUCCCACUGUUUUGCAAGCCUACAUCAGAAAUCUAAGAUUCAAUGAGUCCACCACAAGAAAGCCUUUCCUCAUCCUCACUGCUUUGGAUGUUUCUCAUAUCCAAGCAGCUAUCAUCUGCGCAAAAGCGCAAGGCCUACAGAUGAAAACCCGAAGUGGAGGGCAUGACUAUGAGGGCGUUUCCUACAUCUCUGAAGUCCCCUUCUUCAUCCUUGACUUGUUCAACAUUCGAUCAAUCAGUGUUAACAUAGAAGAAGAGACAGCUUGGGUUCAAGUUGGAGCAACUCUUGGUGAAGUAUACUACAGAAUUUAUGAGAAAAGCAAAGUUCAUGGCUUCCCUGCCGGAGUUUGUCCCACAGUUGGCGUUGGGGGGCAUUUCAGUGGGGGUGGCUACGGCAACAUGAUGAGGAAAUAUGGCCUUUCAGUAGACAAUAUUAUUGAUGCACAAAUCAUCGGUGUGAAUGGCCGAAUUCUAGACCGAGCAGCAAUGGGAGAAGAUCUGUUCUGGGCUAUCACUGGAGGUGGAGCUUCGAGUUUUGGAGUUGCUCUUGCAUACAAGAUAAAUCUGGUCCGUGUUCCCCCUAAAGUUACAGUGUUCAGGGUGGAAAGGACUUAUGAGCAAAAUGCAACGUUUCUUGUUCACAGGUGGCAGGAAGUUGCAGACAAGUUAGACAAUGACAUCUUCAUAAGAAUGAUUAUUGAUGUGGUCAAUAAUAAUCGUACAGGAGGUAAAACUAUAAGAUCAGCGUUCUUCACGCUGUUCUUGGGAGACUCGGCAAGACUUCUUUCUCUGAUGAAUGAAAGUUUUCCUGAAUUGGGAUUGCGGCAAUCAGAUUGCAUGGAGAUGAGUUGGGCUGAAUCUGUAAUUUACUACACCAGCUUCCCCCUUGGAACUCCUGUUGAUAUGCUUCUUAGCAGAGUUCCUCAAGUACUAACUCACCUGAAAAGGAAAUCUGAUUAUUUGAAAAAGCCUAUGCCAAUAGAAGGCAUAGAAUUCAUCUUCAAGAAAAUGAUUGAAUUGCAGACUCCAGUCUUGACUUUCAAUCCUUAUGGAGGAAGAAUGGCCGAGAUUCCAGCCUCGGCCAAACCCUUUCCCCAUAGAGCUGGGAAUAUUGCAAAGAUUCAGUAUGCAACAAACUGGGAUCAAAAUGGUGUCCAGACGGCCGAGUAUUACAUCAAUUUGACCAGAGCUUUACAUAAAUAUAUGACUCCUUUUGUCUCCAAGUUCCCCAGGGAAGCAUUUCUCAAUUACAGAGAUCUUGAUAUAGGGAUCACCCAUAAUGGCAAGAACAGUUACGCGGAGGGACUUGUUUAUGGAAUUAAGUACUUCAAGGAAAAUUUUAACAGAUUGGUAAAAGUUAAGACCGCGGUUGAUCCUGACAAUUUCUUCAGGAAUGAACAAACCAUUCCGGUGUCUCCUUCUAGGAAAUACUAACAAUAAAGAAGUUAUCAUGUAGCUUUGGUUUUGUUGAUUGUUGUUUUUGUUUUUGCUUUCUGUAAUUUAUUUGGAUUGCAAACUGCAAAGUGUCAUAAAUGAUUCUACACAAAGCACACAGAAUAAAGAUUAUUUUGUCAAAGUUUUGUAU